rnacentral:lncRNA from 1 species
GCUUCUUUUUGUUUGUUCCCGGGAGCUAGCUAGAUAAUUUUAGUACUUUUUAGCAGCUUGCUUUCCUUGCACAAGAUUGAAAAGGAAGACGCAUGUAUGUUUCUGAAAGUCCAAAUUAGCCAUCUAAUUCCACUGACUUUCUUAUUACUUUUCUUAAAAUAUCUCACUUUGAAAUCAUGGUUUGACACAUAGGGAAGAUUGAUGGGACUUAUUUUAUAAUUACUGUGGAUUAGCUUAGGACACAGCAUAUGGAACCAAUUUUUAUAUCUCAAUCCUGACUUUAAUCCUUGAUUAGCUUUCCAUGUUUUACUUUGGGGACAAAUAUUAGUUUUUCGAUUAUUUUUUAUUUGCCUGUGUCCCCCCUUUUAUACUUUUACAUGGUGUGUUUAUUUGUUCUGCUUCAAUGUUUUUAUCAGCAAGCAGAAGCCACGUGUAAAUUGUAGAGAAGGGAAUACUAAUUAAUAACUUGAUAUCAAUAGUUGGUCUCCAAAACUUUAAAAGUAGUAAAACUAAUCAACUUAAUGAAGAAUGAACUAAACCAUGUGACCUUCAGCAACACAUUGCAAAGUUAUAUAAGACAUAACACUGUUCACCAUGAACCCCUCCCCUUCACUUUUAAAUAGAUAGUUCGUGAAGUAUUUAAUGUAAAUAGGAUGAACAUGCUAAUAGGCAUCACAACUUCACAAGGCACUUGAGGGCCUGAAUAACAAGAAAUUAACUCUAAACAACAUUUUCAGAACCAAACUCAUGAUGGCUUACUUUCCAUAGUAAUUGAUUGACCAUAUAUUAGAUAAACAGCUAUCUCCUUAACAGUCAGUCCACGCCCAAAAGCAACAAUAAUCUCCAUAUUGUCACCACUCACCAGGAUCAAGAUUUGACAUUAGAUCUCCCAAUCUUUAUCAUUAAAGGACACUGUAUCAAGAUUUGAUCUUGCUUAUCAAAAAAAAAAAAAUCAAGAUUUGAUCUCCUAAGAAGGGUAUCCAUUGCUUAGAAACCACCAUCACCUGCACCAUAAAAAAUCUUUCUUCGGUCCAAAAGGCGAAUUCCCAUAGCUACACUCCAUUCUGCCACAACUUCUGACACCUCAUCUCUGUUCUUCCCCCUCUGAAUCUACUAGUGGAGUUAGCGUUCAGCAAUCAAUGAUAAGGAACCGAGGAAGUCUCUGUAUUCAAGGUGUGUCUGGAUAUGCAGCAUGAACAUACUUUCAACUCAAUACAUAAAAGAGUUCAGUUUGCCUUCCAUCUUGAAGUGUGUGUUAGCGUCCCAAAUAACCCAAUAUACCGAAGGUUGAUCGCUCCCAAUGCCAUCAUCAGUUGACAGAACACAAAAAUUUUAAGUAUGGAGUCUUCUCAACUGAGAGGCCUGAAAAAUAACACAAUUUUUAGUAUAGAGUCUUCUCAAAUUUAAAAAUAAUGUUCAUGAGCUGGUUUAAUUAAUUUGUUUUGCUUUGUUUAUCCCAAGUUUCUAGUUCAUAGUUUUGUUCAUUGUUCAAUCAAACCUCUGAUGCUUUGUUACUGGUUCACCUUUUUUCUCACUCGUGCAGCUUUCAAUGCCAAGGUCUUUCUUUUUCACACUCCUAUAGUUGUAUUUCAGAUUUGGAAUGCAUAAAGAUGUCCCGGGAGCACAAAGUGGCAAAGUACUGACCAAAGAAAAACGCAUGCAUUUCAACAUAUGAUAAUGUGGCAAGAACAAAAACUCAAAAUUACCUCCUUUACUGAUAUCCAACCUAGUGACUAUACAUGUUAAUUUGAGACACCAAUGAGUGAAUCAUCAUUAAACAUUACAUUAAAGAAACCCAAUAAUGCUAUGGCGAUAAUAUCCAAUAUACUAUACUGAUUAUUGACCCAAAUUAAGCUCAAGAUAUGUUCUAAAGUAGAUUGAAGAACACAUCACUAAAAGUACUCUCAAUAAUUUCAACCAGUUUCCAAUUUAAAUCUUGCAUGUGUGUAACCCUUGCCUCUCUCAUGUCUCUAAACAGUAAAAAGGCUUACUGAAGUAAAUACUAGCUUUUUUGUUUAAGUAACCAAACCCACCUAUCAAAGCUUCUAACUCAAUUAAUGUUCUGUCAUAACCCUCACAGUCAUACAAAUAGCCCAGAAAUACAAAACGUUAAACAUCAAACAGAACCUGGAAUCACCACAUCACAUGAACGCCAGAAGAAGAUCAAAGAUGCUAGAAAAAUUGAGGACAAUAAGGAAGGAAUAGCAUAAAAUCAACAAAAUAAUCCAACAUUGAUGAUAUAUAACCUAAGAUACAAGGAUUUUAAAUUAACAAUCAAAAGUCAGAAUCAAAGAAUAGAAUCAACAAUAGGGACGAAUCCUUAGAACAGAGAUCAACACCAAUGAUAGAGAAGCAGAGAGACAAACCUGGUAAAAGGAACCUUUGGAGGCAGAGAUAAACCUAGCAUGCAGAACAAGGCUUUGUUUUUUUUUUUGAAAAGGCAGAACAUGGCUUUGUCCCUCCUCCCUUCUAGAUAAUGUUCCAAAACACAUAAAAUAAGGAAAUCCCAUAAAAUGACAAAGCCAUACGAAUAAUUAUAUCUUCACACCUCAUUUUUGAGGUGUGGAGAGGUGGAAGAAGAGAGAGAUAGGAAGAAAGGAGAGAGAAAAUAACGAUGUGAUAAGUGAUUUAAUUGACAAAAAAGAGAGAAAUAGAUAGAAAAUGAAGGUGGAAAAGGGGUGGAGGUGUGUAUGAAUCAUAACUCUUACCAAUAAAAAACUGUUGAAAGCUCAAGUUUGGUUCAUGCAUGAACAUUGUCCCAAUCUCUUUGCAAGUCUUGUCAAGAAAUUUUUAUCUGGUUUUGGUGAUGGCUCAAUUUUCAUGUUAAGUGAUGAUUUCAAUUUCACAUUAGGUGAUGCCUGCAUGUUCACUUCAGUUGAUGGAUCCAUUUUCUUGUUAGGUGAUGGCAGCAUGUUCAGUCUAGGUGAUGGCUGCAUGUUCACUUCAGGUGAUGGCUCCAUUUUCACAUCAGGUGACGGAAGAACAUUCACUUAAGGUGAUGGCUCCAUUUUCACAUCAGGUGACGGAAGAACAUUCACUUCAGGUAAUGGCUCCAUUUUCACAUCAGGUGACGGAAGAAAGUUCACUUCAGGUGAUGGCUCCAUUUUCACAUUAACUGACGGCUCAAAUUCAAGUUGCAUAGUAAUUGAUGGCUCAAUUUUCAUAGUAAUUGACUGACCAUAUAUUAGAUAGGCAGCUGUCUCCUUAACAGUCAAUCCACGCCCAUAAGCAACAUUAAUCUCCAUAUUGUCACCAGGAUCUAGAUUUGAUAUUACACUCUCCCAAUCUUCAUCAUUAAAGGACAUUGCUGUAUCUUGCUUGUAGAUUUGAAUGGUCAAUUUUGUGUAAUUAUUGAUCAUGACACUAGUAAAACAUUCAGUUGCCAUAUUUUCAGGUGUUAAUGAGUAAACAGCACAUAAAACUAUUCCCUUCAAGUAACAAUCAUGAACCUCAGGCACUUGAAAAUGUACUAAAGGUCCUUCACCUUUAUAGGCUAACCAAGAAGGAUAAUUACCACACGGAAGGGAAAAAUCACUAGAAUCAUUGGUUGUCAAUCCCUGUAUGAAGAACAUAUAUACUUGGUUAUUUAUUGAAUCAUUCAAAUGGAGUUUUCGUGCCACUAUUGUGUCAUUCUGAAUUCCAAAAGGUGAGUGUUAAAUAUAAUCAUAGUAUGUCGCAUGAAUAAGCAGAGACAAGGAAAUUAGUAAUAGUUUUGUAACACAACCAUAACUUAUGGGGACCGGCAUGGGUAAAAUUCACCCCGCCUUGGGGAUGGGGACAGCCUUGCCCCACGCAGGACAAGUUAUGGUGUGAGGUUAUCUAUGAGAGGGGCAUAGAUAUAUCUUUUUAGGGUUAAUGGUCAAACUGGUCUCUAUCUUUGUAGCAAGUUUUGAUUUUAGUCCCUCCCCGGAAAAUGUUAAGCGAUAUCUCCCCGCGAUUGCACGCGUUUUGGUGUUAGUCCUCGCCGGAGCUCCGCCCUCCAGCGAGGACUAAUACCAAAACGCGUGCAAUCGCAUAGAGAUUUCGCUUAAUAUUUUUCGGGGAGGGACUAAAAUCAAAACUUGCUACAAAGACAAGGACCAAUUUGACAAUUAACUCAUCUUUUUAUAACUACAUUAGAUGAGUAGUAAACCACGAAAAAUGUGACAUCUUUCAUUGAAAACUCUAAGUUAUCGGUGUAUGGGGCUUUUCACUUAUAUAACAUUCAACACUUUUUUUUAUCCAAUGUGGGACUUAUUAUUAUUAUUAUUAUUAUUAUUAUUAUUAUUAUUAUUAUUAUUAUUCACACUUGAAGUCUCAACAAUCUUCCCUCAAGUGUCAGUCAUCAUCUUGUUGUCCGUCUCAGGGCCAAAACCACCGGCUCUAAUACCAGUUGUUAUAAUGUGUGGGGUGUCUCUCACUAUUAUAGCAUGAGAGGAGGCAUGAUAUAUCUUUUAUGGGUUCACUAAGGUACACCAUCUAUUUGGAUGAUAUAUCGGUACAGACAGUACUACCAAAUAGUUGUGAAUUAGCUACGAACGAAGCAAAUUCUUUGCUAUUUGCUAGCUAAUUUAUUGUUCACAAUUUUGCUUUAAUUUUUUUUGUCACAAUUUUUAUUUCACGUGAUUACAAAUUGUAUAUUUACAAGCCGUGUAGUGAUACACCACCCGAACACGUAGUGUACCCUAGACAACCCCAUCUUUUAUAACCACAAUGAAUGAGGAGUAAACUAUAUUAGUGAAGGACGUCACAUCUUUCACCAAAAACCCAAUGCAUUGUGUAUGAGUCUUGAACAUGAACAAUGAGGGACCAUGUUAAAAUAUGAUUUACCCAUGAAUAAUGUUUAUACUUGUUAUGUGAUAUUCAGUAACUGCCAUAAAUUGCACUAUAACAAAGCUUACAUUUUAAAUUAAAAUAUGCAUGAUUUUACUAUAAAAAACCUGUGCAAAGCGCAGGUAGCAUCUAGAAAAUAAAUAAUGAAUAACAAAUGAGAGAAGAUAGAGAAGUCACCUGUGAUAUGUUGUUGGCAAGAGUAUCAAUGACUGUGUGGCAACUUCCCAAUCUAAUCAAAAGUGAUCUCAAGGAAAAAUCUGAGAUUUGUGAUGCAUAUGAUGAUGAUGAUGCCAAUUCACUAGAAUUUACAUCAUAUUGAUCAUCAAGAAUUCUUCUUGACUCUUGAGUUAGUUGAAUCUCUGAGUGACAUUGUAUCAAAACACUUCGAAGUUUUGAUACGCUGCUUAGCCUUAGCCAUGAUGAUAAAUUGUCUAAACUAUUAUUCUGUAUAUCAAUAGAAACUAGAGACAAUGGCAUGCUCCCAAUAAGUGGAAUACGAGGUAGGGGAUUCAUUGUUGGUGCCAUCCAAGACCGAAUAAGAGAAGGAAAAACAUCACGUGUUAAUCCUUCAAAUCCACAUAGGGAUAUAUAUCCUAUGCUUUUCAAUUUUACAAUUGAAUGGGGCACUUCUUUAAUAGCUGUAUCUUUUGCAAGAAGUGUUGUCAAGGAUUCCAUCUGCACUAUAUCUUCUUCCAACUUGUCAAUUUUUGAACAACCUGAAACGAUUAGUGUUUUCACAGAUUUUAACUGAUACAUCUUCCUUGGGGGAUUUGUAAGGCUUGUACAGUCCUUCAAAUUUAUAAGAAGAAUAUUACUGAGAUCUCCGAUUGAAUGGUGUAGCUCGGACAAACAUGGACAAUCCUUUAGAAUGAGCUUUUCUAGAUUCGGUAGUUUUGAGAAAUCAGGGGUGUUUCCCAAGUUACUGGAAUGACUGAGAUUGAGAAUUUUAAGCUUCUCCAGCAACUGCAAGAGGAUGAAUGUUUAAAGAAAAUUAGAGGAAGAAGAGAAAAUGGAACAAUGCUGGUAACAAUGGUUAUUGUCAUCAACCUAUGCUUUUUUAAUAAAAUGUUAGUUAUUAUACCUUGGUUUCCUUCCAAACUUGUUUAAUACUGCUGUACUUUAAUUCUAAAACAACUAGCUUUCCCUGAUAUAAGUCAUCGGGUAUAUAUUUGGAUCUGAAUCCUUGCCAACAGACCCAUCUCAGUUCUUGGGAAAGAUAUCCAUAGUCUCCAGCGAGGUCAACACAGUCAAGUUGUAGAAGUCUCAGUUUUCUCAUUUCCUCGAAAGCAUUAGCACUGAAGCAAACUCUGCUGUUUUUUUGCAACUUCAAAACCAAUCCCUCAACAGUUUCUGUUCCCUGCAUGUGAAGAAAAAAUAAACAGAGAGAAGUUAGGGGAAACAGUUUUUGUUUGCUAUACAUAAAGCUGCAGCAGUGCAGCCUAACCACACUUGCAAUGAACAUGACAAGGCAAAAACUCAGGUUAUGAAUCCCACAAUUUCCAUUCAGUAAUUAGGACGAGCAAAACAAUUCAGAAACAAACAAAGAUUUUUAUGAUCCUGAAACAAUUAGGGUAAUCAAAAGUUUCAAACUGUUCUUACAGUAUUUUUGGUCAAAGCAUCAUGGACUUCCUCAUGAAACCACAAUCAACUACGCUUCCCAGGAUCUUUUGCUGAACUUUCACGAACAAUUUCUCUACCCAUGUCUCGAAGCAAAUCAUGCAUUUGAAGCUUGUUAUUCUUUCCAACUUUGACGAGGCUCCGCUCUAUGAGAACCUCUAUUCCAAUAUCAGCAUAAAGUCCACAGCCAUUUAGUAUAGCAGUAACAUCGGCUCUGUUCUUACCAAUGAAGAAACAACAUAUGUCAAGAAAUAUAUCCCUUUCCAUAUCAUCCUUUAAACCAUCAUAGCUUAUUCUGAGUUUCUCUUGCACUUGAUGAUUGGGAAUUCUCUUCAAUUUUGACAAUACACUUCUCCAUAAUUGUUCUGUUCUUCCUUUCAAGUAAGAUCCAAGGACUUCAAGAGCCAGUGGUAACCCUCCACAGUAAGCAACCACAUUUCUUGAGAGUUCAAUCCAGUCUUCUCGUGGACUUGCUUCUCCAAAAGCAUGCCAACUGAAAAGCUCAAGGGACUCAUCUUCAUCCAUUUCCUCCAUUUUAUAAACAUAGUCAACUUUAAGUAAAUUAAGUAGCCGUACAUCUCUGGUUGUAACAAUUAUAAAACUUCCUUGUCCAAACCAUUCACGAUUUCCACACAGGGCUUUUAAUUGCUCAGAUGUGGUCACAUCAUCAAGUACAACCAGUGCCCUUCUUCCAGAUAGUCUUUUCUUAAUCAUAUUUGUCCCCUCGACAAUGCUAUGUAUCUUCUUCACCUUUGUCUUGGUGAUAUGAUAAAGAAGUUGUUCUUGCAAAUGCAUAUGCCCUCUGCUAUCAUUCUCACAAAGUUCUCUAAUGUUUUCAAUGAAACUUGUACACAUGAAUUUGCGAUGAAUCUGAUUGUAGAUGGCUUUGGCUGUUGUUGUUUUACCCAACCCUCCCAUUCCCCAGAUCCCUACCAUACAAACUUGGCUAGAUUGAUUUUCAAUAAACUCAACCGCUUUGCUUGGUUGACUUUCAAUAUACUCAACUACUUCUUGCACGUGGGACUCUAAUCCAACUGGAAAAUCGGUAAUAGACAAGAUUGUGAUGUCUAGUUUUUUCGAAACGUGCUCUACUAUUUUCUUCACUAGUUCAGAUUCACUCCUUCAAUAAAAAUGUUACAUUAAAAUUGGCAGUUGAUAUUUUCAAACGACCAAAAUAGAAACAUAAGCAAGAAAUUAGAAAGUUACAGACAUUUACCUGAAAUUGGUGACAUCCCAACCAGAUAAAUUUGCAGCUUCGGUUAGGGCACUCCUCCAACUCGACAACGCCAUAAAAUAUGGUAAAGUGGAGAAGCGUAUUUUUUCAGCACUUGCUUCCAAUGCUUUUCCUAAAGCACCCUUCUGAUGACGCACAACUGAAGGGUCAACGCCAUAGAAUAUGGGCAGAACCACAUGGUUUCUAUUUCUAUGGCAUCGCAUGAUUUCGCAAAGCUCGAUGAGACACCAAUGAGAUUCAGUAUAAUUUUCGGAGAAAACAACGAUAGAUAUUCGAGACUUACUAAUUGCUCCAAAUAGGUCUGGUUCCAGCUCCAUUCCCUUGGUUAACUUCUUGUCGGUGAAAGUGAAGACUCCCGCAUUGGAAAGGGCAGCAUAGAGGUGAGAAACCAAACUCUUGCGCGUGUCCUUCCCCCUGAAAUUGAUGAACACGUCGUAGAAAAUAUCCAUGGUAGAAACUUAGAAUAGAAAGCAAAUUACAGAGUAAUGAUGCAUGGCUCAAUCAUACCACUAUUUAUCUUUCGUGCUGGCCCACCUCAGCCGCCUCAGCGUCUUGCAAGUUGCCGAUCACAAUUUAGGAAACCAAUGGAAUUUUUUUAUUCAGAUAAAUGUUAUAUUUUAUUGAAUAGUACUAUUUUGUUUAAUCUUCUUUUCCAUCUCCACUUCAAAUAAUUUCCAAUAUGUAACUUCAUGACUAUUCUUUCUAUUUUCAAUUCUUACGUGGAUUAUAGAGGAAUUAAAAUCCAAAAAAUUAAUUUCUACUCAUCCCCUACGAUCUUCAUCAUUCAUCAUCUAUCAUCUUUGUUCAUCAUCUUCAUCAAAACUCAUAAAACUCUAAACAUAGACCUAAAAUGAACUUAUCCUUUUAUAUUAUUUUCAAAAUAAGGGUGUAUACAAAAAAAUAUAUUUAGAAUGACCUAAACCAAAAGAUCUUAAUUUUAGAGGGACCAAAAACAUAUUUAUAGUAAUAAUUAAUAAACAUCAUGGAAGGGGAGUUCAAAAUGUCAUAUAAUUAGUGGAUACAUGAUAUAUUACAAGAAAACGAAAAGGGAAGCACCCAUGAAGGAUAUAAAACUACUUGGCGGUCAAAUUGCGACUAAUGUUCAUGUCAGGAGUCAGGACAAUGUUUGGUCACAUGUUGCAAGUAGUAUUUUUAAGAAUUAUGGUUGUUUUUUAGCAAUUUGUCCUUUCUUUGGACACUUGUACAUGUAAAACUACCUUUUCAACAGAAGUUUCCAAAAUAUUACUGUACAUGAGAAAAAUGUUACAAGGAUGAAGAGAAUAUAGGAACAAUGUACAACUUCAAAAAGAACUUGCUGAAAAUAUACUAACCUCAAAAAAAUCUUUACUCUUCCAAUUUGGCUAGAAGCAUUCCAGCCUUUAUUCCCACUAUUGAAAUCCUGAUAGUAACCAUUUCAAUCAUACUCGUUAAGUUUUUCAUUAUACCCCUAUUUUCCUCUGUCCAAUCGUCUAUGUCUUGUGAGUGACAACGUUGACAGUUUUAUUGACCUUUCCAUCAUAACCGCCUUCCUUGACCUGAAAAAGAGAACAUAGGAAGUUACUUAGGCAAAGGAAAUAUGGAAACAAUUAAGAAAACUGCUAUGAGUACAAAAAGCAAGGAAACUUCAUGCCUUUUCCCCAUUACUCUGUCAUGAUCUUUUGGGUUCGCAGAGAAAUCAUUGCCCCUUCAACAGCCUAAAAUCUGGAUUAAAAAUAAAAUAGGGAGUUAAAAUUGAUACUUAAAAGUUGUUAGAACUGCCACCCAUGCAAAAAAGGCAUAAAGGUAAACAUCCAGCAAGGCGAAUAACUCCAAGUAAAACAUGUACAACAGGUUAGUUCAUUGUCAAUACUCAAUACACUAAAAUUUGACAUUUCAUACUUGUAACCAAUAUUGCUCGCAAAGCAUACUUCUGCCUGCAGCAGUUCUUGCACUGCUGCAACUUUCCAUCUGCUAAUUCUUCUUCAGCAGCAUCAAUAUCCAACAUUAGCCCGUCAAUCUACAUUGAGCCCAAGAUGAUAUUUAGUGAUAGUGAAAUAUUAACAAUGAAAUGUCCCUCACAAAUUACCCCAAAGUGUUAAGGCUACGCAAUAAAUUCUACGUUCUACAACAGAUAAAUAUCGAAUAAGACAACCAUCAAUGGUUAAAGGACUAGAUGAAAGUAAACUCGCCAAACAUUAUAUGCUUACAUUUUCAUUUGUCACUCUCUGCUCCUUCAUUUAUCAAACUUCAAAUUAGACAAAUAGAAAAUAACUGAGCAUUUGAAUCUAAUGUUAAGAACCUUAAUUCAUCCACAAUAUGCUUCAGUUCAAUGAUCUCAAGCUGAGAUGCCUUAACAACACCCUCCAGAGCACCAGACUGCAUAUAGUGCAUGCAUAAAGAACUCUAAGCAAUUAUCAACAUAAAAACUUAGAGUUGAUGAGUAUUAUACAAUAACAACAUCCUUAACAACAUCGUCCAGGCCACUGUUUAUGAGCAUUAUACAAUAAAAUAAUUUAUAUACUACUACAUGAUAUACUAAUUUCAACUGCAUAUAAGGCUACCUAUGGUAGCUUACCCUUUUAACUAAGAUAACCACCCAUCCAAGCCCAAAAUCUUCUUCACGACUUGAGAUUUUGGAACAGAUGGUGCUGCUUGCCAGUCCAUGUUUAGUCCUUGUGCUCCAGCAAACCUCUGCUGUAUGAUGAUCUUAACCAAUCAGUAAAAGGAACUAGAGCUUCACCAAGUGCAAAAACUCCUCCUCCGUAGCACUAAACGCAUUUUCUUAUCACAAACCCCCUUGCUCAGUGGCAAAUUCUACAAAUCAAAACAACAACAAGUGAGCAGCUACAUGAACAACAAACAUAAACAUUCAACUAAUAAUAGAAAUGCACCCAAAGAAAAUGAGAAGUUGGGGAGAUUAGUAUUACUGACAGUGCAAGUAAGGAAGAGAUGGCCUUCGUAGAUGCCAAGUAGGUGGCAGAGGGGGGUGAAGGAUCUGGCUCUGAUCCUCGAGGCUGAAAUUGGCUUGACCGGAGGCGUUAGGCUUUAGUUCUGUGUGGCAGAGGAGUUCAAGCCUUUAAAUAAAGUGAGAAAUUUCAAAGAGUCCCGAACAUCGUUGUGGCCGGUGAGGUUAAGGCUCUCCUUCUUGCAUACGGAAGUGUCAAACCCCCCUCAAACCAACGGACUCAAACCAUGAAUGCCACCUCGAUCACUGAAACCCCAAGCCUCGACCUCCAUUGCUGAACGUCAACCCCACUGCUGCCCAUCUUAGCCUUGUCAACCAAAACCCCCACCAAGGUAUGAACACACUUCCAAACCUCUCGCCAUGUCGCGUUUGCCCCAUCACAACUGUUAAUAAAAAUCCUUAUUUUGUACCUUUGCGCCGACGCUAAUUUGGACUCUAAAUCAAGUCUUUCUUCCAAUGUAAGCUUCAGGUGUGUUCCGGUGUUUUGCAUUGGUAACAACGGACUUGAGUCUAUAUAGUUUUGGACUCCCUCAUCCUUCACUAACUAAAACAAUGUGGAACUUGCAUGUUGCAAUCAAACGCAAAUACUUAACAAUUUAAAUUAUAUGACGGUUCAUGAUAAUGAUUCCUCAUAAGGCUCUUACUUAUUGUACAAAUAUAAUAUAAAAUCAUUUAUGUAUAUUCACUUAAGAACUAAACUUCUGAAAUAAUUGGUUUAUGACAGUUACACAUCACAAUUUUCUUUAUGAAUCUUACAAAGGAAUUUUUCUUAGGCUCUUUCCUUAGCUGCAGAGAAGGAACCUUUUCCAUGCUAUUUUUUGAUCCAAGACCACAUGCAUUCUCCAAAGAAUGCAAUCUUACUUGAGUUGAGUAGGGCCAUAUAUCGGAAGCCAUUUCCAUGUCAGUUGAUUCAUCAUAUAUCAGAUAAACAACUAUCUUCUUAGCAGCCCAUUCAUGACCAGAAGUUACAAAAAUCUCCACUUUAUCACCCGAUCCUAGAUGAGAUAGUAUUCCCUGCCAAUCUUCCUCAUUAAAGGUCACUGUUGUGUUUCGUUUGUAUAUUUGGAUGCUACACUUUGUGUAAUUGACAAUCAAGACACUAAUAAGACAUUCAACUACUGUGUUUCUAGGAGUUGAUGAAUAAACAACACACAAAGUCAUUCCCUUCAUGUGACAAUGAAUAUCUUGAGGAACUGUGAAGAGCACUGAAUUUCCUUCACCUGUAUAAGUCAACCAAUGUGGAUAAGAGUCGCCCAGCAGAGGAAAAUCAUCUAACCCAUUGGUUGUCAAUUCCUGUAACAUAAACCAAAAAGCAAAGUCAAUUGUGUAAAAAUUGUAUGUUUUUAGUUCACGAAAAUAUGGCAUUCAUAAAUGUGAAGGAUAGAAAAGGAACCUGUGAUAUGCUCAUGCAAAGAGUAUCUAUGACCAUGUUGCAACUUCCCAUUACAAUGAAAAGCGAUCUCAAGGAAAGAUCUAAGGCUGAUGCAAUUGAUGUACUUUCCAAUUCAAUGACAUUUACAUCAUGUUGAUCAUCAAGAAAUCUUCUUAAUUCUUGAGUUAGUUGAAUCCCCGAGUCAUAUUGUAAACAAACACUUCUAAGUUCCGAAAGGCUGCUAAUAAAAGGAGAUAGGUAGCUCAAAAUAUUAUUCUGUACAUCCAUGGAAACUAGAGACAAAGACAAGCCCCCAAAUGUUGGAGUACGCACGCCAUUUGUUGUUGGUGACAUCCAAGACCAAAUGAGGGAGGGAAAAACAUCACGUGCUAAUCCUUCAUAUCCACACAGGGAUAUGUAUCCAAUGCUUUUUGAUCUUACUAUUGAAUAGGGAAUCUCUUCUAUUGCUGUGUCUUUUGCUAUCAAUGUUGUCAAGGAUUCCAUUUGCACUAUAUCUUCUUCCAGUUUGUCAAUCUUCGAACAACCCGAAAGGAUGAGAGUUUUCAAAGAUUUCAACUGAUAAAUCUUCUUUGGGAGAUUGCUAAGGCUUGCACAGUCCUUCAAGUUUAUUAGAAGAAGAUUACUGAGAUCUCCAAUGGACUCGUGUACCUCUCUCAAACUUGGACAAUCCUUCAGAAUGAGCUUUUCUAGAUUCGGAAGCCUUGAAAAGUCAGGGGUUUUUUUCAAGUACCUAGAAUGACUGAGAUUGAGAAUUUUCAGCUUCUCCAGCAACUGCAAGUAAUGUUUAAAAUAAAAAUUAGGGAAGAAAAUGGGUAAAAAAGUUGGCUACAAGUGCAGAUGUCAAUAAAAUUUUGACUUUUAAAAUUAAAUGUUAAUACUAUACCUUGGUUUCCUUCCAAACUUGUUUUAUAUUGCUGUAUUUUAAGUCAAUAACAACUAGAUUUCCUUGAUAAAGGUCAUCAGGUAUAGAUUUUAAGGUAAAUCCUUGCCAAUAGACCCAUUUUAAUUCUUUUGAAAGAUAUGCAUGAUCUCCUGAGAGGUCAACAUGAUCAAGUUGUAAAAGUCUCAGUUUCUUCAUCUCCUUGAAAGCAUCAGUACUGAAGCAAACUCUUUCUGUUGUUUGCAACUUCAAAACCAAUCCCUCAACCUUUUCUGUUCCCUGAAUGUAAAGCAAAACAGACAGAAAAGUAAGGGAAACCUUCUACCUCUCCUUGUUAAAAAGUUAUACAUAAAGCUAAAGAGGCGUAAGUAGCACGGCUCUGCUUCUAAUAAACAUGACAGAUAAAAAUCUUUUGUCCCCAAACUGUGUCUCUUUCUGUAUUCCACCAAUAAAAUUUUGAUAUGUCAAAUAUAAACCGUCAUGUAAGUUUGUAACUAUCCCUCCCAUAUCUUUUUCAAUUUACAUGGCAAGUUUUCACUAGGGGAAUAUAUAAUUGGAAUGCCGAUUAGGGAUAUAUGAUCUUGAUCUGAACAUAUGACCAGGCAAACAUACUCUCAUGUUCCCAACAAUUUUUAGUCAAUAGUUAUAAGAGCAAAACAAUUCAGAAACAGCGUCACAUGAUGAUGAUAAGAUUACAGAGGUCAAUCAAAGGUUUCAAAUAUAUAUAGAGAAAGUUCUUACAGUAUUUUUUGUCAAAACAUCAUGCACCUCCUCAUGAAACCACAAUCGACUACGUUUCCCAGGCUCUUUUUCUGAACUUUCACGGACAAUUUCUCUUCCCAUGUCUCGCAGCAAGUUAUGCAUUCGAAGCUUGUUUUUCUUGUCAACUUUAACUAGGCUCCUCUCAGUGAGAACCGUUAUUCAUCAGCAUAAAGUCCACAUGCAUUUAGUAUCUCUGUCACAUAGGCUCUGUCCUUACCUAUAAAGAAACAACAUAUAUCAAGAAAAAUUUCCUUUUCCAAAUGAUCCCUUAAACCAUCAUAGCUUAUUCUGAGUUUCUCCUGCACUUGAUCAUUGGGAAUUCUCUCCAGUUUUGAUAGCACACUUCUCCAUUCUUGUUCUGUCCUUUCAUUCAAGUAAGAUCCAAGGACUUCAAGAGCGAGUGGUAACCCUCCACAGUAAGCAACCACGUUUCUUGAGAGUUCAAUCAAGUCUUCUCUUGGACUUGCUUCUCCAAAAGCAUGCCAACUGAAAAGCUCAAGGGACUCAUCUUCAUCCAUUUCCUUCAUUCUGUACACAUAGUCAGCUUUAAGCGAAUUAAGUAACCGUACAUCUCUAGUUGUAACAACUAUUACACUUCCCGAUCCAAACCAUUCUCGAUUUCCACACAAGGCUUUCAACUGCUUAGAUGUGGUAACAUCAUCUAGUAUGAUUAGAGCCCUUUUCGACUUGAGUCUUUUCUCGAUAAUAGCUGUCCCCAUGGAAAUGCUAUGCAUCUUCUCCUUUGUUUUCAGGACAUCAGAGAGAAGUUGUUCUUGUAAAUGAAUAAGUCCUCUGGUACUGUCGCUUUCACAAACUUCUCUAAUGUUUUCAAUGAAACUUCUACACAUGAAGUUGCGAUGGAUUUGAUUGAAGAUGGAUUUGGCUGUGGUUGUCUUACCUGACCCUCCCAUCCCCCAGAUCCCUACCAUACGAACUAUGCUUGUUUGGUUCUCAACCAGCCUAGUAACUUCUUGCACACGGGAUUCCAAUCCAACUGGGAAUUCAGUAAUAGACAAGAAUGUGUAGUCUAGUUUUGUCCAAACGUCCUCAACAAUUCUCUUUACUAGUUCACCUUCAUUCCUUCAUUAUGUAACAAUUAUUAAACACACAGAAUCCGCAAAGAUUAUUGAAGAUAAUAAGUUCGCACAAAAUAAGCUCAAAUAAACUUCUAUUUCAAACACUAAGGGUCUUUUUGUGAGUUGAGAUUUGGAGGGGAGAAAAGGGGAGUGGAAGGUAUUUAAAAGAUAGGAAGGGUUUGAGAAAUUUCUAAAACCUUCCAUUCAGCUAUUUCAUGCAAACUAUCUGUUUUACGGUAUAAAAAAAAUGAAACCAAUAUCUGGCCUGUACUCUAAUGCAACAGAUAAAAUCAAAACUCUUACUUUAGCAACAAGAACUCGAGUAAUAUUAGUUAAGAGAGUUACAUUAGACCAACAAUCUGCUUAAUCUUCACUCCAGUUCCAUAUAGAUUUAAUCUUGCAUGCGGAACAGUGUGUCAAACAAACAAAUGAACAAUGAAUGGGAUUUGAACCCAUAAUGAUGGGAACAACAGAGUUCAGAAAAGGACUUUGACUUGUAGAAUAAGGAGAUCAAACCAAAUUGAAUGUCUUUGAAACCACCCUAAGGUUGUCCUAACAAUUGUUCUAGUACAAACACAACAAUGAUGAUUUCAGCUUCUCUUUGAAUCAGAUAACAUUUUAUCACCUAAUCAAAACACCACAUUCUUUCACUUGUUUAUAAAUAGACCACCAUUUUGUCCCCUUUAACAUGGGUGUUUCCCUUCUUUCAUCACUUAAUAUCCAAGUGUUCUUUUAGUAAAUGAUUAAUUUUUGUAUAUUUGAGCUUGCACUGGCUAGCAGAGAAACUCUAGAUGUGUUAUGAAUUCCUUCAAAUUAGGGGGUUUUGUGGGCUUUUGUGGCAGUGGACAUGUGCAUUAUCUGCUCUUCAAGUCCAAACGGGUAAGCUCAAAUGAGCUCUUGUGUGAGGACGGUGUUAAAAAUAAUACUCCCUCCGUCCCUUAUUAUAAGACUCAUUACUGUCUGACAAUAAAGGGUCUUAUAAUAGGGGACGGAUGAAGUAGUGUAAAUCAUUCAGGUAACCGUUACCCAAUAGCUUAAGCUUAACUUUUUGGGAUAAUUUAUUCAUUGACUCAAAGAGAGUUUACCUUCUCUUCUUCCCCUCCACUCUCCUAAGAACUCACAUAUAAAGCCUAAAGUGAUCCAAGAAAACAGAACAUGUUUCAAAUUUUAUAUUACCUGUACUUGGUGACAUCCCAGCCAGUUAAAUUUGCAGCUUCAGUGAGUGCAGUCUUCCAAGAAGACCGCACAUAUUUCAACCCUGACCCUGAACACCUUUUCCGCACGAGUGUUUCCAAAGCUUCUCCAAAAGCACCCUUCUGAUGACGCACAACCGAGGGUUCAACGUCGUAAAACACAGGAACAACCACCUGCCCAUGAACCCUGUGACAUUCCAUGAUGGUUUCGAGCUCGUUAAGGCACCAGCAUGAUUCAGUGUAGCUUUUGGAGAAAACAACCACUGACAUGUGAGAGGUUUCGAUUGCUCGCAGGAUUUCAGGUUGCAGCUCCGUUCCCUUGGCAAGCUCUUGGUCGAGGAAAGUGUUGAUGCCGGCGUUUGAGAGUGCGGCGUAGAGAUGAGAGACGAAGCUGGUGCGAGUGUCGGAGCCUCUGAAGUUGAGGAACACGUCGUAGGCCCAUUGGGGAUUGGAGGAGGAUGAAGAAGACGCCAUUGAUUCGGUUUCGAUGAAAGGAAGGACUAAACUGAAGUCAAUGCUUGAUGCUGCAAGAGACAAGGCAAUAACGCAAACAUACAGAGCAAUGGGACAGAGAGUUUGACUAUUGUUGCAUUGAUUACGACUUAGCAAGCAAGUGCUAGUUAACUAAUGAAUAUCCUUGAGUUGAUAAUGCAUUUUCACCUAAUGAUGUUGAGUCUUGAGUGGUAUAUAUAUGAGAUGUUAGAGGAAAUGUAACCAGAAAAAUGUGUGAAAAAUGAGACGAUAAAAAAAAUGAAGUGUGAAUGAAUUAUUAUUGUUUUUUCUCAUCACAUCUUUCACUUCUGUCUUUUAUUCAUUUCUCUCUUUAAACGUGUGUGGUGUGAAAAAAAACUCUCUUGAUCAAUUUGUGAAAGGAAAUUGCUGAUAUUAUUGGGUUUGCCUAAUCAAUAAAAAAACACUUUGUAUAACCUAGAACAAGGUGAGUUGAAGUGUUGAACCCUUACCUGGUAUAAACAUUUUUCUGAAAAAUAAAAAAAUUUCACGCUUUUGUCUACCAAGGUUUCCAGGUGUUUACUAAGCUCAUUUAUGUAUUAAUAUUUGGACAUGUGACAAAAGGUCCUCUUUCAAUUCUCCCCGAAACCAUCUUCCCUCCGCUUCAGCCACCACUCAUCGUCAUUAAUCUGGUGCCAAAGCCUAUGGCACCUCCUCACGAGUACAACACGUAAUCAAAAUACCAGGUAACCCCAUUGUGGGCAAAAUACCCAUGCAAGGCUACACAGUUUUUUUAUUUUAUUUUCAGACUUUAACUUCAAAUAUGAUUCAAUAUCAACUCUUGCAUCAUAAGGCGUAAUAUUACUCUUUGUGAAAUUGGUCUUAACAUAAAUUUACUCACUAAUGCACCUCUCAAAAUUAACCCUUUUUUUGAUACUUGUUAACAGAAUAUUUUCUUUAACUUAAUUUUAAUGAGUUACAGAAAAUAUUCUAAUAAGAGUGAAAUAACACUGUAGUUCUUUAAAUAUGUUGUAGAAGAAAAUAUUUAAAACUUGGAAAUUUAACAAUGUACUCUUCAAUACAUAGGUAACUAACUCAUAUCGCACACAAACAUGGAAACAUAUAUCAAUUAUAAGAGUAAAAUACACUCACCCCCCUCAAGAUUUGCAAGAAUGACACUCCACCCCAUUCUUUUUAAAAAUCUACACUCCACCCCAUUUUUUAUAAAGGCAAAAUUUAGUGACGAAAACAAAUUCGUCACUACUAAAAACUAAUUACUAAUUAGUAAAAAUUUAAAUAAAUUUAAUGCAUAUACACUCUCAUACAUUAAUUUAUGAAAAUAAUUUUACUGAAUUAAAUUUAAAAAAACCAUCCACUCUGUCUGUUAAGUCCACGUCCAAUCUAUCUUCAAAUCAUAUUUCUCACCACAAACGGCCACCACCAAGCCUUUACUCCCUUUAACACGGCUUCACUGUCCCACAAUGUGAAACCCCAUGGCACCACCAUGCCUCAAAGUUUUAUUGCGACGUGAACCCCAGAACGUGAAUCGCACAUCCCUAAAGCCACUUGUUCAACUACUUCUUGUGAAUUUCACCCCUUUAAGUUGUGAGCGAACGCUCUGUUGGUCUAAGAUAUUGUUGGAUUUUGUUAAAAACGAUGCUUCACCGCCUCGUUGGGCUCUAAUAACCUCAGAUCCACUUCAUAUUUUCAUAAUUUUGUUUCUCUAUUUUCUUCACCCAUUUGUGUUGCUUUUUUGGCCUACAACCCAAUUUUGAAAAUUGGAGGUAUAAAGAGAUUAUUUUGAUUAAAAUUGAAUUAUUACCAAAUAUGAAAACACAAGCAUGUUUCACUAUGCUCGAGAUAUGGUUUGUAAAUCGGGCAGGUGUGUUAUUGCAUAAUUUGCAUUGUGAAUUUACGGAGGAAAAACGUGAUUGAGAGAAUGAGGAGGAUUGUGAUGUUUUCAUUUUUAAAUUUAUUGGAUUUAUUGGAUUAUAUUGAUUUUUUGUUUUUGAAAUUAUUGAUUAACAAUUUAAAUAAUAACUAAUUAUUAAUGAAGAAUAUUUUUCGUCACUAAACUUUCCUCUAUAUAAAAUGGGGUGGGAUGUAGAUUUUAGAUAAGAAUGGGGUGGAGUGUAAUUCUAACAAACCUCAAGGGGGGUGAGUGUACUUUACUCCAAUUAUAAAAAAUAAGAAUGUGACAAUUUAUGAAUAGCUUUACAAUCCAUGAAACAACCACGACAUCUCUUAUAAGCAUUUAUCUGGUUGUUUCAUACGAGUUAUUUUUGUUAUACAUAGGAGGAUAACAUGUUUUUAUAUGGGGUUAUCACUUGAAGGAUAACAUGUUUUUUUAAUUUUUGUUAUACAUAGAAGGAUGCAAGGCAUGACUUAGACAAUAAUCACAAUUACUUCAUUACACUAUAACAGGUUGGAGACAAUCUCAUACAUCAACACACAUCUCUGUCAAACCAUUCUUGAUAUAAGUCACAAAACAAAAAUUACCAGUGAUGACUUCCGUAAUAGAAUCAAGGAAAAACACGUUUGCUUACAAGCAAGUGAGAUGUUAUUGUUACACAGUACCAAUUACAAUUGCAAGACAUUUAUUCAAAUUUCUUAAUGAGUGAUAGGUCAUUUAACAUUUUCUCAAUUGCUUCAUCAUCCUGAGCCCGUCCUCUUGUCUGCAGGUAAAAAAAAUUACCAAACAUUUAUCGUCCAAAUAGUGCGUAAAAUGUAACAUGCUAAAAAUCAGAACCAACAUGUGAAACAAGAAAUCGACAAGCAUAGGAUUUUAAUUGUAUUGAUGUGCUGUGAUUAUAAACCAACAGAGGAAGGUCUAAUUCAGUUGGAUAACACAUACACACCCAAAAAGGAAGGCUUAUCAAUUAAGGGAAAAUAUCUCUAGAGUAAAGUCCAACGUGGCAAAUAACUGAAGCGUGUGAGGGCUUAGUAAAUGACGAGAACAAUGUGACCGACGCCUCGUCUAUGGACGGAGGAUAAACGAAGAUAUUUUUUUCUGAGAUGCCAUUAAGAGGAAGAAAGUGAGGGAUAUCUAGUCAACUAAACCAAAUCUUUCAGCAAUCAGCAUUUACCUUUGUUAGCUCUGUAAUUGAGGGACUUUAUCAAAACUAAAUAACCAUAAUGCCUUAUGGGAGUUUUUUGUUUGCGAAGAUAGAAUUAUACAAACUACGGACAUAAAGCUUAACAAAUAGCUUCUGCCCCGAGAGCAGAAGACUCUUUGGUUGUAAAAUGAGUGAAUCCGCUUAUUCAAUGUGGAUUUCUUAAGAAUUAAUUUAUGGAAUGAAACAACUCAAAAUAUGUGUCUAGCUUAUUGAUACGUUUCACAAAACACCAAAUGAUUUCUUUUUUCCUUUGUACUCAACAAUGACCCAAGAUUAAAAUAUUUUCCCACUAGGUGGAGUUAGCUGAAUAGAUCAAAUGACGAGGUAGAUAACUCCAUUUGUUGACUGGAAUAGUUUGUUAGGAAGUUAGUAGAGAGAUUGAGAUGAUGGUAGGUUAAAAAUAAUAGAAGGAGAAGGAUGGGGAGUUUACCUCGAAUAGGAAAGGAAAAUGGGGAGGGAUGGUUUUCUCGUGAAUAUUAAGGUGUAAUAGAGAUUUUCUAUCAAUAAACACUUCUGUGUUCUGAUUCAGUAUCUUAAAAAUGGUAUUAGAGCUCCAUAUAUCCAGAGAGCAAUACAAGGUUCAGUUUAGAAAUACUGGAGAGAAGCCAUUUUCAGAUCAUUAGAAGCAAUAGAGAAUCAGUGAUCAAUGGAAAAGAUAAGUAUGGUUGCCUAAUCAUAGUGGUGCCACAGUUAGACAUCAAGAAAAUACUGGACAAGAAGAAGCUCAAAACAAAUUUCAAAGGAAGAAAAUUCUAAGCCUUUCCCUUACUUGAUAAUAGGGAGGGGAUGGCGCAAACAAACAUGAUAUAGGUUGUGGAUUCUUAAAGGCACUUGUCAAACAAUUUCAGUGAAGGUAUGACUUUGGUCGUCUAUCAUAGGUUUCAGAGGAAGAAAUGAAACCAGAACAAGCACUACACAAGGACAAAGUGGUGGGCGGAAACCAUCAUAUUGAACAAGAGAAGAAAAGCAUCAUAAUAAGGAACAUGUGGUGGGCGGGUAUGAAUGGGGAUGGUGAACGAUCUGUAAAUAAUGAACAAGCAUGGGAAGAGGUACCCAUAAAUGGCCCGAAACUUUGGGGUUUUCACCAUUUAAGUCAGCCCACCACCAUUUAAGUCAGUCACCAAAAACUCCCUUCCUCCCACACAACCUCACGCGCGCACACGAAAAAUAAGGAAAAAUCUACACAAAGGAGAAGAGAAUUAUAUCUACCUUGAUAGAUGGAACCAUAGCAAUAGCUUCCUCCACAGUUUCCGGGCAAAGAUUGCCUAGGACACACAGCUGCAGUAAAUCCAUUAAACCGAUAGUUAUAUAUUGUAUUGUGUAAAAUGAGAACUUGCUCACUUUUUUUUCUGAAUUAAAUGUGAAAACUUGUUUCCUAAACAGAGUUCAUGAAGGAAAUCGGAAUAUUACCUCAAACUCGGCCAAUUGGUAUCUGGCAAGAAUUCUUUAUGACAGUUAAGAUCACAAUUCUGAUACAAGGAUUUAAACUUCAAUGUAUACUUAUUAUUCCCUUUCAUGAAAAAUGGAAUUAACAUAGACCAACUAUCUCAGAUGUACUAACUUAGAUACAUGUCAAUAGACAAAAGAAAAUUAGGCCAAUUAUAACUAUGAAAGAACAUGAAAUGGACACCAGCAAAUCUUGAUUGAAAUAUAUAUAAGGAAAAGUAGAAAUAGAAAAUGAAUCAUCAUCUCAGUUUGCAGGAUACUCUCGGACUUGUCUAACAGCAUCAGGAUUUUUAUACCGGCUAAACCGUUUCACAUACUGCAAUGACUUUUCAAAUACCCUGCAAAAAGAGGGAAGAUAUCAAUACAAUAUAAGGUGCUAAUCAUGGUUAGCGACUUUGUUCCUUUCCAUCUCAAUCAAUGUCAAAUCUAAUAUUGGAUCAAUGUGAACUGGGAUUGGGAAGUUUUAAGAAUACUAUCACAGUUAAAGGACACCACAGUAGAACACUUUUUUCAGCAAUUAUAUCAAUAGACAAAGACCUUGGAAGCAUUAAGAAACCAGAUUAUAUAUUUUAUUAAGGUAAAAGCUCAUUGUUCUCAAGCCAUAAAAAAUGUAUUUUUGACUUUUAUGUCAAAAUAACACAAAAACAUGAUAAAGGAAUUAACUCACUGAGAAACUUGAUUCAUGGGAUCAUCAGAUGACUGUUGAAGCUGCUCAUACUUGUGCUCAAGAAUCAAUGAAACUUCACAAUUCAUCAAGCACUUUGCCUUCAAAAACUCUAAAAAAAUCUAGAGUUUAGAGUGAAAUCAAAAGGUGAUAGCAAUUAUACCAAACUAAAAACAUGCUCAAGCAAUCCAACAUGAUGUAACACAAUAGAAUCAUCUAUCAAACCAAUAGAACCGAUCAGUUCGUUAUCUGCAAGGUGGAAGGUGUGCAACUGUGCAUGAUGCUAGCUCACAACAAUUCAGGCAACUGGGCUCUAUUUUGAUUUUAUUCACUCCUUUUUAAUAUCUCACAGGUUCGACUUUUAUGAUUUAUUUAUGUCAUUUGUGGCUUUUUAGUAUUAAUUUUGAAUAUCAUGAAUUUUAAGUAGUCUUACGUAUUUUUAAGCAUUUAAGUAUUAUAUAGCAUAUAUUGCAUAAAAUUUAUAAAAAAAAAAUCAGCGUAGCGACCAUCCCAGUCCCACUAUGCGACAGGAUUGACAGCACUGAUUUAAAUCUCAAAAAGAAACACCAAAGCUGAAAGUUAGAAACAAUGUAAACUGAAGUUUAAUUUUUAGAGAUUUCAGAUGAAAAUACAUAUUACUUUACUUCCUGGAAUAUCUAAGAUUCUAAGUCUCUGAAUCUUAACUGCUUCCUUACUUUACCCAACUAUAAUAUUCAAAUCUUUUCAAGGUUAGACUUUACCUAACAGUUGAACCUUCACUCCAGUGCAUAUGUUAUAACUAGAUAUGCAACUGAGAGCAAGUAGAAGAGAAAUAGACAUACUUUAACAAGAUUUUACCUAAAGUGAGUUGUACGCCAAAAUUUACAACAAUUUAUGAAGAUCACAAGUGAAAGCUCUACGCUAAACCUUAAAACCAAUACACCCAAAUUGUAGGUCCGAGCCUCCAUUCAUCUCCUAGGGGUGAGGUAAAUGCAAGUCCUGAGUAAGUAUUUUUUGAACCCAAAGGCUUCCCCAACCUUGGACCAUGGCAUCAUCCAGUCACCCUAAAAUUUCUUAUCUCACCAAAAAAGAAAAAACAAUACACCGAAACAUUGAAUGUGAAAUUCGAAGUAUUGACCUAUUGUCCCGGUCCUUAAACUUCCAACACAAUCACAAAAAUUCUUUGUCAAGCAAUGUGAUAAAUGUAAGGUAAAGGAACAUAUCCAGUCAAUCCCAAAGCUUAUUGGUGCAACAUGCAUUAGUGAUGCAAUCUGCAAUCCAUCCAUCCUUCUGUUUUGAUGUAAGUAACAUAACAUCCACCAGCUAAUGAUGCAGCUUGUCACACCAAGUACAUUAACUAUGCUUUUAACAGCACACAUGACACAAUUAAAGCAUUUAGCAAGAGACCAUAGUAAAAAAAAUCAUAUACAUGUUACUAACCCUAUGUUUCCUUAUCAAACACUCCCAAAUUCAUAUAGAAUUAUAAAUAAAUAAAAAUUGAAACGAAGCCUUGACAAAAAAACCAGUUACCACUCUACCAUGUAACAACAUUGGGAUUGAUGCUUGAAAAGAGAGUGAGCGAGAAUGAAAUUACCGUCUCCGAUUUUGAGUUCUGCGGCGUUUUCUUCCUCUUCCCCAGACAUGUUUCAGAGAACAGAAUCGAAUUGAAUCCAAAGAGAGAAGCAAAUCAGAAAAACGGAUUCAUAAGAUGUUAAACAACACAGCUUUGGACCAGAACAUGGACUUGGUUAACGACUUGCCUUUGGGCCUUGGUCCGGCAUUCAUGUCAAACAACUAGCAUGAAACCCAUUUUUUUAAUAAUGUAAAAAAUGCUAUUUACAAAAAAAAAAUUCAAAAGUUUUUUUAAAAGUCUAUUUAGUUUCCGAUGGAGAAAAAAAAAAGAAAUGUGAGAUUAUAUAACAAGUUUUUAAAUAUGCUAGUUUUUAUAUAGGCUACCAGGCAGACCAAAUUUUCAAAAGGUCCAGACUCGAGUCUUAAUUUUUUUUGGUAGAUCAAACCUAUUUAAGCAAAGUCUAACCUAACCUAUUUCCAUCUUUAAUGACAUUGUUUGUGUUUUCACAUAGUUUUAUUAAGUCAAUUAGUUGGGCUUGGUUAAUUUUUUUGUUAUAUCAGAAAGAUAAAUUGCAUCAUUCAUGGAUUGAUUCCUAGACCUACCUCACCCAACCUACAUGUCUCCUGGCUCUUAUCACUUGAGCUAUCAUUCGGGGACGUUGGACUCUGUUAUUAUAUAUAACUUCACAAAAUUAAAGGAAAAAGGGCUAUUAUUAAAAAUUGUGGAAAAAUCUAUUUUAAUCAUUAGAGUUAACAAACCUCCUCAGCAAAGAAAAAUAAAAUCUCCACAGAAAAAUUAUUUUAAGGUAGAUUUAACAGAUAAAAUAUAACAUUGAAAUGUGUUGAAUGAAUCAGAAUCGCAAAAGUCAUUGAUUCUGGUCUUUCUUUAUUUUAUACUUGAGGCACUCAACAACUGCAUGGCUUUUACAAUGUGAACAAACAUGCUAACUAUAGAGAAAUUGAAAAACACAAUAUAAUUCAGAAACUUAACUAAGCAUAUGGCUGUUAUCACUCAGCAUAUGCACAUGCGUGAGUAACAUCAAACCUAUGCGUAGCCUUAAAAUGAGCCAUUGUUACUUAUUAACUAAGUAACUAAGCUAAGAUAGUCAUGACAUAACUAUCUUUUAUUUGGGGGUUUCUCCAUCAAUUUAUCAAAUAUUUGGUGAUCCUUCAUAUGAUCAAGAUUCAUUUAAAUUCAUUAGUACUGUAGAGCUCUGCAGCCAAUCUUGGUUUUGCCACAACACAAAGUGGCUUAGCCAUAAACAGGUCAUCACUGGACUGGGUAAGAUCGAUGCUUGAUACGUUGGGUGGUGCACUCCAGCUGAAGCCAUGAAGCAUCCUAGCAAAUAGCAUUAUAGUCAUUGUGGUACCAAGUGUUACACCAGGACAACUACGUCUUCCUGUGGUAAAGGAAAUGAACCUCAAAUCUGGCUCUGUCAAAACCACAUCAAUACCCUCCUUGAGAUGGCGUUCCGGGUUGAACUUGAGGGGAUCAGUCCAGAAUUUUGGGUUUCUACCAAGAGCAACUCUACUUAGUAGUACUUGAGUUCCUUUUGGGAACAAGUAGUCACCGACCAUUGUGUCAUUCAUGCAAAGAUGGGGAACAUUGAAAUACUCCAUGGGGUGAAGUCGAAGAGCUUCUCUUGCGCAAGCUUUAACAAAUUGGAGCUUAGGAAUAUCUGAUUCUUGGACAAGCCUCUCUUUGCCAACUACAUUGUCCAAUUCUUCAGUGGCUCGUUUGAGCAACUCAGGUUGGUUUAGCAUUUCUGCUAGUGCCCAUUCAAAAGCAUUUGAUGGAUUGUCCACCAUUUCAAUCGCCAAUUCCUGCAAGAAAAAAUUGGUUUUCAAGUUUCUCAUACAGGCUUAAAAGCCGUAACAGGUUGCAUGCCAUUACUAAAAAAAAUGUUAAGAAUAAUACAUAGAAUAGCAGAGCAUAUGUGUGGAUUAUUUUCAUAUUUAGUUUUCUAAUUUCAGGGAACACACAUGAUGCAUUUUUUCUUACUAGGAUUUUUUCUAAUAAGGUUUUAAUGAUGCAUUUUUUCUAGUGUCUCUCUUUCUUGGUUGUGGGGUCUUUUUAGAUACUUGCAAUUUUCAUUAUCUAUAAAAAAAUGAUAAAAAAAAAGUGUUAAAAAUAGUGUUGCGCAAUAUUCUUGUAAUAUUGUACGUAUGUACGUACCAUAACUAUUUUCUGAAUUAAAAAAAUAUUUUUAACGUCAAUAACAACAUGCGACAAAUAUAUUUGAAAAGUGUACUAAGUAAGCAAAAAUAAUGCAUGCGGAGGAAAAUUAAAGGAAACAAUUAAGUAUAUAUUACUGUAAUUUGCGCCUUGAUUUCCUUCAAUGUGAGUAAUGGUUUAUUGCUGGCAUCUUUGAGUUUGAUCAACACGUCCAGUAAGUCUUCUUCAACGGUCUUCAAGCCAUCAUUCCACUGUUUGAUUCUAUCAUGAAUAAUGGGAUCAUGAUACUUCUUCAUGAUCCCCAUAGCUUUCAUGAUUUUGCUCCUAUGGCCAUCCAAGUCAAGUCUCCUCAAGAAUGGAAUAAAAUCAGAAAUGGAAAAGGCAUAAACAUAUUUAAGUAUUGUGAAAGUAGCAUUUAUAUGCUCAACUUCCUCAAAACCUGGCCCUCCAUCCUCCAUUACCUUCCCAAAGUACCUUGUAUUAAAAAUCAAUUUCCUGAACACAUUACCACCAUAAUGUUGCGCCGCAAUCCUAAUAUUCACAAGGCCAGGACCAUCAUUCACAUCUUUGCAACACUUGUUGUAGAUGUAAAACAUAAGGUUAUCAGCUUCUUCAUUCCUUUUACCUAGAAGCCAUUGAUGCUUUUGAGGGGAAAGCAAGUUGUUGACCAACACUCUCUUCAUCUUCUUCCAUUGUUCCCCAUAGGGUACAAGAACCGUGGUUAAGAAACCAUCGCUGGCUAUAUCAGUGGACAUGAUUUUUGGCCUCGAUGCAAAAGAAGCAUCGUGUUUUUUCAAGAAUUCACAGGCAAUGGUGGGGCACGUCACAGGGAUAACAAUGGUAUUUGCUAGGCGGAUACACGCUAUUUCAGUGUUCAUUUCUUUCAUCAGCUUGUGUAUCCAUAUAGUUGCAGGCCUGUUUGCAAGCAUCUCAGGGAGAUUGCCAACAAUAGGCCACGGUUUGGGACCUGGGGGUAGUUUGUAUUUCUUGGACUUGUUAACUGAGUGAGAUUUAGUGACUUUGAAAAUUAUAAAGAAAAAUAUCACAACAAGCAAAAAAGUCCAAGAGAAUUCAAGGCAAAAAGAGAGAAAAUCAGGCGUAAGACCCAUAGCUUAAAAAAUGAUUUAAUUUUCAAACUAAAAUGAUUUUUUAAUUUGGGAUUGAUCCAUGAUCGAUUAAGGGCUUGCGAGGUUAUCUAUAUAUAGUUGCUCAGCCUAAGGACAAUAGUGACAUGGCAAAUCUUUCAUUGUUCACUCAUUGAUAGUAUUAUAAUGUUAAAGUUCACGUGGCUCAACUAUUUAUGUUUAUUUAUGGGAUUGUUUGGGUUAUCGAGAUUUAUUUUCGAUAAAAUCACAAUUUAGGGUCUGUUCUGUUUGUGUGGUUUUUGUUUUCAAUUUUACUCAAAACAGAAAAUAGAGGUGAAAUCUUUUAUGCCUAAAUUUUAGACAACAUUUUCAUAAAAAUAUUUCCAAAAAUAGGGUUCCCUAAUAUGCAGUAAUUUAAAGUGGUACAAAUUUGCACAUGUACUUUGACCCGUUAAAGUAGACCAAAACAUUUUUUUACAGGAGAAACAAACAUCCUCUUUUUUAAUUUUUUUUUAAAGACGUGUUGACCUUCUAUAACCGAUAAAAGCAUAUAGUGUAAGAUUACACCAUUAAAUAUUACAUAUUUGGUAAAAAUAAGUUUAAAUUUGAAAAUUAAAAUAGUCAUUUUCUAUUUUUUAUUAAACUUAACUUUAUAUUUUCGCUAAGGUACUAUCGAGUCAUGGGUUCAACGUCUUCGCCACAACAAAUAAGUGGUCUUGAUCUAAAUUAAUAUGAAAGACAUUUAUUUUAAAGAGGAAACACGUUAUUAAUGACAAGUUUAUACUUUGUUUUGUAGAGAAGAAAGAGAUAGAAGAGAGAGAGUAGAGAAGAGAGAAUAUGAGUAGAAAGAAAGAUGUGAGAAAUAGAGUAAGUUUAUAGAUUAUUUGGUAUGAUAGAAAGAAAAGAGAGAUAAAAGAGAAAGAAUGACAUAAAUCUCUCUUGUUUUGUUUGGUCGAAUAGAAAAAGAGAAGAGAGAGCUAUUUUUGUAUGGAAUGACAUUUUUCACCCUUUAAUUUUUAUCCAAUUAUUUGUUUUGAAUAUUUUAGUUUUAUACUUUAUAUUUUCGUAACUUUAAUACUAUAAUUCUUAGUGUAAUAAAUUAAAUUUUAAUAUUCGUUUAUUAAUUCUAUAAUUAUUUUCAUUUGUUUAGAGAAGUGUUAUUGGUGCCUUGGAGUGAACUUUACAUUAUAACGUUUAAAGUUGUACUUUGCAAUUUUUAAUUUGUUUUAAUUUAUUUUAGCCCACUUAAAUUAUAUGGAUAUCUAGAGUUAUUUUAUUUGGUUUUAGAUCUAACUGUUAUGUUCCACAUUGGAUAUCAAGUGGUAAUUUAGUCAUGUUCUGAAUUGUAAAUAGAACAAUCAAUUGAUGAAGGUACCGAGCCAAUAAUUUUUAUUUUACUUUUGAAAAUACCAAGCUAAUAAUUAGAUUCCAGAAAAUUAAUUUGUUUUCAAUAUAUAUCACGUGAGUUUUUGAGAGGUGAGGGUAUAAUGGGAAGUCAACAAAAAAAUGGAGAUGCACAACCAACUUUCUUCACAAAAUAGGAGAGAAUAGAAAAGUAGGUGUGUCCUACCAAAAUUCAUCUCUCUUCAUGGUGGCCUCAAAGCAAACGGAGGUGGGUUGAGUUUUGAAUAAUGUUGUGUUAAUCUUCUUUCAAUUCAACUAUUGCCUUAAGCCAUGCAGAAGAGAAAAAAGAGAAAUAAGUUAUAUCAUUUAUGAUGUAAUAAAAAAUGUAAAAAUGAAUAAAAAGAAAAUGUGUGGAAAUUUAAAUGAAAGAAAAAAAAAGUGCACCCUCGUUGAAUUUCUCUUCUCUAUGUAUAUCUCUUUGGGAAUUGUUAUUCAGACCCCUCACAUCUAUUUCUACCCCAAACAAUUCUAGAAACCAAAAAAUACUUCUGUCGAACGCACUUUGCAAGUGCGAUCCUUAUCACACCUAACACAUUUUCAAAGUCAGACAACUGUCUCACUUUGAAAGUGCGUUAGGAUCUCACUUUCAGAGUGCGAUAGGUUGUAGAAAAAAAAAUUCUAAAAAUGAACUGUAACAUAACAGCAGAAAAGAGGAGAGAGAGGAGAAGAUGGAGGUUGUUGUUGUGGUGGUGGUGGUGACAGUGGUGGUGACGGUGGUGGUGACAGUGGUGGUGGUGGUGGAGGAGAGAGGAGAGAGAAUGUAUGGAUGAGGUGAUGAAUUUUUAUAAUUUUUUUCAUUAAGGACAUUUUAGUAUUUUACACUUUAAGGGGGUUGGAAUAGAUGUGGGAGAGGUCUGAAUAACAAUUCCCUAUCUCUUUUCCUCUUUUCUCUUUACUAACUCUCUUUCAUCAUUUCACCAAACAAAGCAUAAGUGUCAUCUUGCAUAAUACUACAAAACAUUAUCCAUAGUAGCAAAUUUCAUUCAUCCAUGUUAUGUUAAGUUCAAACUCAUUAUAACGUUUUUAAAAUCUUAUUUUGAUCAUAACAAUUUUAUAGAAAAAAUUUCAUUGAAAAUUAAACUUAUUAUAACAUUUGAAUUUCGGGAGAAACUCAACUUAUGUUAUAUGCUUCAACGUUCAAACAUCACAAAAAGAAAAGCUUCAGAAGUUACAAGACUGUUUGGCAAGCAAACUCAUUCAAAUUCAAGACUCAACUCUCUGACAGUCUAAUGCCACAUCAUCAGUCAGAUAUAUUGAAGAUAAACUUUGAGCGCCAAAAUUGAAGUUGGAUUGUAACCAGUUGCCAUACAUUCAAAUCAAAAGGAAACCAAUUGACUAAUAUUCAAAUCAGACCACGUGAAGACUAGUUUGCUUCAGCUAAAGGCACGCUGACCAACAAGGGAAAAUGACAAGCCGUCAACAUCAUAUUUCUCAAUUGUCUCAUGUCUGAAAAGUAGCCCAAGUCUAUCACCACCUACUAGCUGACAAACAUCACCUUUUCGGCUAAAGGAUAGACUUGCCUCUGAGCUCACAUUUAAUGAAGCCACCAACCAAAACUAUUUGAAUCAACUGUUCGAUCUCAUUACGCAACAGCUAAGAGCAACGAUCAGAUUAAAGCUCACAACGGCUACAAUACUAGCAAGCGAGUAUAUAAGGAACUCUUGAAGAAUUGAAGACCAAGAGAAUUAAUUUGAAAAGAACAAGAACUCAAGCAUUCAUUUCUAUCUUCCCAAAAGCAUUCAAAGCUCAAGAAGAAAUUUUCUAAGAGUCAAACCAAAGCUUUUACUUCUGCAAGUGAAAGAGAGAACCUCGUACCUUAAAAGAGUCAAAUCUCUUUAUUCUCCUCUCACUUAGUUUCAGAACUCUUAAGUGCUUCAAAGUCAGAUCUGAACCCAAACACUUAGAGUUCCAGUGCCAUAAAUUAUCUACCAUUACUCUUGAACGAAGAGAAACCUUGUUGAAUGAUAUAAUCUUUUUAAGAUUGUUGGAGAAGUCCUGAACAAUACUUGUAGGAGGAGUCUAGUAGAAUACUUGGAGAAGUCUGUGAUAAUACUUGUGGGAGAAGUCCUGGUGAAUACUUGUAUUGGAAAAGUCGUUGAUACUUGCUAGUGAAAAUCUUGGUGGUGGCCAAGUACUGGACGUAGCCCAACCGCUGCACUAAACGGUUUACGAAAAGUCAUACUUAACGUUUUCUUAAGAACUAAUAUUCUUUUCACAAACCUAAGUUUUAAAAAGUAAAUUUUAAGAACACAAUUCAAACCCCCUUUCUUGUGUUAUUUAUUUACAUCUCAUGUUAUUUAAAAUCUUUUAAUUAUACUUAUUCUUUUGUUUUUCACAUUUGUUACGGUCAUGUCAAACGACAACAUUAUUUUUUUCAUAUAUGUUUAUUAUUUUUUUUACUUUGUACUACUUUAUUUUCCAUUCUCAUUCAAUUCUUGUUUUUAAUUUUAAAUAUAUUAACACAUCAAUCUUUAUUACUAUUAAGAACUUAUAUUAUAAAUUUUAUUCAUGAGUUAUAGAUUAAUAAGUAUAUUUGUUAUUAGUUAAAAAUUAUUUUUCCUGACCUGGAUCUAGCCAAGACCAAAGACCUUUAUAGGAAACCCUAGCAGAACAUAAAAAUAGCAGGUGAUGUAAAUAAAAUUGUUAUGUCAUAAAUGAGCAAAAAUAUUCUUAAUGCAAUGAAUGACCUCCCUUUUAUAGUGGGGUGGUUUGAAACCCUAAACUAUUGCGUCAUUCGGCCUCAUAAUUAUUGGCCCGAUUCCCCUUACAUAUAUAAUUCUAAGACUGCUACCUAUUGGGGCUGUCUUACCCACUCAUGUGGAAGACUGUCCUAUGCGAAUGACCUGCCUUACUCCAGGCUCGCCCUAUACGUGACCAUCCUCCUGUAUAGCCACAUCUAAUAAUUGAGGUGAGUCCCUUGACUAAAGGGCUUAUCCGGUCCACAAGCCCACAAAACACUGUGCUCGAAGUCUAAAAGCUAAGAUGUCUUCAUGUCCUUACGACGCUAUGCUCACCUCUGUAUUUCACGAUAACUUUCUUUGAAAAACUAGGCACUUCCUGAACAAAAGACAUUAUGCUCGAAGUCUAAGAGCUAAGGUGUCUUCAUGGUCUUUCUGCGGAGUUCUAGUUACAUCAAGGUCUGUUUCAAGGAUAACUCUUCGGCUGGAAGUCACAACCAUAACCCCCGAGUGUCCCCUUGUUACUCGCCUCCAUAAUACUAGAAAUUUUCUUUGGCAUCUAUGUAUCAUUCCCGCAUGCUACCUGCGUCUUUGUUGAACGCCCAAUUUUCACCUAUGAUUAUUUUUCUGCACAAAAUUUCAAACAUUAAAUAGUUCUAUUCAUUGUGGGCGAGUUACCUGUUGAUCGCUCGAUGUGUUGUCCAACGACCAUGCCUUUUCAAUCAAGCGUCACUUCAGUCACUAACACGCGUUUGUGAGUUACGAGGAAUUUUCUAUCAUUAGCAUUGAUGGAGUAACUUUUUCAGACACUCCCAAGGAUUGCAUCGUUUGGUGAAAACCUAGGGUUUUGAGGCGUGACGAUUCAGUUUUUCCUUUCUCUCUGUAACGCCCCGAUUUCUCGAGUGUCACACAAUAACCAAUUAAUCAAUUUUCGUAAAGAGUUUUCGUCGAUUCAAUUAUUAAUCUUGAAUUAAUGACAAAAGUUCUAUUAUUGCGAAACUCUUGAAAACUUAACCAAAACGCUUGCGGAAUAAAAAGAUAGUCAUAACCUCAACGUUAAAUGAAAAUCAUGUCGCAAAAAAGGUAACCGUAAAAUAGAUCCUCAAAGUAUGAUUACAACAAAUUUCCAAAAGGAAAUAAAAUCCAACGUAAGAAAAUAAAUAAGUACGGUGCUAUCGAUCACUCAACCCAACAGUAAAGUAAAGUCACUCGGACCACUCUUCCUCCUCUUCAUCUUCAUCUUCAUCUACUUCAUAGGGCACCAGUCGAUCAAAGAAUCCCCUCAGCUUCUUCCGCGGCAUUUCCUGUUCCUUAGCCUUAUGCUUGAUGGGAGCGGCCUCCGGAACUGGUACCAAUGGUGCACUAGGCCCUGCCAAUGGCCUCCCCAAAGCGAUCUCCAUAUUCUCCGAAGGAUCUAGCUCCUCCUCAGAAACUUGUGCAGAAGAUGUCUUGGAUCCCACGUCCAUAGGGAAAUAGAAACGAGGGGGUGCAAAAGGCACCUUCACCCUCCCAUGUUCCAUUUCCUGAGUCUGGAUGACUACUCCUCUGCUGUCGCGUCCCGUGAUCGUAGCCUUGCCGACAUAAAUACGAUGCACCUGGCGCGAGUCGACCACCCAAGCGUCGUCAUUGUCCUCAUCGUGAAGUUUCGGUGUUGAAGAAUACACCGAACUCUUCGUCAGAACCAUCUGCCCCCCCCCCCCCAGAAUAAACAAAUAACAGAUAAUAGAGGGUCAGAUCCCAUACAAUACUCGCAAGUAAAACAGGUAAUCACAUAAUGUUAUCACAUGAAUAAACAGGGACUAUACAUAUUCAUAUCUCAGUUAGGAACCUAAUAGUUUAGUUAGGCUAACGUCCUCAUCAUCACACAACCACCACAUUCACCUUGGCCAACCACGAUCAUCCAUAGAUGAACAAUCUCGAGGGGACCACACAGUCAACCCACAUUUCUCGGGGAGACCACACAUUCAAUCCCUAACCCAUGACUCUGUCAGGGUUAAUCACAUGGAGACCACACAGUCAAUCCGUAAAGUUUCUCCCUCGCGUGCAAUCAACCGUUUGUCUCUAACGGCACCAUCGUUCUCAUGGUCCAUAGCCUAUACCUUAGCACUAUAACCAUAUCAUUCACUACUUGAAAGCGAAGUUCGCAUCACUAUAGUUGGCUCCUAAUAUGAUAAUAUAAAAGUAUACCAAUAACCAUCAUGCAUAGCAUAUUAUUAGGGCUUCUCACCCAUCCUUGCCAAAACAGAAAAUUUAUCAAACAUCUCCCAUCUCAUAAACAAGUUCAAACGCCUAACCCUAGGGAGCAUUGGUUUCGGCCAAAUAACAACACCUUUCACAUAUACAUAUGUAUCAUACAAAAUCCAGUACCAAAACAUCAAGCUAUUUCAUGGAUCAAGGAGCAUAAGAAAAAUCCGCCGAAAACCCUAAAAAUGGGUUCGGCCGUGAGCAUUCUUAGGCUAGGGUUUUCCAAAUCUUUGAUCUUGUUGGAUCAAGUUUUCUCUAGCCUAAUUCCAGUAGGGAUUCAUGAUCAAGUCUCAUCAAAAAUCCAGAUCCAAUACAUGUUAUGAAAUCCAAGACAAAUCUAGCAACAUAGUGGGAAAUUGGCAACUUUUCUCAUGUGAUCAAUAAGGAUUUGUAAUUCAGGUUCCCUCUGAUACGAUUGUCCUGCACGAUGCUGGGACAAGAGGUUCGACAACCGCUUAACAGCAAAACAAAACUUAACAACAGAAACAAUAACACACAGUAAUUGUUAACCCAGUUCAGUGAAAACUUUCACCUACGUCUGGAGGGUUUGCACCCAAAGAAAGGAAAUCCACUAUCUCAAGAUUCAGGAAUUACAGACACUCAUGAACAACUCAGUUCAUAGUUCACUUCCUAAUCUACCCAGUGUAUUUCUACUUAGAAUCUCAACCUAAGUAUGAGAGCCCCUCUCACUUUCUCACAAUCACUGCCACAGUGAUUGGUGAACACAAUGAACAAGUAGAGUUUGAACGCAAACAAACACACAGAAUCUCUCUUUGCUUUAUAGAACCAGUGAGCAAAGACAGAUUUACAACUAACAAAGGACAAAGCACAAUUAACAAAUCCUAAAACACUCGAUCUCUCUCUAUCAGCUUCGACACCUUCAUGUUUUAGGUCUUCAUCCUUUUAUAGACUUCAGCAGCGGUAGCAUGGGCUUUAGGGUUGGCACGGGCUGAAAAAACAGAUUGCAGUAACAGCAAUUCAAAACACAAUCUUGAUAGAUUCGGUUUCUUAUUGCACAAGUAAAGAUAGAAACCAAUCUUUUAACAAAGAUUGUUUCAACAAAUAACAACCCAACAAAUAAACCCUUCUGGAAUAGCUACUUGCUCCUCAAGUAACUCAAAAACAUAUCUUCAGUAAAUCUUCAGAAGGCCCACAACAGAAACACAAGCUGAGGACUGAUGCCCUAGCUUCACGAGAUCAGAUGCCACGACAUCUGCUUCGACAAUCGGUUGUUUUGACAAAAUGCAUGGCAACAUGUUCCAACAAUCUCCCCCUUUGUCAAAUUUUGUCUAAAACAACUCACAAUCAGAGAGGAUAAAAACAAGAGAAACAAUUCUCCCCCUUAGUCAGAGCUCCCCCUCAAACUGAUGCAUCUACACAACCAACUACCAUACUUCAGAAGGCAUAGUCGGAACAUACCACUUAGCAGCACAAACACACAACCAGAAGUACAAUCUGCCUUAGCACAUGAUGACACCAAAAUAGAUCAGCUUGAACAUCAUCGUAUCAGAAAUACUACCAUCAGAAGAUGACAGCACAUGAUCAGAAGUACUACUAUCAGAAGUAACGUUUCAGAAGUAACGUUUCAGAAGUAAUUGCCAUCAGGAAAAAAAAAACUGCUAUCAGAACAUGCAUGCCUCUUGAAACAAACAUAGCCAUUGUCUUGAACUUGUCUUCAAAUUAAACAAACCAAAGCUAACACUAUCAGCGCUAACACGAUCAGAAACAACUUCACAGUAGAAACAAAAAACAUUACAGUCUUCAAUUCAAUCCAACUAACUACUCCCCUUUUUUAGCACAAAUUUGCAAAGGGUGCAUCCAAAAACAAAAGAAAAUAGCACAAGAUCAGAGCAAACUAGUCUUCAGAACUUGACUCCUCUCCAGACCCUUCUGCACUUUCUUCAGAACCUUUCACCUCUUCAUUACCCGCUUUCUGAGCAGCUGUAGCAGCAGCACUGUGCUCACCACCUUGACAUUCUUCUUCUUGAAGCUUGUGUAGCAACGCAUCAACUUUGAGCUUCCUGGCAGUACUCACCCUGAUUGUCUCCUGCAAAGCCUUGGAGACUUCCAGUAAUUCAGCAAUUAUGGCCUUAGUGCCAGAUUCAGUCACAGGAGGAGCAGAUGUUCUGCUGGUUGGUAAAGCAAUGUCUAGCACAUGUGGCUCCAGAAACAAACGUUGAUCCAAAGUGAUUGGAACACCACGAGACAUAGCCACAUCAUCAGCCCUGAGAAUCUGAGGAUGUUGCUUCAGUAUGAUCUCAGUAAGAAGUGAAGGAAAUGACACAGGCAGCUUCACAGCACAAGUAUCAGCAUGCUUCAAUGUUUGCUCAAACACGAAAGUUCCAAAAUCAAAAGCAAUAGACUUGCCAAUCCUGUAGAUCAACUUGGCAAGCGUUGCAGAAACACCAGAGGUAUGCUGAGUAGGAACCCAAUUUACAGCACCAAUCCUGUUAAGAAUAGCAUACUUCACACUGAGAUUUCCAGUAGACAACAACUUCUUGCUGGGCCACUUCUUCACAUGACCUGCAGUAAGCUCCUUGGCAACAUCAUCCAUGGACACUUCUUCAUCAACAAAUUCAAUAGCACUUCUGCAAAGUGCUUGAUUGAUCACAGCAGGUGAGAACAUCACACAUUCAGCCCGCACAUAGACUUUCCUGAAUUCUGUACUAUCAGGAAGUCCUACAUCAACAGAGAGAUUCACCAAGAACUCUGUCACAAGCUUCUCAUAGCACCUUCCAACAUUCUGAAUAGUCUUCAUCAGACCUGCUUUCUCAAUUAGUGCAAUUACAUCUCUGCAUUCAAGAACAUCAGAACCAACUUCCCUUUCCUUGGCCAUUCUCCUCUUGCAAACAAACUUCCACUUCUGAACAUUCUCUUCUAAGUGGAAAGACACUCUAUCAAUAGGAACAGCAGGAACAUUUUGAGGAAUACGCUUACCAGAAAACUUCUUUUUCUCAGAAGAUCGAAUGUCCUGGACACCGACUUCAACAUCUGACCCAGAGUCUUCAACUUCAACUGAAAUCUUCCUCUUCUUCUUCUCAGUGGGAGUCUUUUCUUCCUUUUGCUUUCCCUUACUCUUCACACUGGCCUGUCUGGAUUUCUUUGAUGGAGUAGGAGUGAUUUCAGGAGAAGAAAUCCUUCUUUUCUUCUUCAUCCUCGCAGCAACACUAUCAGCAAAAGUCUCAGUCAGAGGAACAUCAUCAGAAGCAUCAUCAGAGAUGUCCUGAACAGAGGUUGGAGCCUGGAUUGGCUCUUCAGAAUUGAUACCCGCAGAGUUAUCAUUCGUUGAAUUAGCAUCCUUAGAUGAGGAUGAUACAUAGAUAUCAGGCUGGGUAGCACCACCUGAAUCUUCAUGAGAAGUGGAAUCCUUUCCAGAAUUUUCUUGAGCAGAACUUCCCUUAGACCCAGAUGUCUCAACAUCAGGCACAACAUCAGGGGGCGAUUUCACAGGCGAAUCUUCAUCAUUGAUUUCCUCUUCGUCAGGAACAUCCUCAAGGAUAGGAACAUUCGGAGCUUUGCUAUUCUUGACCUGUGAUUUGUAGACCUUACACGUUGGGUUUCGUGAUCUCAUCUUCUUGGGAGCUUUCUUGGACACAGAAGAUGGUUGAGAAGAAUCACUCUUCAAACCCAUACACUUGACUCCUUUAGCAGUUCUUUCAAUCUUGGCCUUGACAGAUUCCUUCUUUCCUGAACUUUGAGACAUGAUGAAUCGAGAGCAAUUACAAACAGAGUACAGAACAACGAAACAGAAUUGCAAAUGAGAGAUGAUAAAUCUUGAAGAAGAUGCACAAGCGGUUGAGAGAACACAAUUUGCCCGUUGGAGGUAGUUAUAGGGUAAGUGAACCAUAAAGUAACUUUCUCUCUGCUGAUGUCACAACGGCAGUUAAUGAUGACCAAGAAUAAACUAGCCGUUAACACACUGGAGCAUGCUAAUUGCUAUGCAUCAGAAAGACAAAUCCCUAGACUUCCUCUUAAUUUUUCAAACGUGAUUGCAUCAAGGGGUUUUGUGAAAAUAUCAGCCAAUUGCUUGUCAGUUGUAACGUGAUCCAAAUUAACAAUUUUAUCCUCUACCAAGUCUCUAAUAAAAUGAUGUCUAAUGUCAAUAUGCUUGGUCCUGCUUGUAAGAUCAAGUUUUGAUCUAGUAGUACAACUCUAUGUUUUGAUGAUUACAAGUUAACCUUUUGAUAUGAACAAUUGUGGUACUCUAACGUGUUUUUCUGAGUGUACUAUUUGCAGGCUCUGACCUCAACUCAAUCUCACACAAAUCAGAAGCACUGUGUAUAAAGAGCUACCCAAGCAACGCUUUCGCAUUCACCAUGUUCAGUAUGAAUAGUGGAAAAGCUUCAGAAGUUCUGAAGUUAUACAAACUCUGAUGUGGACUCAGUCACGAGAAGCUCUGAAGAUCCAGAAAGUCUGAUAACCAAGAAACACUGAAGGCUCAGAUGUUCUGAUGGUGUAGAAGACUCUGAAGAUCCAGAAGCUGAUUAGUGAAGUUCUGAUGUCCAGAAGCAAGAUACUCUGAAGACCAUGUUCUUCCCUCUGAGUUCAGAAUCAGAAGAAACAAUGGUCAGAGGAUCUGGGCUUUCCCUCUGACUUUGAUCAACCGGCUUCACAAGUUCCAAUAUGAAGCAUUCCCCUGAUCAGAAGUCUCCUAGGUUUAAAGGUCGCGUCGCUAUCCAAGUACAAAAGCAUAUGUACUAUCCUGACGACCUACCUAACAGUCUCAGACAUAGCAGAAGCUGGAUUUUCCAGAACUGCCCUCCAACGGUAGCAUUUCCCAUGCAACGCUCAACCCUAAUCCUUGGAGUAUAUAAAGAGGCUGAAGACUGAAAGAAGCGAGAAGAAGCUUUCACAUACGUGCAAGACAAUCUUAAAGUCUUCUAAGUUUUCUUUCAUCUGAAAUUCAUUGAGUUUACUAUUAGCUUUUUAGAAGCAAAUCUCUUGUAAACAAUUCUUUGAUAAACAGUUUGUUUAGUUCCUUUAGGAGAUCAAGGUUGAUCGGAUCCUAGAGAAGACUAAGAGAGUGAAUCUUAGUGUGAGCUAAGUCAGUGUAAUUGUUAGUCACUUGUAGGUUUCAAGUGCAGUUGUAACUCUUACCUGAUUAGUGGAUUGCCUUCAUUCUAAGAAGGAAGAAAUCACCUUAACGGGUGGACUGAAGUUGCUUGAGUGAUUUGUCAAGUGAACCAGGAUAAAAUCCUUGUGUGCUUUUCUAUCUCUUAUCUUUAGCACUUAAGUUCUCGAAAGAUUUGUCAAAAUCUUUAAGGUGGAAGUUUUAUACUGAAAACGUUAUUCAAACCCCCCCUUUCUACCGUUUUUCAUACCUUCACUGCUAUGCUGUAUGGGAUUUUUAGAAAUAUUAAUUGCACUGAGAUUGUCGCAGUACAAUGUCAUGACAUCCUGUUCAACAUCAUACUCUUUCAGCAUUUGCUUCAUCCACAUGAGUUGAGUACAACUACUUCCUCCUGCAAUAUAUUCUGCUUCAGCUGUAGACAAUGAGACACAAUUCUGCUUCUUGCUAAACCAUGAAAUCAAAUUAUUCCCUAAGAAGAAACAUCCACCAGAUGUGCUCUUUCGAUCAUCUGCACUACCUGCCCAAUCUGCAUCACAGAAACCAACUAAGGAGGAAUUUGUAUCAUGAGUAUAGAGAAUACCAUAGUCACUUGUGCCAUUGAUGUACUUGAUAAUUCUCUUGACUUGAAGCAGAUGACUUGCUUUAGGAGCUGCUUGAUAUCUAGCACAAACUCCGACAGCAAAAGUGAUGUCUGGUCUGCUAGCAGUGAGAUACAGCAAGCUUCCAAUCAUGCUUCUAUAGAGACUUUGAUCAACAUCUUCCCCCUGCUCAUCCUUGGAAAGUUUGAUGUGUGUAGCAGCAGGAGUUCUCUUGUGACCAGUCUUUUCAAGGCCAAACUUCUUGACUAACCCUUUAGCAUACUUACUCUGUGAUAUGAACAUAGAAUCUUCCAUUUGUUUGACUUGUAGUCCUAGAAAAUAAUUCAAUUCACCAACUAGGCUCAUCUCAAAUUCAGAUUUCAUUUGUCGGACGAAAUGCUCCACCAUUGAGUUCGACAUUCCUCCAAAGACAAUGUCAUCCACAUAAAUCUGUGCUAUCAUGAGCUUACCUUUGUCAUUCUUCACAAACAGAGUUUUAUCAAUUCCACCCUUGUUGUAGCCAUUGCUUACAAGAAAUUCAGUUAACCUUUCAUACCAAGCCGUAGGUGCUUGCUUCAAACCAUACAAGGCCUUCCUCAACUUGUACACAUGAUCUGGAUGAUGCGGAUCUGUAAAUCCUUUAGGUUGUUCAACAUAGACUUCUUCAUUCAAAUAGCCAAUCAGAAAAGCACUCUUCACAUCCAUCUGAUAUAAUCUGAACUUCAAGAGACAAGAUACACCUAACAAGAGUCUUAUAGAUUCCAGUCUAGCUACAGGAGCAAAGGUUUCAUCAAAAUCAACUCCUUCUAUCUGAGUAUAUCCUUGAGCAACUAGCCUUGCUUUAUUCCUUGUGACAGUUCCAGUUUCAUCUGAUUUGUUCUUGAAGAUCCACUUAGUACCAAUGAUGUUUACUUCUUCAGGUCUAGGAACUAACUCCCACACUUCAUUUCUUCUGAACUGCUCUAGCUCCUCUUGCAUAGCAUUUAUCCAGUAUUCAUCAGUGAGAGCUUCAUUGGCAUUCUUGGGUUCUAUCUUAGAGAUGAAACAAUUGUGAGCAAUUAUACUUCUGGAUCUGGUAGUCACCCCUUCUUGAAGGUUACCAAUAAUGUUUUCUUGAGGAUGAUUCUUCUGAACCCUGAUUGAUGGAGCUUUGUUUGAUGUGAUAUCUUUGUCUUCCUUUUCAUCAGCACUUGUUUCUGACUCAUUGUCGAGGGCGGUUGCUGGAGCAUCAGCUGGAACAUCAGUACCAUCAUCAUCUUCAUUCAGAACUUCUUCUUCCUUCUUGCUUGGUUCAUCAUCUACAGUCACAUUCACAGAUUCCAUCAUGGUCCUUGUGCGAGAGUUAAAAACUCUAUAAGCUUUGCUGUUCAUAGAAUAUCCCAUGAAAAUUCCUUCAUCACUUCUAGGAUCAAGCUUUCUCUUAGGAUCACGAUUUGCAAGGAUAUAACAUUUACUUCCAAAUAUGUGAAAGUAUUUUACAGACGGUUUUCUACCUUUCCAUAGCUCAUACUGUGUGGAGGAUGUCCCUGCCCUGAUGGUGACUCUAUUAUGUAUGUAACAGGCAGUACUCAAAGCUUCAGCCCAGAACUGGUGCGGAAUCUUCUUAGCAUGUAACAUUACUCUAGCUGAUUCCUGGAGAGUUCUAUUUUUCCUUUCAACUAUUCCAUUCUGCUGUGGCGUGAUGGGGGCAGAAAAUUCAUGACUAAUACCUUCUGUUCCACAGAACUCCAAGAAUUUUGAAUUCUCAAACUCCCUUCCAUGAUCACUUCUGAUUCUUACAAUUACACAGUCCUUCUCAUUCUGAAGUCUCAUACAUAGAUUCUUGAAUAUUUCAAAAGUCUCUGAUUUUUCUCUCAUAAAUUCAACCCAUGUAUACCUUGAAAAAUCAUCUACACAGACAAACACAUACCUUUUUCCUCCCAAGCUUUCAACAUGCAUGGGACCCAUGAGAUCCAUGUGAAGCAACUCUAGAACCUUUGUCGUGGUCUGAUGCUGGAGCAUCUUGUGUGGCACCUUGAUUUGCUUACCAAUCUGACAUUCUCCACAUAGCUUUCCUUCUCCCAAGCUCAAAUUGGGCAGCCCCCUUAUUGCUUCAUCUGCAAGAAUCUUUUGCAUGCUUCGGUAGUUGAGAUGUCCUAGUCUUUGAUGCCAUACAUUCACCUCAUCUUCUUUAGUUAACAAACAUCUGGAAACAUGACCUUUUUCUUCUGAUGUCCACAUAUAACAGUUGUCUUUCGAUCUGACUCCUCUCAUCACAACCCUCUCAUCAUCAGUGGUCACAACACAUUCUAUCUUAUUGAACUUCACAUCAUAUCCUUGAUCACACAGUUGACUUAUGCUGAUUAGGUUGGCUGUUAAACCAUUUACAAGUAACACAUUGUUCAAGUUAGGAGAUUCUGUGCUGACAAGUUUUCCUACUCCCUCGAUCUUCCCUUUAGCUCCAUCUCCAAAAGUAACAUAGUUGGUGGAGUGACUUCUGAUGUCUUGCAAGAAACUCUUGUUUCCUGUCAUGUGCUUUGAGCAACCACUAUCAAAAUAUCAAUCUUCCUUUGAUGAUGCUCUGAAAGACGUGUAGGCUACCUGACAUCUGACUUCACCCUUGGGCUUCCAUUGCUUCCUCAUCUGAAUAGGCUUUUUAUCGUACAUCUGAGGAUAACCAUAUAACCUGUAACAGUAGGGCUUUAUAUGACCAUUCUUACCACAGUAGUGACACUUCCAAGGUACAGUUUUGUCAAGCUUAAGUUGGGGUUUCACAUGCAGAGGUACAUGUCGAGGCAAUGAAUCUGACAGCUGAUAAUUUUUGGGCUUCUUGAACUCAGUUUGUUUUGCAGCGGACACAAAUUUCUUUGAACCUUUCUAAUUUUCUUUGUUUGUUGUUCUAUAGUCAAAGCCAAUUCCCUUCAAACUCCUUCCUUGCUUGCUAGUCUCUUUCAGAAUUUCAUCAAGCAUAUCAGAACCACUGUUCAACAUUCUAACAGAUUUGUGAGUAGCUUCAAGCUUUCUUGUCAGAGUUGCCACUUCCUCUUGAAGUCCUGCAUUAAUCAACACUAGAUUAGCUUUUACCAUAACAUCAGCAUUUUUAAACUUACUUUGCCAUUCCUCCAGAUCUUCCUUCAGCUUUGUGCUGAGCUCUUUCAGCCUUUCAUUCUGAGAGACAAGUUGUUCUAUCUCACUUUGCUUUUCUCUCACAAGUUUACAUGCUUCUUCCCACUUGAUGUGUAGCAGCUUGUAAGUCUCAGCCAGUUCCUCAUCUGUAAUGUCCUCAUCACUUGUAUCAGACUCAUAGAUGGAUCCAGAGAAAGCAUUGACUUUGUUUACAGAUAUCUCCUCCUCAUCUUCAGUGUCUUCAUCUGACCAAGUUACCAUCAUACCUUUCUUCUGCUUCUUUAGAUAGGUGGCACAUUCAGACCUGAUAUGACCAUAUCCUUCACAUUCAUGACACUGCACUCCUUUAUUCUGACCAGAUCUUUCUUCUUCUUUGGUCUUCCUCUGUGAAUUGGACAAUUUGGGUUUGUUAUCGAACUUCAUGUCCUGGACAUUAGGCCUGGUUCUUUUGUCAAUCUUUCUCAAUGCUCUGUUGAAUUUUCUUGCUAGCAUGGCCAGAGCCUCAGAAAGAUUUUCACCCUCACAAUCUUCAUCAUCACCUUCAUCAGUGUUUGACACAAAAGCAAUACUCUUAUUCUUCUUCUCAGAUUUUCCACUCAGUUUCAACUCAAAUGUCUGCAAAGAGCCAAUAAGUUCAUCAACCUUCAUGUUCUCAAUGUCUUGAGCCUCCUCAAUUGCAGUGACUUUCAUAGCAAACUUCUGAGGAAGAGAUCUCAAGAUCUUCCUUACAAGCUUCUCAUCUGACAUAGGUUCUCCCAAAGCAAAUGAAGCAUUAGACAAGUCACGGACACGCAUGUGGAAUUCUGAAAUAGUCUCUUCUUCAGUCAUCAUCAAAUUUUCAAAUUGAGUAGUAAGCAUCUGAAGCCUUGACAUCCUUACUCGAGUAGUUCCUUCAUGUGCAGUUUUCAGAAUUUCCCAAGCAUCCUUUGCCACAGUACACGUAUUGAUCAGCCUAAACAUAUUCUUGUCAACUCCAUUAAAGAUAGCAUUUAGAGCCUUUGAAUUUCCAAGAGCAGCUUCAUCUUCAACACUGGUCCAUUCUUCUUCAGGUUUUUCCACAACAGUAGUAGAGGUGCCUUCAACCUCAGCCUUAGUGGGGUGCUUCCAACCCUUGACAAUAGCUUUCCAAGUCUUGUUGUCAAUUGAUUUGAGAAAGGCUGUCAUGCGAACCUUCCAGUAGUCAUAGUUAGUACCAUCCAGAAUGGGUGGCCUAUUGACUGAUCCUCCCUCCUUGUUAUCGGAGGACUUGAAUAAAAAUCCCUGGAGCUCACCCAACCAGAACAGGGUGCCUGCUCUGAUGCCAAUUGUAAUUCAGGUUCCCUCUGAUACGAUUGUCCUACACGAUGCUGGGACAAGAGGUUCGACAACCGCUUAACAGCAAAACAAAACUUAACAACAGAAACAAUAACACACAGUAAUUGUUAACCCAGUUCAGUGAAAACUUUCACCUACGUCUGGAGGGUUUGCACCCAAAGAAAGGAAAUCCACUAUCUCAAGAUUCAGGAAUUACAGACACUCAUGAACAACUCAGUUCAUAGUUCACUUCCUAAUCUACCCAGUGUAUUUCUACUUAGAAUCUCAACCUAAGUAUGAGAGCCCCUCUCACUUUCUCACAAUCACUGCCACAGUGAUUGGUGAACACAAUGAACAAGUAGAGUUUGAACGCAAACAAACACACAGAAUCUCUCUUUGCUUUAUAGAACCAGUGAGCAAAGACAGAUUCACAACUAACAAAGGACAAAGCACAAUUAACAAAUCCUAAAACACUCGAUCUCUCUCUAUCAGCUUCGACACCUUCAUGUUUUAGGUCUUCAUCCUUUUAUAGACUUCAGCAGCGGUAGCAUGGGCUUUAGGGUUGGCACGGGCUGAAAAAACAGAUUGCAGUAACAGCAAUUCAAAACACAAUCUUGAUAGAUUCGGUUUCUUAUUGCACAAGUAAAGAUAGAAACCAAUCUUUUAACAAAGAUUGUUUCAACAAAUAACAACCCAACAAAUAAACCCUUCUGGAAUAGCUACUUGCUCCUCAAGUAACUCAAAAACAUAUCUUCAGUAAAUCUUCAGAAGGCCCACAACAGAAACACAAGCUGAGGACUGAUGCCCUAGCUUCACGAGAUCAGAUGCCACGACAUCUGCUUCGACAAUCGGUUGUUUUGACAAAAUGCAUGGCAACAUGUUCCAACAUGUCCCCUCUCCCUUAUAAAACUCGACGGCACACAACACACAUAGGUCUAGGUCUAGGUUUUGUUUUUUUUUUCUUCCUUUCAAGCCCAAGUCCAAGACAACCUAAUUAAUCCUAUUAAUUAGCAAUUAAUCAAAAAUAAAAAUCAAAUAAAACCCUCCCCAUCUCCUUAAUGUGGCCGGCGGCCACAAACACCAUUAGGGUUCCAAAACCCUAUUCUCUUCCCUUCACAACAUAAUUGAAUUUAAUCCAAUUAUUCCAUCUUUUAUUAAAUAAAACUGAAUCAAAUAAAUAAAAUAGAAUAAUCAUCUUCCCUCAUUCUAAAACCCUAUCUUUCCCAAAUAAAUCGAAGAUAAAUUCAAGGCAAACAUUCACUUCUCUUUUCUCUUCACUACACGGCCAAAACCUUAUACCUUGACCAUCAAGUAACCUUCAUCACAUCACAUAAUCAAUCAAACAAAAAUCAUCAUUCACUAAAGUCCACAUUCAUUAUUUAUCUCAAAUAGCAAUACAAUACUUAUUAAAAUCAGGGCCUUACACUCUAUCUUCAACCUUCUCUAUAAGAGUUCCCUCAAUUUUCUCAUUUCAUACUUUCAAAAGAUCUCAAAAAGCUCUGGGCGAGUCCUUAGUCCGCCACUUUUCGUCGUUGCUAUCAAGAAUCUCCAAGAAGCUUUCCUCCUUUUCUUACUUUCCAACUGUCACAAUUGUGCGGUGCUUUCCCAUUUCCCCCGCUAACUCUGGUCAUUCAUCGUCGCUUCUGUCCAUCUCUGGCUAGUUUCCUGUCCUUGUUUUCUUAUACUCUUCUUUUCACUGUCGACUUUUCAUCUUUCCUCUCACCAUUCCUAAUUUUCUACCCAGAAGACCGUUGUAUGAGAUUUGGUGAAAUCGGAGUAGGUAGUGUAAGUAUGUCUUCUCUUGAAUUGUCCUCCCCUUCCCAAGAUGAAUCUUCAUCUUCUUCUGUUAUAGAAGUCUUUGGCCUGUCACACUUAGUUUCUAGGCUUAGGUCGCCCGAGCUCAUCUUCUCUAUAUUGUCAAUAGAAAACUCAGCCCCUUCAAUCACAUGACGUUUGGAUCCUGAGCAUGUGCUUGACAAGUGCUUAGUUGAUUCUCUUUGGGGUAGUGCCUCUAGCAUCGCCCAUCAACGUAUUUCUGGUGGCGGGUUUUCUAAAUCAACCCCACAACCAACUGCAAUGAUGAUCACAACCUGAAUGUCACCCCAUGCGGCGAGGUAAACCAUAUCACACUCCGUCAGCUAGAGAACAUGAAGUUGCCCCAUUUUUUCUACAUAUAGGACUUUUUUUUAAGUUAGGAUUGAAACUUCAUUUUUCUCCUUUUAUCUACAACAUGUUAUGUUUUUUAAACGUCGCCCCUUCGAAAGUACUCCCUAAUGCCUGAGGUUUCAUACGGUGCUUUGAAAUUCUUUGCAAACACCUUAAUGUCACCCCCAACUUAUAUCCUCUUCGUUUUCUUCUAUAAAACUGCCACCAGAAAUCCUGGUACUACAAAAUAGGUGCCUUUGUCCGCCUGAAAUAACAUGUCUCUUUUUCACCCCUUAAAAAGUAACUUCAAACAUUGGCACUCAAACUACUUCAAAGUUGUGGAAAGCCCCGAUAUUUCAAAUUUGUUUUUUUGACAAGAACAUCCAACCAUUCUUCCAUUUCUAUUAGACACAAAACCCUCACUGUAACACCCCAUUUUUUUCGUUAUUAGGUUAUUUACUAUUGUAUUUUAAUUAUUAUUAUGAUAUAUGGUAAUUAUGUGAUUUUAUUAGAUAGGCUAAAAAGCAUUUUUGGCCCUUGAUGUUUUAAGUUUGUACAAAUUUUGCCCCUACUUUAUUUUUGUCGAUGUUUCUACCCCUCAUGUUUUCAAACAGUGCACCGUCUACCCCUCCGUCAGUCAUGCUUCCUCAGGAGAGGUUCCUGAAUGGAUUGGAGAGAUGAAAAUGAGUAUAUGAAGUUGAUGAUGAUUAAGGAAAUGAUAUAAAUUAAAUUUGCUUGAUGUAUAUAUCAAUUAUGUAUGUAACUGAAAUGGUUAAAUGCAUAUUUUGUUACUUACAAGUCUUGAGUUUGAAUCUCCCAUGCCCCCUUUUUUCAAUUUCACUUGUAAUUUCCACGUGGCAGGUCAGAAAAAUAUUUAAAAAAAAACCAAAUCAGCUCAUACCGUUAGUUUUUUAAUGUUUGACUGACGGAGGGUAGACGGUGCACUGUUUGAAAACAUGAGGGGUAGAAACAUCGACAAAAAUAGAGUAGGGGUAGAAUUUGCACAAACUUGAAACAUCAGAGGCCAAAAGUGCUUUUUAGCCUAUUAGAUAAUUAAGUGAUUAUAUGAUAUAUGGAAUGAGUAAUUUAUUUAAUUUGUAUUUGAGUGAGAUAAGAUUAAAUUAGAUAAGGUUGUUGAGUUAAGGUGAUAUAUGGAGUGAAGCCCACUAGUACUACUAUAUUAGGGGUUAGGAGUGAAAUAGAAAGAAAAAAAAAUAAGGAUUAGAAGAGCAGAACAGAACACGUGAAUAGGGAAGGAGGGGAGAAAAAGUGGAGAAAACCUAGAACUGAUCUACUAGAGGUGAGGGUUUGAAUUCAUAUUUUCUGAAUUGGUAUAGUAGUGGUAGUGAUAGAAAACAUGAUUUAGGAACCCUAGGAUGCAGAUUUUUCUAAACUGAAAGUGGAUAGUUUGAAUUUAGGGUUACGAAUUGUGGGAGGAAGAGAGGGAGUAGCGUGCAUGGCGCGCGCUUAAUUCGCAGGUUGCUCGCGGGAGGCGCAGCGCGUGGAGCAUGGCGCGGUUUUGAAAAGGAAAACUCAGCAGAAAUUUACGAGCUCUUGAACCCCUUUUCGAACUGUGUUAAUGAUUGAAUUUGAAGAAGUAGUCUUCAUAAAAGCUGUAUCCCAUUAAGUUAUAAAACUGUUUCCGUUGGCUUCGCGUCGUUCCGACGUCUGUAGCUCUAGUUAUAUGCAUUUUAGUGAGGAUGAGUUCAGUUGUCCCGUUUCUCACGAACUCUGUUAAUGUUAGAUUUUUCCUGAAUUUUAUACUUUGAAUUUCGACUUGAAAAAUUACAUGGAUUUAUAAAACUUGUAAAAGAACCCAUGGUAAAUAUAUUAGAAUUUUUGGAGGGUGUUACUUUGAAGUUCAUUAUAUGGUACUGUUUCUGAAUUGAUGUUAUGUGUUGAGUUGCUAAGUUACUAUGACUGCUAGUUGUGUAAUUGAUAACAUAUAAGCUAUGUUGUGUGAAAUUGGAGAUGAUUUGUAUUGUUGAGCUGGAGAUGAAUAUGCUAAAUUAAUUAGGAUUUGGAGAUGGUCUAAAUAUGCAUAUGGUUGUUGAAUUUUGCACAAUACACUGCAUAGUUGUCAAGAGGCAAUGUUUGCUAGUUCUCGUGGAGGCUAGUUACUUGUCCCAAAACUGAAGAUUUUUUUGAAAGCCUAGUGGACGGGCUUUAUUGGUGAUUAUCUGUCUGGAGUGGACGCGGUGAUACCGCUAAUGAGAACACUUUGGUACCAAAGGCAUUUGCACGGAGUCACACUUGAGUCAUAUAUGUUACUAUAGGGAGCUGUUGAUCGUUAAAUAAUGACAAGUGCGAUAUUUUUGGAGAAUUUGUUGUUGUGGUAAUUGGAGAUAUUUAUAUUUGCUUUAUCUGAGCUAUAAUUAUGAAGUAUUAACAUAUUGUGAAAUUGAUUGAUUAUAUUAAAUUUCAUGAUUUAUUUUCUUAAUUAUGCAUGAUGUAUGUAUGGAUAAAUUUUAUAAGCUUUUGAACUGAUUACUAUUAUGCUUAUCCAUAAGAUAUGAGUUCUCACCCUUCUGUUGGAAUGAUGGUCUAUGCGACAUCGCUCAGGCACCGAGGAUAGUGGAGCUUCUCGCAAGGGUUAGUCGGAGGAGCUAGUCUUUUAGAUGUGUUUUUAGUAAUGGGAGUCAUGCUCUGUUAUGUAACACGGGAAAACGUUUAGUAUUGUACCAGGUUGUUAAGAGAUAUUUCGUGUACUAUCUUUAUUUAUUUUUAGAUUAUGUUAAAUUUUGGAGUUGAAAUAAAUCUGUUGUGCUAUUCAUAUGAUGUUGAGACAUCAGAGUUGAAAAUUUAUAUCUAAAUUAUGAGCAUGACAAGUGUUUUGAUUUGUGUUUCUGGAGAAUAAAUGUGAUACCCUAUGUUUUAUGCAUUUUACUCUGAUUUAUGCUCUAAUAUAUACGCGGGACUUAGAGGGUCUUACACUCGCCGCUCCAUCAAUUUUGAAUCUAAGCAUCUCUACAUGGCAGAGAUGCGGGUAGCCUGGUAUCUUUCUACGUUGUCUCCCCUUUCCGGUGAUGACCUCGUAACAGCCCAAAAAAAAAAAGGGUGAGUAGCUCAAUUUUUCAUUAAAAUUUUCUCAAUCACCCUUAACUUGUCUUUUUCUCUACUUUUUCUCAUUAGUCUGUUAUUUUUUUAUAGGUGAAAUGGAAAACACAGAUAUCUCUGUCAACUCCAUGACUAACUAUCUCGCAAAGCAAACAGAGCAAAUUAGGAAAAUAAAGAUAAAGGAAAGUAAAGCUGCCCGUGUUGAGGGAAAAAAUAGCCAAACCGCUGAAGGUCGCCCAGAUAAACGGGCUAAAACCAAUCCUGCUCCAGAGAAUAAAACCUCCAAACAAGCUGAGUUGAAGCUCAAAGAAACCUCCGCGACUCCAAAACUGACCCCCACAGGAUUCAGAAAGACAAGAAUGUGGCAAUCACUAUGCUACCACUUGUAUCCCACCAUGUUCACAUGGAAGAGUCUUCACACUCUCUCUCAACCACCACAUCAAGGUUUGCCCAUUUUUCCCGCUGCUCCAGAUGCCAGGAUCGAUUUGCUCGAUCCCAACUUCAUUGGUCUCAACUUCAUGAACCACCACUUCAUGAACCCAAGACGUCUUACUUGAAUUCAAUCUUGGAAAAUGGAGUGUAAGAUCAAGGUUUGAUCAGUGGUUGCAUCUCUAUGUUUUGAUGAUUACAAUUAAGGUUUGUGAUGAUGAACAAUUGUGGUACCCUAACGUUUGUCUUUUUAAGAUGUGACAAACAGGUUCUGAAUCUGAUCCAAGCCUAUUCGUUCAGAAGAAGAAGAACCAAGGGUUACUAAAAAGAGAGCCCUUUAACCUACCAUGUUCGUUCUGAACAGUGGCAAAUACUUCAGAAGCUCUGAAGAUGGAAGCUCUCAAGAAGCUCUGAAGAAAUCAAGUCAGAAGUUCUGAAGACCAGAUGUUCCAGUGGAACGGUCCAGAAGCAGAAGACUCAAGUUCUGAAGACUUGCAAGAAGUUGGUUCUGAAGACCCAAGCUAUUCUAGCUCUGACGAUCAGAAGUUCUGAGGAACGUGUUCAGAAGUAGAAGUUGCAAGGUCAGAAGAAUCCAAGCUUCAAUCUGACGAUGAUCAGAAGCUUCACCAACGUUCAUGUGAAGCUCCUUGAUGACAAGUCAACUGGUGAAAGGACAGGUCGCUAUCACAGUACAACGUCGUACAUGUCUCAGUCUGUCUGCCACCUACCUUGUACAGCCUAGCAGUCUGAUAUCACAGAAUUGCCACUCCAACGGAUAAAACCCUAGCAACGGCUACAUCACAAGUCUUGGAGUAUAUAAAGGCUGAAGAAAGAAGAAAGAAGCUAAGAAACUUUGCUGAAAACAUUCAACAUAUACGAACCAUUCUCUUAGCAUUAUUUCUUCACUGUUCUUAAACAUCUGAGUUUACCAUUCGCUUAUUAGAAGCACUUAUUGUAAACCCGAAACCUUUUACAUCACAUUGUAAAGUUCAUCAAGAGACCAAGGUUGGUCGGAUCUUGAGAGGACUGAAUCAAGGCUGAUUCAGUAUUUAGCUAGUCUUAAGAGGAUCGGUAGAUCAGCUUCUUAAGAGGAUACUAGUGAGAAAAUCAGUGUAUUGUUAGUCACUUAGCAGGUUGCAAAGUGCAGUUGUAACACUCAUUGAUUUUAGUGGAUGGCCUUCAUCAGAAGAAGGAAGAAAUCACCUUCACAGGUGGACUGGAUUAGCUUGAGCUUUUAUCUCAAGUGAACCAGGAUAAAAUACUUGCGUGCUUUACUUCCUAUCAUUCAGCACUUAGUUUUUAUCUUUGAGUUUUGAAAAAGCUUAAAAUUAUACCCGUGAUUCAAAAACUCUAUUCAACCCCCCCCCCUUUCUAGUGUUUUUCGCACCUUCAAUUGGCAUCAGAGCUCCGGUUCUGAUUUUAACACCUAACAGUGUUCAGUGAUCCAGAACCUUGUGUGAAAAACAAACAAUGGCCCAAGCCAAUACUUCCGCUGACAACAACAACAACAACCAACUCAGAGCACCAAUCUUUGAUGGUGAAAAGUUUGAGUACUGGAAAGAUAAAAUAGAGUGUUAUUUCCUUGGCACUGACCCAGAUCUCUGGGAUAUGGUCAUUGAAGGCUAUACUGAUCCAGUAGAUGCUUCAGGAGUAAAGAUCCCCCGUUCUGAAAUGACUGACGCUCAGAAGAAGCGUUUCAAGGAUCAUCACAAGGCGAAGUCUAUGCUAUUCAGCUCAAUAUCAUAUAUUGAGUAUGAGAAGAUCCCUGACAAAGAAACUGUUAAAUCCAUCUUUGACUCCUUGGUCAUGACGCAUGAAGGAAAUGAAGAGGUCAAGGAAACCAAGGCUCUUGCUCUCAUACAACAAUAUGAGCAGUUUAAGAUGGAAUCUGGUGAAACCAUUGAGGAGAUGUACUCAAUGUUUCAAACUCUGAUUGUUGGAAUCAGAGUGCUAAACAAGGGCUACUCUACUGGUGAUCAUGUCAAGAAGAUUAUCAGAAGUUUGCCUAAGGAGUGGAGAGCUUUUGUCACGGCCCUGAAACUCUCUAGGAAUUUGAACUCGUUGAAGUUAGAAGAACUUGUGAGUCAUCUCAGAAGCCAUGAGAUUGAACUCAAAGGGGACAAGCCUCAGAAGAAAGACAAGUCUAUUGCUCUUAAGUCAAAGUCUGACAAAGCUAAAGCAUAUCAGGCAGAAGAAGAAGAUUCCUCUGAAGAGCUAUUAGAUGCGUCUGGUGAUGAAGAACUAUCUCUUUUCACAAAGAGAUUAAGAAAACUCUGGAAGAACAGACACAACAAAGGCAAAGGACCAAAGAAAAGUUCAGGAAGAUAUGAAUCUUCAUCUGGUCAGAAGAAAUCAUCUGGAAAGGAAGUCACUUGCUUCGAGUGCAAGGAAUCUGGACACUACAAGAGUGACUGUCCCAAGUUAAAGAAGGACAAGAGGCCAAGAAAAGUUUUCAAGAAGAAGGCUCUCAUAACCUUUGAUGUAACUGAUUCUGAUGAAGCUGAGUCAGAAGAAGAUGAAGCUCUGGAGGCUCUGAUGGCUACCACUAGCAGAGGUGCUGAAGCUUCAGAAGAUGACUCAGACUCUGACAAUGACGAUGAGGUAUUCUCUAAUUUCUCUAUAUCUGAGCUAAGAACCGCAUUAUCUGAAAUAAUGAAGAAACAUGAUGUUCUGCUAAAUAAGCAUAAAGAGCUUAAAAGGAAAUAUGCUGAUAAAACCAGUUCUUCAGAAGUUCAUGAGAAGUCAGUCUCUGAACUCAUGGAAGAAAACUAUACUCUUGUUAAUGACAAUGCUGUUCUUCGUGCUAAAAAUGAUGUGCUAGAAGACCAACUUGCAUCAUCUGAUGUUAAGUAUGAGACAAAAUAUGAGAAAGCGUUUCAAAAGUUUCUUGCAAAGGGCAUAGACAAAAGUCUUAUGGCUUCAAUGAUCUAUGGCAUGAGCAGAAAUGGGAACAGCGGCCUUGGCUACUUUCAAUCCAUGAAAGAUGAGUCAUCUGAGCCCAAACACGAACCUUUGCAUAAGCAUUUCGUUCCCGCUGGCACUGUCAUUCCAGAAAAGGUUACACCAAAGGUGGUGAAACCAAAGGGAAAGUUUAAACUUGAUAUGUCUAGAUAUUAUACUAAAGUUCCUCUGCAUUAUCCUCCUGUUGCACCCAAAGUUCCAAGAACUUCUGGGAAAACUAACAAGAAAGGACCCAAGAUAUGGGUACCUAAAGCAAAAAUUAUUCCUGUUGCAGACAUCUUAUGCAGCUCAGUUAAGACACCUGUCAUGGUACCUGGACAGUGGAUGCUCGCGACACAUGACGGGCACAAGGUCUAUAUUCCAAGAACUGACACCACUUAAGUCAGGAGGAGAUGUUGGCUUUGGAGGAAACCAGAAGGGAAAAAUCAUUGGAAAAGGUUCUAUAGGAGAUGGAAAAAUUCCAGUCAUAAAUGAUGUACUUCUGGUGGAAGGAUUAUUUCACAACCUGCUCUCCAUAAGCCAAAUUGCUGACAAAGGUUACGAUGUGAUCUUCAAUCAAACCGGAUGCAAAGCUGUUAGUCAAACAGAUGGAUCUGUUUUGUUUUCUGGGAAGAGGAAAAACGAUAUUUACAAAAUCAGAUCUUCUGAACUGCUAUCUCAGAAGGUCAAGUGUCUCAUGUCAGUAAAUGAUGAGCAGUGGAUCUGGCACAGACGCCUAGGGCAUGCCAGCCUCAGGAAAAUUUCUCAACUUAGCAAGCUAAAUCUCGUCAGAGGAUUGCCUCGUCUGAAGUAUUCAUCAGAGGCUCUAUGUGAAGCUUGUCAGAAGGGAAAAUUCACCAAGAAGCCAUUUAAAGCAAAGAAUGUGGUAUCUACAACAAGACCCCUUGAGCUACUUCACAUUGAUCUCUUUGGACCAAUGAAGACUGAAUCCAUUGGAGGAAAGAAGUAUGGGUUAGUCAUUGUAGAUGACUACAGCAGGUGGACUUGGGUAAACUUCCUAAGGCAUAAAGAUGAAACACACACUAUGUCUACCAACUUCAUCACUCAAGUUCAGAAGGAGUUCCAAACUUCAGUGAUCACUGUCAGAAGUGAUCAUGGUGGAGAAUUUGAGAACAAAGCUUUUGAAGAAUUGUUCAACUCUCAAGGAAUCUCACACAAAUUCUCCUGUCCUCGCACUCCCCAACAAAAUGGAGUUGUUGAAAGAAAGAACAGAACUCUUCAGGAGAUGGCUUGCACCAUGAUGCAAGAAUCAAGUAUGGCCAAGCACUUAUGGGCAGAAGCAAUCAACACUGCUUGCUACAUCCAGAACAGAAUCUCCAUUACACCAAUUCUGGAGAAAACUCCUUAUGAGCUAUGCAAAGGAAGACAACCUGACAUCUCUUACUUCCAUCCAUUCGGAAGUACUUGCUUCAUGCUCAACACUAAGGAGCAAUUGGGUAAAUUCGAUUCUAAAGCUUUAAAAUGUUAUUUUCUUGGUUAUUCUGAAAGAUCUAAAGGUUUUAGAAUUUAUAAUAUUAUUCAUCAAACUGUUGAGGAAUCUAUCCAGAUUAGAUUUGAUGAUAAGCUUGGCUCAGAAAAGUCAAAGCUGUUUGAAAGAUUUGCAGAUUUAAGCAUUGAUUAUUCGGAAGCAAAUCAACCAAUGAAAAGCCCAGAGGAUGUUGCUCCAGAGGCAGAAGCAUCUGAAGAUGUUCCAACAACUUCUGAUCAACUUCAGAAGAAGAAAAGAAUAGUUGCUUCUCAUCCAGAAGAACUGAUCAUUGGCAACAAAGAUGCUCCCGUCAGAACCAGGUCUAUGCUCAAACCUUCAGAAGAAACUCUUCUGAGUCUGAAGGGACUUGUUUCUCUCAUUGAGCCCAAAUCAGUUGAUGAAGCUCUUGAAGACAAAGGCUGGAUUCUGGCAAUGAAAGAAGAGCUAGAUCAGUUCACCAAGAAUGAUGUAUGGACCUUAAUGCCAAAACCCAAAGAUUUCCAUGUCAUAGGAACCAAGUGGGUAUUCAGAAACAAGCUGAAUGAAAAAGGAGAAGUAACAAGAAACAAGGCAAGACUGGUGGCUCAAGGCUACAGUCAACAAGAGGGAAUUGAUUACACUGAGACCUUUGCUCUUGUAGCAAGGCUUGAAGCUAUAAGGCUACUGAUCUCCUUCUCAGUAAAUCACAACAUCAUUCUCCAUCAGAUGGACGUCAAAAGUGCCUUCCUCAAUGGCUACAUUUCAGAGGAAGUGUAUGUCAAGCAACCUCCUGGCUUUGAAGAUGACAAACAUCCAGAGCAUGUCUACAAGCUCAAGAAGUCACUCUAUGGAUUAAAACAAGCUCCCAGCGCGUGGUACGAAAGGCUCAGCUCCUUUCUUCUACAGAAUGAGUUUGUAAGGGGUAAAGAUGACAAUACUCUUUUCUGCAGAACCUAUAAGAAUGACAUUCUUAUAGUUCAGAUUUAUGUUGAUGAUAUCAUUUUUGGUUCUGCUAAUCCCUCCUUGUGCAAGGAAUUUUCUAAGUUAAUGCAGGCUGAAUUUGAAAUGAGCAUGAUGGGAGAACUUAAAUACUUCCUAGGAAUUCAAAUAGAUCAACGACCAGGAGUCACCUAUAUCCAUCAGAAGAAGUACACCUUGGAACUUCUGAAGAAGUUCAACAUGAGUGACUGCAACAUCUCUAAGACUCCAAUGCAUCCCACAUGCAUUCUUGAGAAAGAGGAAGUUUCCUCUAAGGUUUGUCAGAAGCUCUAUCGUGGAAUGAUAGACUCUCUCCUUUACUUAACUGCCUCUAGACCUGAUAUAUUGUUUAGUGUGCAUCUCUGUGCUAGAUUCCAAUCAGAUCCUAGAGAGACUCACUUAACUGCUAUUAAGAGGAUCCUCAAAUAUCUGAGAGGAACCACUAACCUUGGCUUGAUGUAUAGAAAAACAUCAGAGUAUACACUUUCAGGUUUUUGUGAUGCUGACUUUGCUGGAGAUAGAGUGGAAAGGAAAAGCACUUCUGGAAGCUGCCAUUUCCUUGGAUCUAAUCUUGUCACAUGGUCAAGCAAGAGACAGAACACAAUUGCUCUAUCAACUGCAGAAGCAGAAUAUGUCUCAGCUGCCACUUGCUGUACACAAACCAUAUGGAUGAAGAAUCAUCUAGAAGACUAUGGCUUGUCUAUGAAGAAGGUUCCUAUUUACUGUGACAACACAGCUGCUAUCUCACUCAGCAAGAAUCCCAUUCUACACUCAAGAGCAAAGCAUAUAGAGGUAAAGUACCAUUAUAUUCGUGAUCAUGUUCAGAAGGGCACUUUAUCAUUAGAGUAUGUUGAUACUGACCAUCAGUGGGCAGAUAUUUUUACUAAGCCCUUAGCAAAAGAUAUGUUUUUAUUUAUUCUUGAAAACCUGAACAUGGAUUUUUGUCCAGAGUAAGGUUUUCUUCAGAACUUCUGACCCUGGUACCUCUGAAGUCAUCAGAUGUUACUUCUUCAGAAGUUACUCGAUCAGAAGCACUUAACCCACCGGUUAAACUUCUGUGGUAGGCAACAAUACACGUGUCACUUCAUUUGUGACAUAGUUCCUUGAGUCACGUGGUGUAUCUGCUAUAAUGAUGAUGCCUACUCUCCUCUACUAUGCUAUAUUCAGACCAUCUAUUUUAUAACCGUUGAUUUUGCCUUUAAUUUCUUAAAACUGUCAACGGUUACCAUUAAACCCACUAUAUGCACUGUCACACACGAUCUUCCACUCACUUACACUUACGGUUUUGAAACUAUUCGUGUGCAUUGCAUUCAUUCAUACUUCUCCCUCCAACAUUUCCCCUUUCUCUCUGAACCCUAAACCUCAUUCUCUGAGAAUCAUGGGCAAAUCGAGGAAACCCAAGGUAAAUGUUUCUGCUUUUUCCAAACAAACUGCCGAAGAACAAGAGAAUCAAAGAAUUGAAGAAGCACAGAAGAUUCUGAAUGCACCAAAUGUAGUCACUUGUGCCAAGAAAGUAGAAGAACUGAAUGUGUGCUGUGAAGCAAGAGUUGAUUUUGACAAUCUGGCUCAACAUGGGUUUGACAUAAAGGACCAAGUCAACUUGCAAGGGUGGUCUGGCUACUUCAACAGGCUCUGUGGUCCGAUCUAUCACAAAUUGGUUGUCGAGUUCUGGAAAAACGCAGUUUGCAACGACUACUACGUCGUCUUUCAUGUACUGGACAAGAAAAUUGUGAUCUCUGAAGAAUCCAUUGCAAAGCUGCUGGGUAUGGAGUUCCACCAAGGUAAAAGGAUUAAAAAUGUUGAUGCAAAUGUUCCUGGGAUGAGGACCGUGGUCAACAAGGAGCUUUAUGAUAACUGGUCUCAGGAGAAAACCAAGUAUAACAUAAAGGACUUGAAGUCUCAGAUGAAGAUUUGGCAGAAGAUCUUCAUUCACUGCAUUCACCCCAGAACUGGAGGAACUGAUUACCUGAAUGCAACUCAAAAGGUAAUCAUGUACUACAUCUCCAUAGGUGAGCCUAUAUGUCUGCAAUUCCUGCUCUUCAAUUAUCUAAAGGAAUGCGUUGAGAAAUCUAGGACCACAACUGGUUCUGAGAACAAGAGGUUCAUUUCCUACAUUCCGUAUGGAAGGUUGCUGUCAGACAUCUUCGUCCAGAAUAAACUUGUUAAGACCCUGUCAGACCUUGGACUUCAUGAAGAUCUGGCCAUGUCUAUUGGCGAUGCUCUCAAUGCAACAAAGCUGAAGAAAAUGCAGAUCAUUGAGAAAGUUCAAGUUGCUCCCAGAGAAGACACUUCUGAUGAAGUUCGUCAGAGGAACUACCCUAUUGAUGAUUUUCCUCUUUGGUCCAAAAAGGACAAUCCAGCAUGUAUUCUGGAAUAUGUGCGGAUGCUCAGAAGACAAGGAGAUCCUAUCACUCUUGAGGAAUUUGUUCAAGCACUUCCUGAAAGCCCUCCUAAGUUGGCAACAAGGAAAUCAAGAAGGGCAGCAAGCAGCAAGCCUUCAGAUCCUAAGGGCAAAGGGAUUCUGACACAGGAACCUACAAAGAAGAAACCUGCAUCCAAGACUGUGGUCAUCAGGGAACCCUCUCCUGAAAGACCUUCCAAGAGAACCUUAGUUCAACCACGUCAAGUCUCUGAAUCUGAAAGCUCUGAAGACACAUGGGAAGAUUCCUCAAGCGAGGAAACUGAAGAUAAUGAUAUUCCUGUGGCUAAGAGAAGAAAAGUUACUCUUGAGGAAGAGGAAGAUGAGCAGGAUGACCAUGAGAUCAUCCAGAAUGUGCUUCAGGUUAUAAGGGAAUCUUCUGACGCUGAAGAAUCAACUGAUUCUGAUGCUGUUCCCUUAGUGAAGAGAAGGAAGCUUCCUCUGAGGGGUCCACUUCAGCAGAAAGAGGCAGAAGCAGAGCAAGCAUCUGAACCUGCUUCAGAAGCACAACGGGAAAGAAGAUCUAAACGCACUUCUGAUCCAGCAAGGGCUGCAAAACUUACCACAACCACAUCCAUCAGAAGUCCAAGUAAGGUAAUUACUGAAAGCAUUAACUCUGAUUCAGCUUUAGUAGUUAUUCCUGAACAACCCCUGCCUAUAUCUACCUCCAUGCCUACCUCAAACCAAACAGCACCCACUCAACCUGAAACACAAGCUGAAACACAAGCUGAACCUCAAGCUCCUAAAUCAACCAUCCAAACAGCUACCACAGCCAUCCCUUCCAUUCCAAUUUACACCUCUUCCACAUCCAUCCCAACUGAACCAGUACCUCCUUUCAAUUCCUUCAUUCAAGGUAUUGUUCAAAGUGAGGCUACCCUAAGAACCUUGGUUCAACAAUUCACUCCCAAGCCUGCAUCCACUUCACACACCUUCCUCAUAACCCAGACUGGUGAGAUCCCUGCUGAGACAGAAAAGGAGGAUGAUGAUGUUCAGAUCCUUGUACCGCCUUUCAAUGUGAAGCCUCUUCAACAAGUAGCUUCCAACUUUGAAGAUCAGCUUCAAGAGGUCCCUGAGUCAUCCUAUGUGUCCCUGUCCAACUACUCUGCAGUCAACUCCCAGGAUCUGAGUUUCACCUCACCUGAGAAGACUGUUACCUCAAGGCAAAGGCCAGACACAAUCUCUGAAGCUGAGCACAUGGAUGAAUCAGAUCACUCAGGCAUAGAGAAGGACCAUGAGAUUGAGUCCACUCCUUCAGAACAACUCAAACCUGAUAGCUCAAACGCUUCAAGCUCCAAUGCUGUCAGAACUCCUCAGCCUGUUCUGACCUUGGCCACCUCCUUCCAACCUCAGCAUCUUAAUCAACUCAUUCAGGGAUUCUCUGAAGAGGCCACCAGAAGACUGAAUUGGCUGUAUCAGGUAACUGAUAAUCAGUUUGAUGCCUCUCUUGUUGAUGGCCUAUGGUCUGCUUUUGAAAGAUGGUCAGAAGGCAGAGUUCAUGAACUUCAGAAGAAACUUAGCAGAGAGAAACGACUAAGAGUUCAUGAUGCAUCUGAGAGGGCCUAUGAGCAAAGGCAGAGAGUGCUGCACAGGGUUUGUGAACCCUUGAGAAGAGCUAUGGCUGAAAGACCAUGUAUUGUCUCUGAAUGUACCUCAGAAGAUGCUGGAAUGCCUUCAGCAGAGGUUGAAGAAGAAAGCUCUAACGGUAUAGUCAUUCUGGAAGAUGCAGAUAUUAAUGCAGUUGAGCAGCAAGGGUCAAUUCAAGUUGAUACUGCAAUGUCUUCAAAGGCUGAAGUUGCUACUCAUACACAAGCACCAGAAGUUCCUACUUCAGCUCCUGCUCCAGAAGUUGCCAUUCUUGCUGCCCGGAUUGACAGGAUUCGGGAUGAGCAGCAGAGGUUAUUUCAGAUGGUUGAGCAACAAGGACGUGUUCAGAAUGAGCAAAGCAAGCAAAUUCAAGAGUCCUCAAGCAAAAUGGAAGCAAUCAUGAAGUACCUAAUGGACAACCUUCCCUCCACUUCCAAGCCUUGAUUCCCCUCUCUUCUAUCCUGCAUGCAUGUAUCUGCUUUGAAUGCAUUUAUUUGUUAUGACUGAAUUUAUUUCAUGUUGACUGUGUUAAUUUCUUAUUCUCUGAUUCAAUGCACCGUCCAUUUAGUAACUCACAUGCUUUUAUGAUUGAUAAGUUUUAUGCAUGUUUUUCUGUUACUUUUCUUCUUUAUAUUCACUACGUUCAUCUUCUCCUUCUCCAUUCAUAUCCAUUCUCCUCUCUUCUACAUCAAAAUGACUACUGUCGAUUUGAUUUCUGAACUCAAGACUAUGGUAUUCGACCAAGUCUUUCCAUGGAGUGUCAAUCUACUUCUCAGAUCUCUCAAGCUCUUGAGAAGAUUGAGAAUCUCCUGAAAUGUUGGCUCACUUCUCAUCAAACUCACUGUCUUCAGAACCUUCAAGAUGUUCUGAAUGACCUCCUCCGUCUGACCACUCACCGGAAGGAUGUUGAAGAUCAGUUCCAGGGCAUUUGUAUGCUUCUGGAAUAUGAAGAAGAUCACACUGAAGCGGAUCCAGAGGCUGUCCAGAAGAAUGUUGCUUUGAAGGAAAAACUGGCUACUCAGUUAGCCUCAAUUGAUCAGGACAUUCGUCCCCUCCACCUUCAACUUCUCCUCAUGAAGAAUUCUCGAGCUUUCCUAUUUAUCUAGGAUUAGUCCUCUUCAUUCCUCUCAAUCCUCUGUACUUCUUCUCCGUUCAGUAAUAAUAACAUUUCUUAUUUGCCUCACCUUCUUGUUACUGUUAUUGUUGGUUUUGUUUUUCACUCUUUUUGAUUAUGACAAAAAGGGGGAGUACAUAAAAAUGGUUUUGAUAAAAAUUUUAUUAUAUUAUAUAAAACCAGUAGAGGAUAACAAGUAUCAAUACUUAUAGCACAUAGAUAUUGUCAAGCGUCUCAAAUAAGGAAUACAUUUUGUUCAUAUCCUGAACCAAUCUUGCUUCUGACGCCUUAUUCCAAUUAUAUCUGGACAAGACUAUGUUAUUGUGUGAUAUACGCUAAGUUCUGAACCAUCACUUCUGAUGAGUAUACAUCUCUUCAAGCGUAAAAUCUGAUCACAUAACCAGACUCCGAAUCUAGACUAUUCACCAAUUCAUUAAGUCAUAGAUUCAGGGGAAGUCAGGGGGAGACCCUAGCUCAGAAUCAGGUGUCAUCCCAGAUUCAGAAAGAGCAAUGCAAACCGUUACACAAGGAUAAGUUUAAUCUCUGAUCUUUUCCUUCCUGUGUAUUCAGUUUAUUGUGUAAAAAUUGUUCAUCAAAAUACUUGUUUUGUCAUCAUCAAAAAGGGGGAGAUUGUAAGAUCAAGGUUUGAUCAGUGGUUGCAUCUCUAUGUUUUCAUGAUUACAAUUAAGGUUUGUGAUGAUGAACAAUUGUGGUACCCUAACGUUUGUCUUUUUAAGAUGUGACAAACAGGUUCUGAAUCUGACCCAAGCCUAUUCGUUCAGAAGAAGAAGAACCAAGGGUUACUAAAAAGAGAGCCCUUUAACCUACCAUGUUCGUUCUGAACAGUGGCAAAUACUUCAGAAGCUCUGAAGAUGGAAGCUCUCAAGAAGCUCUGAAGAACUCAAGUCAGAAGUUUUGAAGACCAGAUGUUCCAGUGGAACGGUCCAGAAGCAGAAGACUCAAGUUCUGAAGACUUGCAAGAAGUUGGUUCUGAAGACCCAAGCUAUUCUAGCUCUGACGAUCAGAAGUUCUGAGGAACGUGUUCAGAAGCAGAAGUUGCAAGGUCAGAAGAAUCCAAGCUUCAAUCUGACGAUGAUCAGAAGCUUCACCAACGUUCAUCUGAAGCUCCUUGAUCACAAGUCAACUGGUGAAAGGACAGGUCCCUAUCACAGUACAACGUCGUACAUGUCUCAGUCUGUCCGCCACCUACCUUGUACAGCCUAGCAGUCUGAUAUCACAGAAUUGUCACUCCAACGGAUAAAACCCUAGCAGCGGCUACAUCACAAGUCUUGGAGUAUAUAAAGGCUGAAGAAAGAAGAAAGAAGCUAAGAAACUUUGCUGAAAACAUUCAACAUAUACGAACCAUUCUCUUAGCAUUAUUUCUUCACUGUUCUUAAACAUCUGAGUUUACCAUUCGCUUGUUAGAAGCACUUAUUGUAAACCCGAAACCUUUUACAUCACAUUGUAAAGUUCAUCAAGAGACCAAGGUUGGUCGGAUCUUGAGAGGACUGAAUCAAGGCUGAUUCAGUAUUUAGCUAGUCUUAAGAGGAUCGGUAGAUCAGCUUCUUUAGAGGAUACUAGUGAGAAAAUCAGUGUAUUGUUAGUCACUUAGCAGGUUGCAAAGUGCAGUUGUAACACUCAUUGAUUUUAGUGGAUUGCCUUCAUCAGAAGAAGGAAGAAAUCACCUUCACAGGUGGACUGGAUUAGCUUGAGCUUUUAUCUCAAGUGAACCAGGAUAAAAUACUUGCGUGCUUUACUUCCUACCAUUCAGCACUUAUUUUUUAUCUUUGAGUUUUGAAAAAGCUUAAAAGUAUACCCGUGAUUCAAAAACUCUAUUCAAACCCCCCCCCCCCCUUUCUAGUGUUUUUCGCACCUUCAUGGAGAUGGUGAAUGCUAGUGGAAAAGGAAAGUCUUUGGUGCCAAAUCCUAGAGGCUAAGUACAGUGGGGAGGUGAAGGCAAUGGAUUCCUUUUGGUGGAAGGAUCUGAUGUCUGUUUUCCUAGGGGCGGGUCAAGGGGGUUGGUUUCGGGAUGCUAUCAGUAGAAGAAUUGGGGAUCAAAGUGAUGUAUUGUUCUGGGAAGACGAUUGUUGGGGAAUUGGGCCUUUGAAGGUUCUUUUUCCAAGACUUUUUAUUCCAUCUGCACAAAAUAGGGCCUCUAUAUCUAAUAUGGGGAGUGGGGGUGAAGUUAGGUGGUCCUGGAAUUUUGAGUGGGUUAGGGAGUUGUUUUAAAGAGAGGCUUUGCGGGUGGAGGAACUCAAACGUUUAAUCAGGCGCUUCUCCCCUAUAGCGUUGGCUUGGCGGGUCAUCCUUAAUAAAAUUCAAUCUAAAGCCGAUUUAGCCCGUAGGAACGCUCUUCCGUCUUCUGCUGGGGUGGACUGUGUUAUGUGUUAUGGGGAGGAGGAAAGUAUUCCUCAUUUGUUUUUUGGUUGUCAUAUGGCUUGGGGUGUGUGGGCGAAACUUUUCAGGUGGCUUGGCGUGAUUCCAGUGCUGCCUACGGAGGCUAGGGGUCAUUUUCUGCAAUUUGGUCACUGUUCGAGUGGUGGGAGCGCUAGUGCAAGGGUGAUCUUCAUGAUUUGGAUUGCUGUAAUUGGAUCUAUUUGGUAUUAUCGGAACUAUGCAAUGUUUCGUGAUGAAGCAGUGGAGGUAGAGAUGGUGGUGGAAUUGACUCAGUUCAAAUCAUGGUUAUGGCAAAAAGCUUUUAACAGGGACAAAUAGAAGGAAGAAGACGAGAGGAACAGAGAAGAAGAAAAGGAGAGGAACAGAGGAAUAGAGAAGAAGAAAGGAGGAAGAAGACAAAGAAAUUUCAUAGAGAAAGAAAGAGGUGCGGCUAGGUUUCCAUUGAGGAGAGGAAGUUUGGUUUAUAUAUGGGGUGACCUGUUGAGUAGGUAUCCACCCGUUGGGUACCAGUUCUAGAUCAGUUUUGACCGGCUGGAGCCGGUUUUUUCCCGUUUCGGUUGGGGUUGACCGGUUUAACCGAUUUUCAAAUAUUAAAUGAAAUUAAUUUUAUAUUUUAAUUUUAUAAAUAUUAAUUUAAUUAGUUUUUAGUUGGAGAAUUGAUUUAGUAUUAAAUUAUAAAUCUAAAUUGGUUGAAAAUAAAUAUUAUAAAUUAAUGUGGUAUGGUGUGAUACGGGUGGGACGACCCUUGUAAUAGUAAUUUAAGGAAUCAUGAGUUGUAGUAAAACCUACUUCAUUCAAUUUUUUAGGAGUUUCUUAAGACUGAUGUGUUAGUAUGACCUACAUAAAAAGUGCAUAAUAAUGCAGAAUAAUAUUUAAGCAACCAAAUAACGAACCUUUUCCGUUGGAGUUACUCUAAUAACAUGUUCUGUUUUUUACGUGUUUCGAUUCUUACUGCAACGUGAUCUUUGUGUACAUAUGAUUGUACAUUUCUUGCUCCAAUCAUCAAGUCGUGAUUACACUUUUUUAAUUUCAAUCAUAUAUGUUUUUGCAUGUAAACAUAUAUGCUCAAAAUUAUAUUUGGUUGAUGAGUUGGUCAGGGUGAGUGCCAGGUUUGAAGCAUGGGAUAACCCAUGCCACCUGUGCUCUGGGUUAGGCAUGCACACAGCGUACUCAAUUAUAUAUGAUCAUAUCUUACCCAAAAGAAUUAUAUAUGAUCAUAUAUUUCAAUCAUAUAUGUUUAAUUUUCUGAAAGGCGUGUAUUCACGUGUUUCCCCGAUCAUGUUUUGUUUACGUGUUCCAAUUUUUUUAAAUUUUUUUUCGAAAGGCGUUUUCUUCAGUCAGGAUUUCUGUGGAAGUUGCGUCCAUGUGAAUGUAUAUAUUUUGCAGGUCAUUGAUAUCAAUUUGGUUGUUGUGAUCCACGCGGUGUUCUUGAGGAUCAUAUAUAUGUGGUCAUAAACGAUUGAUGAGCCAAUGAUUAUAUGACAUUCACGUUCUAUGCUCAGUUUGGUUGGUGAGGUGAGCACACACCCAACACAUCAUUACAUCAUUUUUACAUAUAAUCAAUUAAAAGAUGAUAUCUGAUUAAAUUUAAAAUAAAUUCUUGGAGUAAGUGUUAUUUUGAAAUAAUUUUUUUUAUUUUAUUCAUAUAUUUUAAAAUUUAAGUUAAUAUUAAUUUUUUAUAUUUUUAAUCAAAUAAUUAAAUUGAGUGUAUGCAGGGUCGGCCAACACCAAAUUCAGCCUAAAAGUGAAUAUUAAAGUGAGACUUUUGUAUUUAAAAAAAUAUUUUUUUAUUAAAACUUUUUACGUAAAACUAUUUUUUUAUUUAAAACUUUGAAGUGAGAUGCAAAAUCAUUUAUUAAAUUAUCAUAAUCAAUUUUAUUUAACAUGUAUUUUUCAAUUGAUAAUAAAGCUAGUUCAUUUAAUUUUUUUGAGACAUGGUUAAUCUAAGAUAAGAUUUUAUUCAUUUUAAUUUUGCGGGUCUUUUUUACUUAGUCAAAAAAAAAAUUGAAGACCUAAAACCCUUGCUUCGGUACCUUUUGCCAGCCUUGAAUGUAGGUAUAUUGAAAGAAAUCUUAUUAACAAUUCAAAUAAUAAAUUAAUGUAAAUAAAUAGUUUUUCUUAUUAUUAUUGUCUUGCUUUUGUAAAUUAAUUUUAAUCUAUGUAUUAACUGAAAAUGAAUUGUUUUUAUAAAUUAGUUUUUGUCAUCACUUCAAUUCUCCUAAAAGUUGAUGUUGUUCCCUCUGCUGCGCUUAUUUGAGGGUUGAAGACUUGAAGGCUUGACCAGAAAACAUUGAAUCAGGCAUGUUAAAUAAGGGAGCAAGUUAGCUUCAAAUAUCAAUAUUUCAAGAAUUUCCUUCAACUAUUGCUUGAGAAUGUCAAUUUUAUAACAUAAACUCGAUGCCUUCUCAUUACUCCCUCUGUUCUAGAAAGCUUGUUGUUUUGAACUUUCUUUCAAUAUUUCAAAAUAUUUGUUGUUUUGGAAAGCCAAUGCAUUUUUUGCUAAUUUUUUUCCAUGUAUACUCUCAUUUAAUAUAUUUUCUCUAACUUAUCACCUUUCAUAUUAAACAACCACAACUGUUCUCUAUUAAUUACAUUAUUCUCUAUCUAAGUAUAAUUUAAUAGUUGCACAUCAUACUAGUAAAAUUAAAUAAGGGCAAUCUAAUCAAAUUAUACUAUUAAUAAUUGAUUUCUUACUUUUUGUGCCACAACCUUAAACUACAAACUUUUUGAACGGAGGGAUUAAUUUCUUAUAAACAAAUUAAAAAUUAUUUUUCAGUAUUGUAAAAGCAUCUCCAAUGGUAGUAUUUAAUGUUAAAUAUUACCAUUGGAGUACAUAUUCAAUUCCAACAUGGCAAAGAUGAGUAUGUGGGAAUAGAUACUCUACACUAGACUUGAAAAGUGAGCUUAAAUUUAUUACAAGCACUUACAAUUAAUAAAAUAUACAAAUGUGAUGUUGAUGGUGGGAUCCACUGUAGAAACUUUUAAGAGUUUUUGGGUUGGAGCAAAAAGUUAGUAAAAUGGUGUAGAUGAUGUGACAUUAUGUGAAAUUGUAAAAACUGAAGUGUAGAUAUUUUAGUGAGUAUGAUGAAUAUAGAUGCUUUAAUACUUCAUCACUAUAAACGAGAUUGGGGUCGUUGUGACCGAGGAGGGUGUGAGUAUAUCUGCAUUUUAUUGCAAGGGCACUUAUUCUAACUCAAAUUAUUUGUUGUUUCAUAAGUGGUGGGAAAUAAGGUGAGAGAAGGGAUGCAAGAGUUUAACAUUUAAGAUGAGAGAAGUAAUUUUAUUGGAUGUGAGUUUUUAAUUCGUUGUGUGUAUAGAUGAUGUGUUAGGUGUGCGCUCACUCAAGAAAUCAUGCACUUUGGUUUUAGUGAAUAUUGACUCCUUUGACUAUAUAUGUUAGAGUAAAGGUAUAAUGGUCAUAUUAGUCCCUCCGUUUGUAACGUAAUUUAAUUUUGGUCCCUCCUCAAAAAAUAUUUUGGUUCACGUCCCUCUGAUUUCACCUAAUUUGAAUUUGGUCCUCGUCGUAGGUGGAGCUCCCACGAGACUGUUGAGCGGUAGGAGGGAGCACAUGUGGCAUUAUCCAUGUCAUUUUGAAUGAAAUUUUAAUGACAUGGAUAAUUGAUUAAUAAUUAAAAAAAACCUUGAUCCUAUUUUUUAACCAUAAUCUUUCAACUUCAUUUUCAUAUCUCAAUCUUUAUAAAAAUUUCAUUCCAUCGGCUCUUUACAAUCAAAUAAUCUCCAUCAUUUUUGUUCAUCUCCAUCCCCAUCUUGAUUCCCUCCUUAUGUGCAAUUUUUCCCUUCUCUCACUCUCUCAAAUCCAAUUCCGGUUCCCCUCUCCUCUUCGACCCUAACACACAGAUUGAUCCCUUGCAAAUCGGGCUUUCCAGAACACACAAAGCCUUGGUUCCGAGAACACACAAAACCCAAGUAUUCGCACCCGUGCAGAUUAGGCUUUUCAAAACGUCGUCGAACCACCCAAAAUCGAAGCGCUGGCGGUUGAGGAGUUGGCUUCAAUGGCGAUAGCAGUGAUUGCUCGGAUCGAUGGAAAAUGGCCGAGGGUUCCUGUCCAAGAAGAAAUGUACGAUGGAAAGAUGGCUUCCAUGGAAGCAGGUGGUGAAUCAUUUUCCACUCUAGUUUAGGUUCAGUUAUGUAAAGGUGAAGAUGAAGAGGAUCUGCCUUCGACUGCGGAAAGAGUUGAAGAUGGUCUCGAUGUAGCGAUUCCAAGCAAAGAUUGAAAGAUUGAAUUUCAUUAGACGUGAUGUCCUUCUUCUAGAUGUGAUUGUAUUUCCAUUUCAUUUUUUCCCAUUUCUAGAUCAGGUUGAGUUAUGUAAAGUUGUAAACCUUGGCCAAAGCCUUCCGAAAUCAAUUGAGGUGCAAAGUCGGACGUGGAAAUGCGGUGAGAUUUUGGCUUGAUCCUUGGAUUGACAUAGUUCCCCUCCAUAUGUAUUUUCCUCGUAUCGUUGCCUUGGCAGUCAACAAGAAUGCUUUUAUUAGUGAGAUAGGACUAUGCUCGGGUAGAUUGUGGACUUGGGCAGUGGUACUAAGAAGACAAUGUCUUUGCUAGGACCUAGAUGAAGAAUUGGGGUUUUAUGCUGCAAUCAACUCAUAUUUACCGGCUAUGUUUAGCAUGUAUAGCUGAUAAGCUAGCUGAAAGCUGAAAAGCUACGUGAUUGAAACAAAAGUGUUUGGUAAAACUAGCUGUUAAACAAGCUGAAAUUGUAAAAGGACAUACUUGUAUAAUUAUUUUUAUAUUUAACAUUACUUUAUUUUCACAUUAAUACCUAUAUGAUAUUGAUAUUAAAAUUAUUAUCACUUUAAAUAUUUUUAUUAACUCAAGUUAUUUAUCAUCUUAAAAAUAUAUAAUUAAUUUUUACUUAUUUUUAUUAAUUUAAUAUUUUUAAUACUUAUGGUGCACAGCGGUGUGGCGGGAACUACAUACGUAAGUGUGAGGUAAAAAUAUGUUUAGUGUUUUUAUAAAUAUAUAAGGGCAAUGGUGGAAUUUUAAUAAAAUAAUAAGGAUAAAAAUGAGAAUAAAUUUAAUAAGCUAUAAGCUUUAAGCUAUAAGCUACCUGAGAUAGCUUAUAGCUUAAAGCUUUAAGCUACUGAAAUAAGCUCAUUAGGAAUAUGAAAGGCAUCAUGGUGCAGAGUCUUCUGUUCAAUGGAACUACAUAUAGCUUUUUACAGAGAAACAUCCUGGUGCUCACCUUGCCAAAAAAUACUAUCCUCACCUUGACUUGGUGGCUAUGUUUGGCAUGUCAUUUCAGCUAGCUUAUAGCUUAUUUGACUAGCUUAAAACUUAUUUGACAAGCUUAAAAGCUCUUCAAAAGUGUUGGGUGAAUGUUGGGUUCAGGGUUUGCUUGUUUUGGGCUGAAAAAGAAAGAAAUUUCAAAACCCUAGCCCACCUAUAGUGUAGCCGCAAGUGAUAAGGGUUGAAGGGGGGGGAGAAGCCCUUAUUUUUCCUCCUCAUGCAGAAAUAGAAGUGUUGCACUCACGUAAGAAAAAUAGAAGAGAAGAAAAGAAAAGAAAGAAGAGAGAAAGAAGGGAGAGGCCGAGAGAGAGAAUCGAGUAAGAGAGGGAGAAGAAGAGAGGGAGCAGCCGAGAGAGAGGGAAAGGAAAGGAGAGGAGACUUGAAGAGAAAGCAGCAGCAGCCCUAGCGAUUAACCUGGAGCUAGCCGCUGCCACCUCCUUGCACCCUAGCAUCGCCGGCCGCCGCACGCACGAAGAAGGGAAGCCACGCGAGAGAGAGAGAGAGAGAGAUCGAGGGAACGAGAGGGAGAGAUCGAGCGGAGAAGAAAGAAAGGGAUUGGACAGUAGCUGUUGGGUUCUUUUUACAGCAAAGAAUUCUUCUUUCAUCAAGGUUUUAGCAAGGUAAGGGCUUGUUCUUAGGAAAAGGGUAGAGUUAGGGCUUUAUCAUGAUUGUUUUGUGAUGUUGUGAUUCUUGGCAUACUUUUAUGAAAUCUUGUUGGUUCUGGAAAUUAAAGCAUGUUAUGAGACACAUGUUAACUGGAUUUUUGUUGUUGGAAUAUUGCCUUAAACCUUGUGCUUAAUUGGUUUAUAAAUUAAUUUAGAGGCGGAAGGUUCAGGGCCUAUUAUCACCCGUUUCUGGAUCUCGGAUGAAAAAGUGUUUAACUAGAGAGUUAUAGAUCUUUAAAAUAGCUUUUCAGAAAGGUACCAUACGUGAUUCUUGGUUGGAAGAUGCGUCCUGUAGACCAGUUUCAAUGAAUGUUGUCCCUGCUGUCAAAAGCUAAGUUGCGAAAAUGUUUGAAGUUUUUGUUUAGGAAUAUGUGAUUAGGAGAUUCUAUGAAUUUCUCUUGAUGUUUUGUGAAUAUAAUUGUUGCUGGAAAUUUGUGCAGUGGAUGCAUGCUUAUUAAUACACAUUUGAUAUACUUGCCGUGGAUCUAUGAUUUUAUGUGAAAUUCAUAUGACUACUUGCUAGAUUGGCUUACUUUUCAUUUGUUUCCAACAUGACGUUUGAUGAUUGAUCAGAUCUGGAAAUUUUGGGUAAUUAUAUUGAUGUUUGAGGGCUGAUCUAAGGCUAGUGCACUUGAAAAGGAAGAAGGAAAUGUUUUUGAAAAACCCUAGAGCCAUGUACAUGGUUCGACCGAACCUAGUUUUAGGGUUCAGGCCAUUCCUCUUCUUCGUUUUCAUGCACCGGUUGUUAGACAUCUCGUUUGGUUAACUUGCCAUGUUUAUGUGUUUGAGGAGCAUGCGAGUAUGGUUAGGAAUAUUUAUGUGUUAUGAAUAUUGCCUGACUGAGGAACCAUGGGUCGCUCAUCUAGCCGUAAUUCCCAUUGGUGUUGUGAAUAUCUAUUGUUGUUAUUAUUAUUAUUUGUCGUUAAAGUUGCUAAGACUCUAGGACUGACUUUAGAGCCUUAAAAACAAAGAGAAUGAGACUUAACUCGCUGGCAAGUAAAUGUGAUUAAUCGGACAUAGGUCUAGUGAAGACUAUGGGCCAUGAGAACGAUGGUGCCGUUAGAGACAAACGGUAGCUUGCACGCGAGGGAGAUUUUGUGGAUCGGUGGGUCCUUGUGAUUUGAUUGACUGCAGUCACCGUGAGAAUUGUGAAUUGUGGAUCAUUGCGUAUCCAUGUGAUUGUACAUUUGCGGAUGUAUGUGAUUGGUCAAGGAGUUUUGGUGGGUUGUGUGAUGUGAGGAAACGUUAGUCUAACUGAGAAGUAGGUUACUAACUCAAUUAAUGCUAUUAAUACAAGAGAAGUUAUGACAGGUGGUUAUGUUCAUAUGAUGAAAGUUUAUAUGAGAUGUGAUUAUGUUUAUGCAUGAUUUGUUGUGGAACCUGACUCUUGCACUACUUGUUUAUGUGUUUAUUUGGGGGGGGGGGGGUAGAUGGUCGUGAAGAUAACAACGACGACUCAUUCUUGGGAGCUAAUACUACGUGACGAGCCACUACCGGAUGACGACUAUACUCCUGAUGAAGAGGAAGAAGAUAAAGAGGAAGGGGCCAAGGAUAUGGUUGGGUUGAGAGACAUCUACUUUUCCUUUUGGGUUGAGAGUACCGAGUUUUGGAAGCAUUGAACCAUUACUUUAUUUUAGUUGGGAUAUUUUAACUUGAUGUAAUUUACUUUGAAGUUUUCUUUCAGAUAUUUAUUUCAUACUCUUUUCAAUGAUUAAUAAAGUUUGAGGUUUACGUUGAUGAUUAUUUCCGCAAGUUCGAAAUGGUUAAAUUUCAAGAAUUUUGUAAAAUUAAACUUUUGUCACUAAUUGAAGAUUAAUGAAUUAAACGACGAAAAUUCACGACGUUUUGGUUACUGUGUGACACUCGAGAAAUCGGGGCGUUACCGUGAUUGCCUAUGAAUAUAAACAUGAUAUGUCGAACAUGAUAACAAGUUGUUAUUAUGAACAUGCCUUAUAUGAUAUGCUUGAGUUGCUAGCUUUUAUUAUUGAAUGCAUGCAAGUAAUUGUUGUGAUUAUGAAACGUUUGAGAUGCGGACAUGCAUGGAUGCCUUUGAUGACUAACUUUCAUGACAUGAGUCUUUAAUCAAGUCCAGUGGAUUAGAUGGCCAUGAUCGAGUCCAGGACGAGCUAUUUUGUGGUGUGCUUCAAGAGUCACGAAGGUCCCGGUUAAGUACCAAAACGGAAGACAGUGGUGCGUUAGCAGUUGGCUAACCCCGAUUGUGGACCAGGGAAGCAACAAUGCAUUUGUGAAGACUAACCUCAAUCGUGGAGUCAUCGAAAUACGACAGUGCAUUAGUAGUUGGCUAACCCUUGUGUUUUUUCUCGCUUACCCGAUAGUAGAGCUGGCGUUAAUGGAUAUCUGAAAUUAGUCUACAUUUUCACGGCCAUACAAACUAACCAAACUUAGAGCUCUUUGCUAGUUCCUCAUACUUGUUGAAUGUUAGCUUAAGGAAUGAUAUAUUUGAUAGCAUAUUAUACCUUACUUAUUGACUUGUUAGGAGUUGGUAUUUGUUUGUUUGUUUGUUGUUUGCUAUUUGCGGCGCUUAACACCUAGAUCUCGAGACUAACGCAUGCAAUCAGCCGGGAUACGACCCUGCCAGGGGCAGUUUAUCUCCCAUACCUACUGUCACGCAGUUCUGAGGAUGUCAUAUCUUCCACAUCUUUUUGCACCACUAGCGGGAGAUAAUGUGAUAGGGUCGCUGAGGAGGAAUCUAGCCAGGAUCUAUCCUCCUCACUGAUAGACAAUCUGAUCGUGGAUUAUGAGGACUGCGCUACAAGUUAGGGUUUUGAGUGUGAAUAUUAAGUCUAUUGUGGAUGUGAGCUGAUUUCCCACUAGGGUCUGAACUUAACUUGCGGUUCUUCCUACGUGAUGACUCUGCGAGAGACUAUCUGAACCUUUACCAUCACACACACACAUUCUACACUUAUUCUCUAAGAUCGAAAAGUCAAGUCAAACUUAGCUUCUUCUUCUAGCUAAUUAACUAGACUAUAUAUGCACAUGCAUCACUCAAAAAUGUCCAAUUUGAAACAAGUUUCAAGUUCUACAAAUAACACCUCAAACUUUUAAGAAAUUAAGUUCCAAUCCUCUACAGAACAAAUAAUUAUAAUGAAGUCCAUAAACUUUCCAAAGUUUACAUUUUCAACCCAAAACUUCUAUAAUUUCAAGUUUUAGUCCCAAAUUUGCUAUCCAUGUGUUUAAAAGUUCUAGUUUUGUUUAUUUCAAAAUAAUGUAAAUGCUCAAUUUUUUGAAUUAUGUGAAAAGUGAAAUAAGUAUUUUUUUUUCGAAAGAAAUUAUAUUAAUGGGAAAAUGUAAAAUCAAUAAGAAUGAAGGUUAGCAAGAUUAAUGAAGGUUUGAAAUGCCUAGGCUGACUCCAAGGUUGAUUAUGUACAUGUCUCAAGGAUCACUAUUCUUUGGUUCAUAUGAUUUUUUUAAGAGGGUAUUUGAUCUCUUGAGGACAGACAAAAUUUAAAUUUAACCAAAAGUGUGUCAUCAGAAGUUGUAGCAGCAGCACCCCCAGGGCUUUGAAUUUGAUAGUAGUUCGCAUUCUUGUUAAUAUAUUAGUGUGUGGGGGAAAUGUUCAAUGGUGCCACAAGCAGCAGGGAGGUCCAUGAACUUUGUAUAUUUAUCAUGUAUAUGAUAGCGUCCAGUAGCAGAGGAAAAAUUGGUUAUCAUAUUUUAGGUAAAAUAUUACAAUUACAUUAACUUUGCAAUGUAAAAGCAAAGUUAAAAAAAAAAGACGGAAUAUCAACUUUUGACCUGAGGCAGAGGUUUAUAGUACUUUUUGUAUAGACUUCCACGUCCUUGAUGGUUCCUUAUGGGAUAAUUUUUUUCUCUUUUCAAAUGAACGCAAGCAGUUACGUAAGCAUGUAAAAAAAAGACCUUUAAAUUAAUCCUCUAAAUUUAAUGCAAACUCAAUCGAAACAAUGAAAAUUAGUAACACACAAGAUGUGCGACGGAAAUGUCCUUUUCAAGUGCCCAAUGUUUUUUUAUUUAAUUAAAACAAAAAAGAAUGUAAUUACUUGUUUACGUGACUUAAUAUAAUUGGAUGUCAAGUAGAACUGUUUGACAAUAACAUGUAUAUUACAAUUAAACUCGUAUUUUUAAUUUCAAAACAAAACUUUUAGGUUUAGCUAAUAUGUCAAAUAUAUUAGAAAAAUGAGUAGAAUAAGUUGCUCAAAGUAGUCAUGGGUUUGCGAGGGAAAUGUACUUUUCAGGUGUCCAAUAUGAUAUAAAAAUGAAGCCUUGAUCUUCUUUUCUUUACUUUUUUAAACACUCCUAUAGGCUAUAACUAUAAAUGCAAGUCUUGUAUAUAUUAGAAAAAUGAGAGAAUAUAUAUUAGAAAAAUGAGAGAAGAAGGUAAAGGUAGUCAUGGGUUUGCGAGGGGAAAUGUACAUUACAGGUGUCCAAUGAUGUAAAAGUGCAAGUCUGAAAGCUAAUUAUUUUAUUUUGUAGCACUGACAAGUUUUUUUAUUUAAUAGGCAAUAAGAACAAGUGAUAUUCAUGAGUUGAAUCACGUGGGGGGAAUUUCAUAUACAUUAAUAAUCCCUUACCUUGCAAAUCUUGGUCUUUUUAUUUAAUUAUCAUUAUUAUUAAUUCUACACCAGUUAAGCAAACGUACAGUUGUCCAAUUAAUCAUUUUAAAAUGCAAGUCUUGGGUUUCUUUCCUUUAUUUUUUUAAUUACUCGCUACGAUUUGUACUGAUUCGCAUAUCCAUGCAUUAAAAUGUUCAAGUCUUGUCUUAUUAGGUAGAUACACGCAUACCUAUUUGCUGAUUAUAUUGCGACAUGAUCUGAUCAUCUGCUGUGAUGAAGUAUAAUCAUUAGUCUUCUUAUUAUUUACAAUCUUUACGUGAUAUUGUUGUUUUUUUAAAGUAUAAAAGAAUGAAUGAAUAAAUAGCAGCAAAAGAGGGAUGCUACAGCCAUAUACAAAGAGGGAAAAAAAAUGAUAGAGAAAUUACACUCCACGUCAUUUGCUGCUUAUUACUUACGAAUUUUGUUUCUCAUCUUUUCAUAAAUAUUUUUUUGUGAAUUUUAUUUCAAUUUUAAGUAAACUUCCGGGAUAUUUAAAUGUAUAAAUAAUUCUGCAAAUAAUGAGAGCAAUUCCACAGAUAAAGUGUGUCCAGGUCUGUGAUAGUUUGUAUUUUUUAUAAUAUAUUAGUGUGUGAUUUCAAUGGUGCCACAAGCAGCAAGCAGGUCCAUGUACUUUGUAUAUUUAGUCAUGUAUUAUGUAUAUGAUUGCGUCCACUAGCAGAGGAAAAGUUGGUUAAUAGUAUUUUUUGUUUAGAGGUCCUUUUCUUUGCAUUACCUUCCACGUCCUUGAUAUGAUUCAAUUCCUGUUACGGGAUAAUAAUUUUCUCUUGUCAAAUGAAGGCAAGCUCUGACUUAAGCCUAUAAAGGAAACACCUUAGCUUUAUAUGAUUUUAUCUAAAAAAAAAAGAGAAGUAUGAAAAAAUUAGUGAAAAUGAAAUGAAAAAUAGAGAUAUAAAGAAGAAGUCGGUGAAAAUGAGAUAAAAAACAGCUUAAAGUGUUUUUAAUAAGUUACCUCAAGUACCUAGCUUAUAGGUUAAAGCUCAUUGAAGUUAUUUUGAUUUUUAUCCUUCUCAAAUUAAUAAAAUUCUAUUAUUACCCUUUUUGCAUUUAUAAAAUUACUAAACCCUCAUUAUUUUAAUUUUAAAAUAAUUAGAGUUCAAUUCCAAUUUUUAAUAUAGAAAUCUAAAUAUACUUUAUUGAUUUAGACUGUUUUCUUUUUUCUUUGUAUUUGGGAUUGGAGUACCCCUUCUACUCCUAUUUAUUCAAUUCAUUGGCUUAUAAAAAAAAUUAAUUUACACAAAUAUAAGCUUACUUUAUUAAUUAAAAUAUAGAUUUAAUUUUUUUAUUCAAUUUAAUUCAAUAAAAAUAAGAAAAUACGAAAAAACUAAAAAAUAAUACUAUAAUCUGAAGUUGAUAAAUAAUUUGUACUAAUUGAAAUAUUUAAAGUGAUCACUAUUUUAAUUUUAAUAUCAAAUAGGUAUUAAUGUGUAAAUGAAAUAAUGUUAAAUAUAAAAAAGUUAUACAAUUUUGUCCCUUUAUGUCAAUUUACAAUUUUAAUAUGAUAGAAACAUAGUUUGAUGAUCGUUGUCCUUCUGCCAUUCAUCCUGAUUUUAAUUUUAAUAUGAUCGAAACAUAAUUUUAAUAUGAUCGUUGUCCUUCUGCCAUUCAUCCUAAUUUUAAUAUGGGCGAGUUAAUAUGCAAAUUGAUGGAGAUACUAUUUCUGAAUUCUUAGCCCAUAUGACGUGUUUAAAGAUGAGCUUUUAAUAUCAUGUGUUAUGAUUAGAUAUAUUGUUCACUGGGUGCUAUAUAUUUUGAACUGCAUGUAUAUGUUGAAGAAACUCAAAGUUGGCAUGCAACUGAAAAGGUUGCUAUAAGAAAGGAGAAAGAAGCAGCAGCCUCACAAAGUGAGGCAAAUGGGUUUAGUUGGCCGGCCGGAGAAGAUCCAUGGUUUUUACUGCUUGCCAAAUGCCAAUUAUUGUCAGUUGUGAUUUUAGGAACUUCUUGAAUCUGGUACCUGUAGGGGAUUCAAGCACCUCGAUUAGAUAAUGUAGUAGAGCGAGAAAUCACAGAUAAAACACACAACAUCUUAGUCACACAGUUUGGCCAAAUUGCCUACCUCUGCGGCUAUAGAGUAGUUAUAACUCCUUUGUAUUACUUGUGGCAUGAAGCAUGUGGUACCAAGUACAACUUUUAGAGUUACAGAGUUUACCUAUUUUUAGGAUACUACUAACCCUAGUAAAACAUCAUAAAAUCCUUUUAAACUCAUACACAAUCCCCUUAAAUUAAAUCCUAAUAAACUGAAUAGUUUUAACCCAAAAUAAAGCAGAAAGGAAUCUGAAACAAAUCUUUCUGAUUUUUUCUCUUUCUAAUUUGUAUUACUUGUGGCAUGAAGCAUGUGGUACCAACUACAACUUUUAGAGUUGCAGAGUUUACCUAUUUAUAGGAUACUUCUAACCCUAGUAAAAUAUCAUAAAAUCCAUUUAAACUCAUACACAAUCCCCUUAAAUUAAAUCCUAAUAAACUGAACAGUUUUAACCCAAAAUAAAGCAGAAAGGAAUCUGAAACAAAUCUUUCUGAUUUUUUCUCUUUCUAAUGAGCCAAAAACCCAACAAUCUCCACUUUGGCGAAUUCUCAAACUGCCUGUGAAGAUAUCUGCCUCAGUCUUCAGAACAUCGAUUCCUUGGGAUUGUACUCUCCUCAUGCUUAACACCGAGAACUUUGUAACAAGUUCAAGCCCGGCUCAAACCUGUCACUGGUGACUGGCAUGGUCAAUAGUAGCACUACCUUGCAACCGAACUCCACCUUGCUCAACACCUUGUUGCUUCACUCCGCCACCUUGGCAUCCAUCCACUUCUCCUUCCCUGGCGUGGCCAUUGCCUCUUGAAAGUAGACAGAUCUCCACCUUAUUCUGUGUCUUUCAGAUCCGUCGGUUUCUCCUCUCACAAAGACUUUUACAAUCCUUGUUGAUCUCCCUUCGCAGCGGAAGAUAUCAGCCGUCACUGUGGUUACUAACCAUCGGCCUCUCCGCAUAAGUUACCCGACCGUUACCAUGGUUACUAACCAUCGGCCCCUCUGCGAAUGUUGUCCAGCCGUUACCAUGGUCCACGAACCAUCAGCUCUGAUACCACUUGUAGGAGAUCCAAGCACCUCAAUUGCACAAUGUAGUAGAGCGAGAAAUCACAGAUAAAGCACACAACAUCUUUGGUCACGCAGUUCAGCCAAAUUGCCUACCUCUGCGGCUAUAGAGUAGCUAUAACUCCUUUGUAUUACUUGUGGCAUAAAGCAUGUGGUACCAAGUACAGCUUUUAGGGUUAGAGAGUUUACCUAUUUAUAGGAUACUACUAACCCUAGUAAAACAUCAUAAAAUCCUUUUAAACUCAUACACAAUCCCCUUAAAUCAAAUCCUAAUAAACUAAACAGUUUCAACCCAAAAUAAAACAGAAAAAAAAUCUGAAACAAAUCUUUCUGAUUUUUUCUCUUUCUAAUGAGCCAAAAACCCAACAGUACCAAAGGAAACGUUUACAAGGCUCCAUUUUAUGAUGGCAUAGGAUUUUAUCACAUGGGGAAUGGUUUGGAGGUAGGCUUUGUGCGUAUAUUUUGGGGUUAUUAAUUUAUGGGUGGUAUGCUACAGUGCAGUAGUUUUUUGGGGUUAACUUCCCCUUCUCUCACUCCCCGUCGAUUUGCAUCACUGGUUGUAUUAGCCAUAGUUUUAAUGGCUAGGAUGCAUAGGCUGAUUAUUUUAUGGAAUUGAGGUGUGUUAGUUGGGCUCGUUGGCGUUGGUUCUGAGUGUGGUGGGUUCAUGCUGCUUAUGCUCUUUGGGUUGCAGUGUCAUUGGCUUUGCUUUAAAUUCGUUGUGUGGUGUUCUGGUCCAGCUGAAUCAGAGUAUGUAGGAAGUCCUUUAUAACCUGGAAAUAUGGUUCAGUUUUGUUGCUGCCUUUGGUCAAUGUCAUGUGCUAAUUCGCGUUCCCCCAAUGCCGAGAUGAGGUUAUUUUUUGUUGGGUUUGCGAGGCUUCCUCUCGCCGCAUCUAGGUCUCUAACAGAUGCCUCUUCUCAUUGGUCGUUUAAUGCUUUGAUUAGGGGUUGAAUGUUCUAGGAAUGAACAUUCAAGAGAGGGGUGGUACCUAGAGAGUGGAAGAAUGUGCUUGAGGGAGAAAGAGAAUGAGAGAGAAAGUGCUGAAUUUCAUGUGUUAUUUGAUAAAAAUGAGCUAAAAGUCCUUUACAAUUGGUAACUACCUCCUAUUUAUAGAGCUUGGGCACUACCUAUUGGGCCAAUUGGGCCUCCGGAGUCGAGGCCCAACUUAAGGCUCGGCUCUCGCUCUUGGGCGGGCUGAACCCUGGGCGUUGCCUCCCUAGGGGCUCGCCCAGUCCACAAGUCCACAAGACACCGAGCUCGAAGUAUAAGAGCUAAGUGUGUCUUUUAAAUGCUCUUACAUGCACUCUAUUGCGUGCUGGAAUCUAGGCUGCCAACAUGGCUUGAGGAAAAAAGAGGGAAACUACGUCGCCGACAUGGCGUAAGCAAAGGAAAUAAGCAUCUUUAGUCACCCAGUCCACUGGUCUUGGCGAGCAACCCAAACUGGCAAGUCCACAGGUCCACAGGCGGCGGGAACGAUUGCUUUGUACCGACGAUUAGUUGGAGUCAGUGGGCUAGGUGGCAGGCGUUAGCCAUGCACUGAUCAUCCAAGCGUUGGCUGGCGAUGCCCUUGGCUGGCGGCUAAACUUUCAUUGGCGACAUUGCUUGUUAGGCGAUGGCGUUUACUCUUUAUGGUGGCGAGGUGUUUGGAUCUCCCGGCGGCGAGGCCUUUCGCGCUUGCCCUUAUUUCAAAAACUUUUUAAAUCCCUAACUGCUCCACGUGAUACGUCAGUUACGUCAGUUUCCCCUUUCUCCGCAACCGUCACCUCACUCCUCAUAACUGUCCAAUCAUGCGCAGUAACUCCCCAUCACACGCGUCCCACUUCCCAAGAGCCAUCAUGACCUCCAACCUUCCACACGCGUCCACGACGCGUCACCCUUCCAACUUUCCCCCUUGCCUAUAAAAACCCUUUUCCCCUACAAUCAUCCCUUUCCGAAACCUCUCUUUACUUCUCUUAUCGCUUACCAAGCUCCCUCUUCCAACUUCCGUUCUGGUGCCGUCGUCUUUCACCCUUUCUGCUACCCACUCUUCACGUCCUUACCCGGUGAAUCCUUGUUCCCUUAUCUCUGCAUCUUAUCUCUACUUAUCUUUUAUUUUCCCUCACUUAGUUUGUCAGAGAUGGCUUCAAACCCUAACUCCCCUAAUCACACCUCUUCCUCUUCUGAGAAUGACCCCGAUUCUACCGCAGCCGGCGGCCUCCGUCUAGAGGUCCCGGAGAUUCCCCAAUACCGAUCGAGAACCUUUGCAACCCUGCCCCUUCCAGUCCAGAUAGCACCCUCCCACGAAGCGAUAGACCAACCCUCCGUUUUCCAGGAUAGGAAACUUAUCGUGGAAUUCGUGAGUAACCUUGGUGGUUUGUCAGACGAUGAUGAAAUAAACGACAAACUCAGGAUUUGGCCCUGCAGUGCUGAGGACCGCCCCUGGCUUCAUAGGGUCGACGACGAUGUGAAGAGAUCCCAUUUUUUCUUUGUAUAUGAAUAUAUGUUUGGCGAGCUUGGAGUCAGGCUUCCUUUUUCGCCCUUCGUUCAAACCGUUCUCCGCGAUAUCAAUGCGGCUCCUUGUCAACUCCAUCCCAACGCCUGGGCCUUCAUCCGGUGCUUCGAGAUCNNNNNNNNNNNNNNNNNNNNNNNNNNNNNNNNNNNNNNNNNNNNNNNNNNNNNNNNNNNNNNNNNNNNNNNNNNNNNNNNNNNNNNNNNNNNNNNNNNNNNNNNNNNNNNNNNNNNNNNNNNNNNNNNNNNNNNNNNNNNNNNNNNNNNNNNNNNNNNNNNNNNNNNNNNNNNNNNNNNNNNNNNNNNNNNNNNNNNNNNNNNNNNNNNNNNNNNNNNNNNNNNNNNNNNNNNNNNNNNNNNNNNNNNNNNNNNNNNNNNNNNNNNNNNNNNNNNNNNNNNNNNNNNNNNNNNNNNNNNNNNNNNNNNNNNNNNNNNNNNNNNNNNNNNNNNNNNNNNNNNNNNNNNNNNNNNNNNNNNNNNNNNNNNNNNNNNNNNNNNNNNNNNNNNNNNNNNNNNNNNNNNNNNNNNNNNNNNNNNNNNNNNNNNNNNNNNNNNNNNNNNNNNNNNNNNNNNNNNNNNNNNNNNNNNNNNNNNNNNNNNNNNNNNNNNNNNNNNNNNNNNNNNNNNNNNNNNNNNNNNNNNNNNNNNNNNNNNNNNNNNNNNNNNNNNNNNNNNNNNNNNNNNNNNNNNNNNNNNNNNNNNNNNNNNNNNNNNNNNNNNNNNNNNNNNNNNNNNNNNNNNNNNNNNNNNNNNNNNNNNNNNNNNNNNNNNNNNNNNNNNNNNNNNNNNNNNNNNNNNNNNNNNNNNNNNNNNNNNNNNNNNNNNNNNNNNNNNNNNNNNNNNNNNNNNNNNNNNNNNNNNNNNNNNNNNNNNNNNNNNNNNNNNNNNNNNNNNNNNNNNNNNNNNNNNNNNNNNNNNNNNNNNNNNNNNNNNNNNNNNNNNNNNNNNNNNNNNNNNNNNNNNNNNNNNNNNNNNNNNNNNNNNNNNNNNNNNNNNNNNNNNNNNNNNNNNNNNNNNNNNNNNNNNNNNNNNNNNNNNNNNNNNNNNNNNNNNNNNNNNNNNNNNNNNNNNNNNNNNNNNNNNNNNNNNNNNNNNNNNNNNNNNNNNNNNNNNNNNNNGUCUGUUUUUCUUUUUGUUCAUGUAUCUCGUCUAAUUGGUGUUUUCCAUACAGCUACGAUGGGAAAAAGCAAGAUUGACACGAACCCAAUCAAGAUGAAGGAAUACCUCGCCCAGUCUGCUGCGGCGGCGAAGAAGAGGGCCGCCGAAACUGAGCAAAAGAAGAAGAAUGAAGGUACUUCGGGUUCUGACAACGUCAGGGACCCUAAACGUCAAAGAACUUCAGGUGCUGCUGGUGGUAAGCCUCUCCACCAAUUGACUCUCGAUCCAAAAAGUCAUUCGGCUGAGAAAAAGAAGGGACAUGACAAUGUCCCGCCCCCUCAACAAGAUUCAAGCGCGCUAAUCAACCGCCCACCAACUCCAUUUAACCAAGCUGGCCCUAGCUCAGCCAUUGGUGGCGAGGCUCCUCCCCCCUUGCUGAACUUGUCGGAUCCUCACUUCAAUGGGCUUGAAUUCAUGACCCGUACUUUUGACAACCGGAUUCACAAGGACAUUUCCGGUCAAGGCCCCCCCAACAUUGCUUCCGUGGCGAUCCAUCACGCGCUCUCUGCCGCCAGUACUGUGGCGGGAAUGGCUCAUGCGUGAAGGAGUUGAUAUCGGCCAAGAACCGUUAUGAAAAGAAGGCGGCUGAUUAUAAGACAGCCUAUGAGCGGGCUAAAACUGAUGCUGAGACUGCCAACAAAAAGCUGAAAUCUGCCGAGGAGAAGUGUGCUAAGUUAACUGAAGACUUGGCUGCUUCGGACCUGCUUCUUCAAAAGACCAAGUCUCUUAAAGAAGCCAUAAAUGACAAGCACACUGCCAUUCAAGCCAAAUAUCAAAAGUUGGAGAAGAAACAUGAUCGCCUGAAUGCUUCCAUCAUAGGGCGUGCUUCUCUUCAAUAUGCUCAAGGCUUUCUGGCGGCCAAAGAGCAGACCAGUGUGGUUGAGCCGGGCUUUGAUCUUUCCCGCAUUGGGUGGCUGAAGGAGAUCAAGGACGGUCAAGUAGUUGGUGAUGAUGACAUUAGCCUCGACCUCUUCCCCAAUUCGAUGAUAGAGUGACCUGAAAUGAUGCGAGAUGGAAUGAGCACACAGAAUGAGAUCACAUAGGAGAUCUCAGCUGGACAGCCAGGCACACGCCACACAAAACUGCUUGAAUUGUUAUUUAUAAGUGAAUUUCUUUGGCAUGCCUGCUUAUUCAUCCCACAUGAUGCGUCGCCCUUUCCUNNNNNNNNNNNNNNNNNNNNNNNNNNNNNNNNNNNNNNNNNNNNNNNNNNNNNNNNNNNNNNNNNNNNNNNNNNNNNNNNNNNNNNNNNNNNNNNNNNNNNNNNNNNNNNNNNNNNNNNNNNNNNNNNNNNNNNNNNNNNNNNNNNNNNNNNNNNNNNNNNNNNNNNNNNNNNNNNNNNNNNNNNNNNNNNNNNNNNNNNNNNNNNNNNNNNNNNNNNNNNNNNNNNNNNNNNNNNNNNNNNNNNNNNNNNNNNNNNNNNNNNNNNNNNNNNNNNNNNNNNNNNNNNNNNNNNNNNNNNNNNNNNNNNNNNNNNNNNNNNNNNNNNNNNNNNNNNNNNNNNNNNNNNNNNNNNNNNNNNNNNNNNNNNNNNNNNNNNNNNNNNNNNNNNNNNNNNNNNNNNNNNNNNNNNNNNNNNNNNNNNNNNNNNNNNNNNNNNNNNNNNNNNNNNNNNNNNNNNNNNNNNNNNNNNNNNNNNNNNNNNNNNNNNNNNNNNNNNNNNNNNNNNNNNNNNNNNNNNNNNNNNNNNNNNNNNNNNNNNNNNNNNNNNNNNNNNNNNNNNNNNNNNNNNNNNNNNNNNNNNNNNNNNNNNNNNNNNNNNNNNNNNNNNNNNNNNNNNNNNNNNNNNNNNNNNNNNNNNNNNNNNNNNNNNNNNNNNNNNNNNNNNNNNNNNNNNNNNNNNNNNNNNNNNNNNNNNNNNNNNNNNNNNNNNNNNNNNNNNNNNNNNNNNNNNNNNNNNNNNNNNNNNNNNNNNNNNNNNNNNNNNNNNNNNNNNNNNNNNNNNNNNNNNNNNNNNNNNNNNNNNNNNNNNNNNNNNNNNNNNNNNNNNNNNNNNNNNNNNNNNNNNNNNNNNNNNNNNNNNNNNNNNNNNNNNNNNNNNNNNNNNNNNNNNNNNNNNNNNNNNNNNNNNNNNNNNNNNNNNNNNNNNNNNNNNNNNNNNNNNNNNNNNNNNNNNNNNNNNNNNNNNNNNNNNNNNNNNNNNNNNNNNNNNNNNNNNNNNNNGAUCGAAGAACACGCCUUUCAAUAAAAAAAAAAAAAAAAUCGGAACCACGUGAAUACACGCCUUUCCAAGAAAAACGCAUAAUUGAAAUAUAUGAUUGUAUAUUUAAUUGAGUAUGCCAAAUCCUGCAGCACAGGUGGCAUGGGUUAUAUCCCAUGCUUCAAAACCUGGCACUCACCCUCACCACCUCAUUAACUAAAUAUGUCAAAAAUGAGAGAAAUGAGUGUAUGAUAUGUAUUUUAACAAUAUAUAUAAAAAGACUAUAAGAAAAGAUAAUAUAUAAAAAGAACUAGAUAUAAAAAAAAUAUAGAAAUGAGAUAGAAGAGAAAGAAAAGAGCGAAUAUACUACUAUUCAACUGAGUAUAUAUGUUUACUUUCGAAAAUAUUUUUUUAGAAAGAUGAAAUGAUAUUAAUAAUGGACUCCAAAAAGGAGAAACAAACAGAAGAAAUAUAGAUUCAUAUGGAAACAAAGAUCACGUUGCAGUAAGCAUUGAAAGAGUGAAGGAUCAAGAAAUGAAAAGAGGAAAAUGAGACGUGGAGUACAUUAAGAAUAACAUUGAGAAAUAUUAACUUACAUUAAAUAUGUACUCAUACAUAUUAAAUUACUAAGGAAAUAAGUUGUUCCAUUAUGAACAUUGAGAUGAGGUAUAGUACCUAAGUUGUAAGGAACGGGAUAUGAGAUUCCUUGAGAGAAUGAGAGCGUAGCCACUUUAGAGAGAGAAUAACUGAAUUUCAAUCUUGUUAUUUCAUAAAUGAGCCAAGAGUCCUUUAAAAUUAAUUAGUACCCCUCCCUUAUUUAUAGUUGGGGGAGUUGGGCUUAGCGCCUCUAAAUCAUCCUAAUGGGGCCGGUUGGGCCUCCAGGAUGAAGGCCCAAAUCCCUGGUCCGCUCCUCGCCUUAGGCCAGCGCUUCUGGGCGAGGGACCCUAGGGUCUCGCCCAGUCCACAAGUCUACAAGACACCGAGCUCGAAGCAUGAGAGUUAAGUGUGUCUUUUAAACAGAAGAAACAAGGCGAUGGCCAUAAGAAGCUAACUAGUGCUAAAAAAUAAGGUCUGAAAACAAAGAACAAUUGCCAACAUGGCUUGGUAAUUUAAAGCUUAAAAAUUUACAUUUCAGAUGUCUUGUCACGCUCCCUUGGCAGACCAAGUCAACAAGCAAGUUUGUGGCGGUGACGCUCGGUCCGCCCGCCCUGCCAUAGUCAUGCAUGUGUCCUGAAUCGUGACCCCUUGACAUGUGUCGAGCCUUCGCCGCGCAUUGCGCCCUGAAGUGAUAUAUAAGUCAGCGAAUCCAAGGAAUCUCAACCGCUAUCUUUGGAACGUCCUUUCGAAUCACAGUAGAGCCUGACAAUUUGAAUUCGAACCAAUAAGCUUCAACUGUUGUAGCCUUUCGUUUAAUGCAUUAUUUUUCCUCUUCCCGAAACUCGCGCUGCACUCCCUGGAGUAAUCAUUUUAUCCUGCCACGUCAAGGCACGAUUCCCCAACCGCUACUCUCCCUGACCUUUAAAUCCUUUCCCCUUCCAUCAUUCACCUCUUUCCAUCAACUGUUCCCAUAUUCAUUCCUGACUCUCACACUGGUUCCCUUUGCCGAUCUUGCGAACUUAAAGCUCCGGCCCCUCUUGCUCCUCUUCUCACAGUCCUUUCCUGGUUAGUUUCUUAUCCUCUCUUUCUCCUUCUAUUUUUACGAUGCCUUCCGCAGGGGCCCGUUCCUCCGUGGAGGAGAUCAAAGCCCAUCGCUUUGCAACCUUUGCCACUCUCCCUUCCCCCAUCUCCGAGGCUCCUAAUCAGGGGGUUCUUGACCAACCAUCAGAGCUUUCUACCAGCGGAUCCCUUUCUGACCUUGCCCACAGGGCUGGUGGGCUUUGCUGUUCUCCGCUAUUAGAGGGCCUCCUUCGCACUGCCGGCUGCCAAGAGCAAGAUCACCCUUGGCAACACCGUGUGUUUAAUGACCCCAAGUAUUCCCACUUCUUCUUUGUAUACGAAUACUUGUUUCUUGAUCUUGGUGUUAAACUUCCCUUUUCACCCAAGUGCUGUGUGACAUUAACGUUUCUCCUUGCCAACUUCACCCUUGCUCCUGGGCCUAUCUGAAGUGCUUUGAAAUUCUCUGUCGCAGCGUUGAUGUGGUGCCUUCCCUUGCCCUCUUUUCUUUUUUCUUCGAAGCAGAUCCCCGAUCUCUGGAGACCCAUGGUUGGGUCAUUCUAGUGCCCCGGCCGGGCCGCGAACGAUUUGCCCCUUACCAGGUUGGCUCCGAAUCUUGCCUGGCCCGCCGGUACUUCCGGGUCAUCGUCCACCCUGCUUACCCCUCGUCGUUUACACAGAAGGAUGGGAAGGCCAUUUUCCCUUUUUAUUGGACACAGUGUCCCAAAACUACAUCUAAUUCUCUCGAAACGCGUUCCUCUUCUAGAGAGAAUUUCGCCAUUAGUGUCUUAUCCCAACUUCCUCUUUUCAGUUGCGCUGACCUGCUUGGCGCUCCCCCAGGAUCCAAACUGUUUCCUCGAUUAGGUUUUUCCUUUUACCGCCUUCUUCACACCUUCCUCUUAAUCUUCUUCGCUUCUGAUGACUCUUUCCUUUGUUUUUCAGGGAACAUGAAGUUUUAUACUUCUGAACUGCUGGAGGCCUUCCUCUACAAGAACAUUAAGGCACCUUCUCCGGCCCAAGUUGGAGAGAAAAGACGAAGCUCGCCGACGGGCGAGGGCUCUCCCUAGAAAAAGAAGCUGGGUGAGACAGGCUCCCAAGUCGCACCUCUGACUGUUGCGGGCGAGGGACCCAUCGCGUCCGCUUCGGCUGCCUCGGAUAGCACACGUGACUCCUUGGUGCCUGAUCAUCACGGCGAGGCGAACACUCCCCAUGUUGUGGAUACCUCUUGCCCCUUGACCUCGAUGGCGGGCCAGCAGCCUCCGUCCUCUGACCGCCCGCCAUCUCCUCCACCCGUCCAGACUACUCACGAUUCACCACCCCCCAACUCUCCUAGGGUUGGUGGCGAGGAAAAGGAACUUCCCUCGGACCGCCCAAAGGACCCCUCCAGCAUCUCUUCCGCCGAUCCCUUCUCCUUCUUACUUUCUCACCCUAACCUUGAGAAAUUGAGGGAAGUACCCAGCCAAAACCAGCAGGAGGUUGCCCAAGAAGCUGUGUCAAGUUUUCUUCGCGCUGGCUGCCUGUUCGCCAAGGUGGCUUGGCAGGCUCGGCCCCUCACCGGGAUUGCGGGGCUCCGCCAAGAGGUGGAAAAGCUGCAUUCCAUCAACCAUCAAGCCAACGAGACCUGCUCCAAGCUGUCCACCCAGUUAGCCACUGAGGUGGAUAAGACAAAGAAGAUGUAGAAAAAACUCGCGAAAGCGAAGCUUGCACAGGUAGCGGCGGACGAGAAGGAGAAGGAACUUGAGAACCAGGUUGAGAGACUCCGUAAGGACCUUAGCGCCAAGGAGGCCAUUAUUGCUUCUCAGGAGGGAAACCUUGCUGCUAAAGAUAAGGAGAUUGCUGAUCUGCGCGAAGGGCUGGCGGCCAAAGGUGAGUUACUUCCUGAGGCCCGGUCAGAUUUGGAAUCGAAAUGCAAACUCUUGGCCGAGAAGGAUGCCUAGGCCAUCGCCCUGGAAGAGAAGAUAAGGAGAGAAGCUGCUUUCGCGACGGCCAACGAGCGUAUCCGCGGCUUCCUAAUUUGUAAAGCUCAUGUCAAGCACCUCCAUCCAAAUGUCAACGUUGAACCCCUGGGAGUUUUCAAAAGGAUUACCCCUGCCGGACUGGUGGGUUGGGAAGAUCCGCCGGAAGUUGCUCACGUUGACCUUGGAGACGCUGUGGAAUAAGAGAGAAAAAUGUAAUGUUAACUUGUUUGAAGUUAUUGUAACGCUUUGCACUUCUUAAUUUUAUUUAAACUCUUUAUCUGUAUUUUUACUUUCAAGUUUGAUCGAUUCAGCUUUAUUUCUUUACGUUUUAUGUUUGUUUUAGCAUUUUUCCGGAGUUUUUCUUUUCUCUCAACGCCCCCCAUAGUUUCCUUGUUCCUGAAUUACGUUUGACGACAUUGAUGGUGUGCCUUGUUUAACUAGGACUUCUGCUCAAUUUUUGAACUGAGGUUUUCGUCACACCAAUAUUUCCCGUAAGAGCAGGUGUGGCCUCGCCGGUUUUGCCCCGGCGAGGACUUAUUGUUGCUAGGGACCCAAUGGUCAUAUAGGUUUACCCAGACUUAUGCCUAGUUAUGUUCGCGCGCCCAUAUUUCGGAGGGAUUUUUGGGAUAAGAAGCUUAUCCGCACACAUCGCCGACGAAUGACGGCGAGCUGCUUCGACUUUUCCGGAGCGAUCCCCAGACUUCAAGGUCGUGUUGGGAUCGCCACCUUUAGGGAAUUUUUCCCACCUAGCUCUCGCCGCAAUUCAGUGUGAUUGAAUUGCUGGAUACAAUUUUUGUAUUUUCAAUCCGACGUGAUAGUCAACAAACACCCCAGAUGGAGAACAAGAACGUGUCUUUGUUUUUACCAUUUAGGCGUUUUGGCCAACAAACUCUCGAAAUGGAGAACAAGAACAUGUUUUUGUUUUUACACCAUCAAUCUUCGCGAGACGCGCCUAGCUGAUCAUCCUCGCGCCGAAACCAGCUCCCUGUCAAUCCUUUAGCUGUAAUAGUAUUUCAGGCUCGCCGCGUUCCAGGAACGUGGCACUCGCCUUCCGUCUAAACUUUCCAGGUGAUAAGCCCCCUUCCCUAAGACCUUCAAAAUUCUAUAGGGGCCUUCCCAGAUUGGACUCAACUUAUUCCCAGUGCUCUCGGUUCGUUUCUUUAGCACCAGGUCCCCCUCCUGCGUCGCCCUCGGUCGCACUUUAGAGUCAUACUUCGCCGCAGCUCGCUGCUUCAUCGUAGCCUCUCUGAUGCGAGCCUCAUCGUGUGUUUCCGAAAAAAAAUCUAACUCCACCGCCAUGUUGGAAGAAUUCUCGCCCUUAAACCGCGACGUUGUUCGCCCAGAACUGUUGUCUAUUUCUACAGGCAACAUGGCGUCCGCCCCAUAGGUCAUCCUGAAUGGAGUUUCCCCAGUGCUUGAGUGUUGCGUUGUGUUGUAGGACUAGAUUACCAUCGGAAGUUCAUCCAACUAGGCUCCCUUCGCCUCCAAGAGCCGGCGCUUCAAACCCCGCAGGAUUACCUUAUUCGUCGACUCUGGUUGCCCAUUAGUUUGAGGAUGUUCCACUGAAGAGAACCUUCUCUGAAUACCCAUCUCUUCGUAGAAUUCUCUUGUUUGGUUACUUGCAAACUGCGUCCCAUUAUCUGAAACGAUCGCCCUUGGUAUCCCAAAUCGGCAUACGAUUCUCUUCCAGUAAAAACUUACGAUCUUGGUUGCAGUAAUGCUUGUGAGGGGCUCGGCUUCCACCCAUUUGGCGAAGUAAUCCACCGCUACGAGGAUGAACUUCAUUUGCGACCUGGCGGUGGGGAAAGGUCCGGCGAGGUCAAAUCCCCACAUGGCGAAGGGCCAUGGGGAGCUAAUCGUGGCCAAUUGUUCCGGCAGGGCCCUGGGUAAGUCUGCAAAUGCCUGACACUUUUCGCAUUUCUUCACGAACUCUGCACGGUCUUUUCUUAUUGUGGGCCAAUAAAAAUCUGCCUUGAGGACUUUGCUUGCCAAAGACCUUCCUCCGAUGUGACUAGCUCAAACCCGCCCGUGAACCUCUGCCAUAACAGCCUCAUAUUUCCCGGGUGGAAGAUACCUCAGGAGGGGCGAACUAAAUCCUCGUCGAAAGAGUAUCCCAUCGAGUAAUGUGUAGUGCCCCGCCUCUCUUCUUUGUUCCUUUGAGUACUUCACUACUGCACUUGGUUCUCCUGCCAAGAUGUCUACGAUGGGGUCCAUCCAAGUUUCUUGGCGGUCAACUGAGGCUACCAACUCUACUUCUAUGCUAGGAUUGGCAAGCGUCUCUUGGAUCACACUUCGAUUAUUUCCAGGCUUCCGAGUGCUUGCCAAUUUCGCUAGGGCGUCCGCCCUUUGAUUAUGUGCCCUUGGCACGAACUCAACUACGACAUCUUGCAGUCGACCCAUCAGUAGUUGUACGCGCUCUAGAUAUUUUAUCAAGGCCGACUCCUUCACCUGGAAUUCCCCAUUUACUUGGUUUGCCACUAGCAACGAGUCCGUUCUAACUAGCAAACUGUCAAUCUGUACCUCAAUUGCUAACUUCAGCCCGGCGAUCAGGGCCUCAUAUUCUGCCUGGUUAUUGCUGGCUUUGAACUGGAAUCUGAGGGACUGCUCUAGUACCAACUCCCCAGGCCCUUGUAGUGUGACCCCUGCUCCACUUUCGUUAUCAUUUGAUGACCCAUCGACGAACAAUGUCCAUUGCGUGCUCACCUUCUCACCGUCUUCCAGCGUUAACUCCACCACAAAAUCAGCUAAAGUCUGCGCACCGACUUUCCCCCUUUUGUCGUAUUGCAAACCGUAUUCUGACAAUUCAACCGACCAUGCGACAAGUCUCCCUAACAAAUCUGGCUUCUGCAACACCUGUCUCAAAGGAAGAUCAGUUCUUAUUUUUACCUGAAAGCUUUGAAAGUAUGGUCUAAAGGCGUCUGGCGGUAACGAGGACGGCGAGCGCCGCCUUCUCUAUCUUCUGAUACCUAAUCUCCGCCCCUUGAAGUGUAUGGCUUACGAAGUAAAUUGUUUUUUGCUCUCCGUUUACCUCUUGAAGAAUGACGGAGCUGAUUGCAUGAUCGCUGACAGAAAAAUACAAAUGCAGAGGGAGCCCUUGGGCAGGUUUUGAUAACACGGGUGGCACGGACAACAUCUCUUUGAGGCGUUUAAAGGCUUCUUCGCAUUAUGAAGUCCACUCAAAUGCCGCAUUCUUCUUUAGGCACUUGAAGAAUAGGGCCGACUUGUCGCCUGAAUGAGGGAGAAACCUGGACAGGGCUGCAAUCCGUCCUGUCAGGCGCUGCACCUCUUUUACACUGCUGGGGCUUUUCAUUUCUUGGAUUGCUUUACACUUAUCCGGAUUGAUCUCAAUCCCUCUUGACGUAAUCAUGAAGCCUAAAAACUUUCCGCCCUGUAUACCAAAAGAACACUUCUCCGGAUUGAGCCUCAUAUUAUGCUUUCGGAGCCUGCCAAAAGCUUUCGUCAAAUCCUCAUGAUGGCUUGAUCCCAAAACCGAUUUCACGAUCAUAUCAUCGACAUAUACCUCCAUGUUCCUCCCCACGUGGCCCUCAAACACCCUAUCCAUCAACCGCUGAUAUGUCGCCCCCGCAUUCUUCAGCUCGAAGGGCAUGGUUUGAUAACAGUAGUUUACCCUAGCGGUCAUGAAGGCUGUUUUGUCUUCAUCCGACGAGUGCAUCUUGAUUUGGUGAUAUCCCGAAUAGGCAUCCAUCAGACUCAGCAGCUCAUUUCCCGACGCUCCAUCCGCUAGCUUGUCUAUGCUCGGUAAUGGAUAAGAAUCUUUCGAACAUGCCUUGUUCAGGUCUGUGUAGUCUACACACAUUCGCCAUUUUCCGUUCGCCUUCUUUACCAUUACCACAUUCGCCAGCCAAGUAGGAUACUUAAUUUCCCAGCUGAAGUCUGCCGCCAGUAAUUUGUUUACCUCUUGCUGGAUUGCCUUCUCCUUUUCAUCGCCCAUUCGCCGGCGUGUCUGGGUCACUGGUUUAAUUCCGGGAUUUAGCGCCAGCCUGUGGCAAAUGAAGUUCGGGUCUAUUCCUGGCAUGUCCUUGUGACUCCAAGCAAAGAGAUCCAAGUUCUCUCCCAAUAGCUUUGAUAUUCUUUGUUCUUGGGCCUCAGUCAGUCGGGUCCCUAUUUUGAGUAUCUUCUCGCUAAUUUUGAGUUCCUUGGUCUCCUCGAUCGGCGUGGGCCUGUUGACUCGUCCCUCGCCCCUUGGAUCUAGGUUCUCUUCCAGCGCAUCGACCUCGUUGCAUUGGUGUCCCACCGAGGCGUUCCUUUUUAUGUACCGGUCUACCGCGUUGCAGUAGCACUCCCUCGCAGUUUUCUGGUCCACAACCACUUUCCCAACUCGUCCAUUCGACAAAGGAUAUUUAACCGCCAAGUGUGCCGUUGAAAUCACAGCGCACAGCCGGUUGAAGGUGUUUCUGCCAAUUAUCAUGUUGUAAGACCCCUCCGUUCCUAGGAUUAAGUAUUUCACCCUCAGCGUCCUAGCGUUCUCUCGCUCGCCGAAUGUGGUAUCAAGGUCAAGGACGCAUCUCACCCGUACUUGCUCGCCCGAAAACCCCACUAGAGUUCCUGUAUAAGGAGUGAGAUCUACCUCAUUCAAACAGAGCCGAUCAAAUGCCCCACCGUAAAUGAUGUCCGCUGAACUCCCUUGAUCCAAAAUUACUCGUUGUACAUUAAGUUGGUUGACGCGAAGGAGAAUUACAAUCGGAUCGUCUAGGUGUGGCUUUACUCCAAAGAAGUCAUCGGAUGAAAAGGUAAUGUCUGGGUGUGAAAAGCCGAAAGGAACCUCUUUUACUAUGUUCACCGCUCAAGCGUACCGCUUUCUAGUUGCACUGGUGAUUCCUCCUCCUCCAAACCCUCCAGCGAUCGUGUGUACUCCUUUGGGUAUCGGAGCACUACCGCCCUGUAUUCUAGUAGGCUUUCCUGCCGCUAUCAGUUUUCCAACCUCACACUGCAACGUGCGGCAUUCCUCUGUGACGUGGCCCAUGACCUGGUGAUAAACGCACCACUCACCUCCCAGCUCGCCGCUUAUUCGCGUCGCUAAUGGUUCUUGGAGGAUUUCUGAUUUAGACGAUUUGUCCAGGCACGCCAACUUUCCUUUUGGAGAUGAGUUUCUCCAUUUCCUCGAGGAUUUCCAAUAGCUUUCCCUUUGCAAUGUCCGAGGCUCCGCCGUUGUAUUUGCUCCCCGGGCCUCCGUGUCCUGCUGCUCCAAACCACUACUUAUGUCGCGAAUCAGCCACCUCCAAUCUCUGAGAGUGUCCAACGACUGAGGUGACGAUGAUUUUUCUUCUGAGGGUUUCAACAAGGAGACUGAAGAUUUCGCCUCCUUCUCGCGUCGCCUUCUAUACGCGUGAUGCGGAUCACGCAUGUGUUUCAUCCUUCGUUCGCUUCUUCGACGUUGCUCUUCCAUCAAAUGCCACCAACAAAUCAAGAAUUUGACUGAGAAGUCAAAAACCAAAGAGAAUUGCACAAAAAAUCGAAUUUCACUCAGCUAAACCACGAUCCACGUAGUCCGAGAAUCGAAAUCUACCGUUCCCCACAGACGGCUCCAAAUGUUCCAUCAUCAACAUUGAGAUGAGGUAUAGUACCUAAGUUGUAAGGAACGGGAUAUGAGAUUCCUGGAGAGAAUGAGAGCGUAGCCACUUGGGAGAGAGAAUAACUGAAUUUCAAUCUUGUUAUUUCAUAAAUGAGUCAAGAGUCCUUUACAAUUAGUACCCCUCCCCUAUUUAUAGUUGGGGGAGUUGGGCUUAGCGCCUCUAAAUUAUCCUAAUGGGCCGGUUGGGCCUCCGGGAUGAAGGCCCAAAUCCCUGGUCCGCUCCUCGCCUUAGGCCAGCGCUUCUGGGCGAGGAACCCUAGGGUCUCGCCCAGUCCAUAAGUCAAUAAAUUAGUAAAUACAUAUUUUAUUUCAAAAGUAAAAGUAAUUUAUGAAUUAUUAUUAAAGUAAGGUUGCGAGUUUUGCUCCUCUAACAAAAAAAAGUAAGGUUGAGAUACAAGUCUUCUCAACAAAAUGACAACAAAGUUAAUUAAAAUAGGCAAGCUCAAAAGAGCCUAUGCACAAGUCGAUCAAAGGCAAGCCACCUAACAAAAACCCAGUAAAAACUGAAGGUAUGAAAAACGAUAGAAAAGGGGGGGUUUGAAUAGCGUUUUCAGAAUAAAACUUCCCACUUAAGAUUUUAGCAAAUCUUUCAAAACACAAGUAAAGUGCUUAAGAUAAGAGAUGAGAAAAGCACACAAGGAUUUUAUCCUGGUUCACUUGAUGAAUCACUCAAGCUAGUCCAGUCCACCCGUGAAGGUGAUUUCUUCCUUCUUCGAAUGAAGGCAAUUCACUAAUCAGAGAUUUGUUACAACUGCACUUGAGACCUACAAGUGACUAACAAUACACUGACUUAGCUCACACUAAGAUUCACUCUCUUAAUCUUCUCUAGGAGCCGAUCAACCUUGAUCUCCUAAAGGUAAAAAUAAACAACUGUUUAAAAAGUAUUGUUUACAAUGAGAUUGCUUCUCAAAAGCUUGUAGUAAACACAAUGAAUUCCAUGAAGAAAGAUUGCUAAGAAGAUUUGAAUAUUGCUUGCGCGUAUAUGUUUCUUCAACAGCAUCUUUCAGUCUUCAGCCUCUAUAUAUACUCCAAGGAUUAGGGUUUGAACAUUGCAUGGGAAUGCUACCGUUGGAGGGCAGAUAUGAGAUUUCCAGCUUCUGUUGUGGCUGAGAAUGUUAGGUUAGGUCGUCAGGAUAGUACACUGCUUUUGUACUUUGGAUAGUGGAGUGACCUUUAACCUUGUUGACUUCUGAUCAGAGGAAUGCUUCGUGUUGGAACUUGUGAAGCUUGUUGAUCAGAGUCAGAGGGAAGCAUGGAUCCUCUGACCGUUGUAGCUUCUGAUUCUGAACUCAGAGGAGAAGUACUUGGUCUUCAGAGCCAGUUUGCUUCUGGACUUCAGAGACUUCACUUUUCAGCUUCUGGAUCUUCAGAGUCUUCUAAACAAUCAGAGCUUCUGAGCCUUCAGAGUGUCUGGGUUAUCAGAACAUCUGGAUCUUCAGAACUUCAAGUGAGUUGAGUCCACAUCAGAGCUUGACUAUCUUCAGAUCUUCUGAUGCUUUUCUACUGUUCAGUUUGAACAUAGAGAUUGCGAAAGCGUUGCUAGGGUCACUCUUUAAGCAAAAUGCUUCUGAUUUGUGUGAGAUUAUAUCAAGGUCAGAGCCUGUCAAGAACACACUCAGAAAACACGUUAGAGUACCAUUAUUGUUCAUACUAAAACGUUAACUUGUAAUCAUCAAAACAUAGAGUUGUACUAUGACGAACGCACUGUCGCAGGUGCGUGCCAAAGUAUUCUGCUUUGAAUGCAGUACAAGGUGUUAACACCAAGAUCGUUCUCACAAGGACUUGAUAAAUUAUUAAUUGAUAUUAGAGUAAAACAAAAAACCUAAAAGGGAGUUUGGUUAAUUUGAUUGUAAAGUAAGCAAACAGAAAUUAAAAUAGAUUUAAUCAGAUAAAAGAAAGUGUUAGUCCUCGGAUUAUAACAUUCAAGUGCAACAAACCUUCAUUGGUUACAAAAGAUUAAUUCUUCCUUAUUGUUUCCCUAAUUCGUGAGAGUUGAUUAACUAAGCGAAAAUCAAUUCACAGUUUCCUAAACUAAGCGAUUAAGAAACAGUUACGAACUAACAUGAACUAAGCGAACAUGCAUCAACUCUUAUUUCUAAAACUACGGAAUUAAGCAAACCCUAGAUCAGAAAUAGAGAUGAAGAGAAUUAAUAAAGAAGAAAUUUGCAUUAAGAAUAGAACCUCAAGUUUGCAAACACAAGAAUAUUAAAAAUCCUAAGACUAACUAUGGAGUUUAGCAACUCAUACUAGAAAAGAUGGAGAGAGAUAUUAGGAGAAGGUGGAGGAGGUGAUGGUGAGAUGUGGUGAGGUGGUGAGGUGGUGUGGUGAGGUGGUCGUCUAACAAAAGCCUAAACUCACUUAUUUAUACUAAUAAAUAAACUUGUUCAUCAAGUAACAAUCUUUGUUAUCUAAAUCUUUUCUAAAUCUUCACAAAAUCGGGCCCACAUAAAGGAGUAAGCUGCUGAACAAUCAGACAUUCGCGGGUCCCAUAAGAAGUCUGAAUCUUCAAUUGAGGUAAACAUGAGAGUUGUAGCUCUUUAAGUCAGCUUCGCGGGACUUCAAUCGGAUCCUAAUUCGGAGUUCUGUAGCCCAAGAUAUGAUCAUUUUAGUGCAGACUGUUCCAGACUCGCAGGAUUAGCGACAUCAACUUUGCAAGGAAAUUUUGACCAUGUUCGAGGCUUGUUCUUCAAUUGUGCUGAACAUGAAAGUUGUAGGGCUUCGAAUUAGCUUUCCAACUACAUAUUAUGGGCCUUAUUUCGAUAUUGCUAACUCCAUAUUCAAUCUGUUCUAGCAAAACAGUCAUAGAAACUAAAAGUGUAGAAUUAAACUCUUUUCCAUGAAUAAUCCAAAUAAACACUAAUGGUCAAAACAUGACUAAGUCAUAACAAUUAAGCACAAAAAUGUAUAUAAUGAAGCUUAGAAAGACACACGUAAAGUGCAUCAAUUAUGCGCUUAUCAUACUACAUGAUCAAAACUUGAUCUUAUAAAAACCUACUGAAUGCAACAACGAAAGCAAAAUCAAUACUGUCAAGUAACCACUUAUCUCAAAAGUUUAAGUUGUUGGGUAAGGUCUAAAUGAAGGGGUUGUCUAAAUGACCCAAGAAAAGUUUGGGUUAAAUGACCCAUCAUCCAAUCACAUUGAAGAUAAGUGAGUUGAAAUUUCUAUAUUUUAUUUCCAACUCACUUAUCUCCAAUGUGAUUGGAUGAUGAGUUAUUUAACCCAAACUUUCUCAUGAGUCAUUUAGACAACCCCCUAAAUGAAUGGUUAUAUAUUAUAUUCUAACACGCCAUCUCAUGUAAGAGCCCCUAAGGUUGAGAGUUUUCCUCCUCUAACAAAAAAAAGUAAGGUUGAGAUACAAGUCUUCUUAACAAAUGACAACAAAGUUAAUCAAAAGAGGCAAACUCAAAAGAGCCUAUGCACCGGUGUCCAUGGCAGAGGGUCCUGGGAAGCAAGAGCUUCGUCUGACCUUGAAUCGUCUGGAAUAUGAGCAGCAUCGUCUGGAGCUAGAGAAAGCAGCGAUGCAUAGAGAAUGUAGGAACUUGAGGAGAAAUCCUCCUUUUUAAAUGUAACGAUGCAAAUGUAUGAUAUUGCCAUGAAUAAAAAACGGUUGUUUGUUGGUUAAUUUUAAAACAUUUUAUGAUGAACAACUAAUAUGCAACACAUAAUGGGAAAUGUAAUAGAAAAACAUAACAUUAAAAGCAGAGAGAAGAAAACGUAGUUUAAAAAGAAAGAAAAUUAAAAUAAAAACAUAUAAGAAGAGAGAGUUUCUAAAAUCUAAGGAUUGGGUGUUCUCCGUAGAAGCUUUGUGCACAUCUGCUUUAGCUCUUGAAGAAUGGCAUCAUGAGAGUCAAGGCGUUGUUCAAUGAGAUCAAUCCUAGGAUCUGACUGAGGUGGAACAGAUGUUGUAGCUUGAUGAGAGUGAGAAGCUUGACCUGAUGCAGAAGCAACUGGAAUAAUGCUAAGAGCUUGAUUCCUGAGAGCCUUAGCUUCAGCUUGAAGUUGAGCAGCUUGUUCCAGAGGUUGCAACCUUUCAGCUUCACGUUGCUCUUCUUCAAUCCUUGCAGCUUCUUCUUCUUGUUCUUUCUUCUUUCGUGCUUCUUCAAUAGCAGAAUAGAGCUGUUCCCUUAUCUGCUGUUCAGCCAGAAGUUCUCUUCGUCUGAGACGUUGAGUAGCAGCUUCAACACAUUUUUCCUUCUCAGAGUUGAGAAACCCCAUCAUCAGAGGAACUUGGUCAACCAUCCAAGAACACAGACGUUCCCAUUCGUCAACAACCAGGUCUGGACUUGCACUUAGGUCAGUGCGACCAUGCACAUUGCGGAUCCUUAAUGAUGCUUCAUGAUUAAAUGCAUUGAUGCAGUCAAGAAGGGUGGUUGGUCCAGAGUAAGUGUAGGGAAUAAGGGAAAGGUUUGGUUCAGGUGAUGAGGAGUGGUUGCUGCUGGCAACUUCAGAGGGAGAGCCAAUCUGCAGAGUCUGAUGUGCAAAGUUAUUGGUCUCAGGGUUUGGUUGAAGAGUUUCAGUCUUAGGAUUCUGUGUGUUAUCUGGUGAAUGGUUGGAGACUGACUCAGCAUUCUCUUGAAGAGGAGAAGGAGGAUGAGGAGGAGGAGGAGGAUGCAUUGAGGCAAUAGGAAUUGCCUGGAUGGGGAAAUCAGGAGGAACCAGAGGUUCUGGCCUAGGUCCAGGGUAGCGGCGAGGACUAGGAACAUUGAUGAAAUGCUCAGGGAUUUCAGAGAGCAUUUCUCUAGCAAUUUGAAAGAAUUGCCUAGUGGCUUCUGACUUGCUGGAUGGAGAAGAAAAUUGAACAUUUGUGGGAAAGGAUACAGAUGAAAUAGGAGAGAGGUUGUCACGAUCAGAUGGAUGACGUGAUUGUGGAUUGGUAGCGGUUUUAUCAGAGUCUUGAGGUUCAGAGGCUUGUGGUGUGGAGGUUUGUUGUUCAGAGGCUUGUGGUUCAGAGGUUUCUGAAUGGUAUGGAAGAAUGAUAGGUGUAGUGGAGGCAGAGGGUUUGUUGGCUUGAAGCAUUUUCCAGAGGGGUUCUUCCUCAAUGGUAGGUUGAAAGAAGAGUCUCUUGGGGGUGAAGGGUGAGAGGUUUGUUGAUGAAUUGGUGAUGGUUCAGGAUUGGUUGCAUCAAGGGUUGCAUCAAGCAAAGUUAAAUCAUCAUCAGAAAGGGCAGCAAACUUACUUGAAGCUCUUGCUGCAGAUCUUGUGAUUCUGAUGGAGGGUGCAGGUCUAGCUUGUUCCUGAGUAAUUUCCAUGAUAACUACUUGAGGUGCAAUCCUGACCUUCUUAGCCUUCUUCUUAGGCGGUGGAGCAUCAUCAUCAUCAUCAUUGUCAUCACCAUCAGAGGGAUCCUUCUCCUCAGAUGCUUCAACUUGCUUCCUCUUGGUCUUCUUCUUCCAUGGGGACUCAAAGUCCGGAGGCUCUGGGAGAUUUCUGAAGAAUUUGUUCACAUCAAUCUCAAAGCCUUGCUGCUUCAGAUCCUCAAGAUAGUAUCUGAUUUCCUCUGGAUCAUCAGCCAUGGACCAGAGAGGAUAGUCCUUUAGAGGAAUCCUUUUCCUUGACUUUCCUUCAGCAGUGCUGGAAUCAGCUUUGGUUUCGAUCAUGCCCAUUCUUUUCAAGGAUGUGGCAUUGAAAGUAUCUCCAGCCAUUGUUGUCAAGUCUUCAGAACAUCCCAACCUUCGCAGGGCAUGCACCAAUUUAUUUUCCACAAAGAAGUCAGAAAGCAAACUACCAAAAGGUAUGUAUUUUAUGGCAGAUUUUGGUGAAGAGGUGGUUCUGGACUUCUUGAUGCACUCCUUCAACUAAGAAAAGAUGAAGUAAGGCAGGCACACAUUUUUGUGGUCUUUGACAAAGAACAACAACACCUUCUGGGUGAAGUUGAUGUAAUCAGGAGAGCUUCCCUUUGGUCUCUGGUUGAUGCAGUGCAGACGAAUCGUAUGCCAGAUUCUCAAAUCAGGGUGAAGCUCCUUGGUCUUGCAAUCAUUCUUUCCUGGCUUCCAUGUAGAGUAGAGAGCCAUGUUGACUUUCUCCUUGGUGUUGGUUGAGACCUUUGAUUCUUACAACUGAAACCUGUAGCCCUUGCUCGAUUCUGAACCCAGAAGCCUUGCAAUUGCUUUCUCAGUUAUGAUGAUCCUUUUUCCCAGAAUGAAGGAUACCACUUGGUGCUCAUUGCAAUCUGCGUGUUUCCAGAAUUCCUUCACAAGCUUAUCAUACACAGGACCACUGAUCCUUUGAAAAUACCCUUCCCAGCCUUGUGCUUGAAUCUCAGGACGCAGGUCAAACCCAUUUGCAGCAAUGACAUCAAAAUCAAAUUUCUAUUCAGCAAGAACCUGGAGUCUUCAGGAGCAAAGCAGCAGGUAACCACACAUUGUCUCUGAGAAAGUGGGACAACAUCUUCAGCAUCUUGCACUUCAUGUUGGGCACUCUCAGUCGAACGAGGACGCAGAAUAGGCCCCACUUGCCUUGUUGGAAGACCCACAACCAAAUUGGGAAAAACUCUUCCAUCGGCGGAAUCAGACUUGUCACUGGGGUCAGUUCUUUCUUGAUUCACCAUUGUUGAGGAUGAAGGUUUGGGUAGAAGAGAAGAGGUUGAAAGCGAGAGAGAAUUGAAGAAGAUAAGGGUUUUGCAAAAGCAGGAGAGAGAAGGUAAAACCAAAAGUGAUGGGAAACGUGUGUUCGUAGUGGUUUUAGAAGGUAACCGUUGUUGAUUAAAAAGCAAAGUAAAAUCAACGGUUAAAAAUUAAAGACAUCAUUACAAACAGUUAAUACACAUAUCACACAGUGGAGAGAAGCACAUCUACACUCAUUACAACAGAUUGUCAGCACGGGCACAAGGAACGAUGUAUCAUAUCAACUGACACACGUUUACUGUCUCAGCUUCAGAGUAAGCACCAAUGGGUACUUAACCUCUGAUAGAGUUACCUUCUGAACUAGACAUCUUCUGAUAGAGAAACAUCGUAGCCAGAGGUUCUGAUCCAUCUUCAUGCUGGACAAAAGUCCAUAUUCAGAUUUUUCAGAAUGAAAUUAAAUCUAUCCUCUGCUAAGGGCUUUGAAAAGAUAUCUGCCCAUUGAUGGUCAGUAUCAACAAACUUCAGAAGAAGUACGCCCUUCUGAACAUAGUCUCUAAUAAAAUGAUACUUUACCUCAAUGUGUUUUGCCCUUGAGUGUAAGAUAGGAUUCUUACUCAGGGAAAUUGCAGCAGUGUUAUCACAAAAGAUUGGGAUGUUGCUCUCAAGGAUUUGAUAAUCCUCUAGCUGAUGUUUCAUCCAGAGCAUCUGAGUGCUGCAAAUGGCUGCUGAGAUAUAUUCUGCCUCUGCAGUGGAUAGUGUAAUGGUUGAUUGCCUCUUGCUUGCCCAUGAGACUAAGUUACUUCCCAGAAAUUGACAAUUUCCAGAAGUGCUUUUUCUCUCAGUUCUAUCUCCAGCAUAAUCAGCAUCAUAGUAACCUGAAAGCUUAUACUCUGAUGUUUUCUUAUACAUCAAGCCAAGGUUAGUGGUACCUUUCAGAUAUCUCAGGAUCCUCUUAACAGCAGUUAAGUGGGUUUCCCUCGGAUCUGAUUGGAAACGAGCGCAUAGAUGAACACUAAACAGAAUAUCUGGCCUAGAUGCAGUUAAGUAUAGAAGUGAUCCUAUCAUACCACGAUAGAGCUUCUGACAAACUUUACCACUUGCAUCUUCUUUCUCCAGGAUGCAUGUAGGAUGCAUUGGAGUCUUAGCAAUUGUAGAUUCUGUCAUGUUGAACUUCUUCAGAAGUUCCUUAGUGUACUUGCUCUGAUGGAUGUAAGUUCCUUCUGGUGUUCAGAUCUUCUGAAGCUUUUCUUCUGUUCAGAGUGAACAUAGAUGUUGCGAAAGCGUUGCUUGGGUCACUCUUUAAGCACAGUGCUUCUGAUUUGUGUGAGAUAAAAUAGAGGUCAGAGCCUGUAAAUAGCACACUCAGAAAAACACGUUAGAGUACUAUAAUUGUUCAUACUAAAAUGUUAACUUGUAAUCAUCAAAACAUAGAGUUGUACUACUCGAUCAAAACUUGAUCCUACAGUAUCUACUUUACCCCUUACAAACUUAUUUUCCAGAAGGAAUGAGCUGAGUCUCUCAUACCAUGCUCUGAGAGCUUGCUUCAGACCAUAGAGAGAUUUCUUCAAUUUGAAAACAUGGUUAGGGUUCUUCUCAUCUUCAAAACCUGGAGGUUGAUGAACAUAGACUUCCUCUAAGAUGUAACCAUUUAGGAAGGCACUCUUAACAUCCAUCUGAUGAAGAAUCAUAUUGUGAUUCACUGAGAAUGAGAUCAGUAGUCUGAUUGCUUCCAGUCUUGCUACCGGAGCAAACGUUUCAGUAUAGUCUAUUCCUUCUUGCUGACUGUAGCCUUGAGCAACUAGCCUUGCCUUGUUUCUGACUACAUCUCCUUUCUCAUUCAGCUUGUUUCUGAAAACUCAUUUGGUUCCAAUCACGUGAACGCUUUGAGGUUUCUUCACUCGGCUCCAAACAUCAUUCUUGGAAAAUUGAUUCAGUUCUUCUUCCAUAGCCAGAAUCCAGUCCUUGUCUUGAAUAGCUUCAUCAAUUGACUUAGGUUCAAUUAAGGACAUCAAUCCUUUCAGACUGAGCAGAAUCUCUUCAGAGGGUUUGAAGGGUGAUCUGGUUCUGACUGGUUCAUCUUUGUUACCCAGAAUCAAUUCCUUAGGAUGAGACGUAGUGAUUCUGCUCUUCUUCUGAGGUUAUGAAUCAGAGGGACCAGCUUCUUCUGGUUCAUCUUCCUCUGGCUCAGCUUCCUCUGGAACUUUGCCUUUAUCAGGAACAUUUAUACUCAAAUCUGCAAACUUUUCAACUAGCUUUGACUGAUCAGAGUCAAGCUUAUCAUCAAAUCUAACAUGAAUAGAUUCUUCAAUAGUUUUAGCAUCAGUAUUAUAAAAUCUGAAACCUUUAGAUCGAUCAGAGUAACCAAGUAAUAGACAUUUAGAAGAUUUAGCAUCAAACUUAUGCAAUUUAUCCUUAGUGUUUAGAACAUAGCAAACACAACCAAAAUGAUGAAAAUAAGAAAUGUUGGGUUUUAUAUUCUUCCACAAUUCAUAAGGAGUCUUAUUCAGAAUUGGUCUCACAGAGAUUCUGUUCUGAAUGUAACAUGCUGUGUUUACUGCCUCUGCCCAAAAGUGCUUUGCCAUGCCAGUUUCUUGGAGCAUGGUUCUAGCCAUCUCCUGAAGAGUUAUGUUCUUCCUCUCAACAACCCCAUUUUGUUGAGGAUUCUGGGACAAGAGAAAUCAUGUGAAAUUCCAUAGGAAUCAAACAGACUCUCAAACUUGUCAUUCUCAAACUCUCCACCAUGAUCACUUCUGACACGCACAAUCCUACAAGCCUUCUCGUUUUGCACUUGGGCAAUGAAGGUAGAGAACACAGAAUGAGACUCAUCCUUGCGGGAUAGAAAUUUUACCCAUGUCCAGCGGUUAUAGUCGUCAACAAUGACCAUCCCAUAUCUUUUGCCACCUAUAGACUCAGUUUUCACUGGUCUAAACAGGUCGAUAUGCAGAAGUUCCAACGGCCUUGAGGUUGAGACAACAUUCUUUGCCUUGAACGAGACUUUUGUGAAUUUGCCUUUCUGACAUGCUUCACAAAGAGCAUCUGAAGAGAACUUCAGAGCGGGUAAGCCCCUGACAAGGUUGAGCUUACUCAGCUGAGAAAUCUUUCUCAUACUGGCAUGCCCUAACCGUCUAUGCCAUACCCAUUGCUCCUCAUUAAUAGAAAGAAGGCACUUCACAUUCUGAGAUUCCAACUCAGAUAAUCUGAUCUUAUAAAUGUUGUUCUUCCUCUUGCUAUUAAACAGAACAGAGCCAUCGAUCUGACUUACAGCCCUGCAAGACUUUUGAUUGAAAAUAACAUCAUAACCCUUGUCAGCUAAUUUACUUAUAGACAAUAAGUUGUGAGUUAAGUCGUCUACCAAUAAAACAUUAUCAAUACAUGGACUACUAUCAACACAAAUAGUACCAGUACCAACAAUUUUACCCUUCUCGUUGCCACCAAAGCCAACUUCGCCUCCAGGCUUAAGUUUUAGCUCUUGGAACAUACGCCUUUCUCCCGUCAUGUGACGCGAGCAUCCACUGUCCAGAUACCAUGAUUGGUGUUUCAGUGGAGCGAUCAAGGAUAUCUGCAACAUAGAUAAUCUUAUCCUUAGGUACCCACUUUCUGGGUCCUCUCUUGUUAGUUACCUCAGAGGUUCUGAUCACCUUGGGUUUCUCAACAUGAUAGUGUAAAGGAAUUUUAGCAUGAUAUUUAGACAUGGAGAAGGUUCCCUUUUUGAGAGGGGGGUCAGCAACUUUAACAGGUAACGGUUCAGGUAAUAUAGUACCAGAGGGUACAAAGUGUUCAUACAAGGAUUUUUCCUUAGGCAUAGGAGGCUCAUUUCUACUGGGUCUAGAAUAGCCAAUGCCAUACAUUUCAUUUCUGCUUACGCCAUAGAUCAUUGAAGCCAUCAAACUUCUGUCUACGCUUUUAGCUAGGAAUCUUUGAAAGGAUUUUUCAGAUUUAGAUUCAUUCUUACUAUCAAAGGCAUCACAAGUAACCACUUCUUCUAACUUAGCAAUCUGGUUCUUAAGCAUAGAGUUAGAAUUUACUAAAGCAUGAUUAUUAUUUUUCAUUUCAGAAAUAAUUUUCUCAUGUUCAGCAGAAGUCUUAGAAGUAGCAGAGAAAUCCUUUUUCAACUUUUUAUGCUUAGUCAAUAAAGAGUUAUACUUAUCCAUAAUAUCAGACAAAACAUGUUUUAGUUCAGAGGUUGAGAAAGAAGCGAAUACCUCAUUUUCAUCAUCUGAGUUAGGAUCUUCCUCUGAUGCUGAUUCAGAGUUAGUUGCAUCUUUUGACUCUGCUUCUUUGUCUUUGACAAUAGCCAUGAGUCCUUGAACUUCAACAUCAGAGUCAACAUCUUCUGACUCUGAUUCAUCAAAAGUCACCAUCAGACUUUUCUUAGUUUUGAAGUGCUUCUUUGGCUUCUUGUCCUUUUUCAGCUUUGGACAAUCACUCUUGUAGUGCCCUGAUUCUUUGCAUUCAAAACAAGUGACUUCCUUGACUGAGGACUUCUUCUGGCCAGAUGAGGAUUCAAACUUUCCUUUGGCCUUUCCAGAGCCUCUGUACUUGCUCUGCCUGUGCUUCCAGAUGCGGUUGAGCCUUUUGGAGAUCAGAGUUAGCUCAUCUUCAUCAGAAUCUUCUGAUGCUUCUUCAGAUUCUUCUGCUUCAGCUUGGAGAGCUUUCGACUUCUCAGAUUUAGACUUCUCAGAUUUGGAUUUCAAAGCUAUAGAUUUCUUCCUCAGAUCUUGCAUUUCUGAGCGCUUCAGUUCAUGACAUUUCAGUAUGCUGAUGAGUUCUUCUAAACUCAUAUGCUCAACAUCUCUUGUAAGCUCUAUUGAAGUCACUAAAGGCAUCCAGCUUUCAGGAAGACUUCUAAUAACCCUUAUGACAUGAUCUUUUGUAGUGUAGCUUUUGUUGAGAGGUCUUAUUCCAGCUACAAGCUACUGAAAUCUGGAAAACAUAUCCUCAAUGGACUCGUUAGGUUCCAUGAUGACGGAUUCAUACUUCUGGAUCAAGGACAGCGCCUUUGAUUCUUUCACCUUCUUGUUUCCUUCAUGGGACAUUUUCAAGGAUUCAAAGAUACCCUUGGCAAACUCACGAUCUGUAAUCUUCUGGUACUCUUCAUAGGAAAUAACACUAAGAAGAAUAGCUCUAGCUUUGUGGUGCUGUGAGUAAAGCUUCUUUUGUUCAGUAGUCAUCUCUGAUCUGGAGAUCUUCUUACCAUCAGCAUCAAUUGGACGCUCAUAGCCAUCCACAAUGAUAUCCCAGAGAUCUGCGUCAAAGCCCAGAAAGAAACUUUCGAUUCUGUCUUUCCAAUAUUCGAACCUUUGACCAUCGAACAUAGGAGGCUUUGCAUUGUAACCAUCUUUUUGCGUUUCACUGGUGGUAGCCAUUUGUUUUUCACACCGGCCCGGAUCACUGAACAUUGUUAGGUGUGCUAAUCAGAACUUGAGCUCUGAUACCAAUUGAAGGUAUGAAAAACGAUAGAAGGGGGGUUGAAUAACGUUUUCAGAAUAAAACUUCCCACUUAAGAUUUUAACAAAUCUUUCGAAACACAAGUAAAGUGUUUAAGAUAAGAGAUGAGAAAAGUACACAAGGAUUUUAUCCUGGUUCACUUGAUGAAUCACUCAAGCUAGUCCAGUCCACCCGUGAAGGUGAUUUCUUCCUUCUUAGAAUGAAGGCAAUUCACUAAUCAGAGAUUUGUUACAACUGCACUUGAGACCUACAAGUGACUAACAAUACACUGACUUAGCUCACACUAAGAUUCACUCUCUUAGUCUUCUCUAGGAUCCGAUCAACCUUGAUCUCCUAAAGGUAAAAAUAAACAACUGUUUAAAAAGUAUUGUUUACAAUGAGAUUGCUUCUGAAAAGCUUGUAGUAAACACAAUGAAUUCGAUGAAGAAAGAUUGCUAAGAAGAUUUGAAUAUUGCUUGCGCGUAUAUGUUUCUCCAACAACAUCUUUCAGUCUUCAGCCUCUAUAUAUACUCCAAGGAUUAGGGUUUGAACAUUGCAUGGGAAUGCUACCGUUGGAGGGCAGAUCUGGGAUUUCCAGCUUCUGUUGUGGCUGAGAAUGUUAGGUUAGGUGGUCAGGAUAGUACACUGCUUUUGUACUUUGGAUAGUGACGUGACCUUUAACCUUGUUGACUUCUAAUCAGAGGAAUGCUUCGUGUUGGAACUUGUGAAGCUUGUUGAUUAGAGUCAGAGGGAAGCAUGGAUCCUCUGACCGUCGUAGCUUCUGAUUCUGAACUCAGAGGAGAAGUACUUGGUCUUCAAAGCCAGUUUGCUUCUUGACUUCAGAGACUUCACUUUUCAGCUUCUGGAUCUUCAGAGUCUUCUAAACCAUCAGAGCUUUUGAGCCUUCAGAGUGUCUGGGUUAUCAAAACGUCUGGAUCUUCAGAACUUCAAGUGAGCUGAGUCCAUAUCAGAGCUUGACUAUCUUCAGAUCUUCUGAAGCUUUUCUACUGUUCAGUUUGAACAUAGAGAUUGCGAAAGCGUUGCUAGGGUCACUCUUUAAGCAAAAUGCUUCUGAUUUGUGUGAGAUUAUAUCAAGGUCAGAGCAUGUCAAGAACACACUCAGAAAACACGUUAGAGUACCAUAAUAGUUCAUACUAAAACGUUAACUUGUAAUCAUCAAAACAUAGAGUUGUACUACAUGAUCAAAACUUGAUCUUACAAAAACCUACCGAAUGCAACAACGAAAGCAAAAUCAAUACUGUCAAGUAACCACUUAUCUCAAAAGUUGAAGUUGUUGGGUAAGGUCUAAAUGAAGGGGUUGUCUAAAUGACCCAAGAAAAGUUUGGGUUAAAUGACCCAUCAUCCAAUCACGUUGAAGAUAAGUGAGUUGAAAUUUAUAUAUUUUAUUUCCAACUCACUUAUCUCCAAUGUGAUUGGAUGAUGAGUUAUUUAACCCAAACUUUCUCAUGAGUCAUUUAGACAACCCCCUAAAUGAAUGGUUUUAUAUUAUAUUCUAACACACCAUCUCAUGUAAGAGCCCCUAAGGUUGAGAGUUUUCCUCCUCUAACAAAAAAAGUAAGGUUGAGAUACAAGUCUUCUCAACAAAUGACAACAAAGUUAAUCAAAAGAGGCAAACUCAAAAAAGCCUAUGCACAAGUCGAUCAAAGGCAAGCCACCUAACAAAAACCCAACAAAAAGUUUAAGUUGCUGGGUACGUAAUGGCUAAAUGAAAGGUUUUAUAUUAUAUUCUAACACGCUCUUUCAUACAAGAGCCCCUUAGGCUUAAAGGGUGGAUAAAUGCACAGACCUAACUACCAUUUGCUUAAUUAAAUUCCAUUUUUUUUAAUUAAAAAGUGAGGGGAGCAAGGAUCGAAGUUUAGACCUCUCAGUCAUAGAGAAUCUGAUACCAUGUCAAGUAACCACUUAUCUCUUUUUUGAAAGUUGUUGGAUAAGGGCUAAAUGAAUGAUUUAUAUUAUAUUCUAACAAAAACCAAACCAAAGACGACAAGAAUUAAGUUUCAUCCGCCUGUGAAUCCAAAGCAAUGCAAGAUAAUGUCGACCCUAAUACAAAAUUUGGAAGUGUAAUUUUUUUUUUUCAAUGCACCAUAUCUAGAAUGAAAACCAAAUAAUAAAUAUCCAAAGGCGUAAAACAAAAACUCUUCCUGAAACCAUACAAAUUAAAGGCACUGAAUCUCUAUAAGUCAUUGCAACAUACGAAAAGAAAAUAAAAAAGAAUUUGAAUACCUUUUUAGCAUCACAACUUUUUUUUUUUUUUUGAUAAGCAAGAAAUUGUAUUAAAUGGCACAAGGGGGUGCCUGCCCAGGUCAAAACAGUAACAACAUACAAUGAAAAGUUAACAAACAAAAAGCAAGUAAUAAACAGUAGACAGUGGAAGAAAUACAAAGAGAACAAGGAGAUAACAUAGAAGACAGGGGAAGUUGCGUAACCAAGAGGAAUUUGGACAGCGACUCACAACUGAUUAUUUACACUGAAUAAAGUCAUGUAAAGACUAAAGGUGUAUUACACAUAUUGGACUUCAGGUUCAGGAAGAAAAAAAAAACUGAUUUACCAAUAUACUACACACAUUUCUAUUUCUUCCAAAAGAGUUAAGAUUAUCAAAAAAAAGUUCUAAAUUACUUUUUACUUUAAGAUAAUACUCAUAUAUCGUAAAAGACACUAAAAUAAAGAUAUAUCUUUUUUAUAUUUUAAUAUUCUUCCUCAAGAGUUAGCUAAUUUAGAUAUAAGUAUUAUUACAAAAAUACCGUUUAGAAAACUAAAGAGUCAUCGUCAUUGUCACCGCUUUCAUUACCUUAGAGAAGAAGAGUAAAGAAGAGAGCGAGAAGUAAGCAAGCUCGUCCUGUUGAAACCCUUUGGGGUACAAUCUCCAUGGUGGUUUGUGAAAGAAAAGAUGCGCUUUCAUUCCGCUGCCCCGAAUGACGGAGGAGAUAACCUCCUUUCAUACUGUUUAUCCCAAAAACUUAUUUGGGCUUCAAGUGUGAGUAGAGACCAAGUUUCUAUGUGCUAAAUUUUAACUUUCUAUUAGAAGAAUUGAUAGGAGGAAAGGACUGAACUCUAGACUAUUUGAACAUUGAGGCUAUUGAUGUUGGGAUUGUUGUGAGUGAGAGAAGAUCCAGGCGAUGGCGCGUGACUCACGCGUAUAGACGAGCAUAGUUGAUGGUACGUAAUUCGGCUUCGGGUUCUCACAAGAUGAAGUAGAGGUUGAACACACGAUUAUGUGCGGAGGAGGUGAUGAAGCGUGGAGGCGAGUUGCGGCACGGGUUGUGGUGGUUGCUUUCAGUGAUUCAAUCAGAAACAUAAGGUGUAAUCCCUGAUUCGUAGGGUUUUACCAUAGUGACUAAACGCUGAAAUUAAACAUACUAAACCAUCUUUAACCUUUCAUAGCCAUGUGUAAUUUUUAUUGAAACAAGUAUACAUAACUAUGUUUGAUCGUGCAAGUAAGUACAUAUGAAUAAAGGAUAAGAUAAUUAAAUGACACAAUUCCCCUGGGCUCAAAUAAAAAGUUCGGAUGUCGUUGCACACAAAACAUAGAGUACACCACGCAUGAAUGACUCCAUACACGAUAUACUUUCUGCAAUCCUACACACAAGAAUCACAAGCAGAGAAAUAGCACCGAACUCUACCCAAAUGUAUACCCCAAUAUACAAAAAGAGGAGGAAGGUCAUGCAUGAUCAAAUCUACUCUAGAACUAUCAGCUACUCGGAAGAAGCUAAUACAAUGUCCCCUUUGUCGAAUACUCGUGUAUGGUCCACAUCACAUUCUCCUCGCCUACCGUAGAAUGACGAAGACAGAAAUACUCGGGAAAUAAUAGUGUAGAAAGGCUCCCCUUCACCACAGACGGAGAAGUGAUAAUCCAGUCGAGAUAAGCUCAGUACUCGGCUCGUUAAGGAAUCAUGCGGUUGAUUACCGCAAGGGAAUAUGAAUUCCCUAUACGAAAUGCCUUGCGAGACCACACAUCAUAGUACAAGAUAAAAGAAAAGAAAAACAAGAGAUACCAAUUAUCUCUGGACGAUCUGAACGAAAGAAGAAGUCAAAGCCUCGUCUCUACAGUAGUUCACGCGAACUCUCCAACUAGGAUUCACUUGUGGCUCCUUGUAGUAGCAGAAGUACUAGGUGCGUAAAUGAUAGUUAGGAUUUGAGCAUUUUAUGCUAUAUUUAUAAGCCCUUAAAAGGAAGCUAACCUUAAUACUUAUUGUAGCGUACUUGGCCUCAUCCAAAGGUUUGUCCAAUAAUAAUCCAUCCAAUGAACUGGUCUAAUAAAACAAUAUAUUCUAGUGGACUAAUUCUAUGCGUAUGACCCUAUAAAUAUCUCUUACAUAUUUAUGUUGUAAUAUGUAAAUACAAAUAUUGAGCUACUACAAAUAUUAUGCAUGGAUAUGCAGGAUCCUCUCUCGUGGCUUACUCUCGCUAGCACUCUCCAUCAGCCUUAUUAACCCUUCGCUACAUCAAACGACAAUAUUGUCCAUCUAUAUCGUUUGCUGCAGCGGAAAAAAGUGAAGUUAUACCAUGCUUACAUUAUUUAUUUUUGUAAUUAUACCGUGCUUACAUGCUAUAGCCUUUAGGAUAGUAGGAAUUGUGCAAUAUAUUUGACACAUUCUCUUUUUUUCUUUACAUUUCUUAAAUUUUGGUUUAACAUGCGUAUCUUUUACUAAGACAAUCUUGUUCUAUCCGGUUUUAAUAAAGAUCUAAGGUCUCCCUAAGAGUGUGUCUCAUGAGGAUCAAACACUCUGUAAAGUUCAAACGUUAGAUUCAUAAAUCUCUAUUCUCAUGUUUUGAGUAAUAACAUCGUUCUUAAUUGCCUUAUCAUGAAAUGCACAAAUUUAGGGAACUCAACGUAUAUAUUACCCAUCGUCAAUAUAAAAAUGAAAAGGAAAUAGAGGACCCAAUGUCUAUAUAUCUUAUCGUCCUAAAAGCACAAGUAUGGUACGAAGUUCACAUCGUCAAGAGAUUAAUUGAUGUUCCCGAAGGAUAGCUCAAGUGGUAAGAGUUAUGGACAUAAGGGUUGGGUGGGAUGAAGGGUGAAGGGUGAAGGGUCCCGGGUUCGAACCCGGAGGAGAGAUUAAUUUACUAACAUUUCUAACAACUAACAUUUGGCUAUAUAAAAAAAUGAGAUUAAUUGAUCUAUCAAAGAAAAGGACUCUGUUACACUCACUUGAAGAAGCAAGUAAGGUCCGUUGAAGAAGCAAGAGCAAGGUCUAAGUGAGAAGUGUCUCAAAGAAAUAGAAGUUAUCACGUGAGCUAUAAAGAUGCAAGUUACACUAAGAAGAAAUGGUGAAAGUACAUGACGAACGCAUUGUCGCGGGUGCGUGUCAAAGUAUUCUGCUUUGAAUGCAGUACAAAGUGUUGAACACUGUAAGACCCUAACCUUUACUAUGUAAUGCUUAAGUGAUUUAUUCAAUAAAAAUGAAGUUUGUAGUGAUGUUUGACUUUAUUGCUAAUCUGCCUGUGACCUUGUAGUAAUUUUUGAGAGGUCUUAACGACCUUUUCUGGAGAAGCUUCCUUCAUGAGAAUUGUAGCUCUCUGAGUUAGCUAAAUUCUCCAAUUGAUUUCGUGUCAAUCCGAUAUCUGUAGCCCAAGAUAAUUGAAUUUUUGUGAGUGAAGUUCUGGCUGUACAGUGCCAGCGAUUUUUGUUGAAAAUAAUAACUUUUUAAUUUCGAAUUUACCUUUGAUUUUAGAGAAAGGGGGAGGGUUUUAUUUGGGUUCCAGGUCUGAUUACUUGGAAAUUAGUGGGUCAAGAGAGUUGACUUGGAUCAGGCUUGAAAAAAAAAAAAAAAAAAGAAGCCCUAGCCCUUGAAGAGGGGGAGACCGCAGGAUUAAGAGGGUUUGGGGGGGGGAAGGGUUUUCUUUUCACACAAGUCUGAAGAUAGAAACCCUUGUGCACCUCUGCAACACGUAAAACAUAAGAGAGUAAGUGAGAGAAGUCUCCUUCUUGCACCCUUGCCGCCGCCGCUUGCACCCUAGCCACCGUCGGCCGUGUACGUGCGAGAGAGAGAAGGGAACGCGAGCGAGAGAGAGAAGAAGGGAGACGGGUGGGAGAGGAAGGGAAAAACCAGAAUUCUACUCUUCAUCUUCAUCCUUAUUUCAAGCCUAAAGACCAAGGUAAGGGCUGGUCUAGGAGGGGUAGGUUGUUAGGGAGUCUUGACAUGAAUUGCCAUGCAUGAAUCUAUGAUUAUGAUGGUUUUACAUGAGGGUUUGAGUUUGUGAUGCUUGCUGUAUUUUUGAAACAUGAUGCCAUGCUCCACUAUACUCUAAACUAUUUACUUGAUUGGGAUCUUGAUGACAUGUGAAAAUUACUUGCAUGCUUGGUAAAUUGCCAUGCAAAAAUUGUACGUUAUAACAUGAUGGUUGUGUUGUGAUGAAUUCUGAAUUGCUUGUAUGAUUAAAGUAUUGUUUGGGGCUGUAUUAGGACCAUGUGAUCAAAGAGAAAGAAAAGAAGAAAUUUUUUGAAAACCCUAAGGGCCUAUUUAUAGUUCGGCCGAACCCUAUUUUGGGGGGUUCGGUGAAUUCUUUUCUUUCGCUUGGAUGCAUGAGUCUUACGAUGUUUUAUUUGAUGAUUUUGCCACGAAUUGACAUGCAUGAGGAUGUGUUUUAUGAUGUUCAUUCGAAUAACUGUUCAAAGGGUCGUUCACCUAGCUGUAAUUCCCGAUGUGACUGUGAUUGUUCUAUCGUUAUAUUUAUUUGAUGCAUGUGUAAGACUCUAGGUUGACUUUAGAGCCUUUAACAAAGAGAAUGAGAUCAAUCGCUUGCAAGUGAAAUGAGAAAUAAUGGAACAUAGGUCUAGGUGAGACUAUGUACCAUGAGAACGAUGGUGCCGUUAGAGACAAACGGUAACUUGCACGUGAGGGAGAUUUUGUAUAUCAUUGCGGCUCCACGUUAUUUGGUUGACUGCGGUCACCGUGAGACUUUUUGUGGAUCAUUGCGGCUCCACGUGCAUUAUACAUCUGCGGAUGUAUGUGAUUGGCCAAGGAGUUUUGGUGGGUUGUGUGAUGUGAGGAUGCGUUAGUUUAACUAACUAACUGUUAUAAAAAUUAAUCCCAUAAACGGAUGAUUCAUAUGUAUUAUGAUAUGUUUUAUGACUAUGUUGUUUGAGUGACCUGACCCUUGCACUACUUGUUUAUUUGUUUUGUGGGGGGGGGGGGGGGUUAGAUGACCACGAGGGUAUCAACGACGACCCUCAACUGGGAGAUGAAGCUCUAUGAUGAGGAGCGGGACCGGGCCUGGACAUCCGACACGUCCGGGAUUCGCCGUGUGUAUGUCGGCGAUAUCAAACUAACCGAAAAAGACCAACAGGGCAAGACAGUGGAAGUUCAAAGGAUAACGAGGAAGAUCAGGAUGUCGUAUCCUCCGCCGAGGUUUCCCUACCCCGAGGACGUUGGUUCUCAAGUAGCUUCGGCCGAGUCUGAUCCAUCCGAAGAGGUACAUGCUGAGGUUCAGAAGCCACUGGAGCCAGUUGCGGUACCAAUGCAGACGCCAAUGGAGGAACCAAGGCUAGGAGACAAUAAAGCAGAGGAUGACCAGAUUCCUGCAGUGCCAAACAUGUGGGAAGACCAUGACGCCUGUUUCAUUAUGGGUCUCUAUGACUUUUCGUUGGAGCCACUGCCCGUACCUGUGUCACCUUUGAAGAAGCGGCGUAUGAACGAGGAUCUCUUGAAGGCUGAGAUUGUGGAGAUCUCUAGUGAUGAGGAUGACUGAGUCGGGGAGUGAUGCACUUAGGUUUUUCUGGGAACGAGAUAUCGAACUUAUUCAUUUACUUUCAUUUUGUUGAACCUUUUUAUUAUGAGUUUAAUACUUUUCUUUCGGUUGUAAUACAUUUGAGGAUUUCCAAAUGUGGUUUUUCACACAUGGGUGUGGCCACCGUGCUUACGUUUUAAUUACGACGUUUAUUUUGGUUAUUUCGGUUGUUCGAUUUAUUCCGCCGUUUCAAUUAUUAAUGUUUUACAUCCGAAGCUAAGGGUUUUCGUUUAAAAUGAAUCUUUGUCACUAAUGAUGGUUAAUAAAUUAAACGACGAAAAUUCUUUACGAAAAUCCACGUGUUUAGUUAUUGUGUGACACCCGAUAAAUCGGGGCGUUACAAACACCAGGUUCAAUCUCACAAGGACUUGGCGAAGUAUUAAUUGAUAUUAGAGUAAAACAAAACAGUUAAAAAGGGGGUUUGGUUUAUUUGAUUGAAAAGUAAGCAAACAUAAAUGAAAAGAGAUUUAAAUUUGAUAAGAGAAAGUGUUAGUUCUCGGAUUAUAACAUUCAAGUGCAACAAACCUUCAUUGGUUACAAAAGAUUAAUUCUUCCUUAUUAAUUCCUUAAUUCGUGAAAACUAAUUAACUAGGCGGAAAUUAAUUCACAGUUUCCUAAACUAAGCGAUUAAAAAACAGUUACGCACUAGCAUGAACUAAGCGAACAUGCAUCAACCCUUAUUUCUAAAACUACGGAAUUAAGCAAACCCUAGAAACAGAAUAAUAGAUGAAGAGAAUUAAUAAAGAACGAUUUUGCAUGAAGAACAGAACCUCAAGUUUGCAAACACAAGAAUAAUAUAAAUCCUAAGACUAACUAGUGAGUUUAACAACUCAUACUGGAAAAGAGGGAGAUAUAGGAGGUGAAGGUAGGUGAGGUGAGAUGGUGAAUAGGUGGUGAGGUGGUGUCUAACAAAAUCUUAAACCUCACUUAUUUAUACUAAUAAAUAAUGUUAUUCAUCAAGUAACAAUCCCUUGUUAUCUAAGGGCCUGUUUGGUGGUCAGAAUAUGAUAGGAUAUGACAUGAUAGUAAUCAUAUCCUGUUGUUAUUUGUUGUUUGUUGCGCCAGCAUGAUAGGAUAACACUAUCAUGUCUCCUAUCAUAUCAUGUCCAUCAUGUGUAAAAGUUAUGCUGAGGGAGGAGUUAGGAUAGAACAGGAUAGGAUAUCAGUUAUAUAUUUUCUUUCAAUAUCCUAACUCCAAAUUAUUUUAUUUUAUUAUUAUAUAAUUUAUAAUUUAUAAUAAUAUUAAUUAAUAAAUAUAAAAUUAUUAAUUUAACUAAAAUAAAAAAUAAAUAAAAUUAUUAUUCAUAAAUAGUAAAAUAGACUACUCACUUACAAAUAUUGAUUUAUUAAUAGUAAUUGAAUAAUUUAAUAUUUUCAUCUCCAAUUAUUUAAAAAUUAUUUAUCUACCUAUAUAAUAAUUUAAAUAUAAAUUACUUUUGAAAUAAUAAUAUUUUAAUUUAGUUAAUUUUUAUUAUUUAUCACGUGUCACAAUUAAGUAAAAAUAAUUUGGUUACAAAUAUUGAUUUUUUUAAUAGUAAUAGACUAAUUUUCUAUUUUUCAUCUCCUAUUAUUUAAAAUUAUUUAUCUACUUAUAUAAUAAUUUAUAAUUUAAAUAUAAAAUAAUUUUGAAAUAAUAAUAUUCCUAAUUUUGUUAACUUUAUCGUUAAUUAUCAUGUGUCACAACUAAAUGAAAACCAAUUGAUUAAUUGCAUAAUUUUAUUUAAAAUAUAAGUUAUCUUCAAAACAAUAAAAUAGGCUAGUUAAUUAUUAAAAUUCAAAUUAAUUUUAGUUAUUUUAAAAUUCAAACAGACUCAUUAAUUAUUAAAAUAUAAAUCUUUUCUAAAUCUUCACAAAAUCGGGCCCAUAGAAAGGAGUAAGCUGCUUAACACUCAGGCAUUCGCGGGUCCCACAAGAAGUUUGAAUCUUCAAUCGAGGUAAACAUGAGAGUUGUAGGUCUUUAAGUCAACUUCACGGACCUUUAAUUGGAUCCGAGUUCGAAGUUCUGUAGCCCAAGAUAUAAACAUUUUAGUACAGACUGUUCCAGACUCGCAAAAUUAGCGACAACAACUUUGUAAGGCAAUUAUACAGAGUUCAAGGCUAGUUCUCGAAUUGUGCUGAACAUGAAAGUUGUAGGUCUUCAAGUCAUCUUCCCACUGACAUAUUAUUUGACCUAGUUAGAUAUCUGUAGCUCCAUAUGCAACUUGUUCAAGUGCCAAAUAUCAUACACACUUGAGUAAUUUCUUCUUAAUAUCUCUGCAUUACUUUUUGAAAAGAGAUCCAAAGUUGAAAUAAAAUCUCUUGAGAUCUAGGAUUUUGUGAUGAACGAAUUUCCGUCGCAAAUAAUUGUCACUAAUUACUUUGCGACGAAGAUCUUCUUUCUUCGCAUUCCGUCCAUAUUUCUAUUUCAAUUAUUCACUAGGGUUUUGUGAUGCAUUGAGGUUCUGUCGCAAAAAUGUCAUGAAAAUAGAAAAAAAAUAAAAAUAAAUGAGUAUUGCUAAUGAAAGUGGAGAUUUUGGAGGAAAAAAUAAAAUAAAAAGUGGUGAGUUUAAUUUCUAUGCAUUGAUGGUGUAAAUUUUUUUUACACCGUCAACCAAUCAAAUUGUAAGGAUGUGAGAAAAUCUCUCUUUUUAUUUAAUUUCAUUAAUUAACGUGACAUAUCAUUGAAAUCUGAUUGGUUGACGGUGUAAAAAAACUUUACACCGUCGGUGCAUCAUCUUUUUUUCUCAAAAGUGAUAUCACAAGUCACCAUGAUAUCGCCAAUCUCAUUGAGUUUUUUUUUUUUUUUUGAAAGUAUCAAAUCCAAUCUCAUUGAUGAUGGUGAAGACUCCAAUGUCACCAUAAAAAGGGGUUUGCACCGGUGCCUACCCUUACCAAAACUUUGAAAAAAGGGGGUCAUAGGUAUAUGCAGUUUUACAAUCAUUAGAUAUAUUAGUUUUUUAAAUGAGUGGUUCAUAUACUCUACUGGUAACCAUAUGUUUAGGUUUGGGAGGAAUUUUGUGGAAAUUACAAUGAAGUCUUCCAACUCCUUCUCCUUCACAAUUUUAGUCCCCUCAAGUAUCCCUUUGAGUUUGACCACCACUCUGUUCAUACCCCCAACGCUACCGCUGCACAUUGACGAUAUUUCUGAUUCUGAUUCCGACGAGACCUGGACAUGAUGAACAAUGACUAUAAACUCGUAAAGAAUAGAGGGCGGCGAAGAACAGAUCUAAGGAGGGAGAUGUGGCGGUGGAGGCCAAACGAACCUAACAAAUCUGAGAGCGAGAGGACGACGUCGGAGGCGAAACACGCUAACAGAUCUGGAAAGGGGGAUGACGGCGGCGAAUGCUAGACAGACCUCGAAUCCUUUACCGCUACUCUUCCUUCACUUCCCGUCCAACUCGCAAAGAGGCGGCCAAAGGGAGAAGAACCGUGCUAUCAGCCUAUCACCUCCGUCAUGACCGUCGAAUCUGUGUCGUUCUAAAGUCGUCGUUGCCUCCACCAUCGAGCUUUGUAUCCACAAACGCAGAUCUCAUUGCCUCUGCCACGCCGCACCAGAGUCGCAAAAACUCUGGCCUCUCGUCCUCCUUCCCUGCCGGAAUCCCAUCCCAUCUGCCUCCCUAUUUCCAAAUAAUGUUUCCCCUAAUUCAGACUUAAUCCUAAAAGUCUUACAUAAUUUGAUUCAAGCCCAAUAGUGCCGGUAAAAAAAAAACUGGUUAUCAUAGGUUGAAAUUGGGGGCACCCGUGCAACCCCUUUUUAGGGUGACACUGUAGUCUUCACCAUUGAUGAUAUGGACUAAAGUUUUACAUAAAAUUAAAAGAAACUGCUCGACUUUAUAAAUAAAACUGCACCAUAUAGGUAAAAAAGUUACACUUUGAGAGGAGACAUAGUUGAAAGGGAAAUUUAAUAUUCUUCAUGAUCGAUGAUGGAUUUGGAAACAAAAUUUGAAAGAGUUGUUGUUGCAGAGAUGAAAAAAAAAAAAAACCCCAUUGAUUGAGCAUGGGGCUGCAAAUACUCCACCUAGAGAGCGCGAAAGCCACGGUCAAACGAAUCAAUAUCAAUAUCAAUCAAUAUCAAUAUCAAUAUCAAUAUCAAUCAAUAUCAAUAUCAAUAUCAAUAUCAAUCAUCAAUAUCAAUCAAUAUAUAUUAGAAAAGAACAACUUCUAGCAUGACGUGUCAGCACCAGAUUAAUUCUUAGUGACGUGUCAUUCUCACGUUAAUUCACAUAAAAAAAAUUCCACGUGUCAUUCUCAGGUUAAUUCUUAUAAAAAAAAAUUACAUUUUUAAAUUUUAGAUUUGAUUAGGAUUUAGGUUGUUUAUUUCUUGAUUUUAUCUUAAUUUAUUUUUGAUCUAUUUUUAGAGUAUGAAUUAAUUUUUAUGGUAUUUUCGGAUUUUUAAUUAAUUUAAGAUUUUAUGAGUUUUUAUUGUGAUUUGCUAGAUUUUGAUAGUUUUUAUCUAUCUUUAAUUAGUACCUUUUUAAAUUUUAGGUUUGAUUAGGAUUUAGGUUGUUUAUUUCAUGAUUUUAUCUUAAUUUAUCUUAUUAUUUAUUUUUAGAGUAUUAAUUAAUUUUUAUGUUAUUUUUAUUGAAUUUUCAGAUUUUUUAAUUAAUUCAGGAUUUUAUGAGUUUUUAUUGUGAUUUGCUAGAUUUUUGUAGUUUUUAUCUAUCUUUAUUUAUUACCUUUUCAAAUUUUAGAUUUGAUUAGGAUUUAUGUUGUUUAUUUCUUGAUUUUAUCUUAAUUUAUCUUAUUAUUAUUUAUUUAAUGUUAAUUUCAUGAAAUAUUUUAUUUUAUUUUAGAGUUAUCUUUAGAGUAUAAAUUAAGAGAAAAAGUUUGAUGCACCGACGGUGUAAAGUUUUUUUACACCGUCAACCAAUCAGAUUUCAAGAUGUGCCACGUCAAUUAAUGAAAUUAAAUAAAAAGAGAGAUUUUCUAAUAUUCUUGAAAUCUGAUUGGUUAAUGGUGUAAAAUAACUUUACACCGUCGGUGCAUAGAAAUUAAAGUCAUAAAUUAAUUAGGAUUUAGAUUGUUUAUUUUUAUCAUUAUAUUCAAUUAAAGAAUUUUAGAAAAAAAAAAACGAGUAUGCUAGGGUUCCAGUGCCUUUCUCCUAGCGCCGCCCCUCCUUGCCGUCGCCGAUGGCGGCGCUCCGACCCUUGGUCCUGGACGUCUUCUCCCGUGGUCCUGCCGAUUCUCCUGCUAUGCUCUGUCUUCCAGCGCCGCUCCCUCUUGCGCCGCUCCUCCAACAAAUCCCUCCCAAAAUGCCACCCUCCAUGAUUCUUCAUCACGAUGGGUCACAUCACCUGCGAAUGUGGGUUAGCAGAAAUAUUCAAUCUUGGUAAGGAAAAAAUUCACCUUUAUGUUUCUGGCUUCGAAUCUUUGAUCUGUGAGAAUCCAAAUCUGGGCUUUACUUUUUUAAUGAAAAGCUGUUAUGGGAAUGAAAGAUACAAAGAAUUGUAUGGAAUAAUGAUGUCAGUGUUCAAUUAGUUGGGGUCUUCAUGCCAUCUGCUGAUCUGCAUUUGUAAUGAUGUAACAUUGUUGUUUUGUUUUUAGCUCUACUUUUCUCCAAAUUCAUUUACUUUGAUUGGUAAAACUGUUUUGAAUGAAUCCUUUUUAAUGUGUGUCAUUGUUGAAAUAGAGUUCCUUCUUCGUUACUAAUUUUAUACAAUAGGCAAUAGGUUCUAAAUGUUGAAAUAAUCUUUAAUCAAUAUUAUUUUCUGAUAAUUGAAAUAAUCAGGAUUAUCACUCAUUAUUCAAUGGCCAAACACAGUAGAAAAUUAUGAUUGUCUUGGUCCCCAGCCCCACGAAACAUGUCCAUAUACUGAAAACUUGAAAAGUCCAACUGCUCUACCUUAAUUAUCUUCAGUUCUGCACCACUGUUAAUGAACAAAUAAAAAAGGAGAUACAGAAAGAUGAAGGAAACAAUUUUGAGGUAACUCAAAGAUUUUCUAUUCUGUAGAUAUUUUCAAUGAUUUUGAGCUGACUAAAGUGAUCUUUAUUUUCCUCUUCCUUCUCCUCUAUAGAUAUAGAUCAUUUUGUGUGUGUCUAGAGUGUAGUUUAUUCACUUAAUACCUCUCAGGGAAAUGUCAAAGUGUAAUCUUUCUAUUCAUUUUCCUUUCUUCUUUUUAUUUUCACAAGUGGGUAUGCGUGGGAUUUUGAUUUCACGAUCUGGGUCUAUAUUCCUUCGCUGUUUAGAUCUUUAGCAAUUUGAGGUUAACUUAUGAGCUUCUAAACUUUCUCUCUUCUUUAAACUUAUCAAAUUUGCUAUGUGUGCAGACCAGUUAUUUUGAAUGUUCUGAUUGUUGAUAGCAAUAUUUAUUUGCAUUUUUCAAUCUUUCUCUGCUGAUUUGAAUAUAUUUUGUAGGAUAUGCUUGAUUUAUGCCCAGAAAAAGUGGAAAAUUAUGAAAAGAAGUUGAAGAACUUCUACACUGAGCACAUCCAUCAUGAUGAAGAGAUUCGUUAUUGCUUGGAAGGAAGUGGCUACUUCGAUGUGCGGGACAAAGGUGACCGAUGGAUUCGCAUUUGGAUCAAGGCCGGUGAUCUAAUCAUUUUACCUGCUGGAAGCUACCAUCGGAUCACUCUUAACACAAGUAACUAUGUGAAGGUUUGGAACUAUCUUAUUCUAACCACAACCAUUAAGACUCUAGAGAUUAAGUAUGUUUCAAUAGAUAAAGAUUCAAAGCUUUUAUGGGUUGAUUAAUCAUUAGUUGUUCUGUUUCUGUGCAUAUCUGUGUGCAGUUGAUGAGGUUGUUUAUCGGCGAGCCUGUAUGGACAGCAUAUAAUCGACCACAGGAAGAUAACCUUGCUAGAAAGGAAUACAUGAAGGGCUUGAAGCAGAGAGGGAGCGACGAACAUGAGAAGAACCGAGAAAGCAAAGGGGUCUCUGAAAUCUCUGCCAAUAGUCCAAGGUUAGUCCUUCCCCAAAACCUUAAUCCCCCAAAUGUUGUAAGUUCUGAGGUGUCUAUUGGUUCGUGUCAUCUUUAAGUCCUAGAAUUGAUAGUGUCUAAUAUUUCUUUCACUUUUUCAUGAUACACUUUUUAUCUAAUGGUGUAGAAGAAGUUUUGCUAUGUUUUUUUCACAAUUCCUUGAGAAAUUUUGGGGAGUAGAAAUAAAGUUGUUUCAGAUUAUCAUACUCCGUGGGAUAUGCACUUCAAAAUUGAUAUCAUGCUAUUGUCCGUCCAUUGCAAAAAUUAGAAUUAAGAAUCCUAACACCAGCAUUAUAUCAAAGCUAUGAUAAAAUUACUUUAAUUCAAUGUGUGCAUACAUUGUAAUGCAUGACUGUUAUAAUGUGCUUUCCCCCUCACCCCUUCCAAGGCUUACCGGUUUACUGUCUGCAUUUUUGUUUGACUCUAACAACUGAUAGAUGUAACAUCUGGACGUGAUUUGUAUUGGUGAAGCUCAAUUCUUCGAUGAUCUUAACAGUAAUUUAUUUAAAACACCUAUUGUAGAUACUUUGUAUAAUUUUCUUUCUAGGAUGCAUGGAUAAUUUUUGUUAUGUAUCCAGGUAGGGGAAAAUAGCACUUACAGAUCUUGAGAGUGUUGGGGACCGGCUUCUGUUAACUAGCCUGUAUGUUGAUUCUGGCCGGUGGUGAAAGGUUGAGAAGUUCAAGAAGAUUCUGAAGAAGGGGAAAAUUCAUAAAACUUCAUGGAUUGAGCUGGGUAUAUAUGUAUAAUAAUACUAUAUGCAUGUAAAUGAUUCUUUCUGGCCGGAGGUCCCUUUUCACUUUGCUACAUUAUUUAGGUAGAUAGGCCAUGAGUUUGCAUUGUGAAUAUUUGCUCAAUUUUUUUGGUUUGACACUUUGACUGAAUCUGGUGUGCCUAAAUUUGAGUUUGAUAGUUAGUGCACAAAAUCUCAUCGUGAUGUUAGUGAGGCAUGAAGCCAAAAUUUAAAUAUGAACCUGGUGUUUUAUACAUGUAAUAGUUUUAAAAGUUAGUUUGCUUUAGGUGUUACCUACAUUCUUUGCUACAUCUCCCUGUGUUCAGAUUUUGUUGCUAUCAAUGGACAGUGGUUGCUAUUGUAUGAGAUCAUUUGUUUUUAGAUAAUAGAUGGUGCUUUAAGUGUCUUUUCAUUAGAGAUUUUUGUUUUUAAGUCCAGGUCAUACAUUACUUUUAAACACUUUAUGUUUGAUCUAAACGUUUUGUCACAAAUGUGGCAUUAAUGUUACCGCAUUUCUAUAAAACAAAAUGUUACCGCAUUCAUUUAUAUAUAUAUAUAUAUAUAUAUAUAUAUAUAUAUAUAUAUAUAUAUUAAUUACAAAGGUAAAAAUUCUCAUACAAAGGAAUUUUUUACAUAAAAAAAUUAAAUAAAUUACAAGAGUGUAUAUUUAUAUAUGAUUUAGGGGUAUAACAUGAUUUAAAGCUCACACGGGGAGGAAUAUCACGCUUAAAAAUAAUUUCAAUAUAAUUUAAUAUGAUUAAUUUUAGUAUUUUUCAUAAUUUUAAGAGUGUAUAUUUAUAUAUGUACUAUAAAUUUAUUUUUGCUAAAAUAUUAGGGUUAUGAGCUCCCACGGGGAGGAACACUUUAUAUGAAAAUUUGUUUAGGUUAAAAAAAUCUGUUUUUAUAUAAUUUAAGCAUAUUUUUCAUAAUUUUUAAAAUAAUUUAAACAGUGAUAAUAUAUCUAUGUACUGUUACAUAUUUAGACUACACGAACGACACCCUUCAUGCAACGCAGGGUAUACGUCUUAGCAAACAAAAUUCAAUUAUACCUCAUAUGUGCAAAAUUGCAGAUUUUACUCAAUUAAUUCAUGUGUCUUUCAGAAUCUUUAUAUUGGUUAUUUCAAUGUAUGGUACAAAGCACUAGAAUUGAAUGUCUGAAUUUCAGUUUUUUAAAUAUCUACAUUUUCAUUAUGAUUGUUCUUUCAAUCUUGGUAUGUAUAAUUUUUAAUAAUCAAAAUAUUGAUUAAUAUAUCAAAUACAAUGGUAAAUUUCACCGUGCAACGCACGGGUAAAAUUGUUAGAACAUUGGUUUAGGCGUUUAGCAUAUUAGAAAGGAUAGCACCAGUUUUAAAAGUCUAACCUCAAUAGUAUAGCUUGAGCGAAUAAAGAUAAGCAGUAAAAUCUCAUCCAUGAUAUGUAGUUCUGUAGUUGUAACGGCAAGCACCAACAAUAAUAAUUAAUUUCCUCGGUACAAGAAGCAGACAAGAAAAGAAGAACUCCUAUCAGGAUGAUUUAGUGACGUGUCAUUCUCACGUUAAUUUUCAUAAAAAAAAAUUCCACGUGUCAUUCUUAGGUUAGUUCUCAUUAAAAAAUACAUUUUUAAAUUUUAGAUUUUAUUAGGAUUUAGGUUGUUUAUUUCUUGAUUUUACCUUAAUUUAUUUAUAGAGUAUUAAUUAAUUUUUAUGGUAUUUUAUAUUUUUAAAAGUAGAGUGAUGUGGCCUAAUAAUAAUAGGGAGUCUACAAAUUAAUUGUCUCAUUCUCCAAAAUAGAAUUCAGAUUUAAGUUAUUAGGACUUUUCCUCGGACCUUUUCCUCAUGUAACUAAAAAAAAAUUUAAACUAUUACGAGAUUAAUUUUUAUGCACUGUCUUUGUAAAUACGUUUUUUACAAUCAUUCGAUCACAUCUUCCAUUUCUUAUUUUAAAUAUUAUUAAAUUCAAAAUUGAUUAUGAGCCAGCUAAAUGAAUGGAUGCGAUUGCAUGAUUGUGUAAAACUUAUUUAUAUUAUUAGUGCAUACAAACUAAUCUUCUAUAUAAAUGUAGAUGCUCUCGCUUUAUUUUGAAAAAAAAUUGAGUGGUAAAAGUAUACUCCUUCAUUCUUUUUUAAGUGUCAUUCUAGCAAAAAACUCUCCAACCAAGAUAGUGGGUUGUUAGAGUUUUUUUUUCUCAUUCUUCCCUCUCACAUCCUAAUUAUGAAGUUAUAAAGUUUUCCAACCAAAAUAGUGGAUAAUUAAUUUUUUGUUCCGCUCUCUCUCAUAUCAUUAAACUAUUUAUCCUUAUUCUCUCUCUAGUAGCAAUAAAAAUUUAUAACUUCCUUCCAAUUUUUAAUGUUAACACAUUUUUCUAUGUAACUCUGAAAGCUCUUUUGUGUACUUUCAUUGGAAUUUAAUUUCCACUUACUAGACAAGACUUUGAAUUGAUGUGAUGAGAAUUUAUUUUGCACUUACUAAUAAAGGUAUAAUUGAUAAAAUGGACCUUAAAACAUCAAAACAACAGUUAAAUAUAAAAAAAAAUUUCUUCUAAAACGACACUUAAAAAGAAACGGAGGGCCGGAGUAUGAUUUUUUAUGACAUUUUUGGUAAAAGAAAAUGUCUUCACUUGCGUUCCACAUUGUUAAAUGCUCUCACUUUAGUAGUAAGAGUAUGUAAUUUUUUUAUGACUCAUUUGAUAAAAAUUGUUCUCACUUGUGUAUCUCCUUUGGUAAAAAAUAGUCGUCACUUCUAAUAGUGUAUGCUAAUUUUUUCUAUUUACAAAUUUAUAUGUUGUUUAAAUGACCCAUCAGAAAGUUUUGGUUAAAUAACUCAUCAUUCAAUUACAUUAAAGAUAAGAGAGUUGAAAUUUUCAUAUUUUAUUUAUUAAUUUAUAUAUAAAAAUUAUAUUGGUCCAUUAAAUUGUGAUUAAGAAACCUACAUGGGUUAUUUAGACAACCCCAAAAUUAAUAUGUACAUAUUACCCUCAUGUUUUUUAGAGAAGCCAUUAUCCUUGUAACAUCAAAUUUUUAGAUCCAUCUCUAUACAUUAUAGAUUAGCGAAGAAAAAAAAAGAGAUAUAUGCAAUCAGCGGGAUAUUUCUUCCAAUCAAAUUAUUUAAAAAAAAAUAAGUCAAAAUAUUGAGAUAUUAUAUUAGAGAAAAAUCAGGGAUGCAAUCAGUGAAAGAUAUCAAUUUCAAACUAAAAUCAUUUCGCAACUGUUACACACUUACACCUUAUCGUUAGACUAUAAUCAGGCAAUAUCAAUUUUUAUAUAUAUUCUCCUCAUAUUCUAAACAUAAUCUUUCUUUCAAAAAAAAAAACAUAAUCUUAGGAACCAGAAUUUUAUCUGUCAUUGUUAUAUUUUAGUACCUUGUUGCUUUUAUUUUUAUGGAAUCUUAAAUGAAAAGUCUUAAAUAUAUGAGUUGUGGAAGGAAAGUUUAAAAAUCAAUUCCUAAAAUAAUGAUUUAUCUUUCAAAUGUCAUGAUCUCCCCGUUUUCAAUUUCUUUUGAGAUAAAUAUGUGUUUUCUCUCAAGUGAAUUAUUGAUUUUAGUCUCCGAUAAUUUUGUUUUGAUUGCAAUCAUACUAAAACAGCGAUUGUCCCCGUAGGGUAACUCAAGUGGUAGGAGCUGGAGACAUAUGAGUUGGGUAAGAGGGUACAAGGAUCGAUUCCUGGAGAUGUAAUUUAUCUUACAGAUGUACCAAAAAAAAAUACUAAAACAACAAUUUAUUGCUUUUAAUCUCUCCAUUCAUUUUAUAAUAUUUUGUGGCGGUUUUAACUGUGACCAACACAUUUUGUGAAAAGUCUCCAAUAAAAAAAUUAGCACUUUUAGUCCUCUACAUUGGUUAAUUUUUUGCAAAAAUAAUUCCUACUUGGGACUAAAACGGUAAAAGUGUGUAAAUAUAAGGGACUAACUUUGCUAUUUUUUUUUUGAGGAACCAAAAGUGCAAAAUAGUGAUAAGUGAAGGAGCAAAAGAACUAUUAAACCUAAAAAUAAAAAAUGAGUAAAAAUUGAGUGUAUAAAAAAUGAGUUGUGAAAAUAAUAGUAUAGUUAUCUAGCGUGGUGGAAGGCUUCGAGGUACAUUAAAAUAAUUAAAAACUGUUACCUUCCUCUAUAAUUUUUUAUUUUGAAAUCCCUUAAAAUUGAAUAAUAUUUUUUUAUAUCCCAUGUGGUGAGAAAGGACAGGCUUAACACUAUAAAAGAUAAGAGAAGGAAAGCCAAGUCCCCAACCACUCCACAACUCAUAACUCAUUACAUCCUUCACAACCAUCCUUCAGAAAAAUGGUGUCACCAAAGCCUCAUGCUGUGUGUGUACCAUUUCCAGCCCAGGGCCAUGUGAACCCGUUUAUGCAACUAGCCAAACUCCUCCGUUGCAUGGGUUUCCACAUAACAUUUGUGAACACUGAGUUUAACCACAAACGUUUGACCAGGUCUCUUGGGCCAGAAUUUGUGAAGGGGCUGCCGGAUUUUCGCUUCGAAACCAUACCCGACGGUUUGCCACCUUCAGAUAAGGACGCUACUCAGCACAUUCCAUCACUGUGUGAUUCAACUAGGAAGACUUGUUAUGAACCUUUCAAAGAGUUGGUCAACAAACUCAACUCUUCACCUGAAGGGCCUCCUGUGAGUUGUGUAGUUACCGAUGGUGUUAUGGGAUUUGCUUCAAGUGUGGCCAAAGAUCUGGGUAUUCAUGAGAUUCAGUUUUGGACAGCAUCGGCUUGUGGCUUCGUCGGAUAUCUGCAAUUCGAAGAACUUGCCAAAAGAGGCAUUAUUCCGUUCAAAGGUGCGAUUUCUUCCUGUGAUUAUUUGCUUUUUUUUUGGAAUGCUAAAAUGAAUAAAAGAAUGGUAGCACGUUGGGGUGCUAGUACUCAUUCUCAUAUUCGCGGUUUUAAAAAUUAGUCAUAUCCUUUCUCAUACCAACUUAGGUAGCAACUUGAAAAUCUACCCAUAUCUCGUGUGACUGCUUCCCGAAUUUUUUUCAUGAAUUAGAAUUUAAGUGUUGCUCAACCACGGGUUCAUUCAUUUUGGACAGUCUGCCACCGAACCCAUGUCAUCUUGGCGUCUAGGGACUGCCCACAUAAGAAUAGGGACAAGUUUCACAGAACAUCAAAACUAAGGAGAAAGAUGCACGUGACAAAAUAAAUUCUAGUAGUAAAUAAUGACUAUUGGAUUAAAAGAAAAUCAACAGUGCGGAAAUAGGAGCAACACAUUAAAACUACUCUUGGAGCAACUUGAUGUUUCCUCAGUAAAAAUAAUUGAUAUUGCAUGUGCGCUGGUCACUGCUUUAAUUUAUGUAGCAUUUACUCAUGUACAACCACAUGCCUAUUUAACAGAUUUUUACAUUAUCCAUGAUAAGUAUUUUCUGUGGAUACCCAAUAGGCCCAACCGCCCAAGACCCAUUAACAUUCUUAAUCUCCUUUCUUGACAAUAAUCUUCUAAUAUGAAAAUAGUACGAUUGAUUCAACAAUGAUUUAUAUAUUGAUAUUGCUCUAUUUCGGAUGCAUUUGUCAAAUUUCAGAUGAAAAUUUCCUGAGCGAUGGUACCUUGGAUACAACUUUAGAUUGGAUCUCUGGCAUGAAAAACAUGCGACUUAAAGACAUUCCAAGCUUCAUUAGAGUCACCGAUCUAAAGGAUAUCAUGUAUGAUUUCUUGGGUUCUGAGGCACGAUACUGUUUGAGAUCUUCUACAGUCAUCAUUAACACAUUUGAAGAAUUGGAAAGUGAAGCCCUUGAUGAGCUUAGGUCUGCAAACCCAAACAUAUAUAACAUUGGCCCACUUCAACUGCUUGGUAGAAAUUUUCCUCAAAAGGACGACGGUUUUAAGGCAGGUGGGUCAAGUUUAUGGAAAAAUGAUUCUGAAUGCAUGAAAUGGCUUGAUAAAUGGGAACCUUCUUCAGUGUUAUAUGUUAACUAUGGAUGCACAACUCUUAUGACUGAGCAUCACUUGAAAGAAUUUGCUUGGGGAAUAGCAAAUAGCAAAGUCCCAUUUUUAUGGAUAAUUAGACCAGAUGUUGUGUUGGGUGAGGACUCUAUAAAUGUGCCACAAGAGUUCUUAGAUGAUAUCAAGGACAGAGGAUAUAUUGCAAGUUGGUGCUUUCAAGAAGAAGUACUUACUCAUCCAUCAAUUGGGGCCUUCCUCACUCAUUGUGGUUGGAAUUCUUCAUUAGAAGGCAUAUCUUCGGGUUUGCCUUUGAUUUGCUGGCCUUUCUUUUCUGAGCAACAAACAAAUUCAAGGUAUGCUUGCACAACAUGGGGAAUAGGGAUGGAAGUUAACCAUGAUGUGAAGCGAGAGGAGAUAACAACCCUUGUGAAUGAAAUGAUGAAAGGAGAAAAGGGAGAAGAAAUGAGGAAAAAGGGUUUGGAGUGGAAGAAAAAAGCAAUAGAAGCUACUGGUUUAGGAGGAUCAUCUUACAAUGAUUUCCAUAAGUUCAUAAAGGAGACUCUUCACCACAAUGCUAUCUGAGUUUGUUUUUGCGUGUCAAAAUCUAUAUAUAUAUGUAAAGCUCACUUGAGCUAUAUGUAAUAAAAGCAUUAAACAAUGAAGUUAAACAAAUUAAAUUUCUAUUCAACUUUCAAUAUAAUGUAACUUUUGAAAUAUUUCAAUUUUUAUGAUUUUUGACUUUACACAUGCCAAUAUGAUGUAACCUUUGAUUAAAUUAUGUAAUAAUAUUUUUAUUAAAUACAUUAAAUAUAAAUAUUGAAAACUGAAAGAAAUUAACUAGAGACUAUUUAGCUACCUAUACUAAAUAAUAAAAUUAUAAACUAAAUUUUGAAUUUGUUUUUUACAUUACUCAUUUAUUAUUUCUUCAUUUCAGAAAAUAAUUCAUCAACUAUAAAAAAAAACUACAUUAAAUCAUAUAUAUGAAAGUAUUAUAUAUUAAAUAGUAAAAAUAUAAAAUACAUUAGAUAAUAAAAUACUCAUGUUUGUAUUAGUUGUAUUAACUAUUAAUUAUAAAUUGCAGUUGCUUAUAAAAAAAUGGUUUAUUCAAUAUUAAUUAAAAAAUGUUAGAAUAUUAAUUAUCAAUCAUAAAUUGAAGGGAAGAAAAUUAAAAUAGAACCAAGUAAUAUUUUUUAUACAAAAAAUACUGAGAGUUAAAAUUAAUUAUAAUAAAAUAAUAUUUAUUAAAAAUAAUUAAGAAAAAGUAGUCUUUAAAUAAAAAGUCGCUCUAUGAGUAUUUACCAUUAACUAUAAUAUGUGUGUAUUCGUUGAAAAAAUUCUUCAAAUAUAAUUUUUUAUUUAUUAUAUAUUAGUAGAAAUGACUUGAGAAAUAAUAACAGAGUAAAAUAACUAUAACCAAAGUUGAAUAAAUUUAAAUUUAAUAAAUAAUUCUUUACACUGAUAAAAUCAUUUCUUAUUGUAAUUUUAAAAGUUAAAAUUACUUUAUUGUGGAUAUAAAGUGUAAAAAAAUAUGUCAUUAUAACUUAUUUAUGAUAUUAAAAACUUAUUACUUGAUUUAAUAUAUUUCAAAUUCACAUAAUGAUUUCUAUAUUUUUAAAUGAAUAAAAUAUUAAGACUACUUCAGUGCUAAUUAUUUAAUAUCAAUUACUAGAGAGAAAUGCAUGCGUGUUUCAUAACAAUAUUGUUUCUCUUGAACAUAUAUGAGACUAUUGCUUGGUUUGUGUGUUUUGGUGGGUCAAGGGGAAGUGGAAUGAUUGUUCAUAUGAUUUGGAACGGUUUGCUAGCUAGAGGCUUUGAGCGUAUUAAAUGGUCACGAAAACAAAAGAUGCCACAAAGAGUGUAUUGGGAGCCACAACUAGAAACUGUUUUGAAGUUUAAUGUAGAUGAGGCGUUGAAAGGGAACCCAGUGGUGAGUGGCAUUGGCGGGAUUUUGAGGGAUCAAGGAGGAGAUUUGUUAGGUUACUUUGCAAAAGGAACUGGAAUGUUGUGGGCUUUUGACGAAGGUUCAAGCAGUGUUACAUGCUUUGUUAUUUUUCCAACAAUUUAAAUUUUCAAAUGUGGUAGUUGAGAGUGAUUCUUCCUUAGUGGUUGGGUGAGUACGUCUAUGGUAGAUAAGAGGUCAUGGAAAUUGGAACAUGUAUUUAAUCAUAUAGAUCAUCUGAUGUCUAUAAUUCAGUGUGUUGGUGUGGUGCAUGUAUUGAGUCAGGAAAACACUAUGACAAACUUUUUGGCAAAUCAAGGGUGUGGUAGGGAACAACAGAUAUGAGUUUGUUAUGAUCCAAUGUAAUUAUAUAAAUGAGAAAGUUUUUCUCAUUUUUAUUGCGUUUUAAUAAGGUUUCUUUUUUAAAAAAGGUCAAUUAUCAAAUUUGAGUAAUAUUAAUUAUUUAGAUUUAGACAACUAUAAUUCUACUCAAUGAAAUGCCUCACCUCCAUUAUUAUUUAAAUAUUAUAUUUUAUAAUUAAACAUAUUUAUAUAUUUCUUAAAACUAUAAUAAUCAUAUAUAAUUUUUAAAAUAUUAUAAAUAAACCCGUGCAACGCACGGGUAUAAUUUCUAGUAAAUUGUAUUUUAUAUUCGUAUGCAAUUGAUUGAUUUUGCUUGUAAUCUUUCAUUUAUGUCUGUUGCUUCUUUUUUUUUUCUUGAUAAAUAAAAUGGUAGAAUGGAGAGAAAACAACUUCAAACUACCGGGUAUAGCAUUGUUGGCAUGAGCAUAGACUCAUAUUGGGCAUGACACUAGCAGUGUUCAGUUCAUUUAUGUUUGUCUUUGAGUAAUGUAUUUGUAUUUUUGAGAAUUUUAUGCAUUGAAUUGUUAUUUUGUCUAAAUAUAUUUGCUUAUUAAGUUUGAUAUCAACUUUUAUUAUUUGUAAAUCUUAUCAUUUGGAAAAUAAAAAUAAGUUCCCUAAUUAUAUUCCCUCCAAUAUUUAACUUCAAAUUAAAAUAACCCUAAAAAGUCUUAUAAUUAUGAAAGGAAAGAUCGAGUACAUAUCAUAAUAUGAACUACUAACUAGUGUGUUUCACCUGUGCGUUGCACGACGGAUUAUUAUUUUCGGAUUUUACCUAUCAUUAUUGAUAUAAAAGAAAAAAUAGAUUCAUGAAAAACGAAGAUAUGAAUUUCGUGAUUGAAAUUUAAUAAUGAGAAAAAUGUUAUAAAUUAAAGAUUGAAGUAUAGAUAAACAAACAAACGACAUCAAUUAACAAAUGAUAUAGUAUUGGAGUCAGCUACUAUUUAACAUAUAUAGAUUAGUCUAAUAUGUAGAUGAAUGUCUCGAUAGAAAUCUUCAAAGUUAGUCUCCUCAAACCAUGAAGCUACAAAUACAUAGAUUUGUGUAGAUUAGAUUAGAUUUACAUAGUAAUAAACAAAAGUUAGUUUCAAUGGGCAUUAAAAUAAAAUAAUUUCUUUCAAUUAUAACAUUGACUACUUUGAAUACAAAUUUUUUAGUUAAUUUAUAUUAAAUGUUGGUUCCACUAUGUAAAAGGAUUAAUGUGUAAAGAUUGAUUUUUGACUUUUCUGUUACAAAAUAAUAACUAAUUUUAAGAUCAAAUUCAUAAUGUUAUUAAAAAAAACUUAGAUCAUUAGAAAACGGACCUUUUAGAUGUUGUCAAACACUUCUUGGUAUACAACAUUCUUUGUUGCAUUUGAGAGGUUUCCUUCAUCAUCUAAAAUCAAUAAUUUCAGCCCUUUUCUUGACUUCACUCUUGAGAGAGCAACAUAGAGCUGACCAUGAGUGAAAACUGGUCUAGGCAGAUAUAACCCAACAUGAGAUAACGGUUGACCUUGACUCUUGUUUAUAGUCAUUGAAAAGCAUAAUGUGACAGGAAAUUGCCGUCUUGAGAAUUUGAACGGCAAACCAGGGUCAGAUGGUAUUAAGUUCAUUCGAGGGAUAAAAACUUUUUCUCCCAUUUUUUUACCUGUUAGAAUUGAUGCUGCAAUGACAUUUUUGGUCAAAUCUGUUACUAUCAAGCGAGUUCCGUUACAUAAACCAAUAGACUGGUCUAUAUUCCGAAGAAGCAUAAUUGGAAUUCCAACCUUCAAAUUAAGUUUGUGGUUUGGAAUUCCUGAACAUUUGACUUCAUUCAAGAACUCAGAAGUGAACCAAUCUCCUUUUAUCUCUGUGUCCUCAUCAGACUUGCAUGUAGUGUCAAAGCUCAAAUAUUCCUUCUCAUCACCAGGAACCAUAGAAGACAUGAAAUUAUUAACAUGCUCAACACUCUCAAGGGUUGGUGCCAAAAUUGCUCUUUCUUCAAAGAAUGAAUGAUUUUUCAUGUUGUCAAUCAUUUUAGGAUAAGCAAAAUUCACCAAGCUAAGUAUAGGAUCAUCUGAUUUUUCUAUCAACAAAUCUAGAGGUAUUUUUAUCAUUGUUUGAGCAUCAUCAAUUGUGUUCACCGUACCAUCUCCAACUUGUAGAAUCCAUUCUGCAAACUCCCUGGUUUCUUCAUUGGUUGACGAUGUUGCAGAAUUUUGUAAUCUCAUGUUUUUGGUCAAUUUCAAUACUUUGCACGAGUUCCAUAAGCAUGAAGAAUUGAUUGAAGAUUCAAUAAUAUCUGCUCGACUACCUUUUGGGACAACGGGAAGAAUUUGCCUAAAAUCACCUCCCAAGACCACAACUUUACCACCGAAUGGUUUAUCAUAACCAAAAUUCAAACGGGUUUUCAUGAGGUCAUUCAAAGUUCUAUCUAAUGCUUCAAAACAAUGUUUGUUCAACAUUGGUGCUUCAUCCCAUAUGAUCAAACUUGCCUUUUGAAGUAAUUCAGCCUUUUGCGAUCCUUGUUUGAUAUUACAGGUUGAUAUAUCAUUAAUUGAUAUAGGAAUAGACAACCUUGAAUGAGCAGUCCUUCCUCCAGGCAACAACAAAGAAGCAAUACCACUUGAUGCCACGUUCAAAACAAUGAGUCCUUGUGAUCUUAAACCUGAAGACAAUGUAUUCCACACAAAUGUUUUCCCCGACCCUCCAAAUCCAUAUAGAAAAUAAAACCCUCCAUCGUCGGACAAAACUGAACUCAUUAUUUGUUUAUACACUUUAGAUUGCUCAGCAGUCAAAGACUUUAACAGUGCUUCAUGUGUAUCGCGCAUUUCUUGUUUACUGUAAUUCAACUCGUCGACAACAAACUUGUUUUCAAAUUGUAGAGUUUCAGAAAAUCUGGGAUAUGACAUACAUGGAAAUUCUUUAAGUGACCUCCCAUUGCAGUGGAGAAGUUUCUCAAUUUCAAUUAAGCAGAGGUUCAUGAGAGCAUCAUCCUCUAUUCGAAGAUCUAGAAUUAUAUGCAUGUUAUUAGUAAUGAAACAUAAAUUUUCUUAUGAGAUUGGUAACUGAAGGAAUGUACAAAGAAAAAUAUCAAGUAACAUAGCAAAUAUGUUAAAAAAUAUAGAUAACAAAAUAAAAUUGUGCAAUACAAAGUUGUAACUGUUGAAAAAAUGUGUUGUCAGAGUGUGGUGUAUUUUUUUUUAAGAAAAAAAAUGAGGAAUCAUAUUUAUUAUUUAUUAAAAAUAUUCUAAUAGAAUAUUAAGUUGUGAGGUUAGCGGGGUGGUGGUUAUUUGGUUAAAAAUGUGUGUUGUGGGUUAGUGGGGUGAUUAUUCUAUUUUUAUUAAAAAUUUAGUAGUGUUUUAUCUUAAUAUUAAUGGGAUAAUAUACAGUCAGGUAUGGACAACACUAUCUGGAAAUUAAUUCCCUACUCUCUUAUUUGGUCUCUGUGGUUGGAACGAAAUAACAUCAUUUUCAAAGGCAAAGAGGCAAAUUUUCAAGAGGUUGCAGACAUGUAUUUGAUCAGACUAACAUGGUGGAUUAAGAGUGCUUGGAUAACAUGUCCCUUUGACAUUGAUCAAAUAUCAAGGAACUUGGAAAACAUUCAGUUCCCUAUGCCCCAUCCCAAUCCUAGACAUGUUUCGUGGCUACCUCCUAACAUCGGGUUGCUGAAAUGCAAUGUUGAUGGAGCCUCAAAGGGCAACCCGGGGAUCAGUGGGGUUGGAGGAGUUAUUAGGGAUUCAAGCAAGAAAUUUCUGGGAUACUUUGCAAUUGGCAUAGGGUUCGGUUGGGCUCAUGAAGCUGAGGUAAAAGCAAUACUAUUUGGGCUGCAGUUUUGUCAACAAUUUCUCUUCAACAAUGUAAUUCUUGAAAGCGACUCCACAGCGGCUAUAGGAUGGGUGGUUUCAAGAGAAAAACGACCCUGGAAACUGCUCAAUGAACUGAACCAGAUUGAUAUUCUGAUGAAGGAAAUCAAUAUCCUUGAAAUUAGGCACACAUAUAGAGAAGGAAACUCGGUUGCUGAUUUCUUGGCAAACACAGGUUGUGAAGGUUUCGAUCCCCUUUGGGUUUUGCUGGAAGAUAGAAGACCAAAUUAACUCUCCUGCUUCUCACGCUUCUUUCGUUUCACUACCUUAAGGCACCUAGGUGCUCUGCGCUUGUAAAUUGGCAGUUUGAUGGUUUUGCUAAGGCACAAGGCUUUAUGGUAUUGCCGGGUUGGGUUUUGCUAAUAGCUUACUAGCGAUGCUAUAGCAAUCUGAUUGUAUCAUUCUUAUUCAGUUUCAAUAAAUUUGAUCUUUCAAAAAAAAAAUUCUAAACGAAUUUUUUUUAUCAAUAAUCUUGGUAGUGUUUCAUGGGAUCCAUAGUAAAACAUUAUAUUCAACGUGGUGGGAUGAAUAUCACCAGGGAAAGAGAGGUGUGUGGUUAGUGAGUGACAGUUAUUUAGUCCAAAAUGUGUGUUGCUAGUUAGUGGGGUGUUUAUUUUAACAUAAUUAAAAUAUACCAUUUAUUUUGUUUAAAAAUAUAUUUUAUUAAAAAAAUAGAAUUCACAUAGAAUUUUAAUUUGUAGGGUUAGUGGAGUGGUGGUUAUUUUGUCGAAUAUGUGUUAGUGGGUUAGUUUGGCGGUUAUUUUAACAAAAUUAAUAUCUAAUAUUUAUUUUGAUAAAAAAAAUACAUUUUUCAUUUAAAAAAAAAAUCGCAUAUAUAUUAAUUUGUGGGGGCUUUAUCAAAAAAAAAAACAUUUGUGAGGUUAGUGGGGGGGGGGUGGUUUUUUGUUUGAAUUGUGUGUUGUGGGUUAGUGGGGUGGUUAUUAUUAACAAAAUUAAUAUAAAUUAUUUAUUUUAAUAAAAAGAUUAAACAAAUAAAAUAAAUUCAGAUAUAUUACUAAGUUGUGGGAUUAGUGGGGUGGUUUUUUUUGAACUCAUAGUGGGGUGGUUAUUUUGUUGAAAAUGUGUGUUGGUUAUUUAAGAUAGUAUAUUUAGUAUAUCUGGUUACAUAACGCCUAAGCCAAAUACAUGAAAACAUGAAAUACUUAAACAACAAACAAUACUUAAACAACAAACAUUACGCCUAAGCCAAAUGCAUGAAAACAUGAAAUACUUAAAAAACAAACAUAACGCCUAAAAAAGGAACAUGAUAAGUUCAAUACAUAAAAUUAACAUCCAAAAUAUGAUUGAUCAAUUCUUCUCCUUCUUAAUCUUCUUGAUCAGCUUCUUCUUGUUAUUAGUUGAACCAACUCCUUCAUUCUCCGAGUGAGUGCUCCGCUUGCAUGGUGGUACUUCUUCUUUUUCUAUGUUAGGAUCAACUACAUUGUUUGUCAUCAGAUCAACAACAUCAGCACUCGCAGCAGCAACAAACUCUUCAUUAAGAUCCUGUUAUGUAGUAAAAAAUUAGAUAACCGCAUAAUAAUUAAAAAUAAAAAUUUAUACUAAGUAAAAUAUAUAGUAGAUGUAACCUUGGCCAAAUUGGAACUCGCGUUUUCAACACUCUCAUCAGAUGUAGGUGUUUCUAGCAACAAUAAUGGAGCAGUGUCGUCCUAUAAGCAAACAAAAGAUGACAAUAAUAUGUGAACAACACAUUUUCAAUAAAUAUAGGGAAAAAUACUUCGCAAUGAUCCUAGUUACAUUAGGAGGAGGGAGAGCUUCCUUGAAUUGAGCAAUUAAGUCGGGAUCUGCACAGAUUUUCUUGACACGAUAUGAUGGCUCAAACCUGGAGCCGAGAUCUCCACAAAUUUUUUUGUCACGAUUUGAUAGCUCAAACCUGUAGCUUGAAGUGUUGUUAACUUCAAUCCUAAAGAGAAAGGUCUUUUCCAACAACUUAAGUAAUUCAACAGGAGUUGUAGAGCCAGAGCCAGCAGGAUUCUGUCACCAAUUAAAAAUUUACGAAUUAAGACAUGCUACCAAUAGUAGUACAUUUUAUGAUAAAAUUGAACUCUGAUCUCUUAUACACAUACCUUUGUUGACGAAUCAACCAAGUCAGCACAGGUAGUUUCAAGAAGAGCACUCGCUUCUUUGUCAAAUAUGACCAAUGUAGCAAUGUCAUUACCCUGCUUUACUUUGACUUGCAAACGGAACCUAUAGUAGCACAAAAAAAAGGAAAAUUAAAUGGCCAAGAAAUUUAUUUUUCGACACAAAAUGGAAUAGGUAGUUCAAUACCUAGGGAUCAUGGAAAAAUAAUGACGGUUACAACUAUCACAAAAAUACAUUUUCUCAUCCCAAAUAACUUUUUUGUUGCACUUGCAAGCUUUGUACCACCAAUUAUUCCCCUCAGGUAUUUGUAUGAUGGUCCCUAACACAACACAGCAUGACUUCUGCAUAAAAUGACCAAGUUAGUUAAAUACAUUUAAAAACAACAAAAGAAAAAAACACAUAAAUAAAAAAAUAAGUUUUUUAGAAAAUAAAUAUUGAUAGACCUUAUCCAUGGCUCUGAUCUGCUCGAAAGUUUUCAUCUCUCAGAGUUUUAAGAACUCCUCCUCAAGGGAAGGUUUUGAAGAGUCGGACAAUUGAGUAAGAAUCUGAGAUCCAGGUUCAUUCAUCUCGAACAACCUAUUGCAUCAAUACUUCCGUCAAUUGUAAUGAAGCCAUAAAAUUAAAAAAUUAAUAAGCAAAUGAGCAUAAGUAAUGAGUAUGGCCGUACUUGUCCCUCACAGCAAUAGCUUCAGGAAUCUCAGGAUUAAAGAGGAUCCGUGUUGCACCAUAUGCAUUUUGCAGGCUUUGUUGACCUACACAAUUAUUUUAAUAUGCUUAUCAAAAGAAACAUUGAACACACCAGAUAUAAACAAAAAAAUUCCCCUAACAUACCUCUAAAAGGCUUGAUUUUUGCAAACUGGAUUAAAACAACAACGCCGGUCAGAUCGCGUGAAGAUAAAGCAGCGAGUAGCUCUUGGACGUAGCUUCCAAAAAAUGCACACUCAACUUUCACUCUGUUUUCAACAAACUUAUGAUUUAAAUUAUUACUCACAAUGAUUGGUCAAUUAAUUCAAAAUUUUGAUAGAUUUUUUGUUUUUGUUCAAAAUACUAAUAAUUACCCUUCUUGUUCAAUCUCUAUGGUAAUCCUCUUUCGCACUUGAUGAUUUUUUUCAAAUUCCUGCUCGCCGCUAUGGCCGGUAAGGAUCCCUAUCACAUCUGCGAGACAAACAAAAUAUGAUGCAUCGCAAAUAAUUUUACGGAUGUAUACAAUUUUAGUUUGAAAUCUCACCGACUAACAGUGUCUGAUCUGGAUCAAUGAACAUGAUAUCAGAAACAGAAACAAAUGAAUAAGGACUCUUAGUGAUGGGAACGUCAGUUAGGAUUUGAACAACCGAAUCAAACCCAAAGAUUAUCCUGUGAGCAUGUGUCGUAGUACGAAAAUCCAGAGGGCUAUCACCAACAUUGAAAUGUGACAGCAUGUAUACUCGACCCUCAACUAACAAAGGAUUAAACUCAUAAACAUGAGUCCUUUGCACUGUGCCAUGGAUCCUAUCACCCUGUAGAUUGAGAACAUGUAAGUGAACGGAAUAAACUUAACAUUUUAAACUAACAUCAAGUCAAAUAGACGUUUGUUUUUAAAAUAACUAAGAAGUCGAACCUUUGCAUCCAUUAAAACCAACUCCAUCGAAUUAGGAAGUUUUGAACGAUCGAAACUUGGAGUCAUCCACUUCCGCACCACCUUCACAAUAACUCUCCACACAUCCUUUUCCUUUGAAAUGGAAGGGACAUCAUCAAAAGUUAGACUAAGAGCCAUGACAACUUUUAGAUGGAAAAGUGAUGGAUGAAUUAUGAAGUCACAUGAGGAAUUUAUAGAAGUGUUUCUCAAGGUAGUUUAUCUUUUUGUGGGUUGAAUUUUUAUACAUGGUGGGUGGUUAUCAAAUUUAAAUGAACGUGGUGGGAGUUUGGAAAGAUGGUUUGUUUUUUAAAGCAUCAAUUUUGGAAAAGAAAAUGAAGUUCACGUAGGAUACAAUUAGUAUAUGUGGAACAUGAUGGGAAUUUACACAUAGUGGGUGGUUAUGGUAUGUUUUUUUAAUGCAUCAACUUUGGAAAAAAAAAGGCAAGUUCACGUAAUAAACAAAUAUGGAACAUGAUGGGAGUUUAGUGAUGGUGGGUGGUUAUUAAAGGAAAUAGACAUAGUCAGAGUUUAGAAAGUUAGAGCUCACGUGAAUAAUGGAGAUUGAAAUUAGGUGGUUGAUUUUCCAAGUGAGUGAGGAGUUAUUUACUAAGUGGGUGAGAAGUUAUUUUUGUAGUAGCAUUGUGGACCAAAAAUUUAACUGACGCAUAAUAGAAUGACAUGUGGCAAUGAAGCUCCGAAAUUUACUCUCGUAGCAGAAUCAAUGUGGUGAUGUCACGUGGAAAGAUUCUUCUUAGAGUGAUUUUGCUUUAUAGUAUAUAUAGAUGUGUUUUCUUCGUUUUCUUUCUCCUUCCGCUCCAAUUUGUGUGGAAUUUGACUAAACUAAAUAUAAAUCGAACAUGAGAAAUAAAGUUAGUUUAAAAUAAAAAACAUUCCAAAUAAAGCAAACCUCUCUUUUUCCCCUAAGUUAUCAUCACAAAAGACUUGAUACUAGUGUAGUAUAAUCGAUGCAAUAAAAUAAUAUGUAAUCUAAAAAUACCAAACAUAAAAAGUUCGUUUCAAAAAAAGUACAAUAUUAAUUAACACUCAUUGUCAGUAUACUUUUUAUUCAUAUCACUCUUUUCUCAUUCUCAAUUAAGUCAAAAUUCUCUUAAUCAUUUUUUUCGUCGUCAACGAAUAAUGUUACUUUCACACCUCUUUUUGAGGUGGAAAGAGGUGGAAUGAUGAGAGAAAUAUAAAGAAAAUAAAAAGUAAGAAAAAGAAAGUAUGAGAUGUGUUAGAUAAUAAGAGGAGAGAGAUAAAAACAAAAAUGUGUGGAAAUGAAGUGUUAACAUAUCAUUAUUGCAUCAUCAACCUAUGUAGUUACUACCAAACUUCCAUUAGCAGUAGACACAACAAUGUCGCUCAUUCAUGAGAGUUGAAAUUUAGAGAACAUUUUAUCAAAGCUUUCAUUCUCCUCCGUUUUGUACAGUUAUAACUAUUGUACCAACAGACUACUCUUAGUUUGUUUGAUGUUGCAUUUACCCUCAUAAGAAAUGGCCAAUAUUGUAUCCCACAUCGUCAUUGCUUUCAUCCUUCAUUUGUAGGGAUGUCUAACAUCUCAUGUCUUAUCGACUCAAUGAACAAUAUAAUUGUUUCUUUCCAAUUCCCAUAAUUACCGUCGUUGAAGAAGGGAGGCCUAUGUUUGGUUGACCAUUAGACAUGGGGUUGUUGUUUUUUAAAACCAUAGGAUCUCCUCUACACUUGUUGAGUGUUUAACCCAAAAGUAAGCUCUGAUAUCAAUUGAAAAAAAAACAAAGAAACAUGAUAAUAGAGGAUGAAUUGUCUUUAAACACUUUUGGGAAACAAAAAUAAAUAAACUUAUGUGUGUGAGCAAGGAGAGAAUCCAUAUAUAAGUUUUAUAAGAACUCAAGUAAAGCUAAGAAUGAAUAACAUGUUAUGCUAAUGAACUAUAGGACAUGUAUUUAUAAGAUUUGUAUUUGUGUUCAAUGCCCUGCCGGUGUUGGGAAGCCCUUAUGUGGAGCUUCGGCAUUGCAUUGAUACCCUAACAUCUUUUGUUUAAAAAAAGAAAAUUCAAAGAUUAAAAAUAAGGAAAUUAUUUUUAGGGACUCAACCAAAAUUUGCUAUAUUUUUAAGGAACAACUACAAACUUGAGUUUAUUAAAUUUGUAAAACAGCAUCAAACAAAUAUCACAGCAAGAAACAAAUUAGUAGAUGGAGAGAUGUCGAGAAGCACUGAGAGCCGAAACGGGUGAAAGAAAAAGACAUGUUACUUUGGGGAGCCUGAAAUAUAAUAUGAAUUGAUAGCAAUGAGGACUGAAGUACAGUUUGAUUAUUUUUAGAAAAUGAGGCAAGAAUUUUGGAGGAAUAUUGCCUCAAAGGAAAGAUCCAAUUUUUUUCCAAAAAACAUAGCCUUACAUGCUUUUCAAUACAUUUUAUCUUUUUCUAUUCAAUAUAAUGUCAUGUCCAUCUCUUGACAUUGAUUACAUUUGUGGUCACACCCACUAUCCUACCACACGUUUGUGUGUGGUUACCACAUUUCCCCCAUCAUCUUUCUUUCUCUCCCGGACCACACAGAGUGGCGGAUAUAGCCAAGGGGGUCUUGAAGGUGCCAUGGUCCACCCGAAAAUUUUAUAAAUCUUAUAUACCAUAUAUAGUAUUAUGUAUAUGUAGAAUUAUAUGUAUAUAUGAAAUGAUACUCAAAUUCUGAUUGCCAACACAGUUCUCAACUUCUCAUGCUUGAUGCUUUUAAAAAAAAUUCUCAUGUUUGAUGCCCCUUUGUUCAUGACUUUCAGCAUAUACAACUGCAUGAAUGUUUGUGUCCUUUUGCUCGUUUUGAUGAUUAGUGAGGAGAAUAAUAAUAUAAGAAAUCUCUCCCAUAACCAGGGCGUAUCCAGCGAAGGGUUGGCAAGGGCGACCGUCCCCAAAGAUUUCAAAAAUCGUGCAGACUAUAUGUAAUUUUUGGAAGAAAUUUUUUUCUAUCUUUAAUCCCGCUCUCCCAAAGAUUUGUCCAUCAAUUAUAAUCAAACGAUUUUUUCGAUUUGGAAAAAAAGAAUUUUCGGUUUCAACUAAGACAUUAUCAUUUAGAUGUUUUCGAAGAUCCUAAUUUAGGAAAACUGUCCAGUUUAUCAGAGUUUUACCAGAGAUUAGUUGAUAAGCAGCAAAGUUUCCACUUGUUGACAGAUUGAUACGUCUUGUUUUAACACUUCAUGUUUCAACAGCAUAUACAGAGCAAGCUUUUUCUGCAAUAAUGAAAGUUGUUAAGACUCAAAUUCGCAAUAAGUUUGAAGAUAACCUUUUCAGAAAUUUAUUAGUAGUAUACACGGAGAGGGAAAUUGCUGAAGAGAUCAAUGUUAAUACAAUAAUAGAUAAAUUUAGUAACAUAAAAAAACGAAGAGUUCAAUUUAAAUAAUUUUUUUUAUGAUUUGAAAUAUAUACAUUAUUUAUUGGUAAAAAAAAAUUCUAGUAUUUUAUUUCGCUCCCCCAAUAGGAAAAUUCUGGAUACACUCCUGCCCAUAACAGAAUUAAAUUACACUUUAAUUUCUUAUCCUCUUAUUUAAAAACAUACACUCUUCUCCUCCGUAAAGUUUAAAUCACACUCAUCUCCUCUCUUAUUUCAGAAAUUACACUUUCUCCCUUAAGAGGUAGGUUUCCCUAAUAUGCACCACUUUUAUAGUAUUUCAAUUAAAUCCAUUUUAAUAUAAAUAAACAGAUUUUUUAUGCGUGUAUAUUUUAUCUAUUUUUUUCUUCUUCUUUGGCCACCAGUCUCCACGGGGAAAGGGGUCCCACGUGACUAAUCUGGCUCGGGAUACGGUAGUGAUGUCCCUGACCACAAAGGUUUUUAUUUUUUACCUCAGAGGGGAUCGAACCCAGGCCGGAAGCCUAAGUGAAAUCUCUUAAGAAAAUGCACAUUCACCACUUGUGCUACCCUUUGUGGUUAUAUUUUAUCUAUUUAAUUAUGAUUUUAUCAUCAUAAAUUAAUAUAUAAUCUGAGUUUCUUACCGACAACGUUCAUCGUUCAUGAUUUACUCCUAAAAGGGGAACCAGACCUGGUGGGCCACUUCACCAUAUAUGUUAGGCCACAAGCCAUGGCCAAUGAUCUCUUGAAAAGUAAUUCUAUUUUGGGCAUUCCAAGUAAUCUACGAGUUCAUUCUUGUUGCUGUUAAAACAUAUAGAAGAAAAUGGUGUAUAUUGAACGAAAAUCUCUAUUACACCAAAGUUUUUGAGAGAGCUAAACAUACCCUCCCUAAUUUCCUUUCCAAUCUCAACUUAAUACUCACUUUCUAUUAUGUACAAUGUACUAUCACUUCCCUCCAACGAACUCACUAACAACCUACUCUGACAACAAACUAAUGGGAUUAUCUAACAAGAUACCAUAAUGUCCUAUAUCAACCUAAAAUAUAAUUUUAAAAAGAAAAAAGGAACUUCUCCUUAACUCUCAAACGGAAAAUUUUAUACAAAGAGGGAUAAGAAAAUCAUUUCUACCUUGAUAGAUGGAACCAUAGCAAUAGCUUCCUACACAGUCUCCGGGCAAAGAUUGCCUAGGACACACAGAGUUAUAUGUUAUACUCCAUCCAUUCCUAUAUGUAAGAACCAAACCACCAAUGCACACCCCUUAAGAAAGUGGUUGGUAAUAUUAAAUUUGUUCAAAUUUAUAUUGACUUUCUAAAACUAUCCCAAUUUAUUUUUCUUAAUUUCUACUCAUCAUUAAUGAGUUGCAUAGUGGAAAGAAAGAGAAACUCAAUUAAAUGAGGAUAUUGUUGCCAAAAUAUAAUUAAUGCACCUUGAAAUUGAAAUUGGUUCUUAUAAAAAGGACCAAGCUACACCCUUCAUUUGGUUCUUAUAAUAACGAACGGUAAAAUGAGACUCCCUCUCUUUCUUUUAUGAAUAAAAUGUGAAAACUUGUUUUCUAAACAGAGUCCAUAAUUUAUUGCUCACACAUAUAUGUAACUAAAAUAAAAUUCAAUAGAGGAAAAGCUCGUAAUUUAUUGCUCACCAUAAUUUAUUUCCUUCUCAACCAGCAGGUUUUAGCUGCAGCUUUCAAAUGUUGUUUUGUUGUUUUAUUUCCUGUUGGUUAUUUUGAGAUUUAUUGGUCUCUUAAUGGUUCUUAUAUUUUCCAUGUUUUAAUUUUACUUUAUUGGGCUCUAUUUUGGUUUUAUUUAUUCCUUUUUUUAAUUUCUCACCUGUGACCUUUAAUAUUAAUUUUGAAUAUCAUAAAUUUUGAGUAAUUUUUAUUAAUUUUAAUCCUUCAUGUAUUAUAUGUAUAGUAUAAAUUGCAUAAAAUAUAUAAAAAAAUUCAGCGUAACGGCCAUCCUGAUAUGCGAUAUACUGCUAUAGCUAGUGUUUUGUGGCCGACUAUAUCUCUAUUUAGCAAGGUUAUUAAAACCGGACCGGUCAUCAAACCGGUGAGGGUACUGGUUCACGGUUCAUUGGUUCAACCGUAAUUGAAUCGAGGUUCAACCGGUAUUACCGCAAUAAAUUAAAUAAUUUUAUUUUUAAAAUAAAAAUGUAAUAUAAUAUAACAUUGAAUAAAAAAAAGAUAAUAUUUGUGACAAAAAUAGGAUCUAAGUAAGUGACUUUUAUUUAUUUAUACAUAAAAGUAAGCAAACUGGGUAAUGUAUAGUAACUGUAUACCGUGGGCAAUAAAUUUAUAAAAAAAAAUACCGUGGGCAAUAAAACAGAAGUAAGUGACCUUUUUUUUUUUUGGCCUUUUUCUUUUUUUUGUUCUAUAGAGAAGUAAGUGACUAUGAAGAGAAGUGACGUGGACAUAAAAUGGUUGGGCCUAAAUUAAAUAUUAGCCUUUUAGGGUUUAAAGUGCUUUCUCCCUCAUCAGAUAUCAUCUGUGCCUUCUCAGUCAAAAGAAACAACGCAGCUUCUCCUUUCAUCAAGCAGUAACUCGUUCUUCUGUUCAAUCAACGACCAAGCUCGUUCUUCUCAUAUCCGAUCUCUCUUAAUCUUUAUCGGAGUCUUCUCCUCCUUUCUCACUCUCGUUCUUAGCAUGUUCUGCUUUUGUUUUGGUUGAAAUUCUGACUGAAUGAUGAACCGGCCCAACCCGGCGAACCGCCGGUUUUCCCCGGUUUGGACGGUUGUUGACCGGUUUUACGGUUUUUGACCGGUUUCAUACUCCUCCGGUUUUUUGAGCAUUUCAGACCGGCCACCAGUCCGGUUCCUGGUCCAUACGGUUCAACCGGCCGGUCCGGUCCGGUUUUUAUAACCAUGCUAUUUAGGAUUGACAGCACUGAUUUAAUGCUUAAAGUGAAACACCAAAGGUUACAGUUAGAAACUAUAUGUAAGUUUAAUUUAUAGAGAUUUCAUAUGAAAAUAAUUAAUUAUUAGUAGUUUACUUCCGGCAAUAUCUAAGAUUGUAAGUCUCGGACUCUUAACUGCUUCCUCAAUCCUUACUUUACCCAACUCUUAAAUUUAAAUUUUUAAUUUAUCAUAUUCAAUUCUUUUCUAGGUUAGACUUUACUUAACAAUUGAACCUUCACUUCAAUGUAUAUGUUAUAACUAGAUAUGCAACUGAGAGCAAAUAGAAGAGAAAUAGACAGGCUUUAACAAGGUUUUAACUAAAAGUGAGUUGUAGGCCUACAUCCAUAGGCAAGGUGGAGAGCUUCGAAUUUCAAGGAAUUGUGCAAGACAGCAAACUGCCUUGCUAUUACUGCCACCUGCAGGAAGACAUACCAAAGAUAUUGCUUUAUUAAAGACAUGCUAUAGUUUUAAAAGUUUAUUUAGCAUGAACAAAGACUACCCUAUCGAAAUGGGAAAACAUUUAACUCUGAAAUAUAAGAAUUUAAAAAAGUACACUCACAAUAACUGAGAGCUUAUGAAGAUUACAAGUGGAAACUCUACGCUAAACCUUAAUACCAAUACACCCAAAUAGUAGGUAAGUAGGUUUGAGCCUCCACUCAUCUCCUAGAUAGGGGUGAGGUAAAUCAAGUCCUGUGUAUGUACUAUUUGAACUUGAUCUGGGAGAGACCAAGCUACACGUUGACAAGGGGUAGGAGAGGGGAUCUGGACGUGCUGAAGGACUCCAAAGUUGGUGAGGUCCCGGGAGGGGCUCCUGCAAGACACUCCGAUGCAUAAGUCAGUAAGUGAAGUGGUGAGUAUAGUGAGAAUGGUGAGAAUACGUUACCUUUGAGUAGAAGAGGUGUUCCCUUUAUAUAGGAGAGGUAGAAUUAGGGUUGGAGCCAUGCAACGUCAUGCAUGGCUCGUACGAGGGACACAGUUCGCCGUUGGAUUACCUGCGGGUCUUGCAGAGGAACAGUGAUCCAACGACUUGAGGGCCCCUACGGAUCUGUGUCAGCCAACCUACCCCCUAGGGUGGUUGGCCUAGGUCAACCUCUAUUUAGUGGGUCCUGGAUUAUUCGUCCUUACCCUUGGUGGUAGGGCCCUCUAGCGGGGUGUUCCUAGACUUCCUACGCCGUCCCUCGAUAGGGACGUUCUGUGGGGUCCAGUCCCGUCCCGGGUGCCCUGCCCGUCCUUGGCCAGGGUUCCCGGAACAGUAGCCCCCUAGCCCUGGUCCGCUGCCUCAGCGGGGCAAGGGCUAACGUGUCUCGUGUUCGUGGGAUCACGGGGGUUCCCAGGGUAGGGACGUAAGGAUCAAACCUUUAAACCUUUAUUCAUUAAGGGUGGGGGGCCGUUCGACCAUUACAUUUAGUACCCUUAGAAGGGGGGUGUUACUCGCAUGGCGUUGUAGCGGAGGCGAGCAGUUCCUAGGUCUCUGUCGAGAUUCUUCCUCGCGGCUAGAAGGGGGGCCAGCUCGGCUUUGAUCUCGUCCGACGUUCCCUUCCCUUCCCCCUCGCGUUCCGUGGCGGAGACUUCUAGACCCCAAAUUAGCAUGCUAAUCUUCGAGCAGCGUCUGUGUAAUUCCCACAUUUCCUCCGCUAGCUCCAAGAAGGUUAGCAACCCCGCCUUCAGUUGGGGGUCAGGAUCCCCUGCCAGAAGCCUGCUGACUAGGGAUCUGAUCCUACCGGAGGUGGUGGCCUGCGUCUGGUAAGAGUAGUACAGGUUGCAGUCUAGAGCCUCGGCCCUGAGUGCCCUCAGGCAAGCCUCCGUGGAGGUCAUUUUGGUUUGAGGGGAAUGUGGAGCAUGUGAAGGGGGAGCGGUUAUUAUUUAUAAUCGAAACGUUCCUGGAUGAUAAUGCCCAUUAGUCUUUUCCCAGGCGUUUUUCUGGGGAAAUGAAGAGGGCAUUAAAUGUAGUGGCCGGUGAUCAACGCGUGCCUCCCCUUGGUUGUAUAUACAGACUCUGCCGACCGGGUAUGAUCCCGACCGCGGUGGUCUGGUGUUAGGGCGACCAGGUCUCUUACCGAGCGGGUCGUUCCGCGGUUUGAAUCUGAGUAGCUGAAAAGGCGCGGGAAAAGGGAACGGUGUGAGGUUUUGGGCCCACUGCAUUUAAUGUACCUGACUCUUGAGAUGGUACGUGUCGUUUCCGGGUGGGUCGCGUCGCUUCGUGACCUCUCUCUCACGUGCUUCUGGAGGCGUGCGUCGCUUCGCCGUCGCUGCCUCUUUUCUGACGUGGCAGGGCCUGAUUGGACGAUUCCCCUUGGUUUCCCCAAACGUCAUGAUUAGGGAAACUAGGGUUGUCGAAACGUCACGUCUCCCUCCUAGUUUUCUAUAAAAGAGGGAGGGGGGGGAUUUAUUUGCACUUUUGCAUCCCUGAAUCUCCCCAAAGCUCCCCCCUUUUCUUUCCGCCAGGUGCCGGUGUUUCACGGUGGUGCUUCCUUUCGUGCGGUGGUCGUUCGACAGCUUUUCCAGUUUUUUCUCGUAAGUCCUUGCUUCACUUGCUUUUCCUUCUUAAGUUUUUCUUUUAUUUUUCCUUUUCCAGUAGAAAGGGUGGCUUGCUCCUAGGGGAGUUGGGAGUUUCCACUCCCCUUGUGGCCCCCUCUUGCGGCGGGGGAGAUUCUCUCAGAGGGUCUUCGCCGCCGCACGGUUGCGCUGUCCUGCCUAGGGCAAAGAUGGACCCCGGGCGGGUCCUUCUUUGAGCCGAUUCAAACAAACUAGGUGUUGAUACAGCGUUCUCCCUUGUGCAGGUGUCGUCAUGGUGAGGCCUACCAAGGAGAAGAAGGGCAAGGCUGCGGGUGAGGCCCCGAGGGAGGCUUUUGCCUCAAGGCCCCGGGCAGAGGUGCCCAAAAGCAAGAAGAUCGAUCGGGAGAAAUUUCCUCAUCUGGAGGGAGAUGCGACCCCGUAUGAUAAGUGGUGCCGCACCAUUCUUGGUCUCCCGUCGGAGUACGCCAACGAGAAUGAAGAUUACUUCUGGAGUCAGCGCUUUAUGUCGCAGACUCAAGUCGGCCCUGGUCACAUGGCGUACUCACCGAGCAAGUUGGAGCGGUUGCCCCAUACUCCGCCGUUCGGGGUGUACAUGCACAUCUACACCAUGAAGAAAGUGAGGGUGAGGAUGCCCCUCACGGAUUUUCAAUGUGAUGUUCUUCGUCAUAUGGCAGUCGCGCCAUCGCAGCUUCAUCCCGGGGCUUGGGGCUUCGUGCGCGCUUACGAGGUCGCUUGCGUCUUGUUCGGCCAGACACCGUCGAUCCCGCUGUUCUUUCAUUUAUUCGAAGUGGCCCAUACUCAAGGACAUGGUGGGUACGGGAUUGUGACCCUGAGGUCGGGUAAGGAUCUCCAGAUCUUCCAUCCGUUCGCCGAGUCUUACCGAGAUUUUAAAGACCAAUUCUUCCGGGUGGCGCCUUCCACUCCGCCUCCUUACUGGUGGUUGGAUCGGGCCCCGAGUGGCGCCAGCCGUGCCCGGUUUCCGCUGGCUUGGAAUGCCAAGCAUUAUGACGUAAAGCUCAGUGCUUUCGGUUUCGAGGCCGGGGCUUUGUCGGAGGUCGACUUGGCGUUCAAGAAUCUCCUGGUGGCCACUAUACGGAAAGAAGUGAGGGGAAAUCCACCCAAGGAGUUCUGUAUACGGCCAUUGCGUUGUUACGAUCUUUGUACUUAUAGCGUUCGGAAGAACGCGUGCUUAUUGCGUGCGACAGGUAAGGUGUCUUUAUCAUUAUGCCUAAGGUGAUACGUGCCCCUUUGCGUGACUAACUUUCUUCUUGUCACUCCUGUGCAGGUGCUAAGAUGGAGAUCAACGCUGCUUUGGUCGCUGCACUACAAGUUCCAGUCGACGAGGUCGAGACCGACAGUGAGGGGGAACAGGAGGUUCCUCGAGACGAGGGAGAUGGACUUGGCGACCAGGGUCAACCGGCGACCGGGACCAACCCCGUUGGGGCCGGCCAGAGUGACCCGGUCAAUGGAGAAGAAACAACUGACCCCGGGUCGGGGCCCCAGGGUAGCCGGGUGAAUCCUGAACGUCAGCAGGAGGGUUCCCUUGAGGGGGAUAAGGGUUGCUCAGAGCGCCCAAUUAAGAGAAAACGUCGCUCCUCGGGUGGGGAGGGUCGCUCUCCUGAACGAGUGACCCCGAUUGCCCAAGUGCAUCCCCCGAAGCCGAUUUCCAUGUGGAGUCGCGAGGCGGUGGACACGAAGGAGCAUAACGACCAGAUCGAUGCUUUGGUGUACAAUGAGCUCGACCAGUCGUUCCUGGGUCCUAAGGAACCCUACAAUCUCUUGAACUAUGCUCUGAAAGUAGUGCUUCAGACUGCCUCAGUCAUUCAUCAUGUGCAGCAGGGGGCGGUGCUCGACGUGGAAGAAGUUAAGGAGCAGGUGAGCGAAGCCGAGAGUAAGUUUGCUAAGGCAGAGAAGGAGUUGGCUGAUUCCCAGAAACUGGUCCGAGAGUUGACUGCGACCAAGGUGAAACUGCAGGGGGAGGUGCAUGAAGUGACGGCCAAGGCCAGGCAGUUUGCGGAAAAACUGGAGCUGAGCGAGAAGGAUAACGACUGGCUGCGCACCCGGGCAGAGAAAGCCGAGAAGGAACUGGAAGACGGGAAGGCUGCUCGUGAGGGGGAACUCAAAGAGGUGGCAGACUUGAAAGCGAUGAACGCUGAGCUCAAGAAGAAGGUUGCCGAUCUAGGGGCUGAGAGAAAAAAGAUGAGGACAAAUCUCAAGGAGAUACACAAGGCCUCCUUCGACAAUGCCUUGGCCCAGCUCGAGGUGGUCCACCCGGGUCUCGACGUGGGCCCUCUUCAUUAUAGGAAGGUCGUGCUGGGGGGGAAGAUUGGCACGCUGGACGAUCAGAAGAAGUUCACUCCAACCUUCCCGGAAGAGCAAGCCCCUUGAGAUUCUAUUUUUAAUUGAAGUUUGGACUUAUUUAGUUUCCUUCCAGUGUUUGUAUAAAUUUGUUGCUUCUAUCUGCCGUUUGUGUUUGUAAAGACUUAUCGUCUCUAUUUUUCGUCUUGUGUUUGUAAGAACUUAUUGUUCCUAUUCUAUUUUAGUGUCGCGUUCUUAUUUCUUUGUCCGGCUCACCCGAGCGAAGGUGCCUUAAGUAUUCCGUGCCCGGUGGGUCUUUAAUAACUUGGUGCCCGGCGGGACUUGGUGCCCAAUGGGUCUUUUAUUAUUUCGUGCCCGGCGGGUCUUGGUGCCCUAUGGGUCUUUUAUUAUUUCGUGCCCGGCGGGUCUUGGUGCCCUAUGAGUCUUUUAUUAUUUCGUGCCCGGCGGGUCUUGGUGCCCUAUGGGUCUUGGAUCGUUAGCUGCUCGUCGAUACGAUCGCUUGUCUUGUCGGUUUAAAUAACUCGAAUUCAACAUAAAAAACUACUUCAUUUCUGCGCUUAGAGUUCGCGGGUUCAGCCGAGUACAAACAUGGAUGAGAUGGGUGUGUACCCUUGAUUACAAAAGGCUAAGUUAAAGGAAAACGUAGAGAUAGAUAGUGGAUGCCGGGUCGGUAGCGCCCAAGCUAUAGUAUCUUCUCAGAUUGGUUGCGUUCCAGGUGCGAGGGAUCUCCUUUCCUGCUAGAGUUUCCAGCUUGUACGCUCCCGUGCCGGUUGCUUCGACCACCCUAUAAGGGCCUUCCCAGUUGGCUGCUAGCUUCCCGCGUUCGCUCGAACGUGCUCCGAUGCUGGCAUUUCGGAGAACCAAGUCCCCCGUGGCAAAGGAGCGGAGAACUACUUUCUUGUUGUAGCGAAUGGUCGCAUGUUGCUUUGCGAUUAGCUCUCUGCAGUUGGCAACCGCUCUUCUUUCAGCCAGGAGGUCAAGGUCUUCCCCUAUGAGUUGAUCGUUCUAAUUGGGGUCGAACCCAGCCGUUCGAGCGCUCGGUUCUCCUAUUUCAGCCGGAAUCACUUCUUCUGUGCCAAAGGUGAGGCGGUACGGGCUCUCCCCCGUGGUCGAGUGCGGAGUAGUGCGGUAUGCCCACAGGACGUGAUCGAGCUGUUCGGCCCAGUCGCCCUUGGCACUCCCCAACCUCUUCCGGAGGCCUCGGAGAAUGACCCUAUUAGCCGACUCUGCCUGCCCGUUUGUCUGGGGGUGCUCGACGGAGGUAAACCGCUGCUUGAUGUGCAGCCCGUCCAAGAGGUCCCUAAACCCUUUAGAGGUAAACUGGGCCCCGUUGUCUGUGAUCAGGACCCCGGGGACUCCGAACCUACUGAUAACGUUCUUGUAGAAGAAGCGUUGUACUCGAGCUGAGGUAAUUGUUGCUAGCGGCUCGACCUCAAUCCAUUUGGUGUAGUAAUCCACUGCUACCACUAAGUACUUGAGCUGACCGGGUGCAGUGUCGAACGGGCCCAACAAAUCCAUGCCCCACUGGUGGAAAGGCCAAGGACUGACUAGAGAUGAAAGACGGGCGGGGGGAGCGUUGUGCAGGUCAGCGUGCCUCUGGCACGGGUCACACUGCUUAACAUGAUCCGCAUCAUCUUUCUCUAGGGUCGGCCAGUAAUAGCCGGCUCGGAGUACUUUUUCGGGCAAGGGAGCGUCCACCCGGAUGGUGGCCGCAGCUGCCUUCGUGGAUUUCCGCUAAGACAUAGGCCGCUCUGUCCUUGGGCAAGCAUUUGAGAAGGGGGGUGGAGAAUCCCUGCUUGAAGAGAUCGUCGUUAACUAUGGUGUACCAGGAGGCGCACCUUACCAACUUCUUGGCUUCAGCCCUGUCUUCGGGCAACCAUCCAGACCUGAGGUACUUGAUGAUCGGGGACCUCCAGUCUUCCUCGGUACCGACCGGCAUCAGAACUUGUCCUGAUGGACGAUCGGGGUCAGCUACAUAAGGGAGGGCUAGGGUCCCCUGAAUGACCGUUCCAUUCAGGCCCGGCUUUCCGGUGCUGGCCAGUUUGGCCAGAGUGUCAGCACGAUCAUUCUGGGCUCUGGGAACGUGGCAGAACUCUACUUUGAUGAAGGUUGAAGCCAAUCACUUCAAAUGGGCCAAGUACUGCUCCAGGAUGGGAUCCUUAGCUUGAGCUUCUCCAUUUGCCUGUGAGACGACCAGAAGUGAGUCGCAGCAGACGAGUAUCUCCUUUGCUCCCAGGUCUCGAGCUGUGACCAGGCCUGCGAUGCAGGCCUCAUACUCGGCCUGGUUGUUUGUGGUUGGGAAGUUAAAGCGGAGGGAUCGCUCGACCACCAUCCCGGUGCUACUUUGCAAGACGAUUCCAGCCCCACCCCCUUCCUUGUUACUCGAGCCAUCUACGUUGACCACCCAUGUAGUCUCGGCAGGGGGCUCUUCCUCAUUGGUGAGUUCAACCAAGAAGUCGGCUAGGACCUGUGCUUUAAUGGCUCUCUUGGGCUCGUAGCGGAUGUCAUGCUCGGAGAGUUCGAUGGACCAGCUAACCAUCCGGCCGACCAGCUCGGGUUUAUGAAGGACCUGUCGGACCGGCUGAUCGGUACGCACGACGAUGCGAUGAGCCUGAAAGUACCUCCUCAGCCGUCGCGCUGUGGUCAGUAGGGUCAGCGCUACUUUCUCCAGCAUCUUAUACCUGAGCUCCGCCCCCUUCAAUGAACGGCUGACAAAAUAGACUGGUAGUUGGACUCCCUCCUCGUCUCUGAUCAGAACAGAACUUACUGCCUUUUUCCGUACGGCUAAGUAUAGGUACAGCGUCUCCCCUGGUCUAGGGCUGGUCAGAAUAGGGGGGAUGAAAGGAUCUCCUUCAGCUGAGUGAAUGCCGCGUCAGCCUCCGCCGACCACUCAAAAGUUGCUCCGUUUUUUAGGAGUGUGUAAAGAGGUAGAGCCUGGAGAGCGGCCUUUGGCAAGAAGCGGCCGAUCGCAGCCAUGCGACCAGCUAGUUGUUGGACUUCUUUGACUGUGCGCGGGCUCUUCAUAUUCAUGAUCGCUUGACAUUUGUCAGGGUUCAACUCGAUGCCGCGGUUGGUCAGCAUAUAUCCCAGAAAAUUCCCGCUACGAACGCCAAAAGUACACUUGUCGGGGUUGAGGCACAUGUUGUACUUCUUUAACUGCUCGAAGACGACUGCGAGGUCAGCUGCGUGAUCUCCUCCCUUCGGGGUCUUGACUAUGAUAUCAUCUAUGUAGAAUUCUACCGAUUUUCCCAUCAAGUCCCCGAAGACCCGAGUCAUCAUCCUUUGGUAAGUUACUACUGCGUUCUUGAGGCCGAAAGGCAGCAUGGUGUAGCAGUAAGUUCCCCGGUCAGUGAUGAAAGCAGUUUUCUCCUCGUCGUCUCUAUGCAUGGGGAUUUGGUUGUAGCCUGAAUAGGCAUCCAUAAGGGAGAGGUAUUCGUACCCAGAGGAGUUGUCUACAAGUGCAUCAAUGCUCGGUAGGGGAAAGGGGUCCUUAGGGCAUGCCUUGUUGAGGUCAGUGUAGUCGACGCACAUGCGCCACUUCCCGUUUGCUUUCUUGACCAAAACCACAUUGGAGAGCCAAGUAGUGUACUUGACCUCCCGAAUGAUCCCGGCUUGAAGCAACUCUGUGGUCUGUUGCUGGAUAACCUGUUGUUUCUCGGCGCUCAUUUGCCUUUCCUUCUGAGCGACUGGUUUGAACUUCCGGUCGACGGAAAGCCUGUGGCUGCAGAAUGCGGGGUCGAUGCCGGGCAUAUCUGCUGACGACCAGGCAAACCGCUUCCCAUUGGAAAGUAGUAAUUUUUCCAUCCGUUUGGAGAGAUCCCGGGGGAGGCCCCGAGCUAUGUUGGUGGUGUUCUCCGGAAGGGGACCGACCUGGAUAGGGCGGGACUCCCCGUCGGGUUUGAGGCGCUGAUCGUCUCUGGACUGGUCCACUCGGGGGUCGAGAUCGGUCACGAAACUGGUGUGCUGAACGUGAAAGUUGUCACACUGGUCGUGGGCUUUGGACUUCUUUCUCUUCCUUUCCUCCCUGGCCAGCCUGCAGCUGGAGUUGUAGCAGCUCCUUGCCAUUUCGAGAUUGCCGCGUACUGGUACCGCCCUUCCUGCUCAGGGGUACUUAAGCAUCAGGUGGUGGGUGGAUAUGAUCGCCUUGAAAGUGUUGAGGCUUGUUCUGCCAAGGAUGGCGUUGUACGCCAUUGGACAUUCCACCACCAGAAAGCGAGCUUUUAUAGUCCUGCAAAUCCUAUGAUCUCCCAAGGAAAGGCAAGUAUCAAAAUAUCCUAAGGGUAGGACUCUGUCCCCUGUGAACCCAAUCAAAUCAUGGUCGUAGGGGAGCAGGUCCUUCACCGAUAGCCCUAAGCUUUUAUAAGCGUCAUAAAACAUAAUGUUAGCGGAACUACCUGUAUCGAUGAGCGUCAUCUUACCAUUGCCGAUCAGAGCUUCAAUGACGAUGGGAUCAUCCUCCUCGCCGGUAUCUUCGCUGUAAUCGUCUUCCGUGAAGGUGAUGGCUACCUUCUGUCUUGGGGGGUGGAGGGACCCUGGACGGGGCCUUCCGGCCGCGGACAUGAUGACGCGGGUACUCCUUUUCCGGCUGUUGUUAGUGGGUCCUCCUACGGCCCAGCCUCCGGCUAUCGAACCAACGCUGACCAGGUUGUUCCCAUGAUGUCUUCUAACUUCAUCCUGACCGUGUCAGUCGGGGCUUCUUCUACGUUCUCGGCUUCGUCCGCGGCGCUCUGGGCUUUGGCGGCGCGGGGGUGUCCUGUCUUGUCGAUCGGCCGAUCGGCGCCUGGGAGGAGUUCGGUGCCUUGGAGGGGUUCGGGCACGGUGUCUUGGUGGGGUCGGUGACCGUCUGGGGGGCGGUGAGCGCGGCCGUGGGAGGUCACCUGAUGACAUGGCCACAUAUCUAGACAACCUGCCUGCUCUGAUAAGUUCCUCCACUUUGUCCUUGAGAUUCAGGCACUCGUCCGUGUUGUAGCCCGGGCUGUCGUGGAAUUCACAAAAUUUCUUAGAAUCCAGCUUGUCCCCCCUCGUCAGAAGUGGAGGGAGUCGGUCCCUGAGGUCGUUGGAAGCCUUCUCCCUCAGGAUACGUGAUAGGGAGGAGUUCAGUGGAGUGUAAUUAUCAUACUUCUUCCUCUUCGGCUUCCGUUCGUCCUGACCCUUCCGUCGGGAGUCCCGGGCCGAAGGCUGGUCUUUAUGCUCUUUCACCUUUGGCGGUCCUUUGAUCGCGAGUGUCUGACUCGCGGCUCGUAGGGUCGCAUCAUCCUCCAUGUUUAUGAACUUCUCUGCUCGGGCCAGAAAUUCCUCCAGAGUGUUGGCCGGUUUGCCGUCCAAUGAGGUCAGGAAAGGUCCCGGAGCAAGAGCUGCGGUAGCGAGGACCAACCUAGUGUCGGGGAGGAGACCAGUGAUAUCCCCAGCCUCCUUGUUGAACCGAUUGAGAAACGCCUUCAGAGACCCCUUCUCUUUCUGCUUAACCAAAGCCAAGGUUUGCGCGGUCUUAGGUAUACUGCGGACCGAAGAGUACUGGGAUAAAAACAGGACACGACCCCGUUCCAGUCGUGUAGGGAGUUGCUCGGCAGGUUCUGAAACCAGUUCAUGGGUCCUUUUCCGAGACUCAUGGGGAAGCAACGGCAGUACAGGGGGUCGCUAGCCCCUGCGUACUGCAUCGCACCCACGAAGAAAUUCACGUGUUCCUGCGGGUCGGUAUCUCCUUCGUAGAGUUUCACUUUGGGUCGUGCCCAACCCUGGGGGAAGGGGAAAACAAUAAUUUCUGGGGACAGUGGGCCUCCAAUCGGAGUUGGAUAUGAGACAAGUGCGUUGUUGGACCUGGGGCGGUUGUGAGUCCUGUCCCGAGUCGGGGAAGGGCUCCUGCGCCUGGAAGGGCUCCGUCGGGGAGAGUAGCGUCUCCGUGGGGUAUGGCUGGCCACCCUCUCAACCGCAUGUGCCCGGCGGCGUUCCUCCUGGUAGUAGGGGUCGGAUCGGGCCCCCGCUCGUCUCCUCUUCCUGGGAAAACGUGGGUUGGGAGCGCGAGUGCAUUUCCUGCUCCUCAAGUUGUCGCAGGCGUGCUCGGAGCAUGUGAAUCUCCUCUUGAGCGUCUCAGAUCCUCAUGCUGCGGGCCUGUUCUCGUCCUGCCCCGUUGUCCUCUUCCAUAGCCCGGAUGCGUGCCUCCAAGCGGCAGAGUGCCUCAUGGGCCGCAUGUGGGGUAAUGGCCGCGGGCUCCGGUGAGCGAGGGGGUUGCGGUUGAGGAGUCGGAGGAGGUGGGUGUUGGGGAGGAGGAGGAGUUCUGCGAUCCGUUGGUUCGUUGAUAGUCUCCACAUGGCCUUCAGGGGUUGGUACAGGACGGCGUGAAGUCUGACGUGUCUCCACCAUAGUUUGCUAGCUGGUGACUUAAGGCGACGGCACGCGGUGUUGGGAAGAAUUUUACCAGAUCCCCACAGACGGCGCCAAUUGAUCUGGGAGAGACCAAGCUACCCGUUGACAAGGGGUAGGAGAGGGGAUCUGGACAUGCUGAAGGACUCCAAAGUUGGUGAGGUCCCGGGAGGGGCUCCUGCAAGACACUCCGAUGCUGAAGUCAGUAAGUGAAGUGGUGAGUAUAGUGAGAAUGGUGAGAAUAUGUUACCUUUGAGUAGAAGAGGUGUUCCCUUUAUAUAGGAGAGGUAGAAUUAGGGUUGGAGCCAUGCAACGUCAUGCAUGGCUCGUACGAGGGACACAGUUCGCCGUUGGAUUACCUGCGGGUCUUGCAGAGGAACAGAGAUCCAACGGCUUGAGGGCCCCUACGGAUCUGUGUCAGCCAACCUACCCCCUAGGGUGGUUGGCCUAGGUCACCUCUAUUUAGUGGGCCCUGGAUUAUUCGUCCUUACCCUUGGUGGUAGGGCCCUCUAGCGGGGUGUUCCUAGACUUCCUACGCCGUCCCUCGAUAGGGACGUUCUGUGGGGUCCAGUCCCGUCCCGGGUGCCCUGCCCGUCCUUGGCCAGGGUUCCCGGAACAGAACUCAAAGUCUUCCCCAACCUUAGACCAGGGCACCAUUUUGUCACCCAAAAUUUCUUAUUUUAAAAGAAAAACAAUGUACCCAAAAAUUUAAUGUGAAAUAUAGUUAAGUGUUGACCUUUUGUCCUGGUCCUUCCAUUUCCAACACAAUCAUGAAAAUUCUUUUUCAAGCAAUGGGAUUAAUGUGAGGUUAGGGAACAUAUCCAGUGAAUCCCAAAAUCAAAAUAGUUAAGUUAUGUGCGAGGAGUCUGUUGGUGUAACAUGCAUUAGUGGUGCAACCCAUCCAUCCUUCUGUUUUGAUGUAAGUAACACGCACCAGCUAAUGAUGCAGCUUGUACUAAACACAUUAACAAUGCUUUUAAUAACAGCACAAAAUUUAAGCAUUUAGCAAGACACCAUAGUAAAAAAAAUUCAUAUAUAUAUAUAUAUAUAUAUAUAUAUAUAUAUAUAUAUAUAUAUAUAUAUAUAUAUAUAUAUAUAUUAAUAAGCCUAUGUAUCCUUAUCAAACACUCCCAAAUUCAUAGAAAAAAUAUAUAUAAAAAAUUGAAACGAAGCCUUGCCAGAAAAACCAGUUACCACUCGAUCUACAAUGUAACAACAUUGGGAUAAUUCAUUGAUACGGGCCAAAACCCAAAAGAGAAACGACAAAUACGCACAUGCUGUAGUUGUGGAGGUACAGAGUGUCAUAAUUAAAGGGGAAGAGCUCAGAUUCCUCUCCUGCUUUUUUCUCUUUCCUUAUGUAUACAAGCAAAUCAGUGAAACUGUAGUAGUGACUAGUGACUACGGACUACGGUUCAUCAAAUGUUAAACACAGCUUUGGAAAGAACUGAACUUCGUUACCGAUCAACUUGGGCCAUGAUUUGGAAUUGAUGUAAAUUAACUAGGAUAUAUAGGAUGAAACCCGUUUGUUUAAUUCUUUAAAUAAUGUCAAAGAAUUGAAGUGCACUUUCAAAACAAUUGAAAUGUCGGUGUUUUCUAAGGUGUUUUAGGUAUUGAAUCGGGGCAUGAUACAUUUACAACUACAUAAAUAAAAUAUUUCAUAAGAUAUUAUAUGUGUACGUAACUCGUGAAACUUGUAAUUUUAUAUUUAUAGUUUUUUACAAUUUUAAUUAAUUUUUUACAAUAAAGCUGCUCUAAUGUAUUUCUCCCUCACCUUCUUAAACCCCUUCACCAGUAAAUUGCUGCCUCCGACCAACCACAACAUUGCAAAACCAUCGUUGACUCCUGUCCACUUCAACUCAAACCUCACACCUCAAAAUCUAUAGCAACAACAACAAGCAAUUUGAUUUAACAUCCUUAAUCCCUGAUCGGGGGAGCCAAUCAAACCUACCCAGGGGAGGGGUAGCAAGGAGGGACGGGGAGGGGUAGAGGUUUGGAGUGAGGAGGUGGAAACGGGGACGUUCUUUCCUUCGAUCGGGUGUCGACGAGUCCAAAAGGGGGGGGGGUACCUGCAAGGUGCUCCGAAGCUUAAGUUAGACUUUGAGGAAUUUGUUCUGAGUUCUUGAGGAGUUUUUGAGAUAGACAAUUUAAGAGUUACCUUGGCCCUUUGAGAUGAAGGGCCUUUUAUACUGGGAGUUUAGUGAUGUGGACACAAACUCAGAGGUCUAUGAGAAGCUAGAGACUGGGGCAGAUCCCUACCCUUGGAUCCGCCUGUAACCCAAGUCAACUCCAGCCAUCCAACGGUCUGAAAAUCCUAGGUGCCGCUGACAAGAUCUCGAGCUUUGGUCCCAUGUCUCCUUUCCAGCGGCCAAGUGUCAGAGAAGUGACAGCUGAGUUGAAACGGAUCUUCUUCUGGGAGGUGCUGGUAGGUUAGGGGAGGGUAGGUGUCCGGGCUGGACCGAGGUCGUUACGUCGGUUAAUUGGAAGGUCGUCCUUCAGGCCAAUCGUGGCGUCCUUCUAUUAAGUUACUAAGAUAGGCCUUGUAAUAAACUGUCUCCUCUUGUGGGUCGGUUCGCUCGGUUACUUGACCGUCUUAUGAGGUCCAAACGUUCUUGCUUUGGUCUGGCACGCCGACGACCGCCCUCGGGGGUUCAAACGUCCUCGUCCUGAUUGGGCCAACUAGUUCUCGUCCCAAGGCGUUUAGGUGAGCUAGUGUCAGUCGGUCUAUCUUGUGACCGUCCUUCUAGGGGGUCAAUCGUGCUGUCUCGGGUCUGGUAUCUUGAUGACCGUACUUUGGGGUUUAGGUGUCCUUGCUUCGUCGGGUGGACGAGUUGGGAGGUUUUAGUCGCCCUUCGGGCAAUCGAGCUAGAGUGGGAGCCCGGGGGGUUCGGUCUUUUCCCGAUCCCCAGAACAAUCCCCAAUUCAACAGCUUGGCAUCUGGAUUUUACAGUCAGUAAAUUAACCUGAUUUUGAAAAUCCAUUUUAGUCUCACUUGGGCGAGAUUUGUUCUGAAGAAUCUCUUUAUCAAUUCAUGAUCUUUUCUUCUAAAAAAAAUACUAGCAUUUUUUAUUGGUAUUUGAGUUAAACUCUGAUUCGUCCAUCACAUAAUAGAUUUAUCAGAUAAAAUAUAACAUUUAAAUAGUGGGUAAAAUUAUCUUUUAAUUUUACUUAAUUAGAAGUAAGAGUAAAAUACACUCACCCCCUCAAGGUUUGCAAGAAUGACACUCCACCCCAUUUUUUAUAAAGGCAAAAUUUAGUGACGAAAACAAAUUCGUCAUAAUAAAAAAUAAUUACUAAUUAGUUAAAAUUUAAAUAAAUUUAAUGCAUAUACAAUAUCAUAUAUUAAUUUACGAAAAUAAUUUUACUGAAUUAAAUUUAAAAAAAUCAUCCACUCUGUCUGUUAAGUCCACGUCUCAUCUAUCUCCAAAUCAUAUUUCUCACCACAAACGGUCACCAUCAAGCUUUUGCUCCCUUUAACACGGCGGCCACCGUCCCAGAAUGUGAAACCCCAUGGCACUACCAUGCCUCAAAGUUUUUUUGCGACUUGAACCCCAGAACGUGAAUCGCACAUCCCUAAAGCCACUUGUUCAACUAUUUUUUGUGAAUUUCACCCCUGUAAGUUGUGAGCGAACGCUCUGUUGGUUUAAGAUGUUGUUAGAUUUUGUUAAAAACGGUGCUCCACCGCAUCGUUGGGCUAAUAACCUCCGAUACACUUCAUAUUUCUUAAUUUUGUAUCUCUAUUUUCUUCACCCAUUUGUGUUGCUUUUUGGGUCUACAAUCCAAUUUUGAAAAUUGGAGGUAUAAAGAGAUUAUUUUGAUUAAAAUUGAAUUAUUACCAAAUAUGAAAACACAAGCAUUGUUUCACUAUGUUCGAGAUAUGGUUUGUAAACCGGUUAGGUGUGCUAUUGUAGAAUUUGCAUUGUGAAUUUACGGAGGAAGAACGCGAUUGAGAGAAUGAGGAGGACGGUGUUGUUUUCAAUUUUAAAUUUAUUGAAUUAUAUUAAAAUAUUUUUUGAAAUUAUUGAUUAAAAAUUUAAAUAAUAACUAAUUAUUAAUGAAGAAUUUUUUUGUCACUAAAUUUGCCUCUAUAUAAAAUGGGGUGAGGUAUAGAUUUUAGAUAAAAAUGGAGUGGAGUGUAACCCAGUGGGGUGAGUGUACUUUACUCUUAAAGUAAAGAUUCAUCGUCAUAUUAUGAAUGGGCUAUGAAUCCAGUUUUAUGUAUAAACUUGUGGGCACUAAACCAGAAAUGAAAGUGUCACGGGACAUGGAUUCCAAGGAGUGGUGUAUCCUUAUAUAGUCAAGUUAUGGCUUAUCUGGAUCUGUUUUGUGGGUGGUGACCAGAUAUGUGGUUUAGCAUUGUCUGCAUGACAAAUUGUUGGGAUUUUUUCUGUUAGUAUUUGGCUGUGUAUGGCAUGGUGGGGGAAAAGCACCACUUGUGCUUUGUAUCAUAUGUAUCACUUUAUUAGUAUUAAUAAUAUUGUUCUUUGACUUUAAAAAAAAAAGUAAAGAUUCAUAAUUUGAUUUUAUAUUCUUAGUAACAACCAACAUAGGUUGCAUGCAUGUAUGCUCUGUUUAGAUCUAGAUGUGAAAAUGAGGGGAAGAAAUAUGAGAGGAAAAAUUAUAAGAGGAAGGAAUAUAAACGGAAAAUGAGGUAAUUUUCAAGUUGUUUGGAUUAAGAGAAAAGGAAAAGAGAAUGAAAGGAAAAGUGAUAGUAAUAGAAAUGAGUGUGAUAUAUGAUUACUAUUUUACCCGCAAAUUUUUACAAAUUAUUUGUAAUUUGUAAACUAUUAUCUUUUUAAAAGUUAGCGUAAUUAAAAUUAAUAUAUCUGGCAUUCUUACUUUUUUUAAAGGGUUGUCUAAAUGACUCAUGGUAAUAUUUGGGUUAAAUAACUCAUGAUCUAGGUGGACCAAUCACAUUCAAGAUAAUUAAUUGAAAUUUGUAUAUUUUAUUAAUCAAUUAAUUUAGGGUUAAAUAUGUUUUUGGUCCUUAAAUUAUACACAUAAAUAUAAAAUGGUACCUGAAAAAAAUAUAAAGAUUUUAGUCUUUGAAAAUUUUAUUUUUGAUCUAAAAUGGUUCCAUGUGAAUUUUUUUACUUCUAGUUCAAUCCCUCAAAAAUUUAUUCCAACAAAUUAAGUCCUCCUCCCCUCAUAAUUAUUUCAAAACCUAGAAAUUCAUAUCUUCAUCUCUAAAACCCCUCAAUCAUCUUCAUCUUCAAAACCCAUAAACUUCAUUCGUCUUCCUUAUCCUCCUUCCUUUUCCACCAAAACCAUCAUCACCACCCAAACUCCCACCCAUAACCAUCACAACCGAAAUCUCCAAUUGAGAAAGGAAGGAAACCCUUUCUAUUUAUUUAUAUUUUUUCUGCUGAUUUUAAUGCUAGCUUGGUGUUUACGUUUUUCACAACUUUUGCUGGUUAUGGGAAACCCAUCAGGAGCUUCCACUCUUCUUUUCAUUUUCAAUACGGAACCUUGAUGGAUUUAUGUAACUUUUUGUUCCUGUCAGUUGUUAUUUCACUGAUUUCGGUUGUGAUGGUUACGGGUGGGGGGUUUGGGGGGUGAUGAUGGUUUUGGUGGGAGAGGAAGGAGGAGAAGGAAGAUGAACGAAAUUUUUGGGUUUUGAAGAUGAAGAAGUUGGAGGAGUACUUAGAGAUGAAGAUAUGAAUUUCUAGGUUUUGAAAUAAUUAUGAGGGGAGAAGGACUUAGUUUGUUGGAAUAAAUUUUUUAGGGACUGAACUAGAAGUAAAAAAAUUCACAUGGAACCAUUUUAGAUAAAAAAUAAAAUUUUCAAAGACUAAAAUCUGUAUAUUUUUUGUCGGGUACCAUUUUAUAUUUAUGUGUAUAGGACCAAAAACAUAUUUAACCAUAAAUUAAUUGAUUAAUAAAAUAUAAAAAUUUCAAUUAAUUAUCUUGAAUGUGAUUGGCCCACCCAGAUUAUGGGCUAUUUAACCCAAAUAUUACCAUGUGUCAUUUAGACAACCCAUUUUUUAAGUCUUAUACUUUAAAUAAAUUAUUACAGGAUAAUCUAUGUCAGUAAAAGUAAUGUCGUAUAAAAAGUAUAAAUAAUACAAAAAUUAUACAUUGAAUUAUAUAAUAUAAAUCCGUGGACUGAGCGAGCCCCUAGAGGGGCAACGCCCAGUGUGUAGCCCGCCCCGAGGCGAGGGCCUGGCCUUAAGUUGGGCCUCAGCUUCGGAGGCCCAAUUGGCCCGAUAGGUAGUACCCAAACUCUAUAAAUAGGAGGUAGUUACCAAUUGUAAGGGACUUUUGGCUCAUUUUAUGAAAUAACACAUGAAAUUCAGCAUUCUCUCUCUCAUUCUCAUUCUCUCUCUAGCACAAUUUUCCACUCUCUUGGUACUAUCCCUAUCCUCAAUGUUCAUUCCCAGAACAUUUGGCGCCGUCUGUGGGGACUAUAAACUUUCUAUUCCCAUUCACGUGGAUUGAUUGUGCAAGAAGCUAUCUCUGAUUACGAUUAGGCAAUUCUCGAGUUUUCUGAUUCUGAUUCUGUGACCGGCAUUCGUUUUUCGAUCGAGUUUGCGUCAUUCCUGGUUUAGAUGGAGACGCGACGCAGGAGGCAGCAUCAUUCACCAGUGCGACAGCGAAUUUCGCCGCCUCGGCGGCCUCAUCGAGUUGUCCUGGAUUCUCCGAUACGAACAUCGGGAGUACAGCCGCCUUCUCCUCCUCCAUCACCACCACCACCUCCUCCAUCGCCUUCGCAGGUCGGAUCUCUGGAGCGGUCACCAGAGAAUUCACCUACUCCGGAGCAACAACCGGCGGUGACACAGGAGCAAUGGCGCCAUAUGAUGCGCAGCAUUGGAAACAUCCAGCAGCGGAAUGAGCAUCUACAAGCUCAGUUGGACUUCUACCGCCGCAAGCAACAAGAUGAUGGACGCAGAGAGGCGAAUUCCGUAGCUGAGUUCCGUCCGUUCUCAGAGGACGUUGAGAGUGUGGCAAUUCCAGAUAAUAUGAAAACGUUAGUUCUGGGUUCUUACAGCGGAGAUUCUGAUCCGAAGGAUCAUCUUCUGUAUUUCAACACGAAGAUGGUGAUAAUCGCGGCAUCAGAUGCGGUGAAGUGUAGGAUGUUUCCAUCGACGUUCAAAUCGACGGCGAUGGCAUGGUUCACGACUUUGCCGCGCGGAUUGAUUUCGAAUUUCAGAGACUUCUCAUCCAAGUUUCUAGUGCAAUUCUCUGCGAAUAAGAAUCAGCCGGUGACGAUCAAUGACCUAUACAACAUUCGCCAACAAGAAGGAGAGUCACUGAAGGAAUACAUGGCAAGGUACAGCGCUGCAUCGGUCAAGGUAGAGGACGAGGAACCUCGAGCCUGUGCUCUAGCAUUCAAAAAUGGUUUGUUACCGGGAGGGUUGAACAGCAAGUUGACACGCAAGCCAGCACGUUCGAUGGAAGAGAUGCGUGCUCGCGCCAGCACUUAUAUCCUUGACGAGGAGGACGAUGCUUUCAAAAGAAAGCGCGCGAAACUGGAAAAAGGCGACACAUCACCAAAGCGCGCGAAAAAAGAUAAGAACGGCGAAGACAAGGGGGAUGGCAAGCAGCAAAGACAAGAUAAAGGGAAGGCGGUAUUGAGGCCGACCAAGGAGCAGUUGUAUCCACAGCGUGAUGAUUAUGAACAGCGCCGGCCAUGGCAAUCUAAGUCUCAUCGCCAGCGGGAGGAAACUGACAUGGUGAUGAACACAGAUUUAACGGAUAUACUCCGUGAGGCGAGGGGCGCAAAUCUAGUGGAUGAGCCAGAGGCCCCGAAAUAUCAACCACGGGACGGUAAUCCCAAGAAGUGGUGUGAAUACCAUCGGUCCGCCGGGCACGACACGGAUGACUGCUGGACUUUGCAGCGGGAAAUUGAUAAGUUGAUUCGGGCGGGAUAUCAAGGAAAUCGCCAAGGCCAGUGGCGCAACAACGGCGAUCACAACAAAACGCAUAAGCGAGAGGAGGAGCGAACGGACACUAAGGGCAAGAAAAAGCAAGAAUCAGCGGCUAUCGCCACCAAAGGGGCUGAUGACACGUUCGCUCAACACUCAGGACCGCCCGUAGGGACCAUAAACACCAUCGCCGGAGGAUUUGGCGGUGGUGGUGACACCCAUGCGGCACGGAAACGCCAUGUUCGUGCAGUUAAUUCAGUUCAUGAAGUGGCUUUCGGAUUCGUACACCCUGACAUAACAAUCUCGAUGGCAGAUUUUGAGGGAAUAAAGUCUCACAAGGAUGACCCGAUAGUAGUGCAAUUAAGGUUGAAUAGUUUCAAUGUUAGAAGGGUACUCCUGGAUCAGGGUAGUUCGGCUGAUAUUAUCUAUGGUGACGCAUUUGACAAGUUGGGCCUGACUGACAAUGAUCUGACCCCAUAUGCGGGAACCUUGGUAGGUUUUGCAGGUGAGCAAGUAAUGGUGCGAGGAUUCAUUGAUCGAGACACAAUAUUCGGGGAAGAUGAGUGUGCCAGGGUUUUGAAGGUAAGGUACCUGGUUCUCCAGGUGGUGGCAUCUUACAAUGUUAUCAUUGGGCGAAAUACUUUGAAUCGCCUCUGUGCUGUGAUUUCAACAGCCCACUUGGCGGUCAAGUACCCACUAAGCAAUGGAAAGGUUGGCAAGCUGAAGGUGGACCAGAAAUUGGCGAGGGAAUGUUAUAAUAAUUGCCUCAACCUGUAUGGCAAGAAGAGUGCGUUGGUUGGGCACAGAUGUUAUGAAAUUGAAACUUCGGAUGAAAAUCUUGACCCACGUGGCGAUGGGCGAGUGAACAGGCCCACGCCAAUUGAGGAAACAAAGGCGCUAAAGUUUGGCGAUCGCACUUUGAAGAUUGGGACUAGAUUGACGGACGAGCAGGAGACGCGCCUGCAAAGUCGCUAGGCGAAAACUUAGAUUUGUUUGCUUGGAGCUGCAAGGACAUGCCCGGAAUUGAUCCAAACUUCAUCUGCCAUCGGUUAGCAUUGAAUCCAAGUGUCAAGCCAGUUUCACAACUCAGGCGGCGCUUGGGCGGAGACAAGGGAAAAGCGGUUCAACAAGAAGUUGACAAGUUGCUGGCGGCAGAGUUCAUCAGAGAGGUGAAAUAUCCGACGUGGUUGGCGAACGUCGUGAUGGUGAAAAAGGCGAAUGGAAAAUGGCGAAUGUGCGUGGAUUACACAGACUUAAACAAGGCAUGCCCAAAGGAUUCGUAUCCCCUUCCCAGCAUUGAUGGUCUCGUUGAUGGUGCCUCGGGCAACGAACUGCUUAGCUUGAUGGAUGCUUAUUCUGGUUAUCAUCAAAUCCGCAUGCACCCGGCAGACGAGGACAAAACGGCUUUCAUGACCGCCAGAGUCAAUUAUUGCUAUCGCACCAAGCCGUUUGGAUUGAAGAAUGCUGGGGCGACCUACCAAAGGUUGAUGGAUAGGGUUUUGCUGGGCAGGUGGGAAGAAACAUGGAAGUCUAUGUUGAUGAUAUGAUCGUUAAAUCAAUACAUGGUUUGGACCAUCAUCAGGAUCUGGAAGAAGCAUUUGGCGAGAUAAGGAAGCACAAUAUGCGCCUCAACCCGGAGAAAUGCUCUUUUGGUGUUCAGGGCGGCAAGUUUUUAGGAUUCAUUAUCACGUCCAGAGGAAUAGAGAUACACCCAGACAAAUGCAAGGCGAUUCAGCAGAUGAAAAGCCCCUCUAAUGUGAAAGAAGUCCAAUGUUUAACAGGGCGAAUAACAGCUUUAUCUCGAUUUCUUCCCAAGUCUGGCGAUAGAUCUUUCCCUUUUUUCAAGUGUCUUCGAAAAAAUGUUGCAUUUGAGUGGACGGCGGAGUGUGAAGAAGCUUUUGUUCGCCUCAAGGAACUCCUGUCGUCACCGCCAAUCUUGUCAAAACCGAUACAGGGACACCCACUGCACUUGUAUUUUGCUGUAAGUGAUAGUGCUCUGAGUUCGGUGAUACUGCAGGAAAUAGAUGGCGAACAUCGAAUUGUUUAUUUUGUAAGCCACACACUCCAGGGUGCAGAGGUCAGAUACCAGAAAAUUGAGAAGGCGGCGCUGGCGGUCCUUGUCACCGCCCGGCGGUUGAGACCUUAUUUUCAGAGUUUUCCGGUGAAGAUGCGGACAGAUUUGCCUCUGAGGCAAGUGUUACAAAAACCGGAUUUGUCAGGCAGAUUGGUCGCCUGGUCGGUUGAAUUAUCUGAAUAUGGGUUACAAUAUGAUAAGCGAGGCACAGUUGGCGCACAGUCACUGGCUGAUUUUGUGGUGGAGUUGACCCCAGAUCGGUUUGAAAAAGUGGACACUCAGUGGACUCUCUUUGUGGAUGGAUCCUCCAAUAACAGUGGCAGUGGCGCGGGAGUAACGUUGGAAGGACCAGGAGAUUUAGUAUUGGAGCAAUCGCUGAAAUUCGAGUUCAAGGCAACAAACAACCAAGCAGAAUAUGAAGCUCUCAUCGCCGGAUUGAAGUUGGCCCGUGAAGUAAAGAUCGGAAGUUUGUUGAUAAGAACGGACUCGCAGUUGGUGGAGAAUCAAGUGAAGGGAACUUUCCAGGUCAAGGAUCCCAAUCUGAUCAAGUACCUGGAGCGAGUGCGAUAUUUGAUGACACUUUUUCAAGAUGUUGUAGUAGAGUAUGUUCCUCGGGCAGAAAACCAGCGGGCCGACGCGUUGGCCAAAUUGGCGAGUACGCGGAAGCCCGGCAACAACAAAAGUGUGAUUCAGGAAACCCUGGCGUACCCCAGCAUUGAAGGCAAGCUCAUGGCAUGUGUGAACAGAGGGGCGACGUGGAUGGGACCCAUAUUAUCUAUCUUGGCGGGGGACCCGGCGGAAGUGGAGCAAUGCACGAAGGAACAACGGCGGGAGGCGAGCCACUAUACUCUCAUUGACGGACACUUGUAUCGCCGUGGUUUUUCGACGCCAUUGUUAAAAUGCGUACCGCCAGAGAAAUGCGAAGCGAUAAUGUCUGAGGUGCAUGAAGGAGUGUGUGCAAGCCACAUUGGGGGGAGAUCUUUGGCCUGCAAGGUGUUAAGGGCGGGAUUCUACUGGCCCACCCUCAGGAAAGAUUGUAUGGACUUUGUGAAGCGGUGUAAAAAAUGUCAAGUGUUCGCGGAUUUGUCUAAGGCACCGCCAAAAGAGCUGGUAACGAUGAGCGCUCCAUGGCCUUUCGCCAUGUGGGGUGUGGACUUGGUAGGACCUUUUCCGACCGCCAGGUCGCAAAUGAAGUUUAUAUUGGUAGCGGUGGACUACUUCACAAAAUGGAUUGAAGCCGAGCCCCUGGCCAAAAUAACCUCUGCAAAGAUAGUCAACUUUUACUGGAGGCGUAUCGUUUGUAGGUUCGGGAUCCCAAGGGCGAUCGUAUCCGACAACGGGACCCAGUUUUCAAGCAACCAAACAAGGGAAUUUUGCAAGGAAAUGGGCAUACAUAUGAGAUUCGCCUCUGUGGAGCAUCCGCAAACGAACGGGCAAGUAGAAUCUGCGAACAGGGUAAUUCUGCGUGGACUAAGGCGACGGCUUGAGGAAGCUAAGGGAGCCUGGCUGGAUGAACUCCCAGUGGUACUAUGGUCGUACAACACCACUGUGCAAUCUACUACAAGAGAGACCCCCUUUAGGAUGACCUAUGGGGUAGAUGCCAUGUUGCCGGUGGAGAUUGACAAUUUCACAUGGCGGACUCAGCCGGAUUUUGAAGGGGAGAAUCAAGCCAAUAUGGCGAUGGAGUUGGAUCUUUUGUCCGAAACGCGUGACGAGGCGCACAUUCGAGAAACGGCGAUGAAGCAGCGCGUGGCCUCCAAGUACAAUAGUAGGGUCCGCGUUCGAGAUAUGCAAGUUGGCGAUCUGGUCCUAAAGUGGCGGUCAGGAGCCCCGGGAAACAAGCUGACUCCGAACUGGGAGGGGCCUUACCGCAUUAUCAAAGUUCUUGGUACAGGGGCCUAUCACUUAGAGGAGCUGGACGGAAGGCGACUACCCAGGUCGUUCAACGGUUUGAGUCUGCGCUAUUAUUACAGUUGAUCGUGAACGAGAAAGCUGAAAAGGCGGGAAGUUCCAAGGGAGAACUUCGGAUGGGCAAAGUGAAUUCACCAAAGAUAGAUAUUUUCAAUUUCUCUAAAAGUACCUCAAAACUCUCCAUUGUAACAAAAGCGUGCUCUUUUUCUCCGAAAGGAGUUUUUUAACGAGACGCUCCAUCAAUAAAACGAAAGUUCAUGAAAUUCACAUCCAAAAAUUCCAGGGAUUCCCUGACGAUCGGAAUUGCCGAUCGAUAUAAAGAAUUACGGCGAUCACUAGGUGGGACAAGCUUGAUCCCCAAAGGGGCUUGCUGGAACCCUGAAGGUGGCGGCGAUUCCACAAAGGGCCUUUGACGCCUGGGAAUCUCCCCCCGGAAAGUCUGAUGUGAUCGCCGGUCCCGUAAACGACGUGCUGGGUAAGUCUCGCCAGAAUACGACGAGCACCAUAAACUAGGCAAAAGACUUGGGACCCCCAAAUGGCCAUUGGGACCCAAGCAUUGUAAGCCCCGAGCGGGCAAAGCCCCGGGCGAAGCCCUCAAGAAUGGAGGCCGUUUAUUCCUUUGUGGAAAACGUCUAAAGUCUUGGCGGUGAAAUACCAAGCAACAAGUCCUAGUUAAAAUUAAUGCACGAAGUCGUUAGGCGUAAUUCAAUCACAUGACGCGUGAAAAAAUAGCGCAAGAUAUAAGGUCGGCGAAUGAAUAAGGUGGAAGGCGAGUGCUUGGUCACUCAGGAUGAUGAGUAUUUUGUUACUCCGGUGUGUUGGGGCGUUAAACUACGAAGUUCAUUCUUAAAUUUUUUAAACAAUAAGAAUGCGGCGACCAAAAAAUGUACGGCGAAAGCAAUCCAACAAAAUUUACAGAGUAUUCAAAGGCGAUAUAAAAACUAUGGCGAAAGUUUGCUUAUAUAUAAGAAUGACGGAAAAGUGCAUUACAGAGGGCGGUAAAGGCUAAGUAAAAUUAAAAUUACACUAUUCAUUAUUUCUUUCUUCUUCUCAUGUUUCUUCUUCUUCUUCUUCAGUUGUCGUCCAGAGGUGUUGGUCAAUCAGAGGAGGAUCAUCAGGACCAACCAGUCCUUCAGCGGUGAUCUCUUUCAUUACUCCCAUAGCGCUAAAGUCAAGGUUCGGGAACAAAUGUUGGGCCUGGUCUUUGGCGAGGUAGAAGCCGCGCUCGCGAUUGUCAUAGGCAAUGUCAGCAGCUUGUUCCCUCGCCUCAGCGGCUUUGGCUUUCUCCAUCGCCAGCUCGUCCUCUAGCCCUUUGAUCUUCGCAAGAUGGGAAGUAAUCUCGGCAUCUUUAGUGGCGAGGGCUUCCCCAUGAGCUUCGUUCACCUUCUUGAUCUCUUCGGACGUGGCUCGCACCACCACCUCCAUGUCAGACUUCGCCGAAGCCAAGGACUCAGCGGACUUUUUUUCUUGCUCCGCCAGCGCCUUUUUCACUGAUUCCAGCUCAGCGCGCAAUGCUUCGAGUUCUAACUCCUUAGCAACCAGCGCCUCGUCCCUGGUGAUCAAGUCCUUCUCAGCUUGGUCUUUUUCCUUUUUGCAAGCUUGGAGACUUGCAUCGAGAUCAUCCGCUUCUUCCUUCAUCAGCGCCAGUUGAUCCUCCAGUUCGCCGAUUUUAAUUCCCGCCGUGCCAAUCAACUUGUCGGCCUGGACUUUUUCUUUGCCCGCUUGAUCUAGCAGUUUGUCGAAGCGUUUCUUCCAAGCGGCGGCGUCCUCCUGGUGCUUGGUGUUCUCAGUCCUCAACCGUUCAGUUUCAGCAGCGGCGGCGUUGAAAUUGUCAAACGCAUGGGCAAAAAUACACCCAGCGCGUAGAAGACAAGCAAGGGUUUCCUCCUUAGUUUCAUUAAUACCCCGGCUCAAAACUUCUUUCUCUAUGACGUCACGGUUGAGGCCAGUAAGCAAGAACUCUGAAGGUUCAAUGGCGUUGGGAAGCAUGUUGUAGUAGUUGGAGGAGCCACCCUCUUUACCAGGAGCUUGCUCGAUCUGGGUCGCGUCAAGGGUAGCGGUGGCAUCAGGAGAAGGUCUCUCUUCGCGGCGAGGCGGGGAAGACGCGGAGCGCCCAUCAUCUGUCUGGGGCGGGCUAGGAGGUGCGUCUUGGCGAGGGGGAGACCUGGGGGUUUCAUUUUCUUUUUCUUUCUCCCCAGCAGGAGCAUCGGAGGAAGCGGCAGCUUUUGUGGCAUUGACGGCGACAAGUUUCUCAACAGCUGAGGGUUGAGAAAUGUUGGUGGUUGUGUCAGCGGCUGGUGACUGGUCACCAGAGGUUGUUGUGGCACCGGCGGAGGCGGCUGUGGCGCCUACAGUAGUGGACUUGGCGGCGGCUGCGGUGGCCGCGCCCGCGGUAGCGGAAUUGGGAGCUGGAAUGGUGGUGGACUCGGUGGCCGUGGCGGCGGAGGCUUUAGCAACCUUUUUGCCUUUAGACGCAGCGGCAGUAGUGGGCUGAGCGGCGGGGUUGGAGGAGCCGGCGGCGGAUGAGACUUUGACCAAUUUCCUCCUUUUGGGGGCUUGGGCGCCCUCGGCUUGGUUCUCAGCACCGCCCCGCUUCUUCCCAUCGCCCUCGUUGUUGAACUUUGGAGAAAAGCGGGCCAUUUUCCUCUCACGAGCUUUCAAGAGCUCGGCGUUGGUGAAAUUCAUAUCUUCUGCAACAAUAAAUAAGGAAAAAGGGGGGUUAGUAGGGACAUAAGAGAUGGGAAAGAAGAUAGAGAUGAUAAAAGUAAACUAUAAGUGACCUAGAUAUUUGGGUGUCCUUGAGAGGCGAGCACCCUCAAGGACUGUUGAGCAGUCAAGAACAGGAAGUGGGGCGAGGAGAUUCAAAAGGGCUUUGUCGUUGGCAGACAAAGAUUUUUCCGAAGGAUCGGUAAUCCCAUUAGGCUUCUCCGUCCAGUAAAGGGGAAAAAGGGCAGUCCCGUCCCUAAGGGUGAAGGCCUCUGGAUAGGCGGGGUGAACCGCCACGCGGAAGUAUCUUCGGGCAAAAGAGGACUUGGCGUUGCUUUUAUGAGGAUUCAAGCAUUUACGGCCAGCCCGGGCCUUUAAAGAAAUCCACCCUUUAUUUUUUAUGGACUUGGGGUCGACAUCGUAGAGGUAAAAGAAGCUGGUGGGAGAUGGGGCGGUGCCAACAGCGGCAAACAAGAUCUCAAAGCACCGGAUGAAGGCCCAGGCAUUGGGGUGAAGUUGGCAAGGAGCCGCGUUGAUAUCGCGGAGAACGGUCUGAAUGAAGGGCGAAAAAGGAAGUCUGACUCCAAGCUCGCCGAACAUAUACUCAUAGGUAAAAAAGAAAUGAGAUCCCUUUACAUCGCUGUCGGCCCUGUGAAGCCAGGGGCGGUCUUCAGCACUGCAGGGCCAAAUCCGGAGUUUGGCGUUUAUUUCGUCAUCAUCAGACAAACCGCCGAGGCUACUUACGAAUUCCACGAUAGUCUCCCUAUCCUGGAAAACGGAAGGUUGGUCAAUGGCCUCGUGUGAGGGCGCUAUUUGGAAUGGAAGGGGCAGGGUUGUGAAAGUUUUUAAUCGGUAUUGAGGGACCUCCGGGACCUCUAAACGGAGGCCGCCGGCCGCGGUAGAGUCAGGAUCACUCCCAGAAGAAGAAGAGGUGUGAUUAGGGGAGUUAGGGUUUGUGGCCAUCUUCUAUAAUCAAAUGAGGAAGAGGGGAAAAAGAUGAGUAGAGAUAUGAUGCAGAGAUAAGAGAAGGAGGACUCACCGGAGAAGGAUGUGAAGAGUGGGUAGCGGAAAGGGUGAUAGGCAACGGCGCCGGAGCGGAAGUUGGAAGAAGGAGCUUGGUAAGCAAUAAGGGAGGUAAAAAGCGGUCUCGGAAAAGGAUGAUUGUAGGGAAAAAGGGUUUUUAUAGGCAGGGGGAGAAGUUGGAAAGGUGACGCGUGUUGGACACGUGUGGAAGAUUGGAAGUCAUGAUGGUUCUUGGGGAAGUGGAACGCGUGUGAUGGGGGUUACUGCGCACGAUGGGAUAGUUAUGAAAAGUGAAGUGACGGUUCCGGAGAAAGAGGAAAACAGAUGUAACUGACGCGUCACGUGGAGCAGGUAGGGAUUUGAAAGGUUUUUAAAAUAAGAGGGAGCGUGAAAGGCCUCGCCACCGUAGAAACCAAACGCCAUCGCCUGACAAGUAAUACCAGCAUUAAAGUUUAGUCACUCGCCAGGGACAUUGCCAGCCAACAUUUGGGUGAUCAGUGCAUGAUCAAUGCCUGCCACCUUUCUCGCCGGCGAACGAUCGCUCACCUACUCCAACCAAUCGCCAGUACGGAGCGGUCGUUCCCGCUGCUUCUAGUCUUGUGGACUUGUGGACUUGUGGACUUGCCGGUUUGGGUUGUUCGCCAAGAUCAAAAAUGCUUGUUUCUUUUUGCUUAGGCCAUGUUGGCAGCUUAGAUCCCAGUGUACUGUAGGAUACAUGUAAAGGCAUUUAAAAGACACACUUAGCUCUCAUACUUCGAGCUCGGUGUCUUGUGGACUAGUGGACUGGGCGAGCCCCUAGAGGGGCAACGCCCAGUGUGUAGCCCGCCCCGAGGCGAGGGCCUGGCCUUAAGUUGGGCCUCAGCUUCGGAGGCCAAAUUGGCCCGAUAGGUAGUACCCAAACUCUAUAAAUAGGAGGUAGUUACCAAUUGUAAGGGACUUUUGGCUCAUUUUAUGAAAUAACACAUGAAAUCCAGCAUUCUCUCUCUCAUUCUCAUUCUCUCUCUAGCACAAUUUUCCACUCUCUAGGUACUAUCCCUAUCCUCAAUGUUCAUUCCCAGAACAAUCCGUAACUUUGGCAAAGAGUGGGUACUGAUGUCUUUUAUUAUAAGUUCCAUCUUCAUCACCAUUUUCCUGCCAUUCUAGAGGGGAAAACUGACAUGGCACUAUUCACGUACGGUUUCCCCUCCCCCUCCAUUUUCCACUCUGUCCCAAACAAGUAAAGAUUCCAUUUUUAGUUGUUUUCCUCCUUACCUACUUCCAUCCAUUCAAACUCCCAUGAAAAACACAGACCAGUAGAGAAAACUAGAGAGAUUUUUAUUUAGGUAAGCCAAAAUUGAUAUAAAAUUAGGAGUACUAUGGGUCCUCCAACCAAGUACAAAGGGAAAGAUUAGCAAAAUGCUAACCAGGAGAGUAUCAAUGACCAACGUGCAUCAAUUCACAGGAAAGCAAGUUGCCCCUACAAAAAUCACUACUAAUGAUACAACAAACUACAACACUACAAAGGGCUAAAGAUGAAAAUCUUCUAAUAAUAUAAUUCCAGCCAACCAAAGGCGGAGCCAGGAUUUCAGUGGAUCCUGGGUAAAUUUAAGCCUAAGCCUAACUGUCUACGUCUGACCAAGGGUUUUAAAUUACGGUCGCGGUUACAGGUGUUGCUGUUGCGAACAUUGCGAUUAGGGGUGUACAAGGGACAGAUUGGGACGAGUUUUGGUUAACCCCAACCCGACCCUAAACAUUGACCGAGCCAAUUCAUAGACCCUAACCCAUCCCUAGACCCAAAGCAACUCAACAAUAUACGGGUCUAAUUUAGGACGGGUCUAUGUAGAACGGGGCGGGUUGGCCUGAGAGACAAUAAAUCUAAGACUAUUUGAUGCUAAUUAUAAAAUUUAAAGAUAAUAACAUACUAAAAGAGUUAUAAGUUAGAACUAUUUUUUAGAAGAAAGAACUUGAAAGGAUCCAAUUCUUGCAUAAUCUAUUGCACUCGAGAGAUUUACGUUUUGUUUGAUCUAUAGGCAUGUGUCACUCAUUUUGUUUGAUCUCUCUUCACUUAUCUCACAUGUGCAUAAUGCACAUGCAUGAUUUUCUCUUGUUAGACCAUGAAAAUGUCCAUCUUUUGACCAACGUUUAUUAAUUCAUAAGAUAGAUGUUAAACAUUUUCAUCUCAUCCACAUGGUAAAAUAAAUUUGAGCACCAUCUACCACAGUUUGAUCAUUAUAACAAAUUAAAAUUUUAUAAAAUAUAUAUGUGGGCAGGGUCUUGUACACCCCUAGCUAAUUGCGACAUUGCGGCGUGAAUAUCGGGGGAGCCAUAAACAUAAAGAGAACGGUUUAGAGUAUGGCUUGCUGUCAAUUCCCUUAUAUCGUUAUACCUAUAAUAUUUAUAUCCCACACAACAGAAUUUAAACAUUCCUUCUCAUAAAACUGUACACCUCUCUCAACCUAAAAUUCUAAUUGAUUGGUUGAACCCGAUUGAUCAAUAUUACUUUUAUACUUUGCUAGUUGUUUACUAGAUCAUAAAGAUAGUUGAUUCCAUCUCAUUCCACAUACUUUAAUCUUUCUUUUUAUAUCUGUCUUUUAUUUUCAUCACACUAUUUAUUAUAUAUCUCAUUUCUUACUCUUAUUCCUAUCUUUCUUAUAAUUGUGAGUGAAAUGAGUGUGAAGCGUCAUUUUUCUUAUAGUUAACCAGUCUCAACAAGAAAAUUAGACCAACUCAUAAUUCUAAACUCACCAUCAACCAAACAGAAAAAUCUGAUUUACCAAAAAAAAAACUCACCCAUUAGAAAGGAAAAAUAAAAAAAGUAUAUAUGUACCCACAUAAAAUUUAGUCAAAUACAUUUUUUUGUCAUUUUUUUAUGUGUAUACAUUUACUCGCAAAAAGUAUAUACUGUUCAUACAUUUAUUUUGUUUUUGGCUUAAUUGCAGUUUUCAUCCCUCAUCUUUCACCUAUGUGUGAUUUGUGUCCCUCAUGUUUAAAACGUGCGAUUUUAAUCCCUUAAGUUCUAAUUUGUGAAAAUUAGCUCGUUCCGUUAGUGAGCCGUUUAAAAGUUGUAGGAGUUAGCUGAGGCGGUAUUCAUUAAAUGACGUGUUUCUGACAGAAUGCCACAAAAGCAAAAAAUAAAAUAAAAAUAUCAAUAACCUAUCAUCACCCCAACCAAAAAUUCCCUUAAACAUAUAUCAUCUCACCCCAUCAACAAUUCCCAGAAACAAAAUAAUUCCAAAAACCAUGAGACAAAAAAUUCCAGAAACAAUUACUUAUCAACCCUAAAUAAUCCACCCAAAUCACUACCAAUAAGAACCACGGGAGAGAAAAUUUUGCAGAAAGAAUGUCAUGUGUUCAUCAUUUCAUUAUUGCUAAGAGAUUGAGAGGAAGAAAGAAAAACAGAUCGAGAGAGAGAGAGAGAGGGGGAGCACACCACCACAACCAACCUCCGGCCGCCGUGCACCACUAGCCAUCGCACCUUCCCCAUAACCGCAACAUUGCGCCUCAGACUAUCGUCGCCGCCGCUCCAGCCACAACACCACCGUCUAAGAAGAAGCCUCUCCACCACGAGUUCGGCCGCGGAGCCUCCGUCCCCAUUGUCUUGUCCUCUCUAUCUCUCUCUUCUCCACCGCCCCUCUCUCUUUCUUGAUUUCGGUCCCUCCCUUUCUCCGGAUCUCAGAUCUCUCCCUCCUCUUCUUCUAGAUAAAGCAAGGGAGCGAGCACCAGAGGGAGCUCCAAGUGCGUCGAAAGCUUCUUUCGUGGGUUUUAUCUGCUUCAUUUCAUUUUGGGUUUUCUGGGUUUUGGUGAUUCAAUUUUGUGGGUUUUGUAGUUUUUUCGAUUUUCUGGGUUUUGGGAGUUUUCAAGUUUUUCUUCUCUUAUGAAAUUCAUCUUUUCUGAAUUUUAUUUGGGUUUUCUGACUGAUGAGGUUUUGUGGGAUGGAAACUGGUGGGAUGGUUGUGAUGAGAGUUGCAAACAAAUGAAGUAAAUCAUGGGGGUUGGGAACAAUGGGGUUUCAAGUUGCCAUGGUGGGACAAAGAAGGGGGUUGAUAUUUUAGGUGGGUAAUGGGGUUUAAGAUGGAUUGCACGGUGGUGGUGUGGCUUGAGAAGAGGUGUUUUCUGGGUUGAUUUUGGACGACCCAUUUUUCUGGGUGUGAGGGAAGAAGAAGAAGAGAUUGGGUUGAGAGAUGAAUAAAGAGAAAUGGAAAAAUUUAAAAGAAAAAGAAAAUUUAAUGCUUAAGUCAGCAAUUAAGUGGCAAAAAUAUUAAUGAAAAUUCCAACUCAUCACUUUCCGUUUAAAUUUGGAUGGUAAAUUGACGGAGUGGGUUAAUUUUCACAAAUUAGAAUUUAAGGGAUUAAAAUCGCUCGUUUUAAACAUAAGGGACACAAAUCACACAUAGGUGAAAGAUGAGGGAUGAAAACUGCAAUUAAGCCUUUGUUUUUUCUGAAAAGCAUGGAUUACAUUCCAUUAAAUUGGGCCUAACCCAAAGGCUGAGAGCUUGGUACAACUAUGUGAGUUUUAAAACCUUGCCAACUAGUUGGUACAUUGACAGGAGAGUAAAACACGUGCAAAUCUAAUAGAAAACUAUUUUCUGAGGGCUACUUUCCCUAAAAUGUGUCUUUCUUCCCCAAUUUCUUUAGCCUAUGCCCGUAGAGGGCUCCUCUGGUAAAGGGCAAAGGACUGUGCCUAUUUGAAUGGUGUCUUGGAGCUCUCUUCUUCCUCCUGAUCUGAUCUAAGCUUAUCCCGUGCCAAGGCUUGAGAUAAUACUUGCGGUUGAAUACAGAUCCAGUUCUCCAGUAGUGAUCCAUGGUGGCCAAGAUUCGCUGUGCAAUGAGCUGACAAAUAUGGAAGGGCAGCUCGGCUUUGUUUUUUUUUGCCCAGGCUUGCUCUUUUUUUUUCCCAGAAAGGGCCCUACGGCCCAAAUCACAGAUUUCAAUUGUAUCCCUAGAGAAAUAGAAUGUGUUGAAUGAAUCAGAAUCGCAAAAGUCAUUGAUUCUGAUCUUUCUCCUUUAUUCACACUAGAGAAAUUACUUUCAAAAAAAAUACUUGAGGAAUUCAACAACUGCAUGGCUUUACAAUGUGAACAGCACAUGCUAACAAAGAGAAAAUUGAAAAAUAGAAUUCGGAAACUAAGAUAGUCAUGACAUAACUAUCUUUUAUUUGGGGUUUUUUUUUUACAUUAAUUUAUUAGAUUGGAUAUUUUGUGAUCCUUCAUGAUCAAAAAUCACUUAAAUUUCAUUAGUACGAUAGAGUUCUGCAGCCAAUCUUGGUUUUGCCACAAGUAAAAGUGGCUUAGCUAGAAAGAGAUCAUCUUUGGACGGGACAAGAUCGAUGCUUGAUACGUCUGGUGGUGGACUCCAGCUGAAGCCAUGAAGCAUCCUAGCAAAUAACAUUACAGUCAUUGUGGUGCCAAGUGCUACUCCAGGACAACUACGUCUUCCUGUGGUAAAGGAAAUGAACCUCAAAUCUGGCUCUGUCAAAACCACAUCAAUACCCUCCUUGAGAUGGCGUUCCGGGUUGAACUUGAGGGGAUCAGUCCAGAAUUUUGGGUUUCUACCAAGAGCAACUCUACUUAGUAGUACUUGAGUUCCUUUUGGGAACAAGUAGUCACCGACCAUUGUGUCAUUCAUGCAAAGAUGGGGAACAUUGAAAUACUCCAUGGGGUGAAGUCGAAGAGCUUCUCUUGCGCAAGCUUUAACAAACUGGAGCUUAGGAAUAUCUGAUUCUUGGACCAACCUCUCUUUGCCAACCACAUUGUCCAAUUCUUCAGUGGCUCGUUUGAGCAACUCAGGUUGGUUUAUCAUUUCUGCUAGUGCCCAUUCAAAAGCAUUUGAUGGAUUGUCCACCAUUUCAAUCGCCAAUUCCUGCAAGAAAAAAUUGAUUUUUAAUAAAGUAAUUAUAUAGAUCCUACCUCAAAUAGCAAGUUAGGAAAAUGGAAAACAAAAAUUAAACUAAGUUACCAACAAAUUAUUAUGCUACCUAAUUAGUCAGUCACCUAUUUCAUGAUUGGCAGCGUAAAAAAAAAAAUUGAUAGGCAUAACCUAAUCCGUUGUAAUUAUGUAUGCAGUUAUAUAUUUGAGCUACAAUGGAUUCAAUAUGAGAUGAGAUCAUCCCACCAAGUUGUGGUGGACCGAAAUCUGAGAAAAUAUAUAUGUAAAACUAUAAUAAAUAAAAUUUAUGAUAACUAAUUUGUGUGGAAAGAAAAAAUAAAUAUUAGAAAUUUUUUGUGAAGAGAAUAAUGUAAAAACACUUAAACAUUAUUGAUCAAGUGGUAAGAACUUAGAGACAUAGGAUAGACGCUACAUGUUUACGCGGAAUCCUUAGAAAAAAUAUAAGAAAACUCUCUCCCAAAAAAAUUACUAUCUAAUAAAAUAAAACUUUGUAAUCAUAAAGUGAGUAGUUAAUUUUUCAGGUAAAAGUAAAAUAUUCCUAAUUUUUUAAUCAUACAUGCAUUCAUUAUUGAGGAAAUCCUAAUCUAUCCAAAUGCGGUAAACAUCAAAGGUUUAACAAAAAUUUCGUCUCUCAAGAAUAAAACUAUUGAUCUCAGGCUUUAUACCACUUUUAACCACUGACAUAGAAAUUCUUUAGGUACUAAAUUUUCUUAUUGUACACAACACAACACAUGAAUAAAAUAAAAUAAAUAUAAUGAGCUUCAUCAGUAGUGGGCCUCAGAAGUGACAUAUUGAGGGAAAUAAAUUUAAAAGUAGAGUGAAGUGGUGGGAGCAUAUAAACACUGUGAAAUGUCACAGUCGUCAUAAGGGUACGUGCUGCUAGCUUAGCAACAUAUACUCUCACAUUCUUAACGUGCAUGUGUCAUAAAAUCCUAGACCCACUAGUUCUUUGUGCGACCUACAAAAAUUUUAGUGAACAAUAUAUUAAAAGUUUGUUAGCUUUUUUUGAACGUAAAAGUUUGUUAGCUUGUUUUAAUGAAAAAUGUUUUUUUUUCAUCGAAAAGUAAGAAAACAGAACAAGAAAAGCUACGAGCCUAACACAUCUCUAAAAGGUUAUUUUGUUUGAUUGCAGAUUUUAAAAAUUAUUGUAUUUAAAAAAAUUUUUUUAAGGAAAAAUAAUUUUUGAGUUAGAUCUUAGAAAUUGAAAUUGAGAAUUUUAUUAAAAACGGUUACAGUUUUUGAAAAAAAAAAACAAAUUUUUGAAAUUUUCAGUUUUUAAAAGUAACAAACCACAAACCGUUUUUAAAACCUGUAAUUAAACGUACUCUAUAUAUAUUUAUAUUUUACUUUCCCUUUCAUCUUCAUUCCACUUAUUUUCUCUUAUAUCUCUCAUUUUUUAUUUUUAUUAUAUUACAUAUCAUAUCACUAAUCUAUGUGUCUUCUCUACCAAUCUCUCUAGAUGUGACUAAAUUUGGAGCGCGAACAUACUAUUCUCCAAAGAAAAAUGUUGGGUUAACACUCUAUAGAUGUAGAUACAUUAAAAAAAGAAAAUUAGCAAAUGUGAUAUAUAAUAUGACGCCACAAAAAGUGAAUAAUAAAUACAGAAAAAAUUAUAUAUAUGUGAGAUGGUUGUAAUGUUGAGGAGGGAUACUAACCCUCACCCUAACACUCAUUUUUCAACAUUCUAGUUAAAAUGCAUGUGGGUUCUACUAAUUAAAAGUGAGACUCACUCACAUUUUAGUGAAUUUCAUAUAAAUUUUAACCAAUAGAAAAACGAAUGUUAAAAAAUGUGUUAAAAAGAGGGUUGCUAGCAUUUUUUUAAAUGUGUGUACCAUAACUAUAUUUUGAAUUAAAAAAAUAUUUUAACGUCAAUGACAACAUGCGGCAAAUAUAUUUGAAAAGUGUAUUAAGCAAUAAUGCAUGCGGGAGGAAAAUUGAAGGGAUAAUUAAGUAUAUUACUAUAAUUUGCGCCUUGAGUUCCUUCAAUGUGAGUAAUGGUUUAUUGUUGGCAUCCUUGAGUUUGAUCAACACGUCCAAUAAGUCUUCUUCAACGGUCUUCAAGCCAUCAUUCCACUGUUUGAUUCUAUCAUCAAUAAUGGGAUCAUGAUACUUCCUCAUGAUCCUCAUAGCUUUCAUGAUUUUGCUCCUAUGGCCAUCCAAGUCAAGUCUCCUCAAGAAUGGAACAAAAUCAGAAAUGGAAAAGGCAUAAACAUAUUUAAGUAUUGUGAAAGUAGCAUUUAUAUGCUCAACUUCCUCAAAACCUGGCCCUCCAUCCUCCAUUACCUUUCCAAAGUACCUUGAAUUGAAAAUCAAUUUCCUGAACACAUUACCACCAUAAUGUUGCGCCGCAAUCCUAAUAUUCACAAGGCCAGGACCAUCAUUCACAUCUUUGCAACACUUGUUGUAGAUGUAAAACAUAAGGUUAUCAGCUUCUUCAUUCCUUUUACCUAGAAGCCAUUGAUGCUUUUGAGGGGAAAGCAAGUUGUUGACCAACACUCUCUUCAUCUUCUUCCAUUGUUCCCCAUAGGGUACAAGAACCGUGGUUAUGAAACCAUCGCUGGCUAUAUCAGUGGACAUGAUUUUUGGCCUCGAUGCAAAAGAAGCAUCGUGUUUUUUCAAGAAUUCACAGGCAAUAGUGGGGCACGUCACAGGGAUAACAAUGGUAUUUGCUAGGCGGAUACACGCUAUUUCAGUGUUCAUUUCUUUCAUCAGCUUGUGUAUCCAUAUAGUUGCAGGCCUGUUUGCAAGCAUCUCAGGGAGAUUGCCAACAAUCGGCCACGGUUUGGGACCUGGGGGUAGUUUGUAUUUCUUGGACUUGUUAACUAAGUGAGUUUUAGUGACUUUGAAAAUCAUAAAGGAAAAUAUCACAACAAGCAAAAAAGUCCAAGGGAAUUCAUGGCACAAAGAGAGGAAAUCAGGCAUAAGACCCAUCGCUUGGAAAAAGGACUUCCAAUCUAAAAUGAUGAUUGGGAUUGAUCCUUGAUCCAUUAAGGGCUUGCGAGGUUAUCUAUAUAUACUAGCUAAGCCUCAUAAGGACUAUGGUCACAUGGCAAAUAUUUUAUUCUACACUCAUUGACAGUAUUAUAAUGUUAAAAUUCACGUGGUCGAUUAUUUAUAUCUAUUUACGGGAUUAUCGAGAUUUAUUUAGGCCUCGUUUACUAUUUAGGCUUAAAGGGUCCAAAAGUCCGUGAGAUUACAAAGGGAAUCAGUUUCAGGACCUAAAAAUUUUUUUUAUCAAAUUGGGUCCCUAAAUUUUUUUUUUUUAAUUCAAUUAAGGCCAAAUGUUGCCACAUCUCAAUUUUGUCCUAGUCACCGUUACCACGUGGCUUUUUUAUUUUUUUAAAAUACCAAUUAAUAUUUUCAUUUUAUUUUAAUUCCAACUCAUUUCCUAAAAAAUAAAACAUAAAUCUAACUAAAACUAAACCUAAACCUAAUCUGAAAACCUCACCAUCUUCAACCCCACCAUCUUCUCCCCUCUCACAACAAUUCCUCACCACCACCACAACAGCACUGCGAACCAGAACUGAAACCAACAGGUCGGGACGGGUUCACGAUCAAGCUCAGCGACGAGAUGAACAGCACGAAGAACAAAUCAGCCUCGUCCAGAUCCAGAACCUUAACCAACGGCAAACCCGCACGCUUGGAUUCAGAUCGAGAGCGAUCCGACCACUCCGCCAUGUGCUGGUGGUCGGGGUACUUGAGCGACUCCAUAUCGUUCUCAUAGGAGCGUGAGCCACGCGCGAGGGAGUGGUGGUAGAUAACACCGUGGGUGAACCUGCGUGUGAGAUCGUAGAGGUAAACUUUGACAGCAGAGGUUUAGGAGUGCUGGUGGCGAGGAGGACGGAGGAGGAGAAGGUGGCGGUAGUGUCGAAGAAGGCGUAUUUGAGGUGGUCAUGAAAACUGGGUUUGGGUUUUAUGCUCUUGGCAUUGAUUGUUGUUGUUGUUGUACCUUCUUCGUUGUAGGUGUUCAUGAAAACUGACUUUAGGGUUUCUUUGGGUUGCAAGGAUUUGAGGUGGCUGGACAGAGGUUGGGGAUGGUGGUGGGGUGGAAAAUAUGGGUCUUCACCUCAUGUUUAUGAGUCUGUUUCACAGGACAAUGGGUGGUGACUGGAGAUUCAAAACUUUUGAAGCCUUGGGCAUAUAUUAUCUAAUUGAUGCUCCUUGUCUGUUUACUGUCUCGUGUUCUGUUGCUCUUUUUGAGCAAUUCAGCUGAAUUUUGUAUAUUCCAGCACCUCUUGUUCUGUUGCUCUUUUUGAGCAAUUCAGCUGAAUUUUGUAUAUUCCAGCACCUCUGGUGCUCCUAUUUAUAUAAUUACUUAGCUUAUAAAAAAAAAACCUCAUGUUUCUGGGUGUGAUUGUUGGUGGUGUUGUGGUGUUGAAGGAUGACAGUAUGGGGGAAGAAGAUGUUGGGGUUAACAAAAGAAGAAGAAGAGGCUGAAGAUUAGUGAAGAAGAUGAAGACCAUUUUAUCUGGGUUUUGUUCUUGAGAUGAAGAUUGAAGAAGAGUGAUGAAGAUUAUGUGUUUAAUUUGAAUUUAGUUCAGGGAUUUAUUUAUAUUAGGGAUUUUAUUAAUUUUUUUAAUUUUCUUUCUGCCUAUGUAAUUGAGUUGGAUUUUAAAAAUACUUUUUAAUUAAUUUUUUUAAUAAAAAUAAAAUAAAAAAGCCAUGUGGUAACGGUGACUAUGACAAAAUUGAGCUGUGGCAACAUUUGCCCUUAAUUGAAUUUAAAAAAAAAAUUAAGAAUCCAAUUUGAUGAAAUAAUUUUCUAGGUCCUGGAUUUGAUUCCCUUUGUAAUCUCAGGGGUCUUUGGACCCUUUAAACCUACUAUUUAUGCGUUUUAGCAAGGGUAAGUUUGAUGUAAUUGAAAAAAGAAACAAAAGGUUGACAUUUAUUACCAUUUUAAAGAAAGAGAAGUGCACACUUGUAGGAAAAAUGUGGGUCGGAGGAUAAUACGGCAAAAAAAUUCAAAGGAUAUAUCAUUUUUGGGGACGAGGAAUACUAUACCCUCCGAAACGGUUCAACUGAAUUAUCCUCCGAUCCACAUCUGGUCUACAUGUGGCCAGCCAACUUUCUGGAUUUUUUCACUUUCAACUAUCUCUUCUUACCCGCGUAUAAUCACAUUAUAUAAUAUAGGUUAGUGUCAAUAUUCUAUCCUCUUCAAAUUCCAAAAAAUACUAAAGAAUUUCUAUUUGCACAGGUACUUUUCACUCUGUCAAAUUUCAAUGGUCCAUCACUUAUCUUGUCCUUUAUCAUGUGAAUUUUGACUUCACCGUCAUUUUCCACCUUCAUCUUAUUUAAGGGUGAAGAGAAAUGAGAAAAACAUGCAAGUGAUAUGAUAUGUAGUGCGACAGAAAAUACAAAGAAGGAUAGAAUGAAAAUUGAGUGAAAAUAAGAUGAAAGAGAAAGUAAAGUAUAAAUAUAUCAUUACCCUUUCUAUCCAUUUGAACAAACCUUUUUUCUGCCACAAAUAUUUUUAUUAUUAGAAAUGUAGAUUAACGGGCAUAUACGAUGUAAAUUUUUGUACACAUGCAUCCAAUCAUUGUAUGUGUCACAGAAGAUUAACAGUUAGUUUUCAUUUUUAUUUAAAUUAAAUUUUAGUUUUAAUUUGUAAUAAAAUGAAAAGCAAUUGAAUGUCCGUGUAAUUUUUUUUUUUACAUAAAAACAUUAAAUUAGAUCUCAAAAAUUAUAAAAAAGAAAUUAAAAUAAUAAAUAACUUCACAAAAUAGUUGAGUUUCUUAAGCAUCUAAUUUAGAUUUUGAUUCUUAGAGCAUCUCCAAUGGUAGUAUCUAAUGUUAAAUACAUACUCAUAUGAGUAUCUCUUACCAUUGAGGUACAUAUUCAAUUCCAACAUGACAAAGAUGAGUAUGUGGGAAUAGAUACUCUACACUAGACUUGAAAAGUGAACUUGUAUUUAUUACAAGCACUUACAAUUAAUAUAAUUAGAUUAUAAAAUGGAGAUAAAUAAUAAAAUAUACAAAUGUGAUGUUGAUGGUGAGAUCCACUAUAGAAACUUAAGAGUUGUUGGAUUGGAGUAAAAAGUUAGUAAAGUGGUGUAGAUGAUGUAACAUUAUGAAAAAUUGAAAAAAUGAAGUCUAGAUAUUUUAGUGAGUAUGAUGGAUGUAGAUGCUUUAUGUAAUACACCCUAUGGUCACUAUUAUAAGCAAAAAAUAACAUUUUAGAUUCAUUGAAUAAAUGAUGUAUCUAGUCAUUAUUAUAGACUAGAUACAUCAUUUAUUGAAUGAAUUUAAAAACUUAUUUUUUACUUAUAAUAGUGACCGGAUGGUGUAUAUGUAUGAAGUAAAUCAAUGUUUUUAUUUAUAGAUACCAUAUUUGUUAUAAAAUAUUAUUUAAUACACUGUAUGAAAUAUUUAAAAUUAAAUACUAAUUAAUAAUAUUUAUACCCCUUUUAGUCAUUACACACUCAAAAGCAAUUCUAAUAAAAGAUAUUCAAACAAAAUUCUCUUACUAAAAUCACGUUAUUGUAACUGUAUCCAAACAUAAAUCACAUCACUCAAACUCACGUUUACCAGAUUCAAUUCUGCCAGAUCCAAUUCUGACCAGAUCCAAUUCUACUAACGCUGAUCCAAACACACACUUAUUCUUUUACUAUGACCUUCAAACUUCGAGAGAGUUAGUCUCAUUUAUGCUAACGUGGGAUACAUUGGGAAAAUGAAUGGAUACUCAAUAUAUGCGUUUUAGUGGUAGAUGAUGAUUAGUUUGGGUACUUUGAAGGGAAAGAAAAUUGCAGCUGCCUGGCCUGACCCUCGAACUGUAUGGAAGGCUGUUUUCUAUCUUUGAAGGGCCCUAUUGUUUUUCCCCUGUUUCUUAUCUGUUCUGUUUACCAUUUGCUCCUGGACUGGGCGAGCCCCUAGAGUGGCAACGCCCAGCAUGUAUCCCGCCCUGAGGCGGGGCCCUGGCCUUUGGAUGGGCCUUGACCUCGGAGGCCCAAUUGGCCCAAUAGGUAGUACCCAAGCUCUAUAAAUAGGAGGUAGUUAUCAAGUGUAAGGGACUUUUGGCUCAUUUGAUAAAAUAACACAUGAAAUUCAGCAUUCUCUCUCUUACUCUCUCUCCCUAGCACAAUCCUUCUACCUCUAGGUACUAUGCCUCUCUUCAAUGUCCAUUCCUAGAACAUUUGGCGCCGUCUGUGGGGAACGAAAACUUUCUACUCCCAUUCACGUGGAUUGAUUGUGCAUGAAGUUACCUCUGAUUGUGAUUAGGCAAUUCUCUGGUUUUCCGAUUUUGAUUCUGUGACUAGUGUUGGUUUUCCGAUCGAGUUUGCAUCGUUUCUGGUUUGGAUGGAGACUCGACGCAGGAGGCAGCAUCAUUCACCAAUGCGACAGCGGAUUUCGCCGCCUCGGCGGCCUCAUCGUGUGGACCUGGAUUCUCCGGUACGAACGACAGGAGUACAGUCGCCUUCUCCUCUUCCAUCACCACCACCUCCUCCGUCGCCUUCACAGGUAGGAUCUCUGGAGCGCUCACCAGAGAAUUCACCUGCUCCGGAGCAACAGCCGGCGGUGACACAGGAGCAAUGGCGCCAUUUGAUGCGCAGUAUUGGCAACAUCCAGCAGCGGAAUGAGCAUCUACAGGCUCAGUUAGAUUUCUACCGUCGCGAGCAGCGAGAUGAUGGAAGCAGAGAAGCAGAUUCCGUGGCUGAGUUCCGUCCGUUCUCGGAAGAUGUCGAGAGUGUGGCGAUUCCGGAUAACAUGAAAACGUUAGUUCUGGAUUCUUACAGCGGAGAUUCCGAUCCGAAAGAUCAUCUUCUGUAUUUUAAUACGAAGAUGGUGAUAAUUGCGGCGUCAGAUGCGGUGAAGUGCAGGAUGUUUCCAUCGACGUUCAAAUCGACGGCGAUGGCGUGGUUCACAACUUUGCCGCGUGGAUCGAUUUCAAAUUUCAGAGACUUCUCAUCCAAGUUUCUAGUGCAAUUCUCGGCAAAUAAGAAUCAGCCGGUGACAAUCAAUGACCUAUAUAAUAUUCGCCAGCAGGAAGGGGAGUCACUGAAAGAGUACAUGGCAAGGUAUAGCGCGGCGUCGGUAAAGGUAGAGGACGAGGAGCCUCGAGCUUGCGCUUUAGCAUUUAAAAACGGUUUGCUGCCGGGAGGGUUGAACAGCAAAUUGACACGUAAGCCGGCGCGCUCGAUGGGAGAGAUGCGUGCUCGUGCCAGCACUUAUAUUCUCGACGAGGAGGACGACGCUUUCAAAAGAAAGCGCGCGAAGUUGGAAAAGGGCGACACGUCUCCCAAGCGCGUGAAAAAAGAUGGGAGCGGCGAAGAUAAGGGGGAAGGCAAACAGCAGAGGUCGGGUAAGGGGAAGUCGGUAUUCAAACCGACCAAGGAACAGUUGUAUCCACGGCGCGAUGAUUAUGAACAACGUCGGCCUUGGCAAUCUAAGUCUCAUCGCCAGCGGGAGGAAACUGAUAUGGUGAUGAACACAGAUGUAUCGGAUACGCUCCGAGGGGCAAGCGACGCAAAUCUAGUGGAUGAGCCGGAGGCCCCAAAGUAUCAGCCACGGGACGCCAAUCCCAAGAAGUGGUGCGAGUUCCACCGGUCCGCCGGGCAUGAUACGGAUGACUGUUGGACUUUGCAGCGGGAGAUUGACAAGUUGAUUCGGGCGGGAUAUCAAGGAAAUCGUCAAGGCCAGUGGCGCAAUGGAGGCGAUCAAAACAAAGCGCACAAGCGGGAGGAGGAGCGAGCGGACACUAAGGGCAAGAAAAAGCAAGAAUCAGCGGCUAUCGCCACAAAAGGGGCUGAUGACACGUUCGCUCGACACUCAGGACCGCCCGUCGGGACCAUCAACACCAUCGCCGGGGGAUUUGGCGGCGGUGGCGACACUCACGCGGCGCGUAAACGCCAUGUUCGUGCCGUAAAUUCCGUUCAUGAGGUCGCUUUUGGAUUCGUACACCCUGACAUAACAAUCUCGAUGGCGGACUUUGAGGGGAUAAAGCCUCAUAAGGACGACCCGAUUGUGGUGCAGUUAAGGAUGAACAGUUUCAACAUUAGAAGGGUACUCCUGGAUCAGGGUAGUUCGGCUGAUAUUAUCUAUGGUGAUGCAUUUGACAAGUUGGGACUAACUGACAAUGAUCUAACUCCAUACGCGGGAACCUUGGUAGGUUUCGCGGGGGAGCAAGUAAUGGUGCGGGGAUACAUUGAUCUAGACACAAUAUUUGGGGAAGACGAGUGUGCUAGGGUUUUGAAGGUAAGGUAUCUGGUUCUCCAGGUGGUAGCAUCCUACAAUGUCAUCAUUGGGCGAAAUACGUUGAAUCGCCUUUGUGCUGUAAUUUCGACAGCCCACUUGGCGGUCAAGUAUCCGCUAAGCAGUGGAAAGGUGGGAAAGCUGAAAGUGGACCAGAAGAUGGCGAGGGAGUGUUACAAUAAUUGCCUUAACUUGUACGGCAAGAAGAGUGCGUUGGUUGGUCAUAGAUGUUAUGAAAUCGAAGCUUCGGAUGAAAAUCUUGAUCCCCGGGGCGAGGGGCGAGUAAAUAGGCCCACGCCAAUUGAGGAAACGAAGGCGCUAAAGUUUGGUGAUCGCACUUUGAAGAUUGGGACCAGACUGACGGAAGAGCAGGAGACGCGCCUGACAAAACUGCUUGGGGAGAACUUAGACUUGUUUGCUUGGAGCUGCAAAGACAUGCCUGGAAUUGAUCCAAAUUUCAUAUGCCAUCGGUUAGCAUUGAAUCCAAGUGUCAAGCCAGUUUCACAACUUAGGAGGCGCUUGGGUGGCGACAAAGGGAAGGCGGUGCAACAGGAGGUCGACAAGUUGUUGGCGGCAGAGUUCAUCAGGGAAGUGAAGUAUCCGACGUGGUUGGCAAACGUCGUAAUGGUGAAGAAGGCGAACGGGAAAUGGCGAAUGUGUGUAGAUUACACGGACUUAAACAAAGCAUGUCCAAAAGAUUCGUAUCCCCUUCCCAGCAUCGAUAGCCUUGUUGAUGGUGCCUCGGGCAACGAACUGCUUAGCUUGAUGGAUGCUUAUUCUGGCUAUCAUCAAAUCCGCAUGCACCCGGCAGACGAGGACAAGACGGCUUUUAUGACUGCCAGAGUCAAUUAUUGCUAUCGCACCAUGCCGUUUGGACUAAAGAACGCUGGGGCUACCUACCAAAGAUUGAUGGAUAGGGUUUUUGCUAGGCAGGUGGGAAGAAACAUGGAGGUUUACGUUGAUGACAUGAUUGUUAAAUCAGUACGAGGUUUAGACCAUCAUCAAGAUCUGGAGGAAGCAUUUGGCGAAAUAAGGAAGCACAGUAUGCGCCUCAAUCCGGAGAAAUGCUCUUUUGGUGUUCAGGGGGGCAAGUUUUUGGGAUUCAUGAUCACAUCCAGAGGAAUCGAGAUAAACCCAGAAAAAUGCAAGGCGAUUCAGCAGAUGAAAAGCCCUUCCAAUGUGAAAGAGGUCCAACGUUUGACGGGGCGAAUAGCAGCUUUAUCUCGGUUCCUUCCCAAGUCUGGUGACAGAUCCUUUCCUUUUUUCAAGUGUCUUCGCAAGAAUGUCGUAUUCGAGUGGACGGCGGAGUGUGAGGAAGCUUUCGUUCGCCUCAAGGAACUCCUAUCGUCACCGCCGAUCUUGUCGAAACCAAUACAGGGACACCCGCUGCAUUUGUAUUUUGCUGUGAGCGAUAGUGCUCUGAGUUCCGUGAUGUUGCAGGAGAUAGAUGGCGAGCAUCGAAUUGUUUACUUUGUUAGUCACACACUCCAGGGCGCGGAGGUCAGAUAUCAGAAAAUUGAGAAGGCGGCGCUGGCGGUCCUCGUCACCGCCCGGCGGUUGAGACCUUAUUUUCAGAGUUUUCCCGUGAAGGUGCGGACGGAUUUGCCCUUGAGGCAAGUAUUACAAAAACCGGAUUUAUCAGGUAGAUUGGUCGCCUGGUCGGUUGAAUUGUCAGAGUAUGGUUUGCAAUACGAUAAGCGGGGCACGGUUGGUGCGCAGUCACUAGCUGACUUUGUGGUCGAGUUGACUCCAGAUCGGUUUGAAAGAGUGGACACUCAGUGGACUCUCUUCGUGGAUGGAUCCUCCAAUAGUAGUGGCAGCGGCGCGGGAGUAACGUUAGAAGGGCCGGGGGAACUAGUGUUGGAGCAAUCCCUGAAAUUCGAGUUCAAAGCAACGAACAACCAAGCAGAAUAUGAAGCUCUCAUCGCCGGAUUGAAGUUGGCGCGGGAAGUGAAGAUCAGGAGUUUGUUGAUAAGAACGGACUCACAAUUGGUGGAGAAUCAAGUGAAGGGAACUUUCCAGGUCAAAGAUCCUAAUCUGAUCAAGUACCUUGAGCGGGUGCGGUAUUUGAUGACACUCUUUCAAGAGGUUGUGGUGGAGUACGUUCCUCGGGCAGAAAAUCAGCGGGCGGACGCGCUAGCCAAACUGGCGAGCACGCGGAAGCCCGGCAAUAACAAAAGUGUGAUCUAGGAAACGCUGGCGUACCCAAGCAUCGAAGGCGAGCUCAUGUCCUGCGUAAACAGAGGGAGAACAUGGAUGGAUCCCAUAAUAUCUAUCUUGGCGGGGGACCCGGCAGAAGUGGAGCAAUGCACGAAGGAGCAGCAGCGGGAGGCGAGUCACUAUACUCUCAUUGACGGACACUUGUAUCGCCGUGGUUUCUCGACGCCAUUGUUGAAAUGUGUAUCGCCAGAGAAGUACGAAGCGAUAAUGUCUGAAGUACAUGAAGGAGUGUGCGCGAGCCACAUCGGGGGAAGGUCUUUGGCUUGCAAAGUGUUGAGGGCGGGUUUUUAUUGGCCCACCCUCAGGAAAGAUUGUAUGGACUUCGUGAAGCAGUGCAAGGAGUGUCAAGUGUUCGCGGAUUUGUCUAAGGCACCGCCAAAGGAGUUGGUAACGAUGAGCGCCCCGUGGCCUUUCGCCAUGUGGGGUGUGGACUUAGUUGGACCUUUCCCGACCGCCAGGGCACAAAUGAAGUUUAUAUUGGUGGCGGUGGACUACUUCACUAAGUGGAUUGAGGCUGAACCCUUGGCCAAGAUUACUUCUGCAAAGAUAGUCAAUUUCUACUGGAAGCGUAUUGUUUGCAGGUUCGGGAUCCCAAGGGCGAUCGUAUCUGACAAUGGGACCCAGUUUUCAAGCAGUCAGACAAGGGAGUUCUGCAAAGAAAUGGGCAUGCAGAUGAGGUUCGCCUCUGUUGAGCAUCCGCAGACGAACGGGCAGGUGGAAUCUGCAAACAGGGUAAUCCUACGAGGACUAAGACGACGGCUCGCGGAGGCUAAGGGAGCUUGGUUGGAUGAACUUCCGGCGGUGCUGUGGUCGUACAACACCACCGAGCAAUCUACUACAAGGGAAACCCCCUUUAGAAUGACCUAUGGGGUAGAUGCCAUGUUGCCGGUGGAGAUUGACAACUUUACAUGGCGGACCCGACCGGGUUUUGAAGAGGAAAAUGAGGCCAACAUGGCGGUGGAGCUGGACCUUUGUCGGAAACGCGCGACGAGGCGCACAUUCGGGAAACAGCGAUGAAGCAGCGCGUGGCGGCAAAGUUCAACAGCAGGGUUCGCGUCCGAGAUAUGCAGGUUGGCGACCUGGUCCUCAAGUGGCGAUCGGGAGCCCCGGGGAACAAGCUUACUCCCAACUGGGAAGGGCCCUACCGCAUUAUUAAAGUUCUUGGUAAUGGGGCCUAUCACUUAGAAGAGCUUGAUGGGAGGCGGUUACCUCGAUCGUUCAAUGGUUUGAGCUUGCGCUACUUUUAUAGUUGAUUGCAGGCGAGAAGGUGAACAAGUCGGAAUCGCCGGAGCCAGAUAUCUUUAAGAUUUUGGCCAUGGAAGUUUGGCAAGUAAAGCGUUGCUAUGGUUAAGAUCGCUGGCCAACAAAUUUUUCCAAUUCCUUCAAACUUUUCCUCCAUCUUUCAUUUGAUUCCCUUCUCAGUUGUUGUAUUUCCUAAUUUUCUUAUUUUGAAGUUGGUAUUAGAAGUUAUAUUGUCUUCACUGGUUUUGAUUCAGACAGAGAGGAGCAAAUCGGAUCAAAGAGAAAGAGUGGGUGAAUUGAGGCACACCAUUAAAGUUUUGUGAAACUUGGAAGACUCUUCCAUAAGCGGUUUGUUAUUGGGUGGGACAAGCUCCUGAUGGCGCGAUUUAGUUACAAAGUGAAACAAGUUUCACGAUGAACUAAAUUAGCCCCGGAAAAGCCCACGUAACAACCGGAUUCAUUGGCGAUGUGUGGGCUACUGAGCACCGCUUUGGUAAUCCAACUGGCCAUUGGAACCCAAAGCACUUUGAGUCCCGAAAAGGGACGAUCACACCAAGGGUGGCGACCUACCGCUAGGGUGGUGACCUCAUGCCAAAGGGUGGCGACCAAACGCUAUGGGUGGCGACCUGUAAGACUCAGUUUAGACACACAAAAGUCGCCAAAAGGGUGGCGACCUCACGCUAAGGGUGGCGACCUACCGCAAGAGGGUCGCGACCUACCGCAAGAGGAUGGCGACCUACCGCUAAAGGGUCGCGACCUACCGCCAAAAAUGAGGGUAGCGACCUACCGCAAAAUGGUGGCGACCUACCGCAAGAGGGUCGCGACCUACCGCAAGAGGGUUGCGACCUACCGCCAAAAAUGAGGGUAGCGACCUACCGCAAAAUAGUGACGAGCAAGUCAAACUAAUUUCUUAUAAGGCUAAAGCAAGAUGGUGAUGACGAUGCGGCGGCGACUAAAAGUGUUCGGUGGAAGCAUUCCAAUAUGACUUACAAAAUAUCCAACGGCGACAUAAAAAGCUAUGGCGCAGGGUUGCUUAAACAUAUACGAAUGGCGGAAAAGUACACUACAAGGUGACAGUAAAAGAUAAAAGUAAUGUUAAAAAUUACAUUAUUCAUUGUUUUUCUCCUGUUCUUCUUCUUCCUCUUCCUCUUCUUCUUCAGUCGCUGUCCAAAGGUUUUGGUCAAUCAGGGGAGGAUCGUCGGGACCAACUAGUCCUGCGGCGGUUAUCUCUUUCAUUACUCCCAUGGCGCUAAAGUCAAAGUUCGGGUACAGAUGUUGGGCCUGAUCUUUGGCGAGGUAGAAACCGCGCUCGCGGUUGUCAAGGGCGAUGUCAGCGGCUUGUUCCCUCGCCUCAGUGGCUUUGGCCUUCUCAGUCGCCAGCUCGUCCUCUAGACUUUUGAUCUUUGCAAGUUGGGAAGCAAUCUCAGCAUCUUUCGUGGCGAGGGCCUCGGCGUGGGUUUCGGUCGCUUUCUUGAUCUCCUCGGACGUAGCCUGCAUCACCGCCUCCAUGUCAGAUUUCGCCAAGGCCAAGGACUCCGCAGACUUUUUCUCUUGCUCCGCCAACGCUUUUUUCACUGACUCCAGCUCAGCGCACAGAACGGCAAGCUCUGACUCCUUAGCAAUCAGCGCCUCGCCUCGGGCGAUCAAGUCCUUCUCAGCUUGCUCUUUCUCCUUCUUGCAAGCUUGAAGGCUUGCAUCAAGCUCAUCUGCUUCUUCCUUCAUCAGCGCCAGCUGAUCCUCCAGCUCGCCGAUUUUAAUCCCCGCCGUGCCAAUCAUCUUGUCGGCAUAGACUUUGUCUUUUCCUGCCUGCGUCGCCAGUUUGUCGAAACGCUUUUCCCAAGCAGCGGCGGCUUCUUGAUGCUUCGCACUUUCGGCCUUCAACCGCUCAGCUUCAACGUUGGCGGCAUUGAACUUCUCAAACGUGUGAGCAAAGAUGCACCCAGCGCGUAGGAGGCAAGCAAGAGUCUCCUCCUUGGUGUCAUUCAGGCCCCGACUCAAAACUUCUUUUUCUAUGACGUCACGGUUGAGACCAGCAAGUAAGAAUUCUGAGGGUUCAAUGGCGUUGGGGAGCAUAUUAUAAUAGCUUGAAGAACCGACCUCGGGAGCAGGGGCUUGUUCAAUUUGAGCCGCUUCAGAGGUAGUGGCAGCGCCAGGACAGGAUUUUUCCCCUUGAUGAGGCGGGGAAGGCAUGGAGCCCGCAUCGCGUGUUGAGGGCGGGCUAGGAGGCGCCUCUUGGCGAGGGGGAGACUUUGGGGUUUCAUUUUCUUUUUCCUUCUCUCCAAUAGGAGUGUCGGAAGACGCAGCAGCUUUUGUGGCGUUACCGCCGGCGGAGGCGGCUGUGGCGCCAACAGGGGACUCAGCGGCAACAGCAGCGGUCGCACCGGCGGAGGCAGGAGUAGAAGCUGGUACGGCGGUUGGCUCGGUAGCUGCGGCGACGGAGGCUUCAGCGACAUUUUUGCCUUUAGGCGCAGCAGCGGUGGUGGGCUGAGCGCCAGGGUUGGAUGUGCCGGCGCUGGAGGAGGUUUUGGCCAAUCUUCUCCUCUUGGGAGCUUUGGCGCUCUCGGCUUGGUUCUCAGCACCGCCCCGUUUUUUCGCGUCGCCCUCAGUGUUGAAUUUUGGGGAAAAGCGAGCCAUUCUCCUCUCGCGGGCCUUCAGGAGCUCGGCGUUCGUGAAAUUCAUAUCUUCUGUAACAAUAAAAAAAAAAACGAUCAGUGACAACAUAGGAGUCGAGAAAGGAAAUGUCAAUAAUAAAAGUGAGCUAUGGGCAACCUAAGUAUUUGGGAGUUCUUGAGAGGUCAGCGCCCUCAAGGACUGUUGUGCAGUCAAGGAUGGGAAGUGGGGCAAGGAGAUUAAGAAAGGCUUUAUCGUUGGCGGACAAGGAUUCCUCUGAAGGAUCGGUGAUCCCGUUGGGUUUCUCCGUCCAAUAAAGAGGAAAGAGGGCGGUCCCGUCUCUGAGGGUGAAUGCCUCUGGGUAGGCGGGAUGAACCGCCACACGGAAGUACUUUCGUGCGAAGGAGGACUUCGCGUUACUUUUGUGAGGAUGCAAACACUUCCGGCCGGCUCGGGCCUUCAAGGAAAUCCAUCCUUUGUUUUUGAUGGACUUGGGGUCGACGUCGUAAAGGUAGAAGAAACUGGUGGGGGAUGGGGCGAUGCCGACAGCGGCGCUUAGGAUUUCAAAACAUCGAAUGAAAGCCCAGGCGUUAGGGUGGAGUUGACAGGGAGCCGCGUUGAUGUCGCGGAGGACGGUUUGGACAAAGGGCGAGAAAGGAAGCCUGAUUCCAAGCUCGCUAAACAUGUAUUCGUACGCAAAGAAGAAAUGGGAUCUCUUUACGUCGCCGUCUGGCUUGUGAAGCCAGGGUCGAUCCCCGGGACUGCAAACCCAGAUCCUGAGUUUGGCGUUAAACUCAUCGUCAUUGGACAAGCCACCCAGGGAGUUCACGAAUUGCACAAUGGGAUCGCUGUCUUGGAAGAUGGAAGGUUGAUCUAUAGCCUCGUGUUUGGGGGCUACUUGGACUGGAAGGGGCAGAGUGGCGUAGGUUUUUAGUCGGUGAGCUGGGAUCUCCGGAACCUCUAAACGGAGGCCGCCGGCAGCGGUGGAGUCAGGGUCGCUUUCGGAGGAGGAAGAAGAGUGAUUAGGGGAGGUAGGGUUUGAAGCCAUUUUUAGAAGACAGUGAAGUGAAAGAAAGGAAAAGAUAAGUAUGUGUGCGAUGUAAAGAUAAGGACAGUGGGACUCACCGGAGUAGGAUGUGAAGAGUGGGUAGCGGAAAGGGUGAUAAGCGACGGCUCCGGAGCGGAAGUGGACAGAGGGAGUUUGGUAAGCGAUUAGGGAAGUAAAGAGGGGUCUCGGAAAGGGAUGACAGUGGGGAAGAAGGGUUUUUAUAGGAGAAGGGGAGAAGCUGGAGGGGUGACGCGUGUUGGACGCGUGUGGAAGGUUGGAAGUCAUGAUGGUUUUUGGGAGGUGGGUCGCGUGCAAUGGGGAGUUACUGCGCACGAUGGGACGGUUAUGAAAGGAGAAGUGACGGUUCCGGAGAAAGAGGGAAAUUGAUGUAACCAACACAUCACGUGGGGCAGCCGCGUGAGGCAGAUAGAGAUUUGAAAGGGUUCUAAAAUAGGGGAAAGCGCGAAAAGCCUCGCCACCAUAAGGAUCAAACACCAUCGCCUGACGGGUGACACCAACAACAAAGUUCAGUCGCUCGCCGGGGUCACCGCCAGUCAAUGAUUGAAUGAUCGGCACAUGACCCAUGCCUGUCACCUUUCCCGCCGGCAAGCGAUCAUACACCUGCUCCAACUUAUCGCCAAUACGAAGUAAUCGUUCUCGCCGCUUGUGGACUAGUGGACUUGCCAGCUCGGGUUGCUCGUCAAGUCAGUGGGCUGGGUAACUGAAAAUGCAAGUUUCCUUUUGCUCACGCCGUGUUGGCGAUAUAGUUUACUUCUUUUUUCUUAAGCCAUGUUGGCAGUGCAGAUUCUGGUGUACUGUAGGACAUAUGUAAAAGCAUUUAAAAGACACCCUUAGCUCUCGUACCUCAAGCUCGGUGUCUUGUGGACUAGUGGACUGGGCGAGCCCCUAGAGUGGCAACGCCCAGCAUGUAUCCCGCCCUGAGGCGGGGCCCUGGCCUUUGGAUGGGCCUUGACCUCGGAGGCCCAAUUGGCCCAAUAGGUAGUACCCAAGCUCUAUAAAUAGGAGGUAGUUAUCAAGUGUAAGGGACUUUUGGCUCAUUUGAUAAAAUAACACAUGAAAUUCAGCAUUCUCUCUCUUACUCUCUCUCCCUAGCACAAUCCUUCUACCUCUAGGUACUAUGCCUCUCUUCAAUGUCCAUUCCUAGAACAGCUCCCCUCCAUCUUGCUGUUUUAUUUUCUACUGUUCUGUUAUCUUUCUGUUUUUUCAUGUACUUAUUAUUUUUAUUUAAGGGUUGGCACCCCUUGUGCCUCUUUCUUAUAUAUCAAUUCAUUGCUUAUAAAAAAAAUUUGGUAUGCACAUGCAUGGCAGUUGAGGUUGUAUGCAUUUGGUACUUUUAUGCGUUUUAGAAAGGAUAUGUUGGGGUAACUGAAAAAAAACAAGUUUGGAAUUUAUUACCAUUUUAAAGAAAGAGAAGACACGUGUAUAGCUAUUUGGAGGAUAAUUCUGCUGAAACUUUUCUCAUGAUAGAUAUCAUUUUUGGAGACCUGGUGUAGUUUGUAUUUUUUGGACUUAUGGUCUUAGGGUAUAGCUAUUUGGAGGACUUAUGGUCUUAGGGUAUAGCUAUUUGCAUGUGGCUGGGUUUAGGGUAGAAUGGUGAGAUGGUGAGAUGAAUUUGGGUAGAUGAAGAUGUGAGUGAGUUUUCACUGGUUUCUCUACACUAUAUUGCCUAUUCCUCUGCUCUGGCAUCAUGUUUUUUUCUUCCACGGGUUUUCAGCCCAAGGAUAUGCUGCGUGAAGGCUUGAAUCCUCUCUGGGGGAGAUCGUUUUUUUCUUGUUGUUUGGCUUGAUGCGCCUUGCUUCUGCCCUGUUUCUGUAUUGAUUUUGCAGCAAAUUAAUGGAAGAUUAUGGCUUUUUUUUAGAAGUUGAAGAACUGUGUUGGAAAGAGAGAGGAAGCAGAUUGAGAUUUUUUAUUUGAUUCAGAUGAGAGAUGAACAUGGGUUUGAUUUUGAUGAAGAUGGAGAUGAUUUGGGGGAAUUGAUUUUGUUAAUUAAAGGAUUAUUAGAUUAGGUUAUUUAUUAAGUUUUUAAAAAAAAAUUCUGAUUAUUUAAUUGAGUUGGAUUUAAAAAUAAUUUUUUAUUAUUUUUGUAAUUAAAAAUAAUAGUAAAAGCCACGUGGAAUUGAUGAUUGGGAUAAAAUUGAAUGCUGGCACACUUUAGCCUUAAUUGAAUUAAAAAAAAAUUUCUAGGGACCCAAUUUGAUGCAAAAAUUUUCUAGGCCCUGGAUUUGAUUCCCUUUACAAUUGCAGGGGUCUUCUGGUGUAUUAAGCCUUUUAGUUUCUAAAAAUAAAUUUGAAAAUAAAAUGUGUUCAGCAAAAAUGAAGUUUUUUGUAUAAAAAAAAAGUUGAGGUGAGGUUUUACUGAAUUUCAAAACCGUUUUAGUAUGUCUUUUAAAAUCACAAAAUAUGAUUUUGUAAUUAUAGUUUUUAGUUUCAAUAAUAUGUAACCCCAUCAUCGUCAUCACCCCUGUCACCACUAUGCUACUAGCUAGGACAUUACAUGAGAUUUAUGCACAAUAUUAUUUUAAUAUAGUUGUUAAUUGAAUGGAUAACCUAAACUCAUAUUUGAAUAUUGUUAUUUACAAGAGUGUGUUUUUUAAAUUAAAACAACGUUGUAAAGUUCAAACGAUCUCUAAUCCUAUGUUUUGUAAAGUUUUAAAUAAUAAUAAUAUUCUUAAUUGCCCUAUCAUGAAAUGCACAUAUUUUUAUAGAGAUUCUAUAUUUUGACUUUUUAGGAAAAUCAAUAUUUACACUCCUUGUCAUCCGAGGAAUCGAUGAAAAGGAAAUAGGUGAAUUAUCGUCCAUACAUUCUAUCAUCAUUUUAACACAAUUAUGGUUUGAAGCUUACAACGUCCAACAUGAUAUCGACCAAAUCACCCAAGAAGACCGUUGCACUUAGUUAAAGAAAACAGGAAAAAUUUGUUGAAGUAACUGGGGCAAGCCCUAAGGGAUGAGUUUUUUUUUUUUUGAUAAACUAAGAAAUAUAUUGAAAAGAAGUAUAAGGGAUACUUCAACCUAAUACACCUCUAAGGAAAGAGUGACUCGAGGAAAGAGAAGUUGUCACGUGAGCUAUGGAGAAGCAAGUUGAACAAAGAAGAAAAAGGCCAAAACUCAAUAUUAUCUCAUCAAGUCAAAUCGGACAACCAUCUACCAACCAAAGACGUUCAUAUAAAAGGAAGAAGAUCCACUGCUCGAGAAAUCCUACAUCAGGGCCGUGUAAAGCUUUCUAAUAAUUAGGCAAUUGCCUAAGGCCCCAAAAUUGAUUAAGGCCCCAUUUUUUUUUACCUAUAUAAAUAUUCUAUUGAGACUUAAAAGAGGUAAUAGAACAGUGAAAAAUCAUGUAAUUUUAAUCUCAAUAUAGGCAAUGAAAUGUGGAAAGUGCAACUUUAACAGUUAUUAGUAGUAGUGUUUUAAAUUAUCAAAUUUAUAUUUUCCAAAAAACUAAUAAAUUAAAUACCCGUUAUUUUUACAUUUUCAAAGUUAAAAAACUAAUUGUGUUUACUUGUAAUCGUUAGUUUUUUUUUAAUUAUAUAUUUGUAGUUUCACUCAUUGUUUUUUUCUCUAAAACAAUCUAUUGUUUCUACCUUGAAGUGAAUUAUCAAAUAAGAUCCUUGAUAUUAAAGUGUUGCAAAAUCUUUCAGUGUUUCAUUCCUUACGUUUCAAGUUCUAUUAAAAUUUUAGAUUCUUUUCCAAAUGUAUAUAUUGUCUAUCAAAUUUUAUUGACAAUCCUUGUAACGAUUUCUGCUGCUAGAAGAAGUUUUUCAAAAUUAAAAUUUGUUAAAUCAACAAUAUUUGUACAAAAUAACUUGAAUAAUUAACUGUCUUAUUUAUGGAAGCGAAAUGUUAGAAUUAUUUCAUUAUAACACUCUAAUAAAUGAUUUUGUAGCUCCGACAGCCUAGAAGAUUAAUAUAAAAAUUAAUAAUUUAUAUGAUACAUUUAAUCUCUUCAAGAUUCUUAUCAAAUUAAAAAAGUCUGAAAUUUUCGCCUUAGGCCCCAAAUUGUCUCUACACGGCCCUGUCCUACAUAACACUCGGAUAAGCUCUUGAAAAGCAUCCCUGCAACAAGUACAACAAUGGGCAAGAGCAUUAAAUGCAAGACAUAUAAUCGUUUGUACUUGGGAGUAACAUGGACGAUCAAGCAUCAAGGAGACUCAAUGUUCAACCAUCUACAUGAAGAUAUAUAUAAAGAAGACUUGUUUUACUAUAAUAUACUAUUGUCGGGAAAUUGACCCUCGCUUGCCUUGUUUGUAUGCUUGUGUUUGGGUGGCCGACAAUCGCCAGAGGAUGGAGGACCUCUUGUUAGGAUUACGCCACUUGGGGCGAACCCGAGAUGAACCCGUUGCUCGGCUGGUCGGUCACAACACCAGGUGAUCGACGUUUUCAAAACGAGUGAUCGAGGACGCGUAUGAUAUGCAUGGAUAUUUGCUAGAGAGCGUUCCUCGCUGGACGACUGUGAGCAUGAAACUACCUCCACAGUGGGGAGCUGGAGGAGUUGUACCCUCCCGCUGCCCAGAUCACCACCAUUGAGAUUGAUUCGUUAGAGGUGUCUUCUUCCAUUGUUGUCGCGCCUCAUAUGUCGAUUGCCACUACUCCUAGAUUUUGUACCACUUUCACCCAUCCGCACCAAUAGGAACAAUCCUGAAGAGGGAGCCACCGUCACCGCCACCAUCCUCGUACUAUACCCAGUCUUCGCCUCUUCUCUAUCGCAUUGCACAUCUGGUACACCUUGAGGAGAUGAUUGUUUGGGUAGAGGUCACAAACAUGGAGGCGAGGGAGACUGUGAUGGAGGAGAGAGUCGCAAUGGUAGAGAUUAUGGACUUAGAGGCAGAGGUGAUCAUGAUAAAUGAUACUAAUGACGAGUUAGACUUCUUUAGUGACGAGGAGAUGUUGUAGAGGUUGGGUAGUUUGUACAUAGGAGGUUAGUGCCUACUCGCGGUAGUAAGGCGCUAGUGCUGACCAGCACAUGUCUGUAUUUUGGGGCAGGGUAGGUCCUUGACAUAUUAAAUUUUGUGUGGUUCUCUUGCAUGAAUCACAAGGAGUAGUAGGACGUAGGAGUCUAGGAUGGAGGUAAUUUUUGGCUGACUAUUUCUUUUGAGCAUUGUAAUAUAAUUAUGUACUAUGUUGCUGACGACUUGACUAUUAUUGCCUUCGUGCUUGUUGUAUGUAUGGUGAGUUUAGUAUGUAUGUAUGUAUGGUCUUAUUAUGCAUAAGAUGUUUGAAUCUACUUUGGAAAAGAAACAAAAAAAUAUCUGCAUUUACGAACUACUUAUGAAAACUGUUGCAUAUUUAUUUUGAUAAAGGUUACUAUCGAAAGUCGGGGCGUUACAAGUAUGGUGGAUUCUAGAAAGUAAAGGUUUUGUACUUAAGUUGUACACGUGACGUACCUCCCCUCGUAUGUAAAUGAAUUCAAGUCUUAGAUGUUGUUCCUUUGAUCAUGGUUGUCUACAUUUUAGCUAAGGAAUGUGUUCUAUGUCAAGAUGUAGAACCAGAUGUUCUAGCAUCUUGGAUGUAAUAUUUGUCCCUGUGGGCCUAUUGUGUGUUAAGUGAUUUAUUCUGGAAGCUUUGAUUGUUUGCGUGGUCAACAAGUUAGGGUUGUUGAAGGAGAUUUUGUGUGCUAAUUAGAGAAUAUAUUAAGUGUGAUCAAAUCGGCUGCUUGGAUUUGAUUUGUGUUUAUUCUGUGGAAGUUGUAUCUUUGCACUAAAAUCUUCACGUUAAGAUUUGUUGCUAUUUUUAAAGAUUCACUUCCUGGUUUGUGUUUGUGGACUCUUUGUUCGUUCAAACCCAUCGAAAACAAUGCCCGAAGAACUGCUAUAUGAGAAGACCUAAACCUAGUUGCUAGGUGCGCUUUGGUUGAGAAAUUUAGGGUUUUACUCUCUUGAGUUCAUAGUGUGUUGUGUAAGACCCCGAAAUAAAUAACUAGAUUAUUUAUUUGUUUUUGUUAUAUUAAAUGAUUGAAUGUUUAUAUUCUAUGUUAUUCUCCUGACUUGAACCCUAUUGCGAGUCAUUAAUAUUAUUUAUAUAAUAAUUAAGUUCGGAGUAUGUUUAAGGAUGACACUAUAGUCAUUUUGAGUGAUAGCACAAGUCAUAUUCGCACCCGACUAAGGUCGCGAGUGUUCGAAAAAGGCUAUAUCCGCUCCUAGAGCGCCGGUUAAGAUAAUUUUAGAAUUGAAGGGAGAAUAAGAACAUCUGAGUAAUUUUCCCAUGACCAGUAUUCCAGUACGAAACCCUCGACUGUAAGCACGUUAGGUUUUGCUUCCCGGAAGUCUGCCGAAACUACACUUUAACUUCUCCGGGACUUUAAUUAAGACCCUGAAUGAAGAUUUUUUCUAUUCGGAGCUUCUAAUGAAGUUUCCAUCUGCGUUGCCUCAUUCCUUUCGACGUUUGUGAUCUUUUUCCAGAAGGAAGUUUCUUUAGCCGACGUCGACUGCAAAAAGUAGUUUUUCGGCGUAAAUCGACCCACAUUGUCUUUGAGACGUUUUCCUCAAUUAAAACAACCGCGAUUUUAGUUCCGACAUUCUGUCGCCGAAUACUCAAUUUUUAUCAGCAUAUGAAAGUACCAAAAUGAUCGGAACCACGAAAUCUCAAUUUUUCAGAUUUGCGCCUCGCCUAUAAAAAAGGGGAAAAUGAGAGAUUUUUCCCCAAGAGUGGCCGAGAGCUAGAGAGAGAAAGAGAGGGGUGCAGAGCUUUCUCCGAUUCUUGCCGGAUCAUCCUGAUUUCAGAAGCUACGCGUAGGUGCAGAAGUAAGGAUGAUUAAUCUUACUUCCGUUUCUUCUUUCUGUCGGAUUUUCUCAUGUCUUUCCGUGCUCAAAGUUUUGAGCUUAAUGAAAAAAUGUCUGAUGGCUUUGAUUUUUCUUUCCAAAUACCUUCCCCACUAACCCAACAUUCUAUAACUGUUGUUGGUGCGCUCGGAUUUUCACCGAGUCGCCGUAGAUCUGAAUUUCUUAGCCCAAAACUCAUUUUCACUCAGACUUUGCUUUUUGAUUAAAAAGUUCUUAAUAUUUCUUAGUGCCUUUGAGAUUAGUUGUUACUAAAGGCCUUGUUUAUCGUUAUUCAAAAUUUGUUUCGAAAAAUAUCGACCCAAUUCACAGUUUAAGUUCUUAAAUUUUUCUGAGAGUUUCCCUGCCCUAGAUAUCACCUGAGAUUGCCUAUGAAUUUUAUUAGAUCGAAGAAAAAGUUUGGGAAACCCUAUUUUUAAUAGUGUCCGAAACCUGUUGGAGUCGUACCGUGAUCAAAAUAAUUUUUGGGUUUGUAUGGCCUGAGCUAUGGCGUAGCUCUCUCUGUUGUCGAAAUUUUGGCGUUGGUUUCGUGUCAUUCCGAGUUCUGCAGCUCGAGUUAUGCGCGUUUUAGCGUUAUUGGAUUGUAUUGUUCAUUCGUGCCUAGAUGUCGAACUCUGAAGCUUUGAAAGGUUCUUUCGGUUUUGUUUAGUGUUAUUGGAUUGUAUUGUUUCUUAGUAACUAAGAAAUGAUAUUUUGCUUAAGGUUUGGAACGAGUUGAGCUGAGGAAAGAGGUUUUGGAACAAGCUGUGAGGUUUCACAACGAACGAAGACGCACCGGGGAACUUGCUGAGUUUGAGAGUUUGACUUUGGAUCGUAUUGUGAUAUUGAGCUUGGAAGGAGAAUAAAAGGUUAGGGUAACUCAGUAUAGAGUGUCUUUGUGUCUUGCAUGAUUUAUCCGCACUACAUGCGAUUGAGAUGAAGAUUAUUAAAUUGAUUGGCGUUAAUUGAAAUAUUGGUAUGCUUUCAAUGUUGUAUGCUUGCUUAUGUUGACUGUUUCUGAGGCUUGUGCCAAAUAUUUUCUGAGGCUUCGACCAUUGUUAAACAAUAGAGACGUGCAUCUCCGUUUUCUGAGGUUUCGGCCAUUGGUUAUUGUUGAAACUCUGACUUGAUUAUUGGACUGAGAAUUGUUGAUGUUUUGAUUGUUGCUAUGGUUUAUGUUGGGCUGGUUCACAUACUAAGUAUGUGCUAAAUAGUUAUGUGAUGUGUUAAUAUUUGUGCACAUGUUUUAUUGGAUUGUAUUGUGGGGCCUGUGUGGCAUAUUGUGGAGCCUGUGUGGCAUAUUGUGGAGCCUGUGUGACGUAUUGUGAGGCAUGUGUGGCGUAUUGUAGGGCCUUCGUGGCAUAUUAAGUGGCAGAUCAAUGGUUUUCGUACUAGGUGACUGUCUUGUCUUGCGAGACGCUUUUGAUUUGAACUGUCUUGGUAGUAACACAUAGUUGUACUACGGGGCACUUAUAUUGUGGAUAUAUAAUUUGAUAUUAUAUUGUUGAGGUUGUGGAUAUCUUAUUUGAUCAUAUGUUGUUAAGGUUGUUGAUACCUGAUUUGACGUUCUAUUGUUGAGUGUAUUGUUAUAUGAUUUAAACCUAAGUUAUUAUGUUGCUGAUAUCUGAUUAAAUCUAUUUUGUUGAUAUCUGAUUUAAUUUUAUGUUGUUGGAUAUAUGUCGUCAUCUACCUGCGGGAAAGGAAAAGGGUGGCGAGGAAAAAGGUGAAGGCAACAAACAUAGAGAGAAGAAGGAAAGUCGGUGGCAAAGUUGGUUAAGGAGCAGAUGUACCCGCAGCAAGAGGCUUUAGACCGCCGCUAACGGUGGCAGCCGCCGGCGAGAAGAGGACAUGGAGCUCAACGCGCAUUUGACGGAUAUCCUACGGGAGGUGAAGGCCGCACACAUGGUUGGGGAAUCCGACCAGGCAGAGCCCCCACCGCACAGUGGGAUCGACACAACCAAGUGGUGUGAAUACCACCGGUCGGUAGGCCAUGACACUGAUGAUUGCUUCACGAAGAAGGAGAUAGAGAAGUUGAUCAAGAUGGGGUGGCUGAAGAAGUAUGAUCGGGGAAGCCGCCAGCAAGGGGAUCGCCAGCAAGGGGAUCGCCAGCAGGGGGAUCACCGACAAGGAGACCGCCAACAAGGAGAUCGCCAACAAGGGGAUCGCCAGCAGGCGGCGAGGAAGGACCAAAAGGAAACUUUGGCGACCGAAAAGCAUGGAGAUGAAGAAACCUUCAACAAGGAGAUGGAGCCGGCGAUCGACACUAUAAACAUGAUUGCAGGUGGGUUUAGAGGCGGCGGAGACAUCCAGAAGGCGAGGAAGCGGCACGUGAGAGCAGUAAGUUCAGUCCAGGAAAUUCCCUUUGGCUUCCAACACCCAAACAUAGUGGUAUCCACGGUAGAUUUGAGGGAAUUAAGUCGCAUAAGGAUGAUCAUAUCGUCGUCAUGGUGAGGCUCAACAACUUCAACGUCAGGCGAGUACUUCUGGACCAGAGCAUCUCAGCGGACAUUAUCUACGGUGAUGCAUUCGACAAGCUUGGGCUGACAAAUCACGAUUUAACCCCUAGACGGGAACCUUGGUAGGUUUUUCAGGUGAUGCAAAAAGUUAAACUAGGUGAUGCCAAAAAGUUAAACUAGGUGAUGCAAAAAGUGACAAAAUUAAGUAGCAUAGGGCAAGAAAUUUAGCAACCUAGAUAUUUGGGAGUCAGCGACUUCUUGGCGGCAUCGAUAACCUUCCCACAAUCCAGAAUAGGGAUCUUGGUGAAGAAAUUAAUGAUAAUCUUAUCAGUAUCGGUGAGGGAAUCCUCUGGCGGGUCAACGAUGCUAUUGAGCUCUUCCGUCCAGUAAAAAGGAAAGAGGGCGAUCUCGUCUCUCCAGGUGAAAACCUCGGGGUAGUCAUUAGUCACACCGAUCUUGAAGUACCUCUGAGCAAAGUUGGACUUAGCAUUGGACUUGAACGGGUUGAACCGUUUGCGGCCAGGCCUGGCUUUCAGGGAAAUCCAGCCACGUGACUGCAAGGACUUAGCGUCCACAUUGUAGAAAUAGAAGAAGAGAGUGGGCGAUGGCUCGCACUGAAUGGCGUUGCAGAGAAUUUCGUAGCACCUCAUGAAUGCCCAUGCGUUGGGGUGUAGCUGGCAGGGAGCGACGUUGAUGUCACUCAAAAUGGAGCAGUAAAAGGGGGGAAAAGGGAGUCUUAUCCCCAAUUUGGUGAACAGGUAAUCAUAGACGAAAAAGAAAUGGAAGUUGUGGGAGUCGCCUACUGGUCGAUGUCGCCAGGGGCGAUCGCCGUUCGUGCAGCCGCUAUAGAUAAGGAUAUUGUCCAGGGGGACUUCGUGACAAAAGCCCCCGAUCUCCGAGGAGAAAUCCGAAACUGAAUGGAGAUCCUCAUACUAAGAAGGUUGGUCGAUGGCUUCUGGGGAGGGGGGGGGGGGCGUUUUGGCGACAUGAGGAAGGAUAGCGAAGGUUUUAAGCCGAAAGGUCGUUACCUCUGAUAGCGCAAGGGGGACACCGCCGGGGUGGAGAGGCCCAGAUGACAUCUUGGGCGUUGGAACUCGUCGCGGAGAAGUCGGGGUAUCUCGGCGAGUAGAGUUCCUGAUUUGGCUUUUGGAGGCCAUUGGAGAAAAUAAGGAGGGAUAUGGAUUAUCAGUUCCAGGCACAGUGGACGAAGUUGGGAGCUUACCGGGAAAGGAGGUAAACAAGGGAUAGCCAAAGGGGUGGUAAGCAACAGUACAAGAGUGAUGGUAGGUCAAAGAUCUUUUGGAAGAGACUAGGGAUGAGAAAAGUGGAGGUUUCGAAAGUGGCAGAUGAUGGAGAAUGAAGGUCUUUAUUGGCAAAGGAUUGAUCACGAAUAGUGAUGGCAAUGGGUCUUGGACCCAUAGGGUACCCGCAAAAAAUACCCACUAUGGGUAGGGUAAAAACCCGCUAGAUGGGUAUGAGGUUGGGUAUGGGUAAUUACCCGUAAAAAGUAGUGGGUAUGGGUGCGGGUAUGGGGAUUAUAGUAUCUGAUGACCCGGGAUUUAAGGCUAUUUUUCUAGUUUAUUUGCAUGCAUUUUAAUAUAUUAUUUAAGAUAUUUUAGUCAUUUUAGGACACUUUAGGUUUAUUUCAUGCAUUUUAAUAUUUUUAUUUAGUUUUAGUAUUUUUCUAUAUUUUAUGUUAUUUUCUAUAUAUUAUUAGGAUUUAUUUACUUUAAUUUAGGAUUAUAUAAUUUUAUUUUAAGGUGCUAUCUUAUUUUAUCUCUUAUCUAUUUUUAUUUGUUUUAUUUUAGGAGAAGAUUUGGAGAAAAAAAUAAGAAAUCAUUGAAAAUUCGGAACAGAGCUUGGGAAUGUCUUAUCGAGUUGGUAUGUGCUAUAAUGCUCCUUUUAUGAUCACUAGGGCUUAAGGAAUUAAGGCUAGGUUCUUAAUUGGUAGAUUCACUUAGCUAAGAAAUUAGUAGGUGAAUAACUCUUAUCGGCAUCUUAAAUGUUAAUUUCAUCUUAUAAAAGUAUAUUGGUUGAGAAUAAGUUGUAAAUCAAGUGAACUCAUUUUCCAAAUACGCUUUCUUCUUUGUUUACCUCCGUGAACUUCUUUUAUCGCUUUAAUUAUAGUUUUUUCCUUUAUUUAAAUAAACCCACAUUUAACUUUUUAAACCAUUCAUCCAUCAUCUAGCUAGUGAGAUUAAUACGUAGCAACACAAUCCCUGUGGAGACGACAAAACCCGAUACUAUACUACGAUUGAGUCUUGAAAGGGAUUUGAUAGUAGUUAGUGGAGGAAGAAUUCUUCAUUAAAUAUCCUUUCAUCAGUAUCCAACCCGCCCCAUACCCGCACACAUAUAUUAUUAUUAUUAUUAUUAUUAUUAUUAUUAUUAUUAUUAUUAUUUGGUAAUAUAUUAAGUUAUUAACAAAUUAACUUAAGCUAUAACUUUCAAACUUACUCUUUUUUUUAAAAAAAAAAAUAGCUGAGUAUUUAAGGUAUUUAUAACUAUUGCUAAUUUACUCCCACUUAUUUUUAAAAUUAGUAAGUUAAUAACCUACAAUUUUAAGACUAUAUUAUAAAUUAUAAAUUUAAAGUUAUACCUUUCUCGCUUAUUGAUGACCCGGGAUUUAAGGCUAUUUUCCUAGUUUAUUUGCAUGCAUUUUGAUAUAUUAUUUAAGAUAUUUUAGUCAUUUUAGGACACUUUAGGCUUAUUUCAUGCAUUUUAAUAUUUUUAUUUAGUUUUAGUAUUUUUCUACAUUUUAUAUUAUUUUUCUAGAUUUUAUUAGGAUUUAAAUUAGCUUUAUAUUCUAUUUAAUUACUAUUAGGAUUUAUUUACUUUAAUUUAGUAUUAGAUAAUUUUAUUUUAAGGUGUUAUCUUAUUUUUAUCUCUUAUCUAUUUUUAUUUGCUUUAUUUUAGGAGAAGGUAGAGAAAAUUCUGAAUUAAAAAAGAAUUCUGGAGGCUGGAAUCAUGUGGAGCGCAAGUGCACAAGCUUAUCAUGAGCCUGCGCCUCUGAUCGUGACACGUGGAGGACUCUGGAAAUGAAAGCCCAGGAUCGCGCGAGUGCAUAGCUUUACAAUGGGCGCGUCCGCACUGAAUCAUCUGCUGCGCCAGAAAAAGACAAAAUAGGCCGAGAACACGAAAAAACACUAUAAAAUCAGUUUUUAACCUAUUUUUUGGGAUCUUUUUCAUCUUUCUUUUCUCCAAAACCUAAUAAACACAUUUGGGGAGACUUGGAGGCAAUUUCUUGGUGGAGAGGAAGGCUAGGCCCUUGAGGGCCGGUGUCAGGGCCAUGGAGGAGGUGACAGCUUCUCCGGACGUCCAUGGCUCCGUUCUAUUUUGGGUUUUGUUUUUCUCUUUACCUAUUUUUGUGUUGACUCUCUUUUAGUAUUUGAGAUGACUUAAUUUGAUUUUCUCUCUUAUUCAAUAUACUUUUAUGCAAUUAUAAGUAUGGAUUUUCAUUAUUUGGUGUUUCUCUCUAUGAUUAAUGCUUCAAUUGGUUAAUUGGUGUUCUAAAGAGUUUAUAUUAAUUCAUAAAUAGAUUGGGAAAUUGAUAUGGGUUAAUGUAGGCUUAGUUCAUAAAAGGGGAAAAAUUUAUAUGUCUUAGGUUAUUAAUUCUCUUUGCGCGUUCAUGUAUCUUUUGUCAAUAUGAUGAUUUUUAGGAUUUGCAUGACAAUUGAAAAGUUGGUGUGAGUUUAGUUAAUGAGAGAAACCACUCUUGCAUCAGUCAUCUUAAGAAAGACAUGUCUUAGGUAGGGUUGAGGUUUUCUAGGUGACAAUAAGAGACAUUAAAUCUUAGGUAUGAAUAUCAUGAGUUGGAAAAGAGGUCUAAACCGAGUGACUUGUCGGGAUACUCACCUCUCUAGGAUAUGAUUAUCUAGUAGGAACUAUUGGAAUUUCUUGAGUGACAGUCAGAGAUUCUAUCCGCUAGGACAUGAACUUCUUAGGUUAGGAACAGAGCUUGGGAAUGUCUUAUCGAGUAGGUAUGUGCUAUAAUGCUCCUUUUAUGAUCACUAGGGCUUAAGGAAUUAAGGCUAGGUUCUUAAUUGGUAGAUUCACUUAGCUAAGAAAUUAGUGGGUGAAUAGCUCUUAUCGGCAUCUUAAAUGUUAAUUUCAUCUUAUAAGAGUAUAUUGGUUGAUAAUAAGUAGUAAAUCAAGUGAACUCAUUUUCCAAAUACACUUUCUUCUUAGUUUGCCUCCGUGAAACUUCUUUUAUCGUUUUAAAUAUAUUUUCUCUUUUAUUAACAUAAAAUCACAUUUUACUUGUUAAAUCGAUCAUCCAACAUCUAGCUAGUGAGAUUAAUACGUAGCAACACAAUCCAUGUGGAGACGACAAAACCCGAUACUAUACUACGAUUGAGUCUUGAAAGGGAUUUGAUAGUAAUUAGUGGAGGAAAACCUCUUCAUUAAAUAUCCUUUCAUCACUUAUUCCUUCUAAAAAAAUAUGCUUAGUUGAAUGAUUUUACUUGUUAAGUUUUGGCUAAAAAGCAUUUUUGGCCCCUGAUGUUUCAAGUUUGUGCAAAUUCUGCCCCUAUCUAUUUUUGUCGAUGUUUCUACCCCUCAUGUUUUCAAACAGUGCACCGUCAGACGGUGCACUGUUUGAAAACAUGAGGGGUAGACGAUGCACUGUUUGAAAACAUGAGGGGUAGAAACAUCGACAAAAAUAUAGUAGGGGCAGAAUUUGCACAAACUUGAAACAUCAGGGGCCAAAAGUGCUUUUUAACCUUAAGUUUUUAGAUAAUCUUUUGUAUUUUUAAUUAGUGUUUUUUAUUUAAAAAAUUAGUUGUAUUUUUGUUUUCGAUUAACAAAAAUAGUGAAAAAUUAUAUUUUGGUUAGCUAAAUUCUGGGUAGUGGGCACGGGUACGGGCAUAUAAGUACCCAGAGGGUACGGGUACGAGUAUUCAAAUUGCUACCCACGCGGGUAUGGGGACGGGUACGAGUAAUUUUUGAAAACGCGGGUAUGGGGAUGGGUACUAUAGUACCUGAAGGUAUGAAAAACGGUAGAAAGGGGGGGUUUGAAUAACGUUUUCAGUAUAAAGCUUCCACCUUAAAGAUUCUGACAAAUCUUUCGAGAACUUAAGUGCUAAGGAUAAGAGAUAGAAAAGCACACAAGGAUUUUAUCCUGGUUCACUUGAUGAAUCACUCAAGCUACUCCAGUCCACCCGUUAAGGUGAUUUCUUCCUUCUUAGAAUGAAGGCAAUCCACUAAUCAGGUAAGAGUUACAACUGCACUUGAAACCUACAAGUGACUAACAAUUACACUGACUUAGCUCACACUAAGAUUCACUCUCUUAGUCUUCUCUAGGAUCCGAUCAACCUUGAUCUCCUAAAGGAACUAAACAAACUGUUUAUCAAAGAAUUGUUUACAAGAGAUUUGCUUCUAAAAAGCUAAUAGUAAACUCAAUGAAUUUCAGAUGAAAGAAAGCUUAGAAGAAUUUGAAUAUGUCUUGCGCGUAUGUGAAUGCUUCUAGCCGCUUCUUUCAGUCUUCAGCCUCUUUAUAUACUCCAAAGAUUAGGGUUGAGCGUUGCAUGGAAAAUGCUACCGUUGGAGGGCAGUUCUGGAAAAUCCAGCUUCUGCUAUGUCUGAGACUGUUAGGUAGGUCGUCAGGAAGGUACAGUUGCUUUUGUACUUGGAUAGCGACUUGACCUUUAAACCUAGGAGACUUCUGAUCAGGGGAAUGCUUCAUAUUGGAACUUGUGAAGCCGGUUGAUCAGAGUCAGAGGGAAAGCCCAGAUCCUCUGACCAUUGUUUCUUCUGAUUCUGAACUCAGAGGGAAGAACAUGGUCUUCAGAGUAUCUUGCUUCUGGACAUCAGAACUUCACUAAUCAGCUUCUGGAUCUUCAGAGUCUUCUACACCAUCAGAAUAUCUGAGCCUUCAGUGUUUCUUGGUUAUCAGACUUUCUGGAUCUUCAGAACUUCUAGUGACUGAGUCCACAUCAGAGUUUGUAUAACUUCAGAACUUCUGAAGCUUUUCCACUGUUCAUACUGAACAUGGUGAAUGCGAAAGCGUUGCUUGGGUCGCUCUAUAUACACAGUGCUUCUGAUUUGUGUGAGAUUGAGUUGAGGUCAGAGCCUGUAAGUAGCACACUCAGAAAAACACGUUAGAGUACCACAAUUGUUCAUAUCAAAAGGUUAACUUGUAAUCAUCAAAACAUAGAGUUGUACUACUAGAUCAAAACUUGAUCUUACAGUACCCUACCCAAACCCUACCCAUUGCCAUCCCUAAUCACGAAACAGCCGCACAGGACGCGUGCAGGGCUUGAACGACUGUUUCAUUGCGUGCAGAAGAUAGGGAGUUGUGCCUCAUGAUGACAAGAGAGGAUGAUUAUCUUGAAAAAGAAAACAGCGCAAUCUUAGGAGGGGUUGUAAGUGUGGGGGUUGGUUUGAACUCUGCCCUUUAUGACGUGAGGUGACGCUUCAAAAGGUGGCAGUUGAGAUUUUGAAGAUACGCUGACAUUUCCGCUUCGCUGACGUGUCGACGCACUAGGCCACUAAGCGACCAAACUCACCACGAUCGUCGCCCCCCCCCCCAAGCGUGGCGAGCAAACACUCCACGGCCGCCGCUCGUGGGCUUGUGGACUUGUAAGUUUUACUGCUUUAAACGUCAUGUCGGCGACAUAAAUGUUUUAGCACAAUAGUACUUGUAGUUAGUCAUUUUAAUCCUUAAAGACACACUUAGCCAUCAUGCUUCGUGCUCGGUGUCUUGUGGACUGGUGGACUGGCCGAGCCCCUAGGGGUUACCCGCCAGGUGGCGGUCUCCCAGCCUAGAAAUUGGGCCUCCUCCCGCGAGGCCCAACCGGCCCAACAAAGGCAGUUAUGAUACACUAGCCCAGCUCCCCUACUAUAAAUAGGGAGCGGUUACCAUUUGUAAAGAGGUUUUAGCUCAUUUGAUCAAUACACACUUGAGAUUCAGUUAUUUUCUCUCUCUCUUGAGCGGUUAUUCUCUCUCUUAGUGCAAUCCUUCAAACUAUAGGUACUAUACUCUAUCUCAAUGUUCAUGGCAAGAACACUCAUCCUCUUUCGAACUUGAACCACUGGCUUCGCCCCUAGAUUAAUCGCCAAUAUGUGUGAAAUAAAGUUGGGGGUAUAUUCCAGACACAUCCUUAAUUGACCGUGCAAAGUGGCCUAAAUUCUGCUCUAGUAAUUUUCUCAAUCUUUCCUCCUUCUCAACAGUCAACUUGCUCUACUAAUUUUUAAGAAUCUGUCGCCCACCUACGAUCAAAAUCCACCACGUUCGUUUAAUUGAAACCUCUAACGACGUCACUGCCAUCCUUAACACGAAGCUGCACAUCCUCAUGCCCAACAACCGAUCCAGAUAAGCCAUCUACGCGUCCCAACAACCCACCACAACCCAAGGAAGCCAUCAAGACAGAACAAAGAUCCCUCACCAGUAAAAUAGAGUCGAACAAAGAUCAUAAUAGUGACAUACAUAUAGGAACGAAGGGAGUAGCUUAUAAGUUUUCUGUUAACUUAUAAUCUAGCUAGGCAGACGAAUCAUAGCGUAUGUGACUUUAUUUACAAUAAUUUUUAAUUAAAAAAUAACUAUAUUUUUUACUUUAAAAAGGUUUAAAAAUAACUACUUUCUUUUUGAAAAAAAAUAACUAUUUUUAAUGUUAAAGAUAUGAAAAAUAUAAUAUAAAAAGAGUUUAAUGGAUAUAAAUCACACAUGUAGGAUGGAUAUUGAAUAGUAAUACUCGUUUUAAUUUGAUUAAAACAAAAAUAUUUUUUAAAAUUUACCGAAAAUACUUUGGAUGUAACUUAGAAAAAUGUUUAGAAUGUACUCAUGCAUGUGGCUGAAGAAUAUAAUUUACAGGUCCAAUAAUUUAGAAAGUAUGGGCUACCCUAUUGGUGCCUCUUCUUUAAAAACAAAAUGAUAAAAGCUGCUGCUGCUGCUGCUGCAUGGUCCAAACUCCAAUCUGCAACAUUUAAGCUCCUAUGCAGAGACACAUAAUGUGAAGCUGCAGCUUGAAACUCACCCCUUUCAUUUCUUAUCACGACCCAUUUUAUUUUUGUUUCGGAGCGAGGAGUUAGUACAAACAGUCCUGACUAUGCCAUAUGCCAUGUGAAUUAAUUGAUCAGUAUCUUGAAAUAAUUGAAGAAGGAAGGGUAACUGCUUGGCUUAUGGAGUGUGCCAGAAUAUGCCGUUGAAGCUAGCCUCAUUGUGAAUUGUGUGGUCCUAGCUAGCUCACAGCAACCACCCAACGCAGAGACAAAGAGACCCACAUACGUACACAACCAACGCAGAGACACAAAGCUUCAGCAAAAUAGAGGUCCCAUUCUGUAUGACACAUAAUGUGAAGCUGCAGCUUGAAACUCACACCUUUCAUUCCUUAUCAUCACGACACUCAAGGGUGGAGGACACCAUAAUGUGGAGCUUGGUGCAACAGCCACUCUUGUUGCUACAUGUCACGGACUCACUAUGGGGACCCCUGACAUGAUAAUUUUAACAUGUGCGAGUUCUUUUAUUUUGCGUUGACAAAACAGAAUCGGAUCUCUUGAUUCUCUUUUCUGAUUCAUGAUUGGGCGGUCCUAGCUCACAGCACCCACCCAACGCAGAGAAAGAGACUUCAAGUAGUACCCACCCGGCACCACAUACACAAAGAAACCCACAUGUCCAAACUUCAAUCUGCAACUACAUUUAUGUAGUGUUUGGUACUUCAAGGGAACAAGACAUAAUAGAAGGGAAAAGAAUGACUAUGUGUUCUGUUUGUAAUCCCAAAUCAUCUAACAUAACUAUAAUUUUUAAUUACAUAUAUAAAUUUAUGUUUAAUAUUUGAUUGAGAAUAAAAAAUGAUCUCAAUUGAAUAUUAUGUAGAGAGUCUGUUUGUUAUCACUUAUUAAGUUAUUAUAUAAAAUAAUCACUUGUUUUUAAAAAUAAUCACUUUAUAUUAUUUAAGCUCUUUGAGUACGCUUUUGAUGAAAAGGUAAAUUAGGUUUUCUAAAUAAUUUGACUUCCGCUUUUUUUAAAAUGUUGAAACAAUCAUAAAAAUACUUUUUUAUUUAAAAAAACAUUAUUUUCUAAAAAUAAAUUGAAACAAACAUAAUCUAAUUGACUCGUUUGUCAUUGCUUAAAAAAAGUGAUUUUAUUUUUGAAAAAAUAACUGAUUUAUUUUAAGUGAUUUUUUUAAAAAGUAAAAAAUUCAUUUAUCUUUGUUUACAAAUAUAAUAAGUGAUUUUCACUUUAAGCAAUAAUUUUAAACUAUUUUUUUUUUUGGUACAUAAGUUUAAACUAUAUAGAUAUAAAAGAUUUGAAAUAUAGCGAGGCUUGGUUUUUUAUAUAUGUUGUAGUGACUGUUAGUGUAGCUGUGUCUUUUUUUUUUCCCCAUGUUUUAGUACCCUGUUCUGGUCUGCUCUUCUUUUUUCUUGCCUCUGUUUUUUCUUUUAGACUACUUCUUCCUUUAAUUUCCUUGGUUACUGUUAGCUACAUUGUAAUGUGGGUUUCUACACCAUGAUUAUGUUAAUAUAUUAGUUUGGUUUUUCCACAAAAAAAAAAUUACAGUAUUUUUUACCAUGUAAAAGUUUUAAGAAAGUGUUUCGUUCCAUUCCACCUUUUUCAAUGGAACCAAAAUGUCAUGUUUCUGGAGUCUUAUGUCAUGUUCAGUUUCAUCUUAAAAAUAUGACAAACAUGGAGUGAAACCCAUAAGUAUCUUUCCUUCCCACAUGUCUAUCAAAUGGUAUCUUAGGGUGUAUUUGGUGGACACGAUUAGCAAGCAAGAGGAUAGUGUAGUCAUGUCAGCUCUAAUAUGUUGUUUGUUGCGCUACCAGGAAAGGAUAACGCAAUCAUGUCCCUUAUCAUAUCAUGUUCAUCAUGUGUAUAAAUUAUUUCUUAGAGAGAGUAAUGAUGAAAUUAUCCUGCUGAUAGGAUAGGAUAGCGGUUUUCGAUUCUUUUUUAGUACCUUAACCCUAAAUUCAAUUAUUUCAAUAUUUAUAUUUUAUAUAAUUUAUAAUAAUAAUUAAUUAAUAUAUGAAUAUUAACGUUGGAGCUUGGUGUAACAACCAGUAGGGGUGUUCAUAACAUAUUAAAUCCAAAAAAUCGAUCCAAAUAAACUGAAAUUCAAUUAAACCCAAAAACAAACCAGAGUUUAAAUUUUGAGAUAAAUUCAUUGAAUGAUAGAAUCAUAUAACCGAUAAAAUUACAUCAAAUAACUUUUUUCUUUAAAACCGAAUCAAUCCAAUUCGCAAACACCCUAACAGCCACUCCUGCCUCAUUUUCAAAUUGAUAGCAAUAGUGUCGCAAAUGAAAAUUAUUGCUACAUGUGAAUGGGACCCCUGACUAUGCGAAUAGCAAUAGUGUGAGUGUCGCAAAUGAUAAUUUUGACAUGUGCAAGUUCUUUUAUUAUUUUGAAAAUAUGUGCGAGUUAAAUGGUGAAUAUUAAAAUUUAUUUUUCUUUAAUUAGAUAGGCACCUCAUAUUAUACAAGUUUGAUAUUUUUUUUCGACGACAAAAAACAAUUUUAUUAAAUGAGAGAAUGAGACAAUAUUUCUAUAAUUCUAAUAUAUUCAGAACUCAAUAUAAUUCUUCCAUCCUUGAAAAAAAAUAUAAUUCUUCCAUUUUUUUUCAACAAAUAUCUUUUUAUUAUAUCAUUUUCUGCAUAUAUCAUUUCUAUUCUUAUCUUUCUCAAAAUUGUAGUGGAUUUUUAUAAUUUGGAUGUAAUAGAAUUGAUUGAACAAAACAACAUUGGAUCUCUUUUGAUUGUCUUUUCUGAUUCAUGAUUAUUUUAUGCAUCUCAUAAACUGCAUUAUCAAUCUCUUGUGACUUUCUCAGAUUGUGUUGGGAGGCUUCCAUCCUCUUAUAUUAUUUAGGCUUUGUACUUGACAUGUUUUCUUAAUUUUUACUAGUGUUUUUUUACCCGUGCGAUGCACGGGAAAUUUGUAUGUCAUAUUUUAUAAGUGAGUCAAUACGUUGAUUACUUAAAAUAUAAUAAACAAAGAUGAAAUAGAAGAGUCUGAUACGCUAAGCAAAAUGAGGGAAAAGUCUUAAAUUGAAUCACUUGUUUGAAAUUCGUGCAGUUGAAUAACUAAUAAACAAAGAUGAAAUAGAAGUGUCUGAAAUGCGAAGCAAACGACUGAUUAACUAAUAAGAAGAUUGGUUAACGAAACCUCAAAUUCUCUCAAACAUAUAAGGGGACGGUUUUACGGUGUCUAAUAAACAGUAGCUGAGUUAAUCUGCAGUGACCGUGAUUAUGCGCGUCAUUUUCCGCUCACACGUUCUCAAAAACUUAUUUGUAGACAACAUUGCGCGUGGAGCUCGAAACCACCCCUUUCUCAUCCACAAUGACCACCUUUAGUCCUUUUCUAGACUUCACCCUUGAGAGAGCGACAUACAGCUGUGCAUGAGUAAACACAGGUCUCGGAAGGUACAAACCGACAUGAGAAAGGGACUGGCCCUGACUCUUGUUUAUAGUCAUCGCGAAGCAUAAAGUCACCGGAAAUUACCUUCGAGAGAACUUGAAGGGAAGACCAGAGUCAGAAGGCGUUAAGGUUAUCCUCGGAAUGUACUCAGUUUUACCCAGCCUCAUUAUAAACCAUUUAGAUCAUUCCUUCAUUUAUGAUCUACCAUACAAUUACCAUGUGAAAAAAAUAAUCUUAAAGUGACCAUUGUUUCCUUAUAUAAUUAGAUCCAAACUUUUCCUUUACAAAGUAAGAAACAACUUCUAAAGUAAUUUACAAUUGAAUCAAUAAAAGUAUACCCUUCAACAUAAUUAAAUUAAAUUUAACCAAUAUAGUUAACAGUACAAAUAAAUUCUCUCGUGUGUUGAACUCCAACCAUUUUCUAAAAUUACUUUCUUCCUGUAGAUUUUCCUUGAAUUAUCUUCAAAUAAGAACCUCUUCCUUUGAAACAUUCACAUAUUCCUUGGCUUCUUCGUAACUCCACCCCACAACUAAUUCUUUGGAUCCAUUGUCUUGUCAUGAUUCAUGACUUCAAAAUCCUGGUUCUUUGUAUGCUACUGUAACAACCCUUCAGAUUCGUGGAGUUGAGGAAUGUAGCAAGGUCUAAAUGAACAAUCAAACUGGUCAAAGUCUAUCACAUUCAUUUAAGGUAAUAUGAACCACCGCCCUUUUCCCAAAAUCUGUAGCAUCUACAUACUUUAAACACCAAGGAAAAUGCAGUAGAAAUCCAGAAAAACAGUUCAAGAGAUCAGUUAUGUCUAAAUGCGAUUUAAAACUAUCCAACACUGAUUACGCACUAACAAUAAAAGUAACAAAACACCCAUCUUUUUUUUCACUGAGGAACUAAAAGCAAGCUCCAGAAAGUGAUUUCUCAAUCGAAGAACAACUGAUUAACUACAUAAGAGAUUUAAUUCCUUAGUUGUCUGUCAUGUGAUAGACAAUGUUCAUUCCACGGUCCCACAUAAUAAGAACGAUUAGCUUGUUUAGUAAAGAAAAAAUAUUUGUAAAUAAAUCAUAGAAAUCAACACAGCCACGGAGCAAAACAAAUAAGAAAGACCUUCCAGCCAAAUGAGCAAACUUAUCACCAUUACAAAGUACAAAUUGAAGCUUUAAAAGGAGCUAAAAGUAGCAAGGGAUAGCUUAAAGAGGCAUUGUGGUUUGUUACUCUAGCUGUGAGACUCAAUUAGCUUAUCAGGUUGUUAACUUAUGGCUAUUAGAAUUAAGGAUUUCCAUAUAUUCACAAAGCUUCUAAAUAAAGCUCACUUGAUGUCAACUAACUACUGUGAAUGUUGAUUUCACAGUGAGAAAAAAUAACUUUGGGUUGAGGUUGUAUGACACUUCAAUAUGAAUAUGAUGUUAUUUACACAGUGCAGAACACAAAUAACUUCAUUACAAAAUUGAAAUUAAUGGAGUGAAGUAAAUACACAUUUGGAGUAUACAUUACAUCUACUUAUCUUGGGCUAUGUCUUCAAUUCUAUUACCAUAUUUGCAUUUCACAUAGAAUGGAAGAGCUUACCCAGAACAAAUGGCCAAAGAUGACUCAAGCCUAAAUUAACUUGUACACUUGAUGCUGCUAUCAAUGCGGCCUUGUUUUAAUAUGUGAUGCGUAAGCUAACACAAUCACUUACCUUUGACAAAUUCUUUCUAGAAAACCCUUUUGGAUUUGCAAAGCUAGCUCUAGGGUGAAGCUAUUCAUGUGAUUUCCAUGAACAAAAUUUCUCAGGUCAAUUAAAGUUGUGCAGUUUUGGGUGCUACUGCACUUUGGACAGAACCAAUCGUCCUCAGGAACUUCUGGCAAUAGAGGAUCGCAGCAAUCAAUAAGAGUACCAAUUCCACAGCCAAGGGAGCCACUUUCAUCACCACAAAUCAGCAUUAUACAUAAACCAAAUGGUGCUUACACCUGAAACUGUUUGGUUUAGAGAAUUAGAAAGAAAGGAAGAGAGAAUCAUGGAAAAACUAACAAAACACAGUGCAUUGAGCUCUGUGCAAUAAAUAAAAAAGAAACAAAUGAAGAAUUUAAGAAUUAAGAUCAUAACAAUAUCAUAAUAAACACCUAAAACUAUGAAAGGAGCAGAGCUGCCACUCACAUUUUUCAAGGAGGUCCUGUGUUCCCAAGCACGGGCAGAGGCUGAACCAACUCCUCCCAUGUCAGGGUAUUGAACCCCUUCUGCCACAGUGUUCUCAUGAUUCUCUAUUGGUCCCAUUCCUCUUGAACUUGAACCUGGUCCAGAUCUUGAUGAUUGCUUGGAAGAGCCAGAAAACUUCAGCACCAUGUCCUUCAAUUGCAUAUGCAGAAAGAAAGAAAUAAAAAAAAAUUAACACCAUUUGCAUGUAUCUAUCUAUCAAUCCAAAUAUUCAUCGUCAACAACAUUUUCACACAAAUCUGCAACUGAGGUGCCGACACAUAUAAUUUGCACAGGAGAAAAAAAAAUAAAGACAACGAUUAUAAGAAAAGCUCACUUUACACAGGAUCACGUGUGGUGUUACAAUGUCUUCAAUUUUUUGCCUCUCUAUGUGCCGGUGUCAGUGAUGGGAGCUCCCUUAUAUGGUUGUCAUGAUAUAGAUCUCAGCCUCAUGCAGUGUUGCACACUAUCCUAAACAUGGCCCAUACUAAAAAAUAAUCAAUCAUGUGAAUAUGAUCCAAUGGUUCUUCAAGCUCUCAAGAAUCAAUAGCAAAAUGAAAUAGAAGAGCAUUGUUGAAUAUUAGAAACAUGUCAUGUUGUAUAAUGGUUCAAAUAUCAUGUGUUAGAUGGUUCAAAUAUUAUGCAUACAUGUCUGCUAAUUGAUACUGAUAGAUAACAUGAGCAUGUGAAAUAAAAUGAAAGAUGCAAACCUCAAAUUGUUCUAGAGUCUUAUACAUCCCUUCAUGUAGUUUAGCCCUCAUGGUUGCAAAAUCCAUAGGCUCUUUAAUGACUGUAUAAUAAUCCUCAACCUUUAAGCACAAAAAUUCAUCAAGAAAAUGAAUUAGAAGGAGAAUAUGCCAAGUUAUAUCCGCAAGAUGAUAUGACAAAUUAUGAUCACACACCUCAUUUGGAUCAAUUGGUUCAGUGUUUCAAUGAACUUAAGCAUCAACACUUUUUUUUAUCUGAUCUAAAUAAUUGCUUCUCAUGCAGUCUAAAUGGCAAAACAAAGAGAAACUAAACUUCAGUGUACAUUAUUAGCAUUAUUUAGAAGAAAAAAUCAUACCACAACAUGUAGAUGUUACCUUUAACCUUAUAAUUACCAAUCAAGAAAUUAAGUAAAAAGGCAUAGUAUCAAUAUCAGAGGAGCAAAAAUUUAAGAAAUUAAAUGACCUUAUAAUUUCUUUAACCUAUUUUAUUAUAUACCUCCUUUAACUAUAUAAACUAAUCAAGCAAUAAGGCAUAUGGAGUUAACAUUCUAAAAGAGAAAAAUUAAACUAAUAUAUUCAUUGAUAUGAUGCAUAGUAGUUUCAGGAAAGACAAACUAAAGAAAUUAAAAAUUCUUACUUCUUUUCAAUGGCUUGCUUCUCAUACCUCUUUUAUGUUCAAGCUCUCUCAAGGAAUACCAUAAACAUCCUUCUCCUCCCGUGUUUGUACAGGAACAGAAUUGCAAAAGUGUACCCAGGAGGUCCAUGCUAUGCUGUAAAUGAACAUCUGCAUUCCAUUCAAAAUUGUUAAUUUAGUGCUUUAAUAAUAAGAUGGCCUUUUUAUGAUUUCACAAAAAGAAAAAUGCAAGAAAGGGUGGUGGGGAAUCACCUCCGCCACUGAGGAGGUGGCGCUGCUCUGGUUGCUGUUGUUGUCGUUCCAUGCAAUUACAACUUUUAAACAAAUACGAAGAUCAAAAUUGACUCCUCCCUCUGAUAAUUCCACCUUCUCUCUUUCACAGUGUUACUGUCACCAAUAGUUUGGGAAUUGAAACGAAUCACACACACAACCGACGGAGCCUGCAAAACCCUAGCAACCUUCCGCCGCCGCUAAACCCUAGCAACCUUCCGCCGCCGCCGCCUUUGCCAGCAUGAACCUCUUUUGUAAACCGAUGAGCAGUCAAUGAGAAGAGGUGAGAGGAGCCGCGCAAUUGAAAGAGGAGGAGGAAGAGCUUGGAGAAAUCAGGGCACAUGUGGAAAAAAUUUAACCGUGCAAGAAAGAGUGUUGA